GAAAUAAUUUUAUCAGAUUCGCUUGAAAGUAGUUUUACGAGCAAGCAGUUUUUCCCUCUUGAUCCCCGUAUUCAUCAGCUCCUACUCUUUGCCUUCAAUUCCCAAUCAAGUAGUAUCAGUUUUUGUUGUCAGCUCUCUUGAAUUUCACUGGAUCAAGUUUUCUCUUGGCAUCUGUUUUGUUGUAAUCUCCAGUCUUUGUUAAUUAGUUUCUCUCCAUUCCCAAUCUUGUUGUGGCCUGCUGUACUCUCUGUUUGGUUCCAUAUCUACCCUUUGUACUUCUACCGUGUCAAGAUAUCUUCAUUUUUUCCAUCUCUAUUACCAGUCAAUAUUUUUUCCGUCUUUCUUCUGGUCAAUACUUCAGUUAUUCUGAUUGGUUCCCUUCGCCUCUAUUAUCUAAAUCAUUCCUUAUAUUAAUUCAAUCAGUUCUCGAACUAGAAACCUUUUCCUUGUUUCCAUCUUCUCACCAGAUCCAUAACAGCUUUUACUCUUUCUUUCAUUUCUCCGCUUCCACAACCGGAUAAACUGUCCAUCUUCGUUGUUUCGCUUUUUUUUUUUUUUUCACUCUCUCUAUGUUUCGCUCGUUGUUUAUUUUCUUGUCAGAACUUUGAAAAAAAAAAAAAAAAAAAGGGAUCCAGGAUGGUGGAAAGCAUUGUUACUGUUGUUUUAGAAUUUGUGAAAUGCUUGGCUCCUCCAACAGAACGCCGAUUUGGUUAUUUGCGUAACUAUAAAGCCAACGUUGAGAAUCUCAAGGCAGAAAUAGACAAGCUCAAGGAUGAAAGGAGAAGCAUUCAGCACAGGGUUUCUGAGGCUGAAAGAAAAGGGGAAAAGAUUGAAGAGAAGGUUGAGAAGUGGCUGGUUCGUGCGAACAACACCAUUGAGCAGUCAGCCAAAUUCAUUGACGAUGAGGAGACAAGAAAUAAACGAUGUCUCAUGGGCUUGUGUCCUAAUUUGAAGACCCGCUAUCAGCUUAGCAAGGAAGGAGAAACAAAGGUGAAGGCCAUUGUUGAACUCAAAGAAGAAUCUGGGAAAUUUGAUGAUAGAAUUUCCUUCCGUACCAUUCUGGAGGAUAUAUGGUUCAAGUCUCACAAAGGCUACGAGGCCUUCGAAUCAAGACUUUCUACUUUGAAGGCCAUACAAAAUGCAUUGAUCGAUGUUGAUGUCAGCAUCAUUGGGGUCUACGGCAUGGGCGGCAUUGGAAAGACGACACUGGUGAGGGAGUUUGCUAGGCGAGCCAUUGAAGACAAUCUUUAUGAUAUGGUGGCUUUUUCGGAGGUUACCCAAAGUCCAGACAUAAAAAAGAUCCAAGAGGAAAUUGCGGAAAAGUUAGGCCUACAGUUGUCCGAGGAAGCUGAGGCUAGAAGAGCUAGUACACUACAUGAAAGAUUGAAGAAUGAGAAUAAGAUCCUUGUGAUUCUGGAUAACAUCUGGAAACCUCUUGAUUUGGGGACGAUUGGAAUUCCUUUUGGAGUUGAGCACAGAGGAUGUAAAUUAUUAUUCACAACAAGAGAUCUUGAUGUGCUGUUAAGGAUGGGAUCUGAAAAAAACUUCUCGAUUGGCAUUUUAAAUGAACAAGAAGCCUGGAGAUUGUUCAAGAUAAUGGCAGGUGAUUAUGUGGAAAAUCGUGAGUUAGAAUCUACAGCAACAAGUGUAGCCAAGGCAUGCGGAGGUUUGCCUAUUGCCCUAACCACAGUAGCAAAGGCACUGAGAAAAAAAGAGCUGCCUGUGUGGAAGAAUGCCUUGCAAGAGCUCCAAACGCCUUCAGAGACGAGCUUCGACGAAGGAGUACCAGCAGAGGCAUACUCAACAAUUGAGCUGAGUUACAAGUACUUAAGAGGUGAGCAGCUCAAGAAAACUUUUUUACUGUGUAGUCUUAUUACGCCAGCACCAAUUAUGGACUUGUUCAAAUAUAGCAUGGGCUUGGGUGUAUUUAAAAGUGUCCAUAAGCUAGAAGAUGCACAUAACAAAUUAGAUGCAUGGGUCCAUCAACUAAGAGACUCUUGUUUGUUGCUUGAGGAUGGUGGCAGUAAAUACUUUUCUAUGCACGACGUUGUUCGCGAUGUUGCCAUUUCAAUUGCAUGUCGUGACAAAAUUGGAUUUGUGGUGAGAAAUGAGGAUGAUUGGAAAUGGCCAAAUGCAGAUGAAUUAAAAAAAUAUCUUGCAAUUUCUUUAAAAGAUAGUACUAUUAAUGACAUUCCUGAAGGGUCCGAAUCUCUACAACUUGAACUUCUAGUCAUGUCUCCCAAGAACUCUUUUGCUGUGCCUAAUAUUCCUGAGAACUUCUUCAAAAGGACGAAAAAGCUUCGGGUUUUGGAUUUGACUAGAAUGCGGUUAUUGUCAUUGCCAUCUUCAAUUGGUCUUCUAGUAAAUCUUCAGACACUUUGUCUUGAUCAAAGCAUUUUGGGAGGCAUAGACAUAGCCAUUAUUGGAAAGUUGGAAAAUCUGGAAAUCCUUAGCUUUUUGCGAUCUGAUAUUGUAGAGUUGCCUAAAUCACUAGGUCAACUGACUAAGCUAAGGCUGUUAGAUUUAACAGACUGUUUCCAUCUAAAAGUUAUUGCUCCAAAUGUCAUAUCAAGCUUAAUCCGAUUAGAAGAAUUUUAUAUGUAUAAUUGCUCCAUUGAAUGGGAGGUUGAAAGUGCCAACAGCAAAAGAAGUAAUGCUAGCCUUGACGAAUUGAAGCAUUUACGUCGGCUAACCACUCUAGAAAUUGAUGUUAAAAAUGAGAGUAUGUUACCAGAAAGCUUUUUGGCCAGAGAGCUCGAAAGGUUCAAAAUAUCUAUUGGAAAUGGGUCAUUCAUGCAUCCCAUGCUUUUUGGACAAUAUUGGUUUAAAAGUCGGCCGCACUUUUUGAUCGACAGUAAUCGCAAGAUUUCAAGAACAUUGAAGCUCAAGCUUGAUUUUAUGGACAUUCGCUCCAUGAAAUUGCAGGGCAUCAAUAACGUUGAAUACUUAUUGUUGGACAAGCUACGAGGUAUCGAGAAUGUUCUUUUCAAUUUGGACACGGAGGGCUUUUCACAAUUGAAGCUUCUCUGGGUUCAAAAUAAUCCAGGCUUCUUUUGCAUCGUCGAUUCAAGGGAGAUGGUCGCUUGUGAUGCCUUUCCUCUUUUGGAGUCACUUGCCCUUCACAAUUUGAUCAACAUGGAGAGGAUAUGUAUUGAUCCGCUCAAAGUAGAGUCUUUCAACAAACUCAAAACCAUAGAAGCAUAUAAUUGUGAUAAAUUGAGUAAUAUCUUUUGGCUCUCUACAACAAAAUGUCUUCCAAGACUUGAGAGAAUUGCAGUUAUUAAUUGCAGCAAGAUGAAAGAGAUUUUUGUAAUUGGGGAAGAAGUUGAUAAUGCAAUUGAGAAGAUAGAGUUUGCUCAAUUAAGAUCUUUGAGUCUGGGGAAUCUUCCAGAGGUUACAAGUUUUUGCCGUGAAGUAAAGACUCCUUCAGCAUCACCAAACAGACCAGCGAAAUCACUUUGGAUACUUCAACUCUGCUUUUCAACGAGAAGGUGCGUAGGCUAACAUUUUAUUUAUAUAUAUAUAUAUAUAUAACAGACUUUAUUCUAUCAUGCGUUCUGUUUUGAUGUCAUACGUGGAAAAUGUUGGGAAAAUAUGCUCUUUAAAAGCAUAUGUGUUUAUUUAAUUGUAAUAAACAAUUUUUCUGAUUAAUAAAAUAAAUGAGGUAUUUUAUUCAAAUAUCUUAAUUGCAUUAAUAUUUGUAUUAAAGUCCAUUUAAUCAUAUUAUAUGUAUUUAUGUGAUCACCAUGUGGAUUCACAGAAGACAUAAAUACAAGUUAUCUUAUGAUUAAAUAAAUUUAGUUCGCAGUUGAUAAAUAAAGUUGGGCACUUUAUUUAGGUAUAGACUGUAAUAAAUUCAUUGAAUGAUUUGUCUUAAUCAUGUAUGAAUUUAUUGAUGUAGUACGACUACAUUGAACAGGAUCACAUAUGAGAUUUAAUUAACUUUGUAAUAACUGUCAGACUUAUUAAAUCUCAUAGGCGUUGAUUUUACUGUAAUCUUAAUCUUGAGUUAAUUAUGAUUUCAUGAUUGUGAUUGUUAUUUCAUUUGAGUUACCAAUGGGCACGACACAUCCUUGUGGUCAAGAUUACCCGGUAUCUUGGUGGGAGCAAUUAUGAGUAUUGGAGUUAUGGAUUAACAAUAUAGAAUUUGUACAACACAUCUCUUGAUAGGUUUUCGGUACUUGAUCAUAGAAUUCUCUGGCCAGAGUGUGUCAACAUAUUUAGUAUGUUGAAAAUGAUCAUUAGAGAAAACCAGUAAGGAUCAAGGAAUAAGAUGUUAUUAAAUUGAUUGGACAGUUGAGAUAUCAAUUUAAUUAACGAUGUGGUACAAAGGAUUGUGCAGUAAAGAAAUCAAUGUGGCUUGGGACGAAUUAUUAUUCGAGCAUACAAUUAUGGAAGUCAGUUCCAAUCUUUUAGUGGAGUAGAUUUGGAAUUAAAUAAUUGGGCUAGUUUAAUUACAGGCCUAAUUAUUGUAGCCACUAUUGUAUGUUCCCAAAUGAUCCCCGGGUUAGCUCAUUUAAUUGAUUGCACCACUGCUGGACUAAUAAGCAAGAUAACUAGCUAUUUGGGUCAAAAGCCUAAAUAUAUCAUUUAGUGGGAGGCUCCAUUUAAUAAGCUUAUGUGUAAGGGGCCUUAUGUUAUUUUACAUGGUGGGUCCCCUAUUAAAUGAAAAGUAACGUGAGUUUUAUUUUGGGGGAAUCCUUGGAGCCUAGGGUUUUCACUAAAGGGAGAUAUAUAAGGCUUAUUUUCCCAAAAAGGAAAAAGCAGAAGCCACUUUAUACAAAUCAGAGAAUAAGAUUUUUCUCUCCAUUGUUGAGAGAAAAAUUUUCUCGUGCUAGUUGCUUUGGUAGUGAUAAAGGCGCCCACACGUCAAGUGCAGAUCGAACCUGAGUCAUAACCUGGAAGAUCAUUGGAGACAGUUCGUGAUCUAACAAGCGUGGUGGUGACGGAUCGUGAUCUAACAGGAGUGGUGGUGGCGGAUCGUGAUCUAGGAGCCUAAAUCACUUCAGCGGAAAAAGCAAACUCAGAUUUACAAGGUACGAUUUCUAGAAUACGAAUUCUUAUAUAUAUAACAAUUGGUAUCAGAGCCAUCUCAUAUUAAUAUAUAAGAAUUUCGUAUGAAAUUAAUCUUGAAAUUUAUGUAUUAGAGUGGCACAAUUUAUUCAGAUGUAUAUUAUUUAUUUAAUAUAUGAAUAAAGCAUGCUUAUGGUUUGUCUUAAUUCAUGGUUAGAUUUUCUUUUGUAUUGUUCUUUGGAUCUGUAACAAGAGGGGUGGUUUUUUAUCACCAUGUUUCCCUCUUGAUUUAUUUUACAGUUAUAGAAUUUUUGUAAGCCAAAAUUGGUCUAGGAAAUUUGUAAAUUAAUCUCAGAUUUUCAAGAUCGGAGCGACGGAGGCCGGAAAUUAUGACAGCGGCAGCAAACCAGGGCAUGCUGCAGCAGCGUGCGCGGCCAGCAAUGGCCAGCAUCGCGCGCUGCGCUGUGCGCAGCAAAGCAGCGCGCGCGGCCAACAUUGGCCAGCGGCGCGCGCUGCGCUGUGCGCAGCAAGCAGCGCGCGCGGCCAGCGUGGCCAGCAGCGCGCGCUGCAUGUGCUGCAGCUGGAAGCAACGCUGCCGAGGCCAGCAGAAAGUUGCGCGCGGGUUUUGGCACGUUUUCCGGCCAGGCGGCAGCAGUUGGUUUGGCGUCGGCGUCGGCGUCGGAGGUCGGCUGGCGUCUGAACAGUGAAGGAGGAUUUUGGAGAUGGCGGCUGGGGAAGAAGAAAGAAAGAAAAAUAUGGAUUUAGGGUUUCAUGGCUUUUAUCAUGGAGGUCCCUAUGGUUCCAUAAUUUUUCACUUGGGCAGUCAAGUUUUAAUUUUUUGCAUUUAAGUCUAAAAAUAGUUUUGGGCUUAAAGAAUCCUAGUUUUAGGCCCAAUUGAUAUUUGGGCUUAAUGGAUUAAAAAUGCAUAGACAAAAUUAAAUACAUUAAAUUUAUUUUUGGUCCAAAAGUUUUAUUUUAAUAAAAAAAAAAUAAAAUAAAAAUAAAAUAAUUUAUUUAUUUAUUUCCUUUCAAAAUUAAAAUUGGACCAAUUAUAAAUUUAAAAGCUCAAUUUCCCCUAGUCCAUUAACAAAAACAAGCUUAUGGAAGAUGGACAUUGACAAGAAGCCCAAUGAAGAUUAGGCUUAGGGUUAAUGUAUUUUUCAUUAUUAGGAAAGCCAUGAAUUAAGAUUAUUUAAUAGUUUUUCUAUAUGUUAUGUUUUGGAUGAUAACAUGCCAUGAUAACAUGUCAUAUAGAAUAGGUAGUGCCACUCUAUGCAUAAUGAUACAUGUCAUUCAUUAAUAAUGAAUUUCAUUAUAUUGUUUGAAAUUUGUAUAUGCUUAAUAAUAUUUGAUAUCAUCUAGAUAAUAUUAUAUGAAGCAUGCAAUUAACAAUAUGUAUGUUUUAAAAAGGAAAAACCAAUUUUAAAAUAUUGAGUGGGAGAGGGAAAAUUCAAGAUAAUUUUCCCACGGGCUCCAUUGUUAGUUCAAUAAUAAAAUUAUAUAUAUACCUCGACUUCAUGAUACGGUGAUGCUCCCUUCGGAGGGUAUAUAUAUUAGAUAUUUUAUUUGAUGAACUUCUUCAAAGAUAAAAUUGAAAUAUUUUUCAAUCGAUUGUUCACCCCAACGGUGACUAUUGAUAUGAAAAAUACGUAGAUUGAAACAAUGGUUAUACACUCAACUAAAGUUUGUUAUUAACCUUCCCAACGAAGCUCUGUUAACAAAUUUAGGUCCAAAGGGAUAACGAUAAUUAUUUAUCAUGUCUCUACAUGAAAGUAAAUAAUCCAAUGGAUAAUUGGGUCUAGUAAGUGUAGACAUGACUUCCCCAACGGAUAGCUUGUCAAAGCGGUACUAGAUUAUCGUUACAAUAAAUUAAAAUGCAUUUAUGGUUUUUUGCAUUUUUGUCAUUUAUUGUGAAUAUUGUUUCAAAGUAUUUAUGCAUGUGUAUUUUGUUUUUUCAGAAAAUGUCUUCCAUCAACCCAUUAUUAUUUAUCCUUGUUAAAAAUGAACUCACUGGCGAAAAUUAUUUAGAUUGGAAACGCAAUCUAUUUAAUAUUCUCACUGCUAAGGGAAGCAAAUAUGUGUUGACCCAGCCUUGCCCUCCUGAACCAUCGUUAUACGAUUAUAGAAAUCAGAGGGAGCCUUAUGAGAAAUGGUGCGAAGCUAACAAAAUGGCUAAGCGCUAUAUAUUGGCUUCGAUUUCUGUGGAACUGCAUAAGAAACAUCGGAGCAUGGAAACAGCUACUGAAAUAAUGGCUAGUCUUCAUCAGAUGUUUGGGCAAAAUACCCAUUUUGCCAGAGAAGCAGCAUUAAAACGUAUUACGGAUACUCAGAUGGAAGAGGGCACAAAAGUUCGUGAUCAUGUCCUCAAAAUGAUGGACUAUUUGAAUGAGGUAGAGAUUCAUGGUGUUCAAAUCAAUGAUAAAUCAAAGAUUAACAUGGUGAUUGAAUCUUUACCUGAUACAUUCAAAGAGUUUAAGGUCAGCUAUAUCUUAAACAAUAAAGAUAUGACCUUAAUUGAAUUAAUGCACGAACUACAUGCUAUAGAAGAAUUUUAUCAUAGCAGAAAACUUCCUGAAAAAGGAUUCUCUUCAAGGCUUAAGUCAAAAGACAAGAAUGAGCAAGCAAGAGUUGGGAUCGGCAAACUGUCCAUUAAAAGAAGUGGCAAGCCAAAAGGCAAGUGUUACAAAUGUGGACAGAAGGGUCACUGGAAGAAAGAUUGUCCUAAGAUUAUUAAAAUCAGGUAUAGGAAAUCUUUAAGCUUCCUAAUUAGUUUAGAUUUCUAUUGAUUCAUACAAUAAUGAAUUCUGAGAUAACUAAUCUUAUUUGUAAUUCAUUUAUUUGGUUUUCAGGAAACCAAGAGAUUAAGUGAAGAAAGCUUCAAAUAGCAGUUGAGGAUGUGCUAGUUUAUAUCAAUUGAAAGACUAGAUCAAUUUUACAAGACUUUAGUUUUGAUAUUUGUCUUUAUUUUUCCAAAUAUUAGAGGAAUUUAAUUUCAGUGGCUUGUUUUAAUAAACAGGAGUACACUGUUAUUUUUGGAUCCUCUGUUUAUUACUUAUUUUGGUUAUUUAUAAAGAUAAUUUAUAUCAUAAAAGUACAUUGAUCUAUUCAAAGUAAGAUAUAAUGAUUAAAAGUAUAUGCAUUUAUCUAAGAAAAGAAAUGUUUCUUCUAACCAAAAAUCACCUCUGAUAGUUAUGCUUAAGUCAUAUAAGCUAUAAUAAGAUUUUAAGAAAAUGAUUAAUGAUAGACUUGUUGGCCUAUUAAGAUUGAUCAUUGUAACUCUAUAAAUCUUAUUUAGAAAAGUAAUAUGACAAGGAUACUCUUUAUGAGCUAAAAGCAUAACAUUGUAUUUGAUGAUUUAGCGCAUACAAAUGUAUACGGACUAAUCAGUUUACAUGUUAUAAGAGGUUAUGAGUAUUCUAUCAAUCUAGUUGAUGAAUAUUCAUUUUAUGUUUGUCUAAAUGAGUCAUGAUUCCAUUGCUUUUGAAAUUCAAAAGAGUACGUGAAUAAGACAGAAGCAAUUAGACAGGAACAUAAAAGAAUUUCGAUAUGAUCGAAACAAAGAAUAUCUCUAUGGAGAAUUCAAGCACUAUUUGGUUGUCAAUGAACACUAUGAUACAAUAGUGUAAUUAAAUAGAGAAACAAGAUUCUUUUGGAUAAGACAAGAUAUAUACUAAGUGGUUUAUCAUUUACCUUUUUGAUUCCAGAUACUAGUAUUUGAAACUACAAAGUUUAUUGAACUUAGUUUCAUCUAUCUCGGUGUCCACUACUCCAAGAAAUUAUGAAAAAGUCACAAACAUGGUUUGAGACACAUUCGUAUUUGGAGUUUACUAGAAUCAGAGAUAGAGAAGAUGGAUUCGUGUUCAGAAGCUUGCAUGUUUUAGGUAUCUUAAAGGAAUAAGGGAAAGUCUGAAUUAUAGUCCUCAAGAUAGGAAUGUAUUUAUAGAAAUAUUUUUUACUUUCUUUGAGGAAGACUAUAUAAUGACUUAUAACCUAAGAGUAAGGUAAAACUAGAGAAAUAAAAGAGAUCAGGUUGAUGCUCAGCUUUCAACACCUGUUAUAGAACAGGAAGAACAGCAACAACCAGCUGAUCAGCACAGGAUUAUCCUUGAACAACCAUCACUUUUAGAACCUCGUCGUAGUGGGAGGGUAACUAGGUUACCUGCAAGAUACAUGUUUUUGGGAGAAACCUAUAAGGCUAUCUCAGAUGAACAUGUACAAGAUCCCACUAGUUACAACGAAGCUCUAAUAGAUAGAGAUGAUGAAUUUUGAAAAAGGCCAUGAAUCAAGAAAUGGAAUCUAUCUAUUCCAAUAAAGUCUGGGAACUUGUAGAGGCACCAAAUGGGGUAAAACCUAUAGGGUGCAAGUGGAUCUACAAGAGAAAAAGAGGAGUAGACGGAAGGGUGGAAACAUUUAAAGCAAGAUUAGUAGCCGAAGGGUUUACUCAGAAAGAAGGAAUCAAUUAUGAGGAAACCUUUUCUCCGGUUGCUAUGCUUAAAUCCAUCAGGAUUCUGCUCUCCAUUGCUGCAGUGCUAGAUUAUGAAAUUUGGCAAAUGGAUGUCAAGACUGCCUUUCUUAACAGGCAUCUUGAAGAAAACAUCUACAUACAGCAACCAGAUGGAUUUAUACAAAAAAGGCCAAGAACACAUGGUAUGUAAGUUGCAGAGAUCUAUUUAUGGAUUGAAGCAAGCAUCCCAGUCAUGGAACAUCAGAUUUGAUCAAGCGAUUAAAUCACUUGGAUUCAUUCAGAACAUUGAUGAACCAUGUGUGUACAAGAAAAUUCAGGGAAAAUUUGUAGCCUUCCUAGUUCUUUGUGUAGACAAUAUUCUCCUGAUUGGAAACGAUAUAGGAGUAUUGACUACAAUAAAGAUUUGGUUAGCAAAACAAUUUGAUAUGAAAGACCUGGGAGAGACAAGUUAUAUUCUUGGUAUCAAGUUACUAUGAGACCGGAAGAAUAAAACUUUAGCCUUGUCUCAAGCGGUCUAUAUCGAUAAGAUAUUGGCUAGAUUUAGUAUGGAAAAUUCCAAGACUGGUUUAUUACCAUUCAGACAUGGAAUUACAUUCUCUAAGGAUCAAUCACCUAAAACAUCUGAAGAGAUAGAGAGAAUGAGACGAGUUCCCUAUGCAGAAGCUGUGGGAAGUCUCAUGAAUGCCAUGCUUUGCACUAGGCCAGACAUCUGUUUUGCGGUAGGGAUGGUUAGUAGAUAUCAAUCUAAUCCUGGACCUGAACACUGGACUGCGGUCAAGCAUAUAAUGAAGUAUCUGAAAAGAACUUAAAAUUAUAUGCUUGUGUAUUCUGGUGAUGAACUUAUUCUAGUGGGUUAUACUAAUUCUGAUUUUUUGUCAGAUAAGGAUUUUAGAAAAUCAACUUCCGGCUAUGUGUUUACAUUGGGAAGUGGAGCUACUAGUUGGAUGAGUGUGAAACAAUCUUGUAUCACAGACUCAACAACUAAAGCUGAAUAUGUGGCUACAUCUGAAGCUGCAAAAGAAGCUAUAUGGCUCUGCAAGUUCCUACGAAAUCUUGAGGUGGUACCUGUUGUAACUGCACCCCUUAAACUAUUUUGUGAUAAUGGUGGUGCGGUAGCUCAAUUUAAGGAACCAAGGAACCACAAGAAACAAAACAUAUUGAAAGGAAGUAUCAUCUUAUAAGGGAAUAGUGUAGAAAGGUUAUAUGACAAUACCCCAAAUGGCAUUAGAUGCUAAAUGGCAGAUCUUAUUACAAUGGCCAUUAGUGGGAAACCUUUAUAACCUGCACUUAGAGCCCUAGAGCAUGUGCAAUAUGCCAGAUAUGCUUUGAGAGCUAGUGGGAGAUUGUUGGGAAAAUAUGCUCUUUAAAAGCAUAUGUGUUUAUUUAAUUGUAAUAAACAAUUUUUCUGAUUAAUAAAAUAAAUGAGGUAUUUUAUUCAAAUAUCUUAAUUGCAUUAAUAUUUGUAUUAAAGUCCAUUUAAUCAUAUUAUAUGUAUUUAUGUGAUCACCAUGUGGAUUCACAGAAGACAUAAAUACAAGUUAUCUUAUGAUUAAAUAAAUUUAGUUCGCAGUUGAUAAAUAAAGUUGGGCACUUUAUUUAGGUAUAGACUGUAAUAAAUUCAUUGAAUGAUUUGUCUUAAUCAUGUAUGAAUUUAUUGAUGUAGUACGACUACAUUGAACAGGAUCACAUAUGAGAUUUAAUUAACUUUGUAAUAACUGUCAGACUUAUUAAAUCUCAUAGGCGUUGAUUUUACUGUAAUCUUAAUCUUGAGUUAAUUAUGAUUUCAUGAUUGUGAUUGUUAUUUCAUUUGAGUUACCAAUGGGCACGACACAUCCUUGUGGUCAAGAUUACCCGGUAUCUUGGUGGGAGCAAUUAUGAGUAUUGGAGUUAUGGAUUAACAAUAUAGAAUUUGUACAACACAUCUCUUGAUAGGUUUUCGGUACUUGAUCAUAGAAUUCUCUGGCCAGAGUGUGUCAACAUAUUUAGUAUGUUGAAAAUGAUCAUUAGAGAAAACCAGUAAGGAUCAAGGAAUAAGAUGUUAUUAAAUUGAUUGGACAGUUGAGAUAUCAAUUUAAUUAACGAUGUGGUACAAAGGAUUGUGCAGUAAAGAAAUCAAUGUGGCUUGGGACGAAUUAUUAUUCGAGCAUACAAUUAUGGAAGUCAGUUCCAAUCUUUUAGUGGAGUAGAUUUGGAAUUAAAUAAUUGGGCUAGUUUAAUUACAGGCCUAAUUAUUGUAGCCACUAUUGUAUGUUCCCAAAUGAUUCCCGGGUUAGCUCAUUUAAUUGAUUGCACCACUGCUGGACUAAUAAGCAAGAUAACUAGCUAUUUGGGUCAAAAGCCUAAAUAUAUCAUUUAGUGGGAGGCUCCAUUUAAUAAGCUUAUGUGUAAGGGGCCUUAUGUUAUUUUACAUGGUGGGUCCCCUAUUAAAUGAAAAGUAACGUGAGUUUUAUUUUGGGGGAAUCCUUGGAGCCUAGGGUUUUCACUAAAGGGAGAUAUAUAAGGCUUAUUUUCCCAAAAAGGAAAAAGCAGAAGCCACUUUAUACAAAUCAGAGAAUAAGAUUUUUCUCUCCAUUGUUGAGAGAAAAAUUUUCUCGUGCUAGUUGCUUUGGUAGUGAUAAAGGCGCCCACACGUCAAGUGCAGAUCGAACCUGAGUCAUAACCUGGAAGAUCAUUGGAGACAGUUCGUGAUCUAACAAGCGUGGUGGUGACGGAUCGUGAUCUAACAGGAGUGGUGGUGGCGGAUCGUGAUCUAGGAGCCUAAAUCACUUCAGCGGAAAAAGCAAACUCAGAUUUACAAGGUACGAUUUCUAGAAUACGAAUUCUUAUAUAUUAUAUGAGAGCGAUCUUCAAAAGGUUUUAUAAAAAUUUAAAAACCUGAUUUUUCCCCAACAGAAAAUAAUUAAAUCAUUUAAAGAAUUGAAAGGAAAUGGAAAAAAGGAUAAAAAGAAUCUCACGCGCUCACUAAUUGAGCUCUUAACAAGUAGUAUGAAUUAGAAUGCAUACUCAGCUGUCAGUUGGAAAUUGAUUCAGACUUGCAUUAAUUUGUAAUCAAAGAAGAAAAUUUCAACAAGUGCUUCCCAUAUGGAUAUUGGAUCUAACGAGAAAUUCUUAUUUUUUUAGGUUGCGUUGCCUAACUUGGAGGCUUUGGAGAUAUCUGCAAUUAAUGUCGACAAGAUUUGGCACUACAAUCAUCUUCCAGUCAUGUUUCCUCAUUUAACACGAUUGAUUGUGCGGCGUUGUCACAAAUUAAAAUACAUAUUUUCAGCGUCUAUGAUCGGAAGCCUUAAGCAGCUCCAACACCUAGAUAUACGCUUCUGUGAGGAUUUACAGGAGAUCAUUUCUGAAAACAGAGCAGAUCAAGUGAUCCCUUAUUUUGUCUUUCCACAGCUCACCAAUCUGAUACUCCAAGAUCUACCAAAACUUAGAUGUUUGUACCCUGGAAUGCAUACUUCGGAAUGGCCCGCGCUAGAAAUGCUUUUAGUGUAUGGUUGUGACAAAUUAAAGAUAUUCGCUGCAGAUUUAUCGCAGAAUAAUGAGAAUGAUCAACUUGGCAUUCCUGCACAACAGCCCCUAUUGCCGUUGGAAAAGGUAUGAAGUCAUUUUCUAGAUUUUUUAUCAAUAGCUUAUUUUUAACUUUGAAAAAUAUGAUAAAGCAUCGAUAAAUUAAUACUUAAUAAAUUAAAAACUUUUAUUAUACAAUAAUCUUUGCUAGUCUAGACUUAGGGAUCGAUGUGGUAGAUUAAUAAUUAUAUGAACUGUUUUAGGUAUAGCAUUUAUAAAAGAAUCCUUAGUCUUUUCAUAUAGAAGAACUAACAAAAUAAAUUAGUAAUUUAUUAUUGUGUAAUAAAAUAAUUUCGAGCCAGUUUAAAUCAACCUUUUUUCCCUAAUUUCUUUUUUACCUCUAAAAUUAACAUAUAAAAUAAAUUUUAUCAAUAAUUCAAUUUUUUUAAAAAAUAUAAUAUAAAACAAAUCCUAUAAAGUCACUGCGUGUGACCGUAGAUCAUCAAUUGACCUCAUUAGUUAUUAUGAUUGAUGAUGAUCAGAUCGUACCCAACUUGAAGGAACUAUCACUAAGUGGAAAAGAUGUGAAGAUGAUUUUGCAGGCCGAUUUCCCACAACACCUUUUUGGCAGUCUUAGAAAACUAGAGAUUGCUGCAGAUGACUCAGCUUGUUUUCCAAUCUGGAACGUACUGGAGAGAUUUCACAAUCUCGAAAUACUCUCACUGUUUAAUUUUUCAUUCCACGAAGAGGUAUUUUCGAUGGAAGGAUGCUUAGAGAAACAUGUGGGGAAGUUGGCAAUGAUAAAAGAAUUAAAUCUGCACCGGCCCUAUCAUCUGAAGCAGCUGUGCAAACAAGACUCCAAACUUGGCCCCAUUUUUCAGUCUCUUGAAAUUCUAAAAGUAUAUCAUUGUCAAAGUCUGUUAAUUCUAUUGCCAUCAUCAUCGGUAUCUUUUCGGAACCUAACAAAACUUUUAGCUUUCGGUUGCAAGGGAUUGAUGCACUUGGUAACAUCCUCCACAGCAAAAACUCUAGUGCAACUCGUCACAGUUCAAGUAUGUCGAUGCAGAGCAAUGACAGAGGUGGUAAUAAAUGACAAAGAUGGAGUUGAAAAAGAAGAGAUUGUUUUCCGCAAAUUGAAGGCGUUGGGCCUGCGUGAUUUAGAAAGUCUCACAAGUUUCUGCUCUGCCAAUUACACCUUUGAAUUCCCAUCUUUGGAAUAUCUGGAAGUGAUUGGUUGUCCCAAGAUGAAGACUUUCACUACAGGAGAAUCAAUCACGCCUCCAAGAGUAAAUGUCUGGUGUGGAGCGACAUCGAAUCAACGGCGUUGGGCUAAUAAUGAUCUUAACAGGACCAUACAACAAUUACAUGCUGAAAAGGUACGGAUAUACAUGUUACUCUUUAUCUCCCAUGGAAAAAUUUUACAAAAUUUGCUUUUUUUAAAUAAAAUAUCGAAAAGAUAUUUGUUAUAAAGUAAAAGUUUAAAUUGAUGAAUAAGAAUUUUAUUUUCAGCUGUUGGCGGUGCAGUCGGCGAUCUCUACCCAGUACUAAUUUCAUAGGCUUCUUAUGACUUGGGAGUUGUGAAUUUUUAGAAGAAAGCCUCAGCUGGUAAUUAACUGGUAAUUAAUUUUUAUUUCAUUUAUUUGAUCUCAUGGCUUGUUUCGCAAUUUCAUCUGAAUUAUUUAGAAUGGGUCAAUCGGCUUACUGUUAAAUUUGGAAUGCAAUUUUAAUGAUUCGUUCAGACUUUUGUGGACAGAUUUUGCAUCAUUGAAUGUCUUCUAGUCUAGUUUAAUUUGAGUAUUUUUUUCUUUUUUUCUGUUUUUUAGAUUUCCCCUAGUUUUCUAAAAUUUUAUAAUUCCUUGCAUACUUUGUAUGAUAAAAUUUCAUCAAAAGCCUUCAUAUUUUAUAAUUCCUUGAAAACAUCAUUGCUGUUCUCUUAUUUUAGUUUGUUCAUUUGGUUUGGUUUGCUUCACACCUAUCUUUCUUUGGGAUUUUUUUUUUUUUUUUUUUUUGAUGAUCUUUCCAAAUGCUCUUCCCUAUGAACACAUAAUUAAGAACAGCUGAAAAUCAUUCAUCGGAUAAAAAAUUAAAAAUAAACAAAAUCUAAUCAGAGCAUUAUGCCUAGAACAAAUCCUUAAACCAUCAAAGCAAAACUCUUCGCUAUGAAAAACUAUACUGUGGAAAUAUUGUUUGAAAACGUUGGAUACCAAGAAAGGGACUAAUUUGGUCUAGUUUUAUGAGAAGUAUAGAAGAACGUUGUUUUCUCUGUUUUUCCUGUUAGAACUCUUUACUCUGUGAUUGUAGAAUGUCUGGAUACUGAUGAAGAUUCAAGUAACUCUUCUCCUGUGCAUCAUUUGAAAUAAGGUUUUUUUUUUUUUUGGGUAAUAUCUCCUACUGGGUUAUAGUUCAUACAAAGAGAUUCUUAAAUCAAGCCGGAUACUGCUAGAAACAAGUGGGGAAGUAGGCGCUGAUAAAAUGGUUAAUCCUGUCCAGACUUAAUCAUUGAAGCAACUCCAAACUGGACUCCAUUUUAAAUAUCUUGACAUUCUAAGACUAUUUUACAAGCAUUUAAGUCUAUUCCCAUGAUCAUCUAUAUCUUUUGGGAAUCUAACAGAACUGUUGGUUUUCCAUUGCAAGGAAUUGUAACAUCCGUCCACUACAGCAGAAAGUCUAGUGCGGCUCGUAUCAAUGAAGGUAGCUGGAUGCAGGGCAAUGACAGAGCUGGUAAUAGGUGACGGAGAAGACGAUGGAGCACCAAAUUUAAAUUAAAACAAGAGAUUGUUUUCAGCAAAUUGAAGACAUCGAGUCUGUCUGAUUUAGAUAGUCUCACAAGUUUCUGCUCUGCCAAUUACGCUUUCAGAUAAAGAUUCUUGAAAUUGUCCUAUUUACAGCUGACAUUUCCACAAGAGUUGGAGAAUAUAAAAAAUUCAUUAAUCGUUAGUUUUUAAUUUCAUUAUUCAAUGAAAAGUCCUGUCAAAUUAAAUUGCAAAUCUCAAUGUGCAAGUACCUAAAUUUACUAAAUUUACUUUAAAUUAAUGAAUGAAAGAAUUUAUUUUCUGCUGUUGGAGGAGUCGUCAUCUCUCUCGACAUAGUAUACGAUAUGUUUUGAUCCCAUAGGCUUUUUAAUAUAUUACCUUGUGUUGUUUGAUCUCUAGGUUUAUUUUAUCGUUUCAUCUUAUUAUUUGCAAUGCGUCAGUUGGUUUAUUUGUUAAUUUUGGAAUGAAGUUGAUGCAGCUGAUGGUUGCAUAGGAUGAGUAGGAUAUCACUCCUGGAUCAUAACUUGAGCGGGUAUCUAUUCGGCAAGAAAUUCUGUUUAUUUCGUAGUUAUUUUACAAAGUUUAAGAUAUUUUCUUAUUUUUCUUAUUAUUUUCAAUAUUUUGAUAUUUUUUCUCUAAAUAUAAGAUUUUAAGUAUGAUUUAUUUUAUUUUUCUUAUUUCAGUUAGGAGAACGUUAUUAUGUAAUAAUAUUUUAAGUUUGCAAUUUUAAUAAAUACAUAAUAUUUAGAAUUUGUGUAAAAAGGGUCCAAUACCCUAAUUUUGUUAUUCAAACUUCUAUUAAUAAAAUUUCAGACUUUUUAAAAAAAUUUCUCUAUAUUUUCAAUCUCAACAUCUGUGUUUCCCUUUCAUCAUAAGUUUUAAUAUCUGGUUCUGAGCUAGCUUUAUGUGCAUAUUAUACAUCAUUGAAGGUCUUUUGAUCUGAGUUAUGAUCAAAAAAUUAUGCUCGCUUCUGUCUGGUCGUAUGAAAAUUGUGCAAAAUAUAAUUCUUAUAUAAUUUUUUAUCCUCCAUUGUUACAGAAUCCCAAGCUUCGAAUUUGUAAACUUUGAAAGCAUGGCAGAAAACUUAGUACUUAAUAAGGCUCUGGAAUAAGACUCUUUAUGGCUUCAAUAUUUUACUUAACAUGAAAAUUUCUUUCUAACUAGCAUCAUUGCGAAGAUAAAUUGGGGUAGUUCUGACAAGUACUGGCACUGCACAAUUAAUGUUACCAGCAAUCAAUUGUUGUGAGCACCGACAACCAUUUUCAUAUUUAAGCCUUAAGAACAGUAACUCAAAAUAUGGCAAGUGGCAACCACAUCAAAUAAUCAAAUUGUUGAUAGAUUUAGAGAGCUUUAAUUUGCUUGAUAUAUAUUUGAAUAUUUCAACAGAUGCAUCUUUUCUCUACUCACGGGGCACGUUGAGUUAGAAACGGUUUGAAUGUCAAUAUUACUCCAAGUGCCUCAACCAAAUUCAGAAUGAAAAAAACCAUCUGGUUACCUGCACUUUAGUUUAAGCAGCUGAUUUAGUUAGCACCAAGUAAUUCACACACAAGUGAGAAAUUUCAUUAGUAAAUCAUCAUACCGGGGAGGAAACCAGCAUCUUGACGCUUUUGUGACCAAGAAAAUCUGCCACAACCCGAUUAAUCAAGUUGUUACCAAACAAAUGAUCAAUUUAAUCAUGCCUUAAUUUUUUCUUUUUUUUUUUUGUGCUGGGGGGGGGGAAUAAAAAUCGUAACUUCAUUUACAUAUAAUUUUACAAAAUCAAUAGGACACUUACAGAGCACCUCCUACAGUCAUAGCAAGUCCAUUGGCAGCUCCUCUUUGAUGCUGUUCCCGUUAUUGUGGCAUAAACCAACAAAUUAAAUUUAAACUUUGACACAUACAAAAUUUGAUAAGGCUGAAAUCAUGGAAAUGUACUAAACAAAUAAAAGAAAAAAAUAUUUACCACUGCUCUGUUUUGAAGAAGGAAUAAUCCAGUUAUUAUAGACACCUGAUGUUACAAUUCAGGAAAAGUAAAAAAGAAUUACAAGAAUUCUAAUAAAAAAGACACAAAAUAAUUUUAUACAUACUUGCUGGUGGAUAAUAUAACCUAAGUAUAUGGAUCAAUGAUUAGGAUAUCCACUUACAAAUAAAACAUUCUUCAUCACAGAAGCACAGUUUAUCAAUAAGGCAAGGCUGAACCCAGAUAACAUUGCUAUAAAAGUGUAACUUGUCAAAAGCGGCAUCGAUAAAACCUGUACAUACAUAGAAAAUUAUGGGACCAAAACCAUGAAGAAAAGUAUUUUAUAAACAGAUAUGUUUGAAACAAACUAUCAAAUGGUCUAAAUGCCACAUGGUGUGUUCAAAAUUUUACCCCUGCAAUGCGUGUUAUGAUUAUUGGCCCAAUGAUCCUCUCGACGUAAGGGUAUAGAGUGAGUUGAAAAACAAGGAGGCUGAAUCCUAUAGUAAGUUCAAAAUGAGGACAAUCAUCAAGCAUGUGAUGGUGUCAAUGUAGUCAUUAUAAGAGAAGCGAAAGUUAUAUUUUAUAGUCCCACCAAUAAGAAAAUUUGAAGUUAUGGGAGAGUUGCUAUUACAUGCACAAUUCAGCCUGAAAAGAGAGCUAAAGGCUACGUACCGGAAUCCAGCAAGAAGCAAUAGUUACCGCAAAAGCAAAGAGUGACAUACAGAGACAGGGCAGGAAGUAAGGAAACCUGCAUAAAUUUGUUUUUCAGAAUACCAUCAUUUUGAAAGUACUACAGAAAAAGAAAAGGCUAAUGGCAGUAAAAAUUCACUUACUUUCCAAACAUAGAUUCUUUGGAAAAUGCCUUUGGAUAUUUCUCUGCUGGCUAGAUUGCAAAAUUAUCCACGAAUAUAUAUAUAAGAACAAUAUUUAUCAAGCCAAACUACUAAAAAUUCAAAAAAAAUGCCCAUAAUAAUCAAGUAAAAAUUGCAGAACCCGGGCCAGAAAGCCACCCACUGCAGGGCCAAUAAUCAAUCCUGUGCCCCAUGCUGUACUGAGCUGAAAUUAUAUUGUACCUAAAAAUGUAACUUUCAGAGUCUCUAGCCACUGAUGAGGACACGUCUUUUGUCUGCUAGCGGAAAGCGCGUGACGGCAAGUUUUUUGUCAGAGCCUAGGGACGCAGAGGGAAGGAAAAAAAAUAUCAUUAAUUUUUUUUCCUCUCUCGGUGGGCCCCACGUAAUGUGGGGCUCUGGUUUUUGUCGCAUUGUGUGGAGGGUGUAUAUCUAAAUCAACCCCUUGAAUACGGACACGUGUCGAUCUCAGAGAAACUCACGUUUUGUUGUUGGGACCCAUUAAUUCCCGUAAAAGUCCUAUUCUUAAAACAAGUCGAUACGAUGAUCAAUACUCCGCCUGUGGGUCCCGGCGACGACCCCCUACGCUGGGCAGUACAACACUAAAAAAUCGCCACGUGUUAUAUUUUAAAAAGCUUUGGGGGAGCGAAUCGAUAGAUUUUUUCUUUUCGUGACAAAGCAUGCGGGGGGGGGGGGGGGCCUCCCUGGUGGAUUUGCCUAGGGGUGGGUAUAUUUUAACCGAAUCGAUCCAAACCGACUAUUUGAAUCGGUUUGAAUUGAUUUUAUUAGUAAAAAAAUUGGUUUUGAUUUAUUGGAUUGUAAACCGACAUCAUUCGGUUUGGAUUUUGGUUUGGAAGGAUUCCAAACCGAUUCAAACCGAUUCAAUCCAGAAAUAUUAUAUAAUUAUAUUAUAUUUUAAGUUAAGCAAUCUAACUAAUUAUAUUUAUCAUUUUAUACAGAUUUUGACAAAUCAAAAGUAAUUGGGCCAUAAGUUUUGACAGACAAGAUGCACAAUAUUUUAAUUGUCAAAUGUUGUUCAAGUUUAUUUUAAUUUUGUGAGUUUGUUUUGAAUGAACAUGUUAAUAACUUCUUUAUUAGGGUGUAUUAUGUUAUAAACUUGUAUGGAUGUAUCUUUGAAUUGUUAUGUAGAUGUCAAAGUAGAUAUGAAUAAUAUAAAAAAUGUAUCAAUUUAGAUUACGGACACAAAAAAAUAAUAAAUAAUUUAGGUAAAAUAAUAUAAAAGAAGUGGGCUUUUAGCUAAUAAGCUCAAACCGAGGAUCCAAACCGAUCCAGUCGGUUUAGAUCGGUUCGGUUUGAAAAAAUUUUAAGUUGAUAUCGCUUUGAAAAUAUUUCAAACCGAUAAGUUUGGAUCGGUUUGAGAAUAUAUCUCAAACCGAUCCAAACCGAAUUUGCCCACCCCUAGAUUUGCCCGCCGUUAAUCAAUUUGUUUGAUGAUAAAGAUUCAAGCAAUCAUACACGAACUUAUUCAAUGGAGCUUCAGAAGAUUGGCAUUGCAGUGAAGUCCUGAGUCUUCUACUCAUCUUUUAACAACCUUUGCAGAAGCACAACAACAGGGACAAAUUCUGCAUAAUCGGGAAAAGAAAAAUCAGAAGACGUCAUAUUGAAAUGCAUUCAUAUUAAUUUGACAAGAAGAGAAUCAAACGCAGACCUCGUUAAAAAUCUUGUAUGCAUACGCAUAUAAGAGAAGUUCAAUAAUUGCGACGCAGGAUCAUUGCCGAAGCAUUAAACAAAUACGAGGCAGAGAAAGAGGAGCUCUGAGGAUGAGCGUGUUAGUGUGGUAAUACAAUAUCCUCGAUGCUUGCUGAAUGGUGGACAGUGGCGUUGGAAUAUCAUCUAAUAAAAGGAGAGAAAGAGGUGGCAACUGGCAAAGUGGGUGAGUGAAAGCUCAAGGCUGAAGCGGUUGGCUAAACUUUGUUAAAAAGAUGCACAUAUUGAUAAUAAUAUACGACCGUACGUUGUCUGUUAACUUGGAACUCUUUAGCAUUUAAGCGAGUCUCUCUCUCUCUCUCUCUACGAUUGGGAAUUGGGAUUUCGGAUCGGGAUCUACCGUAUUCUCCGUCUAUCCUAUGCAUGUCAUCAUACAUCAGUAAGCGUGCGUGCCUCUGCGUCUCCCCCUCUCCUUCUUUUUACACAACUAUUUACUGUUACUAUUUCUUUGCCAAUUCCCUUAUUUCACGGUACUUGUAGUAAGACGAAACAAAGGAAGAAAAUGCUAAGGUACUUCAUUAGGCACAUUUCUCAUGCGUACUUGAAAGUAAUCAGAACCGUUGAUCUUUCCCCGAUGGGCCACCCACUGCAGGGCCAGUAAAAUUUUCUCAAGACCUUUGCAAUCAUACACGAACUUUGCAAUCAUACAUUCCUACAGUUUGGUGCUGAUCGCGCAAUAUUUCACAUGCAUAUGCCUGGUGGUGUAAGAGAAGUUUGAGCACAAAUAUUUACAGGAGUUAAAUUGGAAUUAUCAACAAAUACCCCCAAUCAAUACCUUAAUUGGUCCAAGUAAACCAUUCAAAGCCCCAAGGAGAAACCUUGUAGUUAUGGCCAUCCAGAAAUUCACACUAAGCCCAAAGAGAGUGUUAAAAAUAACCCUGUGAGCAUUUUAAGACAAAUAAGAAACCCAGAAAUUGCCAAAGUAUCAUCAAUUUCAAGCUUAAUCAUUUGAAAAUAGAGGUCACUAACACUGUGAUGCAUCCUAUUAUUAUUACAGGCUUUCGACCGCAGCGGUCAGCUCCCAUUCCCCACAAAACAGAUGUUAAAGCUCUGCCAAGCAUGUAUGAAGACCCUUCAAUUUCAUCAAGGUAUUAAGAUGUUUGUUACGAUAACUUCUCGAGGAAUUUGAAAUGUUACAUGCAUAUAUGUUAAUUAUUUCGAGGUGCGAUCAUCUCUACUUUUUAAAGCAUAGACUUGGCGCCCUUUACAGUAUAAAGGCGCAAGUCUGCAGUGUAAAACCCUUGUACAGUGCCUUUACAGUGUUGUAAAGCCCUCGGUAGAACGUUUUUACAGAGUUGUAAAGGCGCGAGUCUGCACUUUGUAAGGUGUGGACAUUUGUACCAAAAAAGGACUCCAUACUAUGUGCCAUUUAUUAAACACAAUAAAAUACAUAAAAUAACUCACCCACGUAACCAGCAUAGAAUCCAAUAUCUUCCUCCCUUUUUGCAAUGUGAAAAUCCCUAAUCUGAAAAGAAAUCAUAACAUACUGUUGUGAAAAAGCAAUGAAUUGUUUGAUAGAUAAAACUUGUCUUUUCUUAUAUUUCUAAGAAAAUCAGCAAGCAUGAUAGAAAAAUAUAAAUUUUCUCACUAGUAACUACUCUGGUGAAGGCAACAACAGUCCACUCACCAUAAAAUAAAGAAAGGGAAAGAGAGAUGCGACCGGCAGAACUGAAAAAAAAAAAAAAAAUCACAAAAGAAUUAAGGACAAAACUAGAAGAGCACAAUAGGCCAAAAUCAUUGUAAAUGGUUCUCUCAAAAAUCAUUAUAUCGAGUUGAAGUUGAAAAAUUUACCAGUUGCAAGCACAACAAUCUAAAUUAUAAAAAGCUUGCGAAUUGGUAAGCCUCGUUCCGACUCUUUAAGCUUAUCAACCUUACAGCCUGAGCAGUUCUCAUAAUAUUUCUUCUUCAGCAGCGGCUCUCUCACUUUCGCCUCCGCCAUACUUGAAAAAUUUUCAGCUCAAGUAAUCGUCUUAGUCUAUGCAAUCCAAUUUCAAUGCCUAAAUAUAAGUACUAGAAAAUAAGUAACAAAAUCAAUAUGCUUAAGGAUAUAGUAGAACUAUAUAAGUGAUCAUUUAAAGAAUUUUCAAUAGAAUUGUAAAAUCAGUUGAUUUUGCAGCUGGGUCUGUCACCACCAUGGUAAUUAAAAUUAUUGGAUCCCAUGUAAAACAAAAUUUUUUCAUUACAUGCCCUCAUUGCUGACGUCCAAUUAAUCAUUACUCUUAUGAGAAUAAUUUUUGGUGACAAGAACGGCGGCAUCCUAGGACGUGACAAAAUAGUCACAAAAAUCCCUUAUUUUAAAAAAUGAUCAUGAAAAUUUAUCCACGGACACACAAAUUCAGGAUCUAUGUAACUAUUUUUAAUUACAAAAAGAGGUCUAUAUAUAUAUUUGAAAAUAAGGGAUAUUCAUGAUUACCAUGUUAAGCCACGAGAUAUCAUGCUGUUUUUUUUAUUUUUCAUUAAAUCGUUGUUACACAAUUCGACAUGUAAAAGUAAUUUAUUUUUUUUGAGAGAUGGUAACAAACAUAGUGACAAAACUAUCAUAGUACAGUCUAAUGAUGAAACUAAUUGUUAAUUAAUUAAUAAAAAUACUAAGUGACUGUAGCGGUUCCGGUCACAGUCACAGUCAAAUACAAUUAGGAUAAUUUAAUUUAAAUAAUGUGUAAUUUAGCGUUAGCCCCAAUUGUUUCGACAUUUUGCAUUGUGCCCCCCAAUCUUCCGACCAUGUCCACCACCCUCAUUUCUUUCAAAUCUAAUGUUAACGGAAAGAAGGGUAGAAUGGUAAUUAACACAAGAUUAAAAUAAUAUAUAUAAUUAAAAAAAACCCUUUUUCCUUCGCCGCCUCUAUAAUUUAAUUUUGGGUUUGAUAUCUUUAGUUUUAAGAUUUUUGAUUAUUGGGUUUCUUUUUAUCGAAUUUUCUUAGUAUGAAUUUAUUUUGUAAUAGAAUUUUACAAUGAAAUUUGCUCUCAGGGAUUUUGGUAUCAUUAGUUUAGGGUUUCUUUCUAUUGGGUUUUAUGUGGGAUUAUUGGACUUAUUUUGUAAUGUACUGAUGAAUGUGUGUUUGAUUUUUUUCUUUCACAUUGGAAUCAUGCUUUGCCUUUGAUUUUGUAAUUUACUAGGUUUAUAAUCUUGGGUUCGUAAUCCGGAAAAAAAUCGUUUCCAUAUAAUUUUAAAAAUAUUAUAAUAAAUUUUUACUUUUUGAUUUAAAUUUUAUUAGUUGUAAGGGUAUUUUAAUACUUAUAUACCCAAUUCAUUUCAAAAUAGGGGUAGUAUAGUCUUUUAAAUUUAUAACAGCCUAAAUAGUUAGAUUAGUUGAUUUUUUAAUAGAAAUAGGGGGAGGUGCACAUGGUCAAAAGAUGUGGGUGCGCUGUGUGAAAUACUGAACAAUUGGGGGCUGAUGCUUAAUUAUCCUUAAAUAAAUUAUUAGUUUAAUGGAAGGAGCAAAAUUCAGGAAAAGAGGAAUCAAACUGCGAAAGGAAUUAGGAAACCUGAAAAGAAAGAAUGAAAAUAACUUUUUUUUUUAAAUUAUUUAUUUGGACAUUGUGACAAACAAGUGAUGUGCAUUGUUAAUUCUGAUUACCCCAAAAUGUCAAGUCUUGAAAAACGACAACAUUACAUGAUUCAUGAGAAGCCUAUCACUUUGAGAUUAAUUUAAUUAAAAAAAAGUUCCGUUUGCUUAAUACUAAAAUGUCACGCGCAAGUUGUCCUGGACUAGAGAGUCGUUCACCCGUACUUACACUGUCACUGCAUUUGCUUGAAAAAUGAUUUUACUAGCAAUAGGUUCUCGUGUUUCGAUAGCUUUCUAAGUGGUUUAUUUACAGGUAUUCAAAAUAUAAAUUAUUGCUAUGAUUUUAGAAAAUAUUGUAUUUUUUUUUUGUAAUUUAUAUUAAAAUUUUGCGACAAUUGUUUGGCUGGAAUUUUUUUUAAUAAGAAAAAUAGUGAUCUCACACUGAUCCAUAGUUGAGCCAAUUACCUAGUUAAAAGCUACCUCCAUAUUUUUUAUUUUUUACCCUAAUGCAUGUCUGAUUCUUUUAAAAUUUUACGUUAUAUAUAUUAAACAAAAAUUAUAAUUUUAAUCAUUGAAAAAUUCAUGACAGACAUCAUUUGAAUAAUUUUUUUUUUUUUUGAAAAAUACAGAGCUAGAGAUAAUGCUAUAAUUGAUUGAAUAAGAAGGCUACAACUUGAUGAUAACUUUAUUGCAAUGUUGCGUGAUCUCAAUAUAUUAUUGGCUUUUGUGUGAGUAAAAGUUGCUGGCUCGUGUUUUACUAAUUUGCCUUUGUAUUUGACUGGCUCGACAAAGAAUCGAUUUACCUCAUACCCAAAUUACAAACAUCGAAACCGGAUCUGUCAUUACGUUAAUUGGCCUCCUAAAAUAAUCAAUCACUUUCUCUUUAGUCUACCAUCCACUCUUUCCAGUCGCUUACUUUCAUUCUAAUCAUCUAAACGGCUCUUUGCUACUGUUUCUUCUAUUCGUCAUUGUUCUUGUUCUGUUAUUAUUUAGCUUUGCUCACUCCUCAGUCUCAUUUCUUAUUCUGUACCCAUCAGCUCUUUUACUUUCCUUUGGCUUUCUUCGCUUCUAUGUUUUUCUCAGGAUUCGAGAUGCUGGAAAUCAUUGUGACUAUCGUCUUGGAACUUGUAAAAUGCUUGGCUCCUCCAACUGAACGCCAACUUGUGCAUUUGCGAAAGCGGAACUACAAUGCCAACUUUGAGAAUAUCAAGGCGGAAAUGGAGAAGUUGAAGGUUGAACGUACGAGCAUUCAGCACAGAGUUUCAGAGGCGGAAGAAAAAGGGGAAGAGAUUGAAGAGAAGGUUGAAAAGUGGCUGGUUAGUGCGAAGUGCGAACGGCAUCAUUGACCGGGCAGCCAAAUUCAUUGAAGAUGAGGAGUCAACGAAUAAGCGCUGUGUCAAGGGCUUGAGUCCUAUUUGGAAGAGUCGCUAUCAGCUUAGCAAGAAAGCAGAGACGGAGGUGAAGGGCAUUAUUGAACUAGGAGAAGAAGUUAGGAAGUUUGAUACUGUUUCCCACCGUACCAUUCGGGAGGAGAUAUGGCUUAAGUCUAGCAAUGGUUACGAGGCCUUCGAAUCAAGACUUUCUACUUUGCAGUCUAUAAAAAAUGCAUUGACGGAGGCGAAUGUCAGCAUUAUUGGGGUGCACGGCAUAGGCGGCAUUGGAAAGACCACACUGGUGAAGGAGUUUGCUAGGCAAGCCAGGGAAAAGAAGCUGUUUUAUCGGGUGGUUUUAUCAGAGGUUUCAUAAACUCCAGAGACAAAAAAGAUUCAAGGGGAAAUUGCAGAGAAGUUAGGUCUGGAGUUGUCCGAUGAAGCUGAAUAUAGAAGAGCUAGCAAGCUGUAUGACCGAUUGAAGAGUGAGAAUAAGAUUCUUGUGAUUCUACAUAAUAUCUGGAAACAUCUUGAAUUGGAGACGGUUGGAAUUCCUUUUGGAAAUAAUCAUAAAGGAUGUAGACUGUUGCUGACAGCACGAGAUAAUACUGUGCUUUUAGGUAUGGGCUCCAAAGAUAACUUUUUGAUUGGCAAUCUAACUGAACAAGAAGCCUGGAGAUUGUUUAAGAUAAUGAAUGGUGAUGAUGUUGAAAAUUGUAAGUUCAAGUCUACAGCAAUUAAUGUAGUUAAGGCAUGUGGAGGUUUGCCCAUUGCGUUGAGGGCACUGAGAAACAAGAGUCUCCAUGAAUGGAAGAAUGCCUUGCGAGAGCUCCGAACGCCUUCAAUGGUAAACUUCGAAGGUGUGUCUGCAGAGACUUAUUCAAGUAUUGAGCUGAGUUUCAAUUAUUUAAAAGGUGAGCAAGUCAAGAAAAUUUUUCUGCUUUGUCGUCUAGUAGGUAACAGUGUUUGGUUUUCAGACUUAUUUAGAUACUCCAUGGGUUUGGGCAUAUUUCAAGGAGUCAACAUUCCCUUCAUAUUUACCAAAGGUAAGUGAUAAAUCCUACAUAUCCCGCUCAAGAAUGCAUAUGUUUUUUCAAUCUCAAGUACCUAAAGUUUUCUUCUAAGUUUAUAAAAAUUUCAGCACCAUCUCCCUAUAAUUCUCCAAGCUCACGACAAAGCUAUAUAAGUGAUGCGUUAUGCCAAAACAACACAUGACACCCAUUCACCUAGUACGUACCCAGAGAACACGAGGAGAAGCUACCGUAAAAGCCAUUUUUACGUGGGAAGAAAACUUCAGCUACUAGCUACCAGAGAGAACUAUGCAUUCCCAAACUGUCCAAGCCUGGACAAUUCAAGAAUUAUUAAUAGACAUAUGAUCCUCACUAUCAUCCAAAGAUGACACUAAUACAACAUGUGUCUAUUAAUAAUUUCUUAAACAAGUCUAAGCUUUCAAUGCACGUAUCAAAAGUUUAAAAUUGAAUCUGAAAUUUGAAUAACACAUAAAUAUCAUAAAUCUCUUCAAUUUAUUCCUGAUACAAUGUAGCAUUAUUUCACAUAUCAUUUCUUAAGCAAAACCAUAAAAAAUACAAACAAUAAAUACAUUUUCCCACUGAUGCAGAUUAUGUUUACUGAGCAAUAAGUUUUAUGUCAUUCAUGUUGAAAUACUUCUGCCUAUUCUUUCAACAUAUAACUAGUACAUACACAAAAAAAAAACCUGGUGGUGAAUCUUGCAAAAUCUUCCUUUUUUCUUUUUUUUUUCUUUUUCUUCUUUUUUUGGGGUGGGGUGUUGGGGGAACUAUGAAUCUUGCAAAUCCUCAAGAAGCCAUGUUAAGACAAGGCCAGCUUACUAUUGGGGUAUGAAAGAUAAAACCUUUUAUUUCCUUUUCAAAAUAAAAAGGACAUUGACAGUGUUAAAAAAAAUCUAGAGGAUUUCAGGCCUCCAGAUCCUUACAAAUCAAGGAUAUUAAAAAAAAUUACUUAGAGGAGAAAGGUUAUGCUCAUUUGUAUCUUGUUAGAAGAAAUUGAUCCAAAGCCUCAGUUUUAAUUUGCUUCAUAUAGCCAAUGACUAGGUGUUUAAAAACCAAUGAAUAUUUUUAUAAGAAAUCAACAAUAUUGUUGAAAGAAAAACCAAAUAAAAAUAAUAAAGCCAAUGAAUAGAUCAAGGCUCUUUGUGGUCUAAAACUAAUCAAACUAAGUUGUGGGCAAAGGCAAAUAUGUUUGUUUGGUCAAUAAUAAGCUCAACAAGUCACUAAUAACCACCUAAUCACUAUUCCUUAUGCUAUGCAAUAUAAUGGCCUGGGUAAUGGCGCCAAGGCAGACAAUAAGUAGCUAGCCAGUUAUGAUAGUUGAUUAACUUAACCUACUGGAAAUCUGAAGACCAAAACGAAGAAGCUUUGUCUAGAACUAGAAUAGGAACAUUCGUACCCAAAACUAAUAUACACAAUUAAGAAACUUGAUUAUAUGUAUAUUUCUGUUGGCCACACUUAAAGAGAAUUUCCAAAAGAUGCUAAGGUACACCAAAUCCCACUAUUUCAUACUCAUAAACACAAAAAACCAUGGUAAAAAUUAAUGACUAUAUCAAAUAAAAUCGGUGAUAGGACAUUGAGAUUAGGACAACUUGAUUUGUAUACCGUAAAAUAACUAUAUCUGCAUGGUGAACUAUAUUUCUGUUAGAAGUCUGAAGUUUUCUAUUAAAUUUUUUUCUCUGUUGGGUAAACCACUUAACUGAAGUGCUUAAGCCAAUUUUGACAAUCAUAGACAUAAAAGUAUUAAUAGGCUCAUUCAAGUGAAAUGAGCAUUAUUUCACACAUCCUUUAGGUUUUUAAGUCAUUUAGAAGUCAUUCAUGUUAAAAAAAAAAUUCAUAUACUUUCAAUAUAAUUAGAACAUACACAAUUAAUUAAUUAAAUAAAUCUGUUUCAGCUAGUAUAGGAACUUAAUUAAUCAAAGCUAGUAGUUAUAGCUAGGACUUGAACGAGGCACCUUUCAAAGUUCAAGAAGAGCAUCUGAACAUAAUGAAAGCACUUUGUAGAUAUGGUAAUGAUGCUUUACAUCUACAUGCUCUUACACAGCAUGAACUUUCAUUUACUCCAAGCUCUUAUUCUACAAGUCAAUUCAGUUUGUAGAUGCACGCCAUUGUAAAAACUUUUGUAUUAUAAUUUCUGAAAAUAGAAUGUAACAUUAUUAAUAUAGAAUCAGCAAUGUAUAUAACUUAUCAGACAAUAUAACAAGCACUUGGUGAGCAUACAAGAUAAACUAAAACAAGUCAUCCAGAAAAUGAAACUAAAACCCAAGCUCCGCUAUUCAUUGUAGAUGCUUUAAACAUAAAAUUAAACUAAAUCUAAUAGCAAAACAUUAGAAUGGAUGUUGGAAUUAAAGCUAAAUUCAAUAGUAAUUCAAAUGAAUCCAUUUGAACUUUGUAAAUUCCGCAGAACAAAAUUAAUUUGAGUGAGCAAACUCACCAAUGGAACAAGAACACAGGGGCUUCAACUUGUAGGAAUAAAAAAAUAUUGCUGGCGGGACAAAAAUUGACAAUAAUGGCUACAAUACGAAUUUAAAAAAAAUUCAAAAUCUAUAAUUACAAGCUAAGUAAGAGAAGAAACUCAUAAUCACAAGCUUACCUCAAAAGAUGAAGGGAGAAUACGAUGAAGAAGAAGAUGCCCGGUGUUUUACGCCGUUCGCCGGCAACCAGUUAGGUUUACGAUGGUGGCUAGUCCAGCGAAUAGUUUUCUAACUGGAAAUAAAUUUAAAUUUCUAAAAUAGUGCUAUGCCGAACGGCUCUUUACCGUCACGUGGUUAGUAACAUAUGUGACAGCAGUGUGGCCGUCACAUAAAGGGUAACAAAAGCAACUCGAGGUUACAAAGUUAGAAGUUAGUGGCAUGCGUAAUGGCUGCUUUUGCAAAUUUGCAUUCACAUUAGGGGUCACAUAUACCCUAUUUUCUUGUAGUACAUGGUAAAUUCUAUUUCAAAAUUGCUAAGUAUUUUAGAUUUGUAUGAAUUCAUUUUUGUGUGCUCGUUGGAUAAUAAUAUAUUAUUUAAUAAAUUAAAUUUUUGUUGUAAUUUUCACAAUAUUGUAUUAUAAAUAUGUCUCGUUGAAAGGUUUUGAAAUCGUUUUUAUUGAUCAUAAGGCGAAAGCUACUGUGCAACUGUGAUACGGUAUCACCGUUGCACCCAGCCGUUGGAUCCCACUUGAUCUAUUCAUCCGCGUGGAUCCAACGGCUGGAUGCAACAGUGAUACCGUAUCACCGUUGCACCGUAGCCGGACCCUGAUCAUAAUUGAUAUUUCCACAGUUGCAAAAGAUACCAGAGAAAAUUUGAUUAUCUUAAGAAAUGAGGGAAUGAGAUCUGAAAUCAACCAUACCAUAAAAUCAAAUUUUAUCAUGUCAUCCUUCUCGGUUCAAAUUUAUGGAAACAAUAAUCAAAUGCAUCCAUGAACUAGUAUAUUCCGAGAUAUGUACCAUCAAAUUUUUGCUAUAUCAUACUUAUAUAUGUAUAUUGAAAUUUUAAUAACAACAAUUGGGCCAAGCAUAUGUUGGUACUUGAAGAUUUAUAAGCUCCAUCCUUGAAAAAAUAAAGCUUGACUGUUUUCAAUCUGAUUCUUUUUGUUUUAAGUUCUUAAUUAAGCUUUCUUACUUGUUUUCAAGAGCCAGUUUUGUAAUGAUCCACAAACAUGAUUUGCAUAUACAGUAUUGCAGUUGGCAUUUAUGUAUCACUUAUUAAUUAGAUUUAAAUUUUAUAAAUUAAUUAAGCUGAUUAAUAUUUUAUAUGUGCACUAAAUGAUAGAUACAACAUAAAUUGGGACACUAUAACUACGUAUCCUUACUAUGUAAUAUUUGUUUGUCUCAAACCCAAUCAUGGCUUGAUAUUCUGAAUACUAUUUAGGAUAACAUUUCAAGCCCCAUGAGGGCUCUUUCCGUUUAAAAAAAAAAGUAUGAAAUAGAUGUAGAUUUUUCUUUAGAUAUUAUUAGUGAAAGUACCUUUGAUGGCAAUGGUUCAAGAUGAUUUGAGAUUUGACAAUUCCGCUCUCAUCUUAAUUAUCAAAUGGAAUGUAAGUAGAGAUAAACUCGUCCUGUUUAUAUAUUUGUGAUCAAAAUUAGGACCAAUAUCAAACCGCUCACAAUCAUGUCCCAUCCUAACUAUCUUGAAUGUCUUGAUUGCCUCCCUUAAUUAUCUUUUUAAUUCUCAUUAACAUAUUAGCAAAAUUUCCAUAUAUUAAAAAAUUAGGGUCCGACUAUCUAUACUUUAAAAAUCAUUAUGAACACUCAAUUAUUUAUGCACUCAGCAAAUAAAUUUAAAAAAUUAAGUUUUACUUUCUACACUUUUUAAAAUAACAAAAACAUCUUUACAUGAACCUAAUAAGUUUAUUUAAAAAAAUUAAAUCAACUAUUUUUAUUUAUUCAAAAUACUAAUAAAAAUAUUUAGCAAACCGUGAAAGAAAUUUUUUAAGAAAUUUAACACGAUUUUAGUUAUUACUUGUUGUUUAUUAAAGAAUGUGUUCACUAUUGUUUUUAAUUUUGUUAGUAAAAAAAAUAGAAGAAGAAGUUUGGGUUUAAGAUACAUUUAAUUUUAGUGUAACAGUUGUACUAUAUAGCUUUAUUUACCCAAGUGGGCAAUACAUUUAAUUUUUAGUGUAACAGUUUUAUUCAUACAACGCUUUUAAAACUAAAAGUACUUUUAAAAAUAAAUUUUACUAAAUAUUCAGCUUAUUCUCUUGACGAUUGAUCAAUUUCUACAAUAUAACUAAUUGUAAUUAUUUUAAAAGCUACAGGAUUACCAAAUUGACCCUAAAUCAAACCAAUAAAAAUGUUUAAAAAUAAUAAUUAUAAACCAAAGUAAACGUACAAAAAUUCAUGCAUAAUUUGAUAAUCAACAAAAACAUCCACAAGUUUACCUCCAAGUUUUCUACUCAAUUGACAUAACCCUUAAAUUUCAAAAGGCAUAAUCAAUUUUGUGUCUAAUCCUAUAAAAUUAGAAAAUUAAAGAAUAUUAUAUACUGAUAAUUAAAUAAUAUGCACUUAACAAUGUUAAAAAAAUAAUGUUAAACACAUUGUCAACUAAAAUAAUUGGGAGAAUUGGAGUUCCAAGAUAAAUUCUUAUCUAGUCCCAAAUCAAUAAUUGGGAUUAACAAGCUGCUAUUGAAAUUAAUGUUAACAACUAAAAUAGAUGCAAAAGGAGAAACAGGCAUCAUGUGCAGUACCCACUGUGAACUGCUCACAAGUUGUUGGCAGCUGGUCAAAAAUUCAAUGUUGAUUUUGAUCCCACUAAAUUAAGUCAUCAAAAAUUGCUGGGAAGGGAGUAAUAUCUAUUUAUAACUGGAAAUUACUCACCGUACAACGAUGAUUGGAGCUGCAUAUAUCAUUUAUUAUUAACAACUAACUUAUGAAAUGCUUUGAAUGUAUCUCCUAGGUCGUAUUAUUCACUAUACUAGUUAGGAGAAAUUGCAAUGUUAAAUUAUUUGAUAAAUACUUAUUAUAAUUUGAAAAUAUGUUAAUUUUGUCCUCCAUUUAUGAUAAAAAAAAUUAUAAUAUAUAAAAAUCAUUCAUUCUAUAAUCUUGAACUUUAUUAAAGUUUGAAAAACUAUUACUCUAUAUGAUAUAAUUGUGUGAUGUUAUUACACUAUUAUACCAUAUAAAAUAUAUUUGCUUUCUUAAAUUUUAAUAAAGUCUAGGUCUUGGACAGAAGCACUUUAUAUAUGUAUAUAUAAUGAUUCUCUAGUAACAACAUUCUCAUUUUAACAAAAUAAUGAUAUCACUAACAAACUAAAUAACACGUAUUUCAAUACACCAAUAGAUAAAAAAAAAUAUAAUUUUUAAUGUGUUAAAAUAUGUCUUUUGUAUAUUAUUGAUAUUUUCACUUUAACAAAGUGAGGGUGUCCACACUACAGAAGUACUUUAUAAAUAUUCUUUGUAUUUUUGUGAAAAUUAUUAUUUAAAUGUCAUAUCUUACCAAAGACUAUUAGUUUUUAUUUUAUUACUACACUAUACUUUUCAAGAUAGAACACCUUAAUACCAUGACCUUAAUUUUUGAACUCUCUUGUGCAAAGUUGUUGGCUGGUCUAUUUAGCUUAGUCUUUCAAUUAUUUGUCGUUUGAACUCAAAUGAUCCGAAUAAAGCUAUGUAUCAAUAAUUUCCUAGUGAAACUUCGGGAAAAAAUAAAAAUCCUCUCAUACAGUAGCAUUAUUUUAAUUCUCAGCUUGAUUAUGUUUUGAGUUAACUUAUAGAUUAUUUGAAAUGAAAAUAAUAUAAUUUAUUUUUUCCAACUGAAAUUUUUAAAUAAUUUUAUUAGUUUGAUGAGUAAGUAUACACUUACAAAGUUAUGAUAUAAAAUUAUAUCCCAGAAUCUGAAUAAUAUGACACCAAUUAACUACUGCUAUUUGUUUCUUAGUAUUAAAAUUUUCAUACCAUUAUUAAUGAGAUAAUUAACUUCAACACCAAUAAACAAAUUUUAUAUUAAUACAUCCUCUAGCUUUAUUAUCAAAUAAUCAUAUGUCAUAAUCAAACCAAGCUACCAGAGCCUACCACUAAAAGAUUGAUUGAAGGGUUUUCCAAGUUUGAAAAUGUUAGUAGCAUUGGCAAAUGGCAACUUCCAGGAAUCUUCCUGCUACAAUCAAUCAUUUAGUGAAAUGCCCAAAUGACACAAAGGACCCCGCCAAACAUGAAGUCACAUCAUUUAUUUAUUUGUAAAUGAAAAAUAAGGUUCCGAUCGGAAGAAAUCAGCACCUUAUAAUGCAUGAUUACUCGUAUGUCAAGUUUGGCGAUUAUAAGUCAUCAUCACAAUAACUUUGGACUUUGAUAUUUAAGUCUCCAUUUGGGACCAAUGUAUGUGUUGUGAAUUUGGCUUUGAUAAGAUUAACCAAAUUCUCCCCAAGACACUUAGUUCUGUAUCGAUGGUUUUAAGAAUGAUUAACACAGACUAUUCAGCAACAAAUACACACACGAAUCAAAGUUUUAAAGAUCACAAACAAGACACCAAGCAUAAGUGGUUCAGCACCAAGAAGUGGUGCUUACAUCCACUGGAAACAAAGCAACAGUCUUUCACUAUUUCGUUCACAAAACAAUACAAGAAUAGGAAUUGAUUUACAGAGAACAAGAACUUGUAAACCCCUUUCUCUCUCUAUCUUCUCUCUACUCUUAGUGUUUCCCAAAUCAUGUGAAGACGAUGACAAAGCCUGCACCUUUUUAUCCUCUGUUUCUGGGUUGUUACGCCAACUACCAUUCCCGCCAAAUCUAUCCAAGAAGCUCUGCCUCACGUGCCUGUCGCACGCUGAUUUAAGUGUGAUUAAGAAACGGCACUCAGAGACGUCGUUUCUUGACCCAAGCAAGAGUUAGCUUCAACACAUGUGCAAACCACGUGUACUACUAAAGAUAGAACAGAUGACUGAGAUUAUGUCGGAUCUGGCUUCAGGAACUUCUACAAGUGACAAGUCAUCCGAGACUGAAUCCUCUAAACGACUUGUAGUACUUGAGUUUCGAGUUCACUGUUUAUCAGUAUGGCAGUUGGACAACACAUCACUCAAUUAUAGAGUGUGAAAUAUUGAUAUUGUUCUUAUUAUUUUAUGUAAUGUAUAAACUUUUCCUUUUAUUUGUGUUUGUUUAUUUUUUUUAUACUUAAUAAAUAUAAAUUUAUUUUUUAAAUAUUUAACAAAUAGUCACGACCAGACAAUAUUGCCAGAGAAUAACAAACAAUGACCCAAAUCCUUUUAUCUUACAGAAAUAAUUUCAAGUAGUCACGGCCAAACAAUAUUGCCAGAGAAUAACAAACGAUGACCCAAAUCCUUUUAUCUUACAUAAAUAAUUUCAAUUCACAACAACUAUGACAUUACAUUACCAAAUAAACACUAAAUAUUUUGAUGAUUGUAGUUUAUCUUUCAUUCAUAGCAUGAAGAGUUUGAAAUAUGAUCUCAAAACAAAGAGUACGACAUGUCGUGUUCGGUUUACAGAAGAAGUGUACCCCAUGUCAUCCGAAAACUAAAAGGCGCGUAUGACAACCAGACGCUGUCAUCUCUUAUUUGCUUACACUUUAAGGAAGAAUUCUGGGUUUUGAGUGACAAUUAAAAGCUAGAGUGAGAAUUAGAGAGAGAGUUAUAUAUUCUUAUUUAUUCCUAGUCACUUGCUAUAUUGUGUAGGUCUUUUGUGAUUCCAAUAAUAAAAACGCUCAAUAUUUUUUUUUAUAGAGCAAUAUUUGUUAAAGCAUGAAGAAAGACAGAAAUAUUGUAAAUCCAUCUCAACUUUUCUGUUUAUUGUGGUCGCUGCUAGAGCUAGCUGUUUUCUUAUUUAACAUUGUUCUCUUUUGCCAUCAGCUCUUAGCAUUUUCAUUCAAUCAAGCGACCCUUUUCUUGCUUCAAUUUUUUUUUAUCUCAAAAGCACUUUGAUUCUCUUCAGUUACACUGAUUUUCUCCUUGUUUUGCACAAAUAUCAUUUCUCUUUCCCAUUUAGCCUUGAUUUGCUUCUACUUGACUAUCAAUUGCCCAGUCGUUGAACCUGUUGUAUUUUUAUUUCGUUCACUUCAAAUAGACAAAAAAAAAAAAAAAAGAUGUUGGAUAAAAGCCUAAAAUCUAAUUUGGUUUUUAAUUUGAUUUAGCUAAGAUGUCCAAUUUAAUACUAAGAGCAAUGUUAAGGAUCCCAAUAAUUGAGUCUCAAUUGAUAUGAUAGUCAUUUAUUAGAUGAUCGAAAUAUUAAUUUUACUAGUUAUGAAAUUCAUUAUCCAAUAAAAAAAUGAUACAUAACAAUUGGAUCUCAAAUUAGAAUUCUACUAUCGAAAUUCCUAACAUUAUUCUAAUAUUAAAAAUUCAUCAAAAUAAUAUCUAUUAUCUAAAAAAAUAAAAUAAAAAUCUAAAACCAUAGAUUUACUCUUCAAUCUUCGUGAUUUGGCUGAUUUCUUUUAAAGCUUUGGUUUCUUUAUAUUUUUAUCGGUCAUUUUAACGGUACUGGCGUUUGAUUUUCUGACUAAGCUACUGUUUAGUUCCAAGUUUUGGCAAUUACCCGGACUGCUUUCUUUUGUGUAACAUCGACACAAUGAGGCUUUGCAUCUAAAAGUCGGCAGCCAUGCAACUUCUUGGAAUCUUCGUGCAAGUGUUGGAUAUCGACCGUUCGAUAAUGACGGCAGCAUUGGUCUGGAGUGUUAGAUAUUUUAUUGAUUAAGGAUCACAAAUAAUGGAUAUUGGAUGAGGAUCACAUGUUUUAUGACAAUCGUAAUGUUACUAAUAUAAGUCAAGCAAUUAUUUUUAAAUAAUGAUAUUAUAAUUAAAAAUAAAAAAAUAUUUAUAAUACUUAAACACUAAUUCAGAGUAUUAAUUUUUUUAUAUGAAUUAAUUAUUUGCUGACAAAUAAUUAAAAGGUCAUAGAACAAUAUUUUCAGCUCAAAUUUUUAUUCUAAUAUGACACAACUUGGUACUUUCAUUCCUAUGCUAAAAUAUAUCUAACCUACUAAUAGUCAAGAAAUAUAUCUAUUCAACACAUAUUUGUUAGAAAGAUUAUCUACUAAUUAAUCAUUGAGACGAGAUUACGAAUCUCAACAUAAAUUAGGAUAAAAAUUAAUAUAUUGAAAUUCAGAAUAUUUCAAGCUUGUAAAACUACUUUCAAGCGAAUCUGAUAAAAUUAUUUCAAUACUCGUGGGUGACUCCUUUUUAAACCGCAGAAGGAAAUGAUUUUCUCCUUGUUUGUACAAAUAUAAUUUCUUUUUUCAAUUUUGCCUUGUUUUGCUUCUACUUGAUUAUCAAUUGCACAGCCGUUGACCCUGUUCUAUUUCUAUUUCGUUCACUUCCCUAAAAAAAAAAAAAAGAUGGACAUUUUGAAAAGCAUUGUUCCAGGAGUUGUAAACUGCUUGUCCCCUCACGCACAACGCGAAUUUAGUUACUGGUAUAACUCCGGUGCCAACUUUGAGAAUCUCAAGGCAGAACUCCAUAGGCUCAAGGUUGAAAGAGAAAGCAUUCAGCGCAGAGUUUCUGAGGCUGAAAGAAAAGGUGAAAAGAUUGAAGAGAAUGUUGAGAAAUGGCUGGUUAAUGCGAACGAGAGCAUUGAGCAGGCAGCCAAAUUCAUUCAAGACGAAGAGAAAGCAAAUGAUGGCCGAUGUCUCAUGGGGCUGUUUCCUGAUUGGUUUGCUCGCUAUCAUCAUGGAAAGAAAGCAGAAACAGAGAAGGAGGCCCUUUUUAAACUCCGAGAAGAAGCUGGGAGAUUUGAUGAUAGAAUUUCCUACCGUACCGUUCCGGAGGAUAUAUGGCUCAAGUCUCACAAAGGCUACGAGGCCUUCGAAUCAAGACUUUCUACUUUGAAAGCCAUACAAAAUGCAUUGAUCGUUGUUGAUGUCAGCAUCAUUGGGGUCUACGGCAUGGGCGGCAUUGGAAAGACGACACUGGUGCAGGAGGUCGCCAGGCAAGCUAUGGCAGACAAGCUCUUUGAUACGGUGGUCUUUUCAGAGGUUUCGCAAACUCCAGACAUAAAAAAGAUUCAACAGGAAAUUGCCGAGAAGUUGGGCCUGGAGUUGCACGAGGAAGUUGAAUCUAGAAGAGCAAGUAGGCUAUGUGAGCGAUUGAAAAAUGAGAAAAAGAUCCUUGUGAUUCUGGAUAACAUCUGGAAACCUCUUGAUUUGGGGACUAUUGGAAUUCCUUUUGGAGUUGAGCACAGAGGAUGCAAAUUAUUAUUCACAACAAGAGAUCUUGAUGUGCUGUUAAGGACAGAAUCUGAAAAAAACUUCUCGAUUGGCAUUUUAAAUGAACAAGAAGCCUGGAGAUUGUUCAAGAUAAUGGCUGGUGAUUAUGUUGAAAACCGUGAGUUAAAACCUAUAGCAACAAGGGUAGCCAAGGCAUGUGGAGGUUUGCCUAUUGCCCUUAACCACAGUAGCAAAGGCACUGAGAAACAAAGAGCUGCCUGUGUGGAAGAAUGCGUUGCAAGAACUCCAAACGCCUUCAGAGGCAAGCUUCGACGGAGGAGUACCAGCAGAGGCAUACUCAACAAUUGAGCUGAGUUACAAGUACUUAAGAGGUGAGCAACUCAAGAAAACGUUUUUACUGUGUAGUCUUAUUACGCCAGCACCAAUUAUGGAUUUGUUCAAAUACAGCAUGGGCUUGGGUGUAUUUAAAAGUGUCCAUAAACUAAGAGACUCUUGUUUGUUGCUUGAGGAUGGUGGCAGUAAAUACAUUUCUAUGCACGAUGUUGUUCGCGAUGUUGCCAUUUCAAUUGCAUGUCGUGACAAAAUUGGAUUUGUGGUGAGAAAUGAGGAUGUGUGGAACUGGCCAGAUGCAGAUGCACUAAAAAAAUAUCUUGCAAUUUCUUUUAAAGAUAGUAUUGUUAAUGACAUUCCUGAAGGGUCCGAAUCUCUACAACUUCAACUUCUAGUCAUGUCUCCCAAGAACUCUUUUUCUGUGCCUAAUAUUCCUAAGAACUUCUUCAAAAGGACGAAAAAGCUUCGGGUUUUGGAUUUGACUAGAAUGCGGUUAUUGUCAUUGCCAUCUUCAAUUGGUCUUCUAGUAAAUCUUCAGACACUCUGUCUUAAUCAAAGCAUUUUGGGAGGCAUAGACAUAGCCAUUAUUGGAAAGUUGGAAAAUCUAGAAAUCCUCAGCUUUUUGCAAUCUGAUAUUGUAGAGUUGCCUAAAGCACUGGGUCAACUGACUAACCUAAGGCUGUUAGAUUUCACAGACUGUUUCCGUCUGAAAGUUAUUGCCCCAAAUGUCAUAUCAAGCUUAACCCGAUUAGAAGAAUUGUAUAUGGGUAAUUGCUCCAUUGAAUGGGAGGUUGAAAGAGCCAACAGCAAAAGAAGUAAUGCUAGCCUUGAUGAAUUGAUGCAUUUACCUCGGCUAACCACUCUAGAAAUUGACGUUAAAAAUGACAGUAUGUUACCAGAACGUUUUUUGGCCAGAAAGCUUGAAAGGUUCAAAAUACAUAUUGGAAAUGAGUCAUUCACGCAUCCCAUGAGAGUCAGACAAGCUUGGUUUAAAAGUCGGCGACACUUUUAUAUCGACAGUGAUUGCAAGAGUUUAAGAGCAUUGAAGCUCAAGCUUGCUUUUACGGACAUUUGCUCCAUGAAAUUGCAGGGCGUCAAUAGCGUUGAAUACUUAUUGUUGGACAAGCUGCGAGGUAUCAAGAACGUUCUUUUCAAUUUGGACACGGAGGGCUUUUCACAAUUGAAGGUUCUCUGGGUUCAAAAUAAUCCUGACUUCUUUUGCAUCGUCGAUUCAAGGGCGAUGGUCGCUUGUGAUGCCUUUCCUCUUUUGGAGUCACUUGGCCUUCACAAUUUGAUCAACAUGGAGAGGAUAUGUAUUGAUCGGCUCAAAGUAGAGUCCUUCAACGAACUCAAAAAUAUAGAAGUAUAUAAUUGUGAUAAGUUGAGUAAUAUCUUUUGGCUCUCUACUAAAAAAUGCCUUCCAAGACUUGAGAGAAUUGCAGUUGUUAAUUGCAGCAAGAUGAAAGAGAUUUUUGCAAUUGGGGAAGAAGUUGAUAAUGCAAUUGAGAAGAUAGAGUUUGCUCAAUUAAGAUCUUUGAGUCUGGGGAAUCUUCCAGAGGUUACAAGUUUUUGCCGGGAAGUAAAGACUCCUUCAGCAUCACCAAACAGACCAGCGUCGCAAGAGGAAUCGACGACUAUGUAUAGCUCCAGCGAAAUCACUUUGGAUAUUUCAACUCUGCUUUUCAACGAGAAGGUGCGUAGUGUUGCGGACCGCCCAAUUCGCUAGCCCAAUUGCCCACAAUUUCGGGCUAGAGAGCCAACACAAGGCCAAGAGUGCUAGCUUGGCCCAAUUCCGGAAGGUUCUAGGCAACUCUAGCACAUGUGAACAUGUAAAUAUUCUAGAAUACUUUAUACAAUUCCAGCACAUGUAAAUAGCUAGGAAAUUGUAUAAUACUCUAGAGUUUGACCAAGUUUGGCAAAGUUAGGCAAAGUUAGGCAAAGUUAGGCAAAGCCUCCCCUAUAACUAUGGGAUGGCAUUAGGCAUUUGUAUCCAACAAGCAUUGUAAUCUCUCUUUGUGCAAUACAAGUUUCUUUGGCUCAAUUGCUCUCUUCUCUUGUUCGAGAAUCUCUAGGCUUACUUAGCAACAUUCGGCAAAGUUGUCUAAGUGCCGCACGGGUUAGCUGCGCAAAACACUCAUCCCGUGACAAGUGGUAUCAGAGCUAAGGUUUGCACGCACGCAAAUUAGCUCACGAAGCAAUGGCCAACCCUUCGAACGUAGCACAAGAGGGUGUUGUUGGUGUGGAUGUUCCACCGGAACCAAGCCGUGGCCGAGAGGGAGAACGCGCCCAAGGCAAGACUCGCGGCAAGUCCAAGGCCCUAUCCGUGGAUGCGUUGGAGCCUCGUGUAGGCACUCUCGAAAUAGCAUUGUCCGCCGCUCAAGAUAGCCUCGUGGGAUUGGAGGAAAGAGUGGAUGGUCUCGAGGGAGAAUACGCCAAGUUCACGGUGGCCACAAAAGCUCUCAUCCAUGAGCAAGCGAACAUUCUCCGAGGUGAGUUUCGUUCUUUCCAUGAUGAGUUGCUCAAACUUCGUAGUUUUGUUCAGGACGAACUACGUGCUGUCCGUGCGGAAGUGGAUGAAGUCCGCUCGGAUUGGGCAUGGCACAAGCGCACACUCUCCACAAGUCCAGCUUCCGCAAACUCGAGUGAUGCGCGCCGCAUUGACGUGCCAAAGCCCGACACCUACGAUGGCACACGCAAUGCCACCAUCGUGGACAAUUUCCUCUUUGGGCUGGAUCAAUACUUCGAUGCCAUGGGUGUCCGAGAUGAGGCAUCGAAAGUGGGCACUGCACCCACCUAUCUUAGAGGCGCUGCACAACUAUGGUGGCGUCGCAAGCAUGGCGAGAUGGGCAAGGGCAUUUGCGCCAUCAACACUUGGGCCGACUUCAAGCAAGAACUCCGAAAGCAGUUCGCCCCAAGCAAUGCGGAGAAGGAAGCGCGAGUGCGCUUACGUCGCCUCAAGCAAUCGGGUAGCAUUCGGGACUACAUCAACGAGUUCACUACCCUCAUGUUGGAGAUAAGCGACAUGUCCAACAAGGAUUCACUCUUCUACUUCCAAGAUGGCCUCAAGGAUUGGGCCAAGACCGAGCUUGAUAGGCGUGGUAUUCAAACACUUGACGACGCCAUUGCCGUUGCGGAGUCGCUCACCGAAUACUCUACCCAAUCCAAGGACAAAAAGGCCAACCAAGGCAAAGGUGGGGGAGAGAGUCGCAAGGACAAGGGCAACAACCGCAAAGAUUGGGGGCAGAAAAAGCCGCCUAGCAACAAGAGUUGGCAAGGAAAAUUGGAGGGCAAGAAGGAGGCGCCAAAGCCGCGAAGCCCAUGCUUCAUAUGCAAUGGUCCUCAUUGGGUACGCGACUGUCCGGAGAAGAGGUUGCUUAAUGCUCUUGCUGCCCAACUCAAGAGCAACCCCACAAUGUCCACGGAGGAACCCCAACUCAGCAUGGGUUCUCUCCAACGCCUCGGCGCCCUCAAUCGCCAACAGCCCGCACUCGUCAAGAAAGGGCUCAUGUAUGUAAGCGCAAAGGUAAACGGUCAGUCCGUUCGCGCGCUGCUAGACACGGGAGCAACACACAAUUUCGUGUCCGUAGACGAGGCCAAGCGCUUAGGCCUCAAGGCCACCAAGGAAGGAGGCACAAUGAAGGCUGUGAACUCACCCGCCAAGCCAAUUGCGGGAAUCGCACAAGGCGUGCACAUCACACUUGGUACGUGGAGCGGAAAGCUUGACUUCUCCAUCGUGCCCAUGGACGACUUCAAGAUGGUCCUCGGCAUGGAAUUCUUCGACCAAGUCCAUGCCUUCCCACUGCCCGCUACAAACUCCCUAAGCAUCCUCGACGGGAGUAAAGCAUGCAUGGUACCCACGGAGCGAGGCAAGUCCGAGGAGAAGACACUCUCCGCCAUGCAAUUCAAAAGGGCUUUCAAGAAGGACCCAAGCUUCUUGGUCUCCAUUCGGGAACUAAAUGAGGAAGGAAAUAGCGGAACGUCGCCAAGCCAAGUCCCUCCACAAAUUCAAGCCGUCCUCGAAGAUUACAAGGAUGUGAUGCCUCCAGAACUUCCAAAGAAGCUCCCACCUCCGCGAGAGGUAGAUCAUGCGAUUGAGCUAGAACAAGGCGCGAAGCCACCAGCCUUGGCACCCUACCGCAUGGCGCCACCCGAAUUAGAGGAGUUGCGGAGACAACUCAAAGACUUGCUGGAUGCCGGCUACAUUCGCCCCUCAAAGGCCCCAUUCGGUGCACCGGUCCUCUUCCAAAAGAAAAAUGAUGGAUCGCUGCGGAUGUGCAUCAACUAUAGAGCGCUCAACAAGAUCACCAUCAAGAACAAGUAUCCGAUUCCAUUGAUUGCGGACUUGUUCGACCAGCUUGGCAAAGCGCGGUACUUCACCAAACUUGACUUGCGCUCCGGGUACUACCAAGUGCGCAUCGCCAAGGGAGACGAACCGAAGACAGCGUGCACAACAAGGUACGGGUCUUUCGAAUUCCUUGUGAUGCCUUUUGGCCUUACUAAUGCACCCGCCACAUUUUGCACACUCAUGAACAAGGUACUCCAACCAUUCCUCGACCGCUUCGUGGUCGUGUACUUGGACGACAUUGUGGUGUAUAGCACCACACUCGAGGAUCAUGCCCAACACUUGCAACAAGUCCUCCAAGUACUUCGAGACAAUGAGCUCUUCCUCAAACUAGAGAAGUGCUCGUUUGCCCAACAAGAGGUGGAGUUCCUUGGCCACAAGAUUGCGGGCGGGAAGAUCAUGAUGGAAAAUGACAAAGUAAAGGCCAUCCUCGAUUGGGAGCCUCCCUCGAAAGUACCCGAGCUUCGCUCAUUCCUUGGGCUGGUGAAUUACUACCGCCGCUUCAUUAAGGGCUAUUCAGCCAAGGCGGCACCCUUGACGGAUAUGCUCAAGAAAAACAGAACGUGGCAUUGGUCCGAAGAGUGCUAACGUGCAUUCGAGGAGUUGAAGGCAAUUUCGGAGGAACCAGUCCUCGCUCUUCCGGACCACACCAAGCCCUUCGAAGUUCAAACGGAUGCCUCGGAUUUCGCCAUAGGUGGAGUCCUUAUGCAAGAAGGCCACCCAAUAGCGUUCGAGAGUCGAAAGCUAAAUGACACGGAACGCCGCUACACGGUGCAAGAAAAGGAGAUGACAGCCAUCAUCCAUUGUCUAAGAGUGUGGCGACAUUACUUGCUUGGCUCACACUUCACGAUCAUGACGGACAACGUGGCGACAAGCUACUUUCAAACUCAAAAGAAGUUGAGUCCGAAGCAAGCACGGUGGCAAGAUUUCCUUGCGGAAUUCGACUAUCGGCUAGAGUACAAACCGGGGAAAGCCAAUGUUGUUGCGGACGCUCUAAGCCGCAAGGCGGAAUUGGCAACACUUAGCAUGAGCCAACCGAAGUCCGACCUUGUCUCACGCAUCAAGGAAGGCCUCCAACAAGAUCCGCUAGCAAAGGAUUUGCUGGAGAAGGUGCUCGAGGGAAAGACAAGGCGGUUUUGGCAAGAGGAAGGCAUCCUCCUCACCAAGGGAGAUCGGCUGUUCGUGCCAAGGUGGGGAAACUUGCGGAAGGAAGUAAUCAAGGAGUGCCACGACUCUAAGUGGGCUGGUCACCCAGGAAUCGAGCGCACCACCGCACUAGUUCAAGCCUCGUAUUUUUGGCCGCACAUGAGGGACGACAUUGAGGCAUAUGUGCGAACUUGUCUUGUGUGCCAACAAGACAAAGUGGAUCAUCAACUUCCAGCGGGAUUGUUGGAGCCGCUACCACUAGCAACAAGGCCAUGGGAAAGUGUCUCCAUGGACUUCAUCACAUCGCUGCCCAAGUCCGAAGGUUGCGGAAGUAUCAUGGUCAUUGUCGACCGAUACAGCAAGUACGCCACAUUCAUUGCUGCACCAGUCGAUUGCAAAGCGGACGAGGCAGCCCGCCUAUUUGUCAAGCACAUUGUGAAGCUUUGGGGAGUACCGAAGAGCAUUGUGAGCGACCGAGACCCUCGGUUCACUGGACGCUUUUGGACGGAACUCUUCAAAAUGUUGGGGACCGAUCUCAAGUUCUCGACAAGCUUCCACCCACAAACGGAUGGGCAGACCGAGCGCAUUAAUGGCCUCCUCGAGAUGUACCUGAGGCAUUAUGUGAGCGCUCACCAGCGGGAUUGGGCGAAGCUACUCGACAUCGCCCAAUUUUCUUAUAACUUGCAGCGAAGUGAGGCUACGGGCAAGAGUCCGUUCGAGAUCAUCAUGGGAUUCCAGCCCAUGACCCCCAAUGCCAUAGCCUCGACUUACGGAGGGAAAAGCCCCGCGGUACACAAGCUCGCCCGCGAACGGCAUGAGGAAGCGGACAUCACACGAGCCUACCUCGACAAAGCCGCGAGGAAGAUGAAGAAAUGGACGGAUACAAGGAGACGACAUGUUGAGUACAAGGAAGGUGAUCAAGUCAUGAUCAAGCUCCUACCCCAACAAUUCAAGACUUUGCGGAAAGUUCACAAGGGGUUAGUGAGGCGCUACGAGGGACCCUUCCGAGUUGUUCGACGUGUGGGCAACGUCUCGUAUCAACUCCAACUUCCGCCAAGACUCAAGAUCCAUCCGGUCUUCCAUGUGAGCCUUCUCAAGCCAUAUCACGAAGACAUGGGAGAACCAAGUCGCGGAGAAUCGAGGCGCGCGCCAACUGCCGUUGUCACCGCGUUCGACAAAGAUGUGGACUACAUCAUUGCGGACCGAACGGUUUCGAGGAGGGGCGUGCCAGCACAUAGCGAGUACUUGGUGAAGUGGAAAAACCUCCCCGAGAGCGAAGCCACUUAUCGCUGAGCACAUCCAGCACUUCAAGCACGAGACCGCGACGAGGACGCCACGAGCUUAGGUGGGGGAGGAUGUUGCGGACCGCCCAAUUCGCUAGCCCAAUUGCCCACAAUUUCGGGCUAGAGAGCCAACACAAGGCCAAGAGUGCUAGCUUGGCCCAAUUCCGGAAGGUUCUAGGCAACUCUAGCACAUGUGAACAUGUAAAUAUUCUAGAAUACUUUAUACAAUUCCAGCACAUGUAAAUAGCUAGGAAAUUGUAUAAUACUCUAGAGUUUGACCAAGUUUGGCAAAGUUAGGCAAAGCCUCCCCUAUAAAUAUGGGAUGGCAUUAGGCAUUUGUAUCCAACAAGCAUUGUAAUCUCUCUUUGUGCAAUACAAGUUUCUUUGGCUCAAUUGCUCUCUUCUCUUGUUCGAGAAUCUCUAGGCUUACUUAGCAACAUUCGGCAAAGUUGUCUAAGUGCCGCACGGGUUAGCUGCGCAAAACACUCAUCCCGUGACAGUAGGCUAACAUUUUCUUUAUUCUAUCAUGCGUUCUGUUUUGAUGUCAUACGUGGAAAAUAAUUAAAUCAUUUAAAGAAUUGAAAGAAAAUGAAAAAAAAAGGAUAAAAAGAAUCUCACGCGCUCACUAAUUGAGCUCUUAACAAGUAGUAUGAAUUAGAAUGCGUACUCAGCUGUCAGUUGGAAAUUGAUUCAGACUUGUAUUAAUUUGUAAUCAAAGAAGAAAAUUUCAACAAGUGCUUCCCAUAUGGAUAUUGGAUCUAACGAGAAAUUCUUAUUUUUUUAGGUUGCGUUGCCUAACUUGGAGGCUUUGGAGAUAUCUGCAAUUAAUGUCGACAAGAUUUGGCACUACAAUCAUCUUCCGGCGGCCGUGUUUCCUCACUUUCAAAGUUUAACACGAUUGAUUGUGUGGCGUUGUCACAAAUUAAAAUACAUAUUUUCAGCGUCUAUGAUCAGAAGCCUUAAGCAGCUCCAACACCUACGUAUACACUACUGUAAGAAUUUACAGGAGAUCAUUUCUGAAAACAGAACAGAUGAAGUGAUCCCUCAUUUUGUCUUUCCACAGCUCACCACUCUGAGACUCGAAGGUCUACCAAAACUUAGAUGUUUGUACCCUGGAAAGCAUACUUCGGAAUGGCCCGCACUAGAAAUUCUUGUAGUGUAUCGUUGUGACAAAUUAAAGAUAUUCGCUGCAGAUUUAUCGCAGAAUAAUGAGAAUGAUCAACUUGGCAUUCCUGCACAACGGCCCCCAUUGCCAUUGGAAAAGGUAUGAAGCCAAGUUCUAGAUUUUUUAUCAAUAGCUUAUUUUUAACUUCGAAAAAUAUGACAAAGCAUCGAUAAAUUAAUACUCAAUAAAUUGAAAACUUUUAUUAUACAAUAAUCUUUGCUAGUCUAGAUUAAGAGAUCAAUGUGGUAGAUUAAUAAUUAUAUGAACUUUUUUUGGUAUAGCAUUUGUAAAAGAAUCUUGAGUCUUUCCAUAUAGAAGAACUUACAAAAUAAAUUAGUAAUUUAUUAUUGUGCAAUAAAAUAAUUUCGAGUCAGUAUAAAUCAACCUUUUUUCCCUAAUUUCUUUUUUACCUCUAAAAUUAACAUAUAAAAAAUCAUUUAAUAAAUUUUAUCAAUAAUUCAAUUUUUUUUUUAAAAAUAUAAUAUAAAACAAAUACUAUAAAGUCACUGCGUGUCAUUGGAUUACUCAAAAUCAUUUGAGAGAUCAUCAAUUGACCUUAUCAGUUAUUAUGAUUGACGAUGAUCAGAUCUUACCCAACUUGAUGGAACUAUCACUAAGUGGAAAAGACGUGGAGAUGAUUUUGCAGGCCGAUUUCCCACAACACCUUUUUGGCAGUCUUAGAGAACUAGAGAUUGCUGCAGAUGACUCAGCUUGUUUUCCAAUCUGGAACGUACUGGAGAGAUUUCACAAUCUCGAAAUACUCACACUGUGUGAUUUUUCAUCCCACGAAGAGCUAUUUUCGAUGGAAGGAUGCUUAGAGAAACAUGUGGGGAAGUUGGCAAUGAUAAAAGAAUUAGAGCUGUACCGGCACUAUCAUCUGAAGCAGCUGUGCAAACAAGACUCCAAACUUGGCCCCAUUUUUCAGUAUCUUGAAAUUCUAAGAGUAUAUCAUUGUCAAAGUCUGUUAAUUCUAUUGCCAUCAUCAUCGGUAUCUUUUGGGAACCUAACAAAACUUGUAGCUUUCGGUUGCAAGGGAUUGAUACACUUGGUAACAUCCUGCACAGCAAAAACUCUAGUGCAACUCGUCACGGUGCGUAUACAAGGAUGCAGAGCAAUGACAGAGGUGGUAAUAAAUGACAAAGAAGGAGUUGAAAAAGAAGAGAUUGUUUUCAGCAAAUUGAAGGCGUUGAUUCUGUGUGAUUUAGAAAGUCUCACAAGUUUCUGCUCUGCCAAUUACACCUUCAGAUUCCCAUCUUUGGAAUAUCUGGAAGUGAUUGGUUGUCCCAAGAUGAAGAUUUUCACUACAGGAGAAUCAAUCACGCCUCCGAGAGUAGACGUCCAGUAUGGAGAGACAUCGAAUCAACGGCGUUGGGCUAAUAAUGAUCUAAACACAACCAUACAACAAUUACAUGCUGAGAAGGUACGGAUAUACAUAUUACUCUCUAUCUCCCAUGAUAAAUUUUUACAAAAUUUGCUUUUUCUUUUUAAAUAAAAUAUAGAUAAAAUGUUUGUUAUAAAGUAAAAGUUUAAAUUGAUGAAUAAGAAUUUUAUUUUCAGCUGUUGGCGGGGUCGUCGAUAUACUCUACGCAGUACGACUAAUUUCAUAGGCUUCUUAUGACUUGGAGUUGCGAAUUUUAUUUAAUUUAUUUAAUCCCAUGGCUUGUUUCGCAAUUUCAUCUUAAUUAUUUAGAAUAGGUCCCUCGGUUUACUGUUAAACUAGGAAAUAGAACCGCGCUUCGCGCGGCUUUAAAAAUAUCAAAUUAAAAAUAAAAAAUUUGAUGAAAUUCAAAUUUCUUAAGAUAACCUUCUGAUCUCUUCUCAAAAGGAAGAUUAAACAAGUUAAUUUUGUAUGUUUAUUUCAAUAAUAAUAACGAUCGCACAUAAUAAUAAUAAUAAUAAAAAUAAUAAUAAUAAUAAUAAUUGGCACCUGACGACGUUGAGGCUCAUGAGCAUUCCACAAAAUAUAAGUUUCAAUUGCAUCGAGCCCUCCAUCCUUUGCCUUCUGUAUAAGAUCUGGCCACAUCUGCACAAAUAUAACGCAUAUAGAAAUAAAUCAUAUCAAAUUUUACAUAUUUUAAGAAUAAUAAUGCUGUUGGAUCCAAAAAUAUUGCCCAUAAUUUUUCCUAAACAUGAAAGCGCACCGUUUUGAAUGUGGGAUCAUGUUUGGCUUGUUAGGAAAAAAAAUUAAGAUAAUAUUUUUGCAACAAAGUAGCUUUUUUUUUUUUGGUUAAAAGAAGAAGAAAAUGUGAAAGUGCAAGUGAUUUGAGAAAUUGUAAAUUAAUUAUUUGCAUACAGUACUUGUGGACUACUGCGAAAAUAUAAUGAAUUGCACCAGAGAAGAUAACUCGUCGUUCUCCAUUAAUUAUAAUGGUAGUUGCAUCAUAAUCGACUUGUGUUGCUGAUGAUGACAAGCAACUUAAAUUUAGAAUAAGAAGAAUUAUGCCUUAGUGGCAUUGUUGAGGGAAGAUGAAAGAACCUCUCUUCCUAUGUUAAUUAAUUAAUGUAUUUUAAGCCGCUAAAGUUUAAUUGCUAGUAUAAUAAAAUUUGAAGAAGCCAAAAGACACUAAAUAAAAGGUUGCAUAAUUAAAUAUGAGAUUAUGGCAUUAAAAUUAGGCCCUUAUGACAUUGUUGAAGGAAGAUGAAAGAGCCUCUCUUCAUAUGUUAAUUAAUUGAUGUAUUUUAAGCUACUAAAGUUUAAUUGCUAGCAUAAUAAAAUAAAUGAAUGUUUCAAAAGAUUUAUUAUUAAUUAUUAUUCAUGAUUAUAUAUUGUUGGAUUUCAAUAGAAAGAGGAAGAGACAUGAAAAUUAAACUUAGGCCCUAGCUGCAUUAUUGAGGGAAGAUGAAAGAACCCCUCUUCCUAUGUUAAUUAAUUGAUGUAUUUUAAGCAACUAAAGUUUAAUUGCUAGCAUAAUAAAAUAAAUGAAUAUUUCAAAAGACUUAUAAUUAAUUGUUAUUAAUGGUUACAUAUUGUUGGAUUUAAAUAGAAAGAGGAAGAAAUAAUGAUGCCACAAAUCUUAAAUAUUUAAUGUUUAUAGAGUUUGAAGAAGCCAAAAGGCACUAAACAAAAUAUUGAAUAAUUAAAUAUGGGAUCAUGACAUUAAAAUUGGGCUCUAAUGGCAUUGUUGACAUUAAAAUUGGACUUAUAAUUAAUUAUUAUUAAUGAUUACAUAUUGUUGAAUUUAAAUAGAAAGAGAAAAAAAGUACAAAGAAUAUUCACCAAUAUUUUAGAUAUUUUAGAUAAUAGAAAAUAUAAAAAGAUGAGGAAUGAUAUAUAUUAAUAAAGUUACUAUUUAUUAAAUGAGUUAAAUACAAUCAAAUUAAUUAUGAGAAGAUGAAAAGCUAAAUCUAAAAAAAAUUCUCUAUUUAUUAGAUAAUAGAGAAUAUACAAAGAAGCAAAAUGGUGAUGCCACAUCACCUCCUCAAGUCCUAGCUUUAUAUAGAUAUAUAGAUAUAUAGAUAGAUAGAUAUAGAUUUGCAAUGCAAUUUUAAUGAUCCCUUCAGACUUUUAUGGACAGAUUUUGCAUAAUUGAAUGUCUUUUUAGUCUAGUUUAAUUUGAGUCUUUUUCUUCUUCUUUUUUUUUUUUUUUUGGGAGCUCCCCUCGUCUUCUAAAAUUUUAUAACUCCUUGCAUACGUUUUUAUGAUAAAAUUUCAUUAAAAGCCUUCGUAUUUUAUAAUUCGUUGAAAACAUGCAUACUUUUUCCAUUCUUUCUUUGCCAAUUAUUUAUUCUCAUCAUUGCUGUUCUUUUAUUUUAGUUUGUGUUCUGUUUGUUCAUUGGGUUUGCUUUUCUUCACGCCUAUAUUUCCUUGGAAAGUUAGAAGGCAAGGAAAGUACUUAGAAAAUGUUCUUGUUCUUCCCUAUGAACACAUAAUUAAAGAACAGCUGAAUAUCAUUCAUCGGACUAAAAAAAUUUAAAAAAAAAAACGUAAUCAGUGCAUUGUUCCUAUAACAAAUGCUUAAACCAUCAAAUGUUAGCUAUGAACAAGUAUAUUGUGGAAAUAUUGUUUGAAAAUAUUUCAUAAAAAAUCAAGUUUUCACAAACCAAAAAGGGACUAAUUUGGUCUAGCAUAUUCAUAAUAUUUUCUCCACUGUUCCUGUUAAAAUUUCUCUACUCUAUGAUUGCAGAAUGUUUGGAUACUGAUGACGAUUUAAGUCACUCUUCUUCUGUGCGCAAUUUGAAAUAAGGUCGUUUUUCUUUUUUCCUCUAUUCAAAGUUUACAUUCUGAGGGGUUCCCGUUUCCAUCUUCGUGAUCUUCUUGUGAUUCACUGCAUCGUGUCGCUACAUCUGUGAUAGUGUGAGUUGCAACCUGUCUGUUUUCUUUGUUUGAUCAUUGUAUGUAUUAAAAAAGUUUACAUUUCAUUCUAGAUAAGCUCUUUGUAUGUAUUAAAAAAAUUUUAUUCUCAAUAUAUAUGACUCAAUGAGAGGUCUUUUAUUAUAUAUAUGUCAUGAAUUUCUAUUGUAUUUUGAGAUUUGAUGGUGUAUUAUUGUCUCAUUGCAAGGUCUUGUAAUCACUCUGAUUCUCAUUUGAGGAGGUUGGUCUCGUCUAUGUGUAUGUAUUUAUAUCCACAAGAAAUUUGAUAAAUGGUCUUGUCGUUUUCUCAUUAAAACAUCUAGUGCUUCAUGGGUUGGAGGGCUACUAGGCAUCAGGGCCAGAUCUUUAAACUCAAAGUUCUUCGUGUCAUUUACCCAUUUGAUUAUCAAAUAGUCAUAAAAGCAUAUAAAUUCAAGUUAGUGUAUCAUUUUUACACAAUAUACUAAAACUAACACAAGAACUUGGCCGACAUUUUCAGUUGAAUAACUCAGACCCCCGAACUUCCUCGGGCUGACAUCCCAAAGUGAAAAUGUCUAAAAAAAUAGUUGCAACAUUUACCCAUUUGAUUAUGAUUCAAAAAAAAACACAAACGGAGAAAUUAUUGGGAUUGUUAAGAUAGUUAAAAUGGUUAGUUAUUGUUUCAGUUUGUUAAGCAAGAUAGGUAGAGUUACUGACGUGUUAGCUGAGCUGGCAUAAGUUAUUCAACUCUCAGGUGCUUAGAAACCUUGUAUAAAUACAUUUGUAAUCAGCUAAAGAAUGGAUGAUUCAGAUUUAUUCAUCAAAUCCAGCUCUUAGAUGAUCUCUGUUCUUUCUUUCAUUUUCUCUCAUUUUCUUACUUAUCAAACAGAUUAGAAACUUUAACUUGGUAUCAGAGCCUGAAAGGUUUGGUAGUUGUUCUGUUUUAUCUUCAGUUUCAUUUUGUGAUCACAGAAACGUUAGGACUUGCUUGCAUGAACGCACAUUAAACCACGGAAAUUUUGUCAGACAUGCACGCAAAUGAAAUUUUAUCAGCAGUCUUGUAAUUUUCUAUUUUUGUUGUUGUCGUCAUUUUUUUACUACUAGUACUGUUUGAAAUUCUAGUAUUUUGGAUGUGAAAUUUAUUAUAUUAUGAUAGGUCCCAGUCAGAAUUAGCGGAAACAACAAGUAAAUAAUUUGUUCUUCUUAGGGUAAGAACUACCGCAAUUGCUAAUUGAAUUAGAUAAAAGUCUGAUAUCUUUUUAUUGAAUUAUUCGAGUCUAUUUAUAGAACAAAAUUAAUGAAAUAAAGUAGUUAAAAUCAAUUAAACCACUUAGCUAUAAUUUCGAAGUAAAUAAUAAUCUUAAAGGAAUCAUGAUUAAAUCUGAAUUCUUCAUCAAUACGGCUUGACUUAGUAAGCUUUCCGUUGAUUUUGUGAAGAGUCCUUGAAGGAACGUGAUGCCCACCUCAUGCAUGGCUUGCAUGUUACUUGCAUGUGCCCAUACAUUUUCGUUAUUGGCUUGCAUGGUUGCUUGCAUGUGCCCAUGCAUAUUCGUCAUAUUUGUUGUUGGGUUUUGCUUCUCACUUGGACUUGCGUAUACUCUUAUCAUAUUAGAUAUUCGACAUAUAUAUGAUGCUGAAUACAGGGUAUGUGUUGUCUAAAUUUAUUUUAUUUUGUUUGCUUCACAUCCAAUUUUCAAAAGCUUUGAAGAAUGCUAAGAGAAGGAGCAAAGGGCUAAAGAGUCAAAUGUAACAUUGCUAUUAAUUUGUUAAUUGCCAUCAUUUUUAAUUUUUGCCCUGCUUGUUCUGUUUACUCAUUUAUUUCACUUGGUUUUGCUCCACGUCUAUCUUUCCUAACUUAGGAAGGCAAGGAUUUUGAAAGUUCUGAAGAAGAUUCAGGUCACUCGUGUGAAUAAGAGCUGUGUUACUGUUUAAAAGUUUUCAUGCUCUGGAAUAAAAUUUGCUUUACUGUGUUACUGGUCAACUUCAUUAUUCUACUAAUGCUUUACUUCAUCUUCAUUGUAUCACUACAUUGACAGCGUUGACAGUGUAAGAGUCGUUUUCACGAUUUUUAAGAAAUUUUGAUCACAUUAAACUUUUGAUCUGAGUUCAUAACAAAAAUCAAAACGGCGCAUGACAUCAAGAUUAUGAUGAAUCAAAUUGAACUCCCAAUACGUUAGUUCAUAAAAAAUGCUUUUCUUCUUCCAAGUAAUCUUAUCAUUUCUUUCAUUUUAUUCAUUCUCCUCUUUUCUCCUCUUUUCAAGUCUUCAAUCUUAUACUCAGUAAGUACAUUACUGAACUGCUUUUUCACCUCAGCUCCAGACAACCGAGAAGGUGCUUGUCCGGUUGUCCCCACUCUCUAGUUUUAUCAGAUGGCACUAUAUUUUCGGAACCUAUGAUUUGUUGGUAAAAAUCGACGGUGACCCACGUGACAAUUUUCUACUAUGUAUCAACCAAUUAGAUCUAGUGUUUUGUUGGCAAACAAGAAAUGCUUAUUUACCUUUAAUACUCCACCCAAACAAGUUGGCAUAUGCUAGAAAGUCGGAGAUAGUCCAUAACAAUGCUGCGUGUGACUUGAACAUUUGAUUAUGUGAUGCAUUAUGCAUCAUUCCAACCAUACUAGCAUCACUACCCGAGUCAUGACUAACCUGUUUCUUAGUUAGAUUUCAAAGAUGAAGAUGGCUCACCCUCCAAUAUCCAGUUUUAAUACUUUAACCAAUAGCCAUUUAUAAUGAUAUGGUCUCUUGCCACUUUCCUUAUAAGGAAAUAUCGAUAUUACGACACUUCUUAGAAGGACAAUAAAUUCUUUUAUCACCAACAACAUUCUCAAAUGCAAAAUCUAUAAAUUUUUUGACCCAUCAGUAUAUGAAUUGGAUAUCUAUUUGGCAAACCAACCCAACUCUGGUCCAUGACUAUGUCCUUUUAAUGCACUAGAAAAAUUAGUUAAAUAAAUCACUUUAAUUCUUCAUUUCUACUACUAAACAAGAUAUUUUCAUGUGUGCGCAGUUUCGCAAUAUAAUAAAAAAAAUUAUUAUACAAUUUUAUGGUUAAUCUCAUUAGAACGUUUAUAUAUAUGGAAGCAAGCAAAGCCACAAGAAUCAGAGAAAAAGAUGUGAAAAUUAAAGUAUAUAUACAACAAUAAUUAAUCUAAAAAACAGUUUGCAAUACCUUCUGUAAAGAAAUAUCCUCACCCACUGCUGAGAACUUCACUUGGCUAUCAAUUACAGAUAUAUAAAGCCUGUUACCUAGAAACAAAAAAUUAGGUCAGCCAGCUAAAACAUAUUUAUAAACCAACAUUGGAGAUAGUACUCCAUUUAUAAACAAAAUUACAAGACUCAAAACCAAGUCGACUCAGCAAAAUCAUAACCGAUUACAUUCAUCCCACUCAGCUCCUCCACUCCCAUCAAUAUAUCCAACAUUCCCUUCAUAUUUACAAAAGGUAAGUGGUCCUAUAUAUCCCACUCAAGAAUGCAUAAGUUUCUUCAAUCUUAAGUAUCUAAAGUUUUCCUCUACGUUUAUAGAAACUUCGGAAGCAUCUCCCUAUAGUUCUUCAAGUACACGACAUAGAUAUAUGAAUGUUUAUGUGUUAUGCCAAAACAACACAUGACACCCAUUUGUCUAGUAUGCACCCAGAGAACAUGAGGAGCAGCUGCUGAAAAACCCAUUUUUACGUGGGAAAAAAAUUUCAGGCACUAGCUGCCAUAGAAAUCUAUGCAUUACCAAACUGUCCAAGCCUAGAUAUUUCAAGAAUUAUUAAUAGACAUAAGAUCCUCACUAUCAUCCAAAAGAUGACACUAAUAAAACAUGUGUCUAUUAAUAAUUUCUUAAAGGAGUUUAAGCUUUCAAUGCAUGUAUCAAAAGUUUAAAAUUGAAUCUGAAACUUGAAUAACACAUAAAAAUCAUAAAUCUCUUCAAUUUAUUCCUAAUAAAAUGUAGCAUUUUUUCACAUUUCAUUUCUUAAGCAAAACCAUAAAAAAUUACAAACAAUAAAUACAUUUUCUAGCACUGAUGCACAUUAUGUUUACUGAGCAAUAAGUUUUAAGUCAUUCAUAUUAAAAUACUUCUUCCUAUUCUAUCAACAAAUAACUAGUACGUACACACAAUUAAUAAAUUAAAUGUAACCUGGUUGUGAAUCUUGCAAAGUCUUCCUAUUUUUUUUUUUUUUUUUUGGUGGGGGGGGGGGGGGAGGGGGGAGGGGGUGGUUAUGCUCAUUUGUGUGUUGUUAACAGAAAUUGAUCCAAAGCCUCAGUUUUAAUUAGCUUCAUUAUAGCCAAUGAUUAGGUGUUUAAAAACCAAUGAAUAUUUUUUAUAAGAAAUCAACAAUAUUGUUGAAAGAAAAACCAAAUAAAAAUAAUAAAGCAAUGCAUAGAUUAAGGCUCUUUAUUAUCUAAUAACUAAUCAAACUAAGUUGUGGGUAAAGGAGAAUAUGUUUGUUUGGCCAAUAAUAAACUCAAGGAAUCACCAAUAAUCACCUAGUUACUAUUCCUUAUGCCAUGCAAUGUAAUGGCGUCGGUAAUGGCGACAAGGCAGGCAAUAACUAGCUAGCUAGUUAUGAUAGUUGCUUAACUUAACCUACUGGAAAUCUGAAGACCAAAAUGAAGAAACUUUGCCUAGAACUAGAAUAGGAAAACAUUCAUACCCAAAACCAAUAUACAUGAUUAAGAAACUUGAUUAUAUGUAUAUUUUUGUUUGCCACACCAAAUCCCACUAUUUCCAUACUCAUAAGCACAAAAAACCAUCGCAAAAAUGAAUGACCAUAUAAAAUAAAAUAGGUCGCAGGACAUUGAGAAUAGGACAAUAUGAUUUAUGUACUGUAAAAUAACUAUAUCUGCAGUCAACUAUAUUUCUGUUAGAACUCUAAAGUUUUCCAUUAAAUUUUUUUCCCUGUUAGGUAAACCACUUAACUGAAACACUUAAGCAAGAUUGACAAUCAUAGACAUAAAAGUAUUAAUAGGCUCAUUCAAGUGAAAUGAGCAUUAUUUCACAUAUCCUUUAGGCUUUUAAGUCAUUUAGAAGUCAUUCAUGUUAAACAAUUUCUUCAUAUACUUUCAAUAUAAUUAGUACAUACACAAUUAAUUAAUUAAAUAAAUCUGUUUCAGCUAGCACAGGAACUUAAGCAAUCAGAGCUAUUAGUUAUAGCUAGGACUUGAAUGAGGCACCUUUCAAAGUUCAAGAGGAGCAUCUGAACAGAAUGAAAGCAGUUUGUAGAAAUGGUAGUGAUGCUUUACAUCUACAUGCUCUUACACAAUAUGAACUUUCAUUUAUUCAAGAACAUAACACUAAUCCAAGCUCUUACUCUACAAGUCAAUUCAGUUUGUAGAUGCAAGCCAUUGUAAAAACUUUUGUGUUAUAAUUUCCGUAAAUGGAACAUGACAUUACUAAUAUAGAAUCAGCAAUGUUAUAUAACUUAUCAGACAAUAUAACAAGCACUUGGCGAGCAUAUAAGAUAAACUAAAACAAGUUAAUUAGAAAAUGAAACUAAAACCCAAGCUCCGCUAUUCAUUGUAGAAGCUUUAAACAUAAAAUUAAACUAAAUCUAAUGCCAAAACAUUAGAAUGGAUGUUGGAAUUAAAGCUAAAUUCAAUAGUAAUCCAAAUGAAUCCAUUUGAACUUUGUAAACUCCGCAGAACAAAAUUAAUUUGAGUGAGCAAACUCACCAAUGGCACAAGAACAGAAGGGCUUCAACUUCUAGGAACAAAAAACAUUGCCGGUGGGACAAAAAUUGACAUUAAUGGCUACAAUACGAAUUAAAGAGAUCAAAACCUAUAAUUACAAGCUAAGAAAGAGAGGAAACUCAUAAUCACAAGCUUACCUGAAACGAAGAGAGAGAAUAAGAUGAAGAAGAAGAUCGCUGCCGUUUUACGCCAUUCUCCGGCUACCAGUAAGGUUUAGGAUGCUGGCCAGGCACGAGAGAGAAUUUGGGACUUUGGUCUUCAAAAUAUUGACUCCAGCAAAUAGUUUUCUAUUUAGAAACAAAUUUAUAACUCUACCGUCACUCUCUACCGUCACGUGGUUAGUAACAUAAGUGAGAGCAGUCUAGCCGUCACAUAAACGGUCACAAAAGCAACUGGCUGUUACAAGUUUAGGAAUGGCAGAUAUUGCCGCGGGGACAUGACCCUCGAGAUUUUCCCAAUUCAGGUGGGUACAUAAUUUUUUACUUAAUUUUUUAUUUGAAAAGGAGACGGAGAUAGUUUUUUUACCUAAUUUCUUAUUCAGAGAAAGAAUGGGGGAUCGGCAGAAUCCCUAUUCUCUUCUAAUUUUUUGAUUUAAUUUUAUUUUUUAAAAUUAUUUGUAAAUAAAUAAUAAAAUAUAAAUAAUAAAAUAUUAAAUAUUAGUAUAAAUAAAAAAAUAAAAUAAUUAUAUUAUUAAAAUUUAGGCCUAAUUGACUACAUUAAUAUUUGGAUGAGAAAGUUAUGCUUAGGAUGAAAGAUUUUAAUAUUUUGAGUUGGUGUAAAAUAAAUGUCUAUAGAUAUCCUAUACUGGCAUGAAUUGCUAGAGAUAUUUUGGCAAUUCUAAUUACAAAUGUUGCUUCUGAAUUAGCUUUUAGCACCAGUGGUAGAGUACCGUAACACGCUUUAUUCAAGCACAUUGGAGGCUUUAAUAUGUUGUCAAAGUUGACUACAAGCUUACAAUGACAGUAUGAGUUUAUUUUACAUUGUAAUUAUAUUAUAUAAUUAUUAAUAUUUUCACUUAGAAUUUACAUUACUUAUAUUAUUUUUGUUGUUUUAAAUUUGAAAUCUGAGGCUAUCUCUCAAUUUGUCACAUUCCUCGAGGAAGAACAAGAAGAGUAGGAGACACAAGAGGUAAAUACUUUUAUUAGAAAUAUUGAUUAAGUAUCUAUAUUCAUUUCAUUUAUCUCAUUGUUGAUAUAAAAGUAAUUUCUUUUUUUUUAUUAUAUGAUUUUGAAGAUUGCCGAAGAUAAUUAUUAUGGUGAUUUAUACUUUGUAAUGUGACUUUUGUAAUAGAUUAAUGUUAAUGUAAGAUAUAUCGUCAAACUUUAUUUUUAUUUUUAUUUUUUAUUUUAAUAUGAUUAAAUUAAAAUUUAAAACUAAAAACGUAUCAGUUAUUCGAGAAUCGAGGACCUUUAAGGAUCCCCUAUUAUUAUUUGGGGAGGGGAGGGGGAUUCCCUAAAGCAAUUUUGUGAAUGGGAAGAGGCCAGGGAUAUAUACAGAAUAUCGAGAAUGGGUACGGGGAGGUCGGUCUCUUCCCCUCCCCUUCCCAUUGCCAUUCCUAACAAAGUUGGCAAUACAUGUACGGGCCGCUUUUGUAAAAUUGCUUUAAGGGUCGUUUGGGAUUGCUUUUGGGAAUAGCAUGCAAGAUAUAUAUAAAAAAUAAAAUCGUAGAAUAACUUUUACCUCUAAUUCGAUUUUUUCUUCUUUUUUGUAAAUUAUUAUGCAUUUAUAUUAAAGUCACUGUGUAUGAUUGGAUUAUUAAAAGUUAUUUGAGAGAAUAUGAAUUGACUUAAUAAGUUAUUACGUGAUUGAUGAUGAUCAGAGCUUACCCAACUGGCAUUAAGUGGAAAAGACUCGAGGAUGACUUUGCAGAGCGAUUUCCCACAACACCUUUUUGGCAGUCUUAAACUACUACAAACAGUGGAUGAUGACUCAACUUGUUUUCCACUUGAUUUACUUGAGAGAUUUCAUAAUCUGGAAACUCUCAUACGGCGUCGUUGUUCAUGCGAAGAGGUAUUUUCGAAUGGAGGAUACUUGAAGAAACAUGUGAGGAAGUUUACAAUGAUAAAACAUUUAGAUCUGCACAAAUUUAAUCAUCUGAAGCAAUUGUGGAAACAAGACUCCAAAUUGGACUCGUUUGUUCAAUGCCUUGAAAUUCUAAAUGUACAUUAUUGUCAAAAUCUGUUAAUUCUUUUGUCUUUGCUGCUAAUUCUUUAAUUCUUUUCGGUUCUUAAGUUUCUCUGUGAUUUGUUCUGGAUUGAUUCUUUUUGCAUCUUGGUUGUUUGAUUUGCGAUCUUGGCGAGUAUUUGGAGUUGAUCAUUAUCGAAUCUGUCACUCCAAACUCUACAGCGACUCUUAUCAAUGUUGGUAUAUGGAUGCAGAGCAAUGAGAGAGGUGGUGAUAAAUGACGAAGAUGGAGCAGCAAAUUUUGAAGAAGAGAUUGUUUUCACCAAAUUGAAGAUUUUGUAUCUGUAUGAUUUGGAUAGUCUCACAAGUUUCUGCUCUGCCAAUUACACCUUCAAAUUCCCAUCUUUGGAAGAUUUAUCUAUAAUUGGUUGUCCCAAGAUGAAGAUUUUCACUAAAGGAGAAUUAAACGCGCCUCUCAGAGUAAACUUCUACUAUGGAGAGAGAGACGAUCAACAGCCUUGGGCUAAUAAUGAUCUUAACACAAUCAUACAGCAUUUACAUGCUGAGAAGGUACGAAUAACUCACUAUCACCAGUGGAAAAAUUUUAUAAAAUUUCUCUUUUAAAUAAAAUGCACCAAAUAGAUCAGAUAUUUGUUAUAAAGUAAGUUUAUGAUCACGUACUGGCAGAUGGGAUACAUAUGUGCUUCAUUCUUGAAACUCUACCCUAUUUAAAAUUGAUAUUUUCACAAGAGUUAGAGAAUCCUAUUCAUUCAAUUAUCCAAAAUCAGAGAAUCUUAUUCAUUCAAUUACAAAAUUUCGUUAAUCGUUAGUUUUUAACUUCAUUACUGUAUGGAAGUCCUGUCAAAUUAAAUUGCUGUUGUUAAAUUUAUUAAAUCUCUUGCUUCCCUGCAAAUCUCUGCGUGCUUUACUUUUAAUUGAAACUAAUGAAUGAAAAUUUUACUUUCAGCUGUUGGAGGGGUCCUCAUCUUAUUCAAUGAUGUAUAUGUCCUAAUGGCAUUGGCCUUUUACUUUAAUUACAAGCGAGUUGUGAAUUUGAAAAACAAAGUCCCAGGUAAUUCAAUUUCAUUUCAUUUUAUUUUAUUUCUUGGCUUGUUUUAUCGCUUCAUCUAAAUUGUUUGGAAUACACCACUAGUUUAUUUUUACUUUUAGAAUGAGUUUUAAUGUUUUGUUCUGAGAUUUAUAUGCUGAUUUUAUAUCAUUAAAGGUCUUAGUGACUUAGUUUGGUCUUCACUUAUUUAUUUAUUUAUUUUUUUGACGUCGUGGCUUUAUAAUGUGUUUUUUUUUUUAAUUUUGAAUUUUAUAAUUCCUUGAAAAUGUCAUUGAAAGGGCCAGCACUUUUAUGUGGAAACCAUCUCAUCCUCCUUAUUUCAAACUAUUAAACAACCAAAUGUAUCCUAACAUAUAUGUUUAGAAUCAAUCUACUCAUUAAGAUAUAUGGUAAUGGUGUCAUCUGUUUGCUAUAGUUUGAUUACAAGAGAACUUUUCCAUUUGUUAGUUGCCAUCUUUGUUGAUCUGUUAAUUCAGUCUUCUUCUGUUUGUCCUGUUUAUCUGUUUAUUUCAACCUUUCUUUCAAAACUUAGAAGGUAUGGAAAGAGCAAGUACUUAGAAAUUGCGAGAAUUAUAUCAAAUCAUGCAUAUAUGCCCCUGCCUAUGAACUCUUAGGAACAAUCGAAUAUCUUUCCUUGAAUAGCAUAAAACAAAAUCUACAGAUCAUUAAACCAUCAAAAGUUAGCUAUGAACAACUAUAUAAAAAUCAUUUGUUUCUCACCUUUUCGUGAGUCUGAGAAGUUGUAAAUUCUACUGAGUUUCUCACCUUUUUUUUUUUUUGGACAAUUGGAGUUUUUAGUUUAUGAAACUUAAUGCCUAUAUUUCUCACAUUGUAAAAGUGUUUUGAAAAGAUGGUUUAUAUUGCACCAUAAAAAUGUGGUCUGAUAAACCAACAGGGGAGUAGUUUGAUCCAGUUACGUGAAAUGCAUGCAAAAUAAUAUUUUCUCUAUAGUUACUGAAGAGAAUUUUGGUCACUUUGGUGUGCAUUAUCUGGAAUAAAGUCGUUUUCCAGUUUCUUCAAAGUUUAUGUGCGGAGGACUUCCGGUUUCCAUCUCAAGUUCAAAUACUAAUAAAGAUGAGUAAAUUCAUCAUCCGUGUGUCUGCUCUUUCUAUGCAUUUUGACAUUUUUUAUUAAUGCGUCUUUAACAGUAGUUUUUUUUCACAGAAAAAAUUGUCAGUAUUUUGUGUCAAAUAAAAAAUUAAAAAAUAUAUAUGUAUUUUGGGCGAAACUUUUUGCGAAAAAUAAUGAGUGCCAACACUUUAUAACUUAAUAUGUAUUUUGGGCUUGGCGAAGUUACGGUUCAUGUAACUAAUCAAUUUAAUCAUUACCGGAUAAAAUUGAAUACACCAGUAGUGUUUUUCCACGGAGAUAUUGCCAAAUUUUGUGUCAAAUAAAGAAUAAAAACCAUAAAUACCAGUAGUGUCCGAUUUUGAAAGCAAAGCAGCAUACAUAUUAACUACUAGGCUUUGAUGGUGGUUGCAGUAAAAAGGAUUAAAAGAGAGAGAGAGAGAGAACUUGAAAACUAUGGAAUGGAAGAUAAAUCAAAGUUAUAAAUUUGGACUCAAUAGUUUUGAUGUUCAAUCAAAUAUGGAGGGGCGAUUAGAAAUUAUCAAAAAUUUAGAGGGAUUUCAACCGUUCAAUUCAUUAUUAGGCGUUGUAGACUGCAGGGAUGCAGAAAUUUCCACAGGGACGAUGGCCCCGAGGGAUCUUCCUCAUUCGGGAGUUUGAUAAUUUUAGAUCUAAUUUUUCUAUGUGGAGACAAGACUGUGAUCAAUUAAUAUGUGUGGGUGUAAGUUACAUGAAAUAUAACUUAGUGUUUGCCCUAAUAUUUUAUUUGGCUCCACAUUUUUCUAUUUCUAUCUUUAGUUCUAUUUUUAAUUAAUUUAUUUCAAAUUUAUAGUAAAUACAUUUAAAAUUUCAAUUAUAAUAGUGUGAUGUAAAUAAAAAAUAUCACAAUACAUUUAUAAAAAUAAUAUAAAUAACAGCCAAUAUAAAGUAAAUAUAAACAUUUUAAAAUUGACAAAGAUAAUUUAAUUGAUGGUUUAUACUAUAUGACAUUUAUGGAUGAGUUCAACUUUGAAGAUUUACUUUUGCUUAAUUAGUUCAAAGAUUAUCUUCUAAUUUGAUGACAUUGACUUAAUUUGAUGGAAAUGAUUUUAAUCACUUUAGUUAAUUUGAUAUUUUUUGUGUUAAUAUGAUUUUAUAUUUUUACUUUAAGAUGAUUAAAUUAAGAAAAAAAAGAAAUUAAAUAAUCAGAGAUCGGAUAGCAUCGGAGAUCCCUUUGUAUUAUUUAGAAACAUCCAUCCCCUUCUUUCAAGUGAUUUUGAAGGAAAUGUCUAGAGUACAAAGAGAUAGACAGAGUAUUAAAGAUGAGUAUGGGGAAAUCAAUCCCCUCUCCUUCCCUUCUUAUUGACAUCUUUACAUGUGAGCCCAAGGGGAAAUGCACCAUGCCUGAUAAAAGUAAAAUUAAAAAUAAAAAUUUUCUUUUAUCAAAUCACUCUAUGUGGUGGAGAUUAUUGUAUAAUCAAGUACACAUGGCAUUUUUAAAAGCUUUUUCUUUAUUUAAAGCUCUAAAGGUUUGCCUAAGAGUCAAGGUUGGUGCCGUUCUUCUAGAAGAACAACCCGUAUCUUUUGAUAUUCAAAGUUUGAAUAUCAAGUUCAAACUUUAAAUUUUGAAAUAAUAAUAAUAAUAAAUAUAAAAAGUGCCAAAUUUUUAGCUAUAAAUAGAGGGGUUCACCCCCUCAUUUCACUCAUUCCAUUCUUUUCUUCUUUAGUUCUAUAAUGAGAGAGUAAGAGUUUUAUACUCUUGAGUGACUAGUGUUUAGAGAGAUUGGGUGUAUUAAGGUUUUGAUAAGUGAAACAAAAUACUAAAAUACUUAUAAUUCUCAUUUCACUAGUAAAGUUUUAUCCUUUUGUCCUUGCCUAUGGGCAUAAGUUAAAAGCCGAACCAAAUAAUUUAUGGUGUCCUCUGUGUGCUUGUUCUUCAUUUUCUUCCAAUUUCAUUUUAGUCGUGGCCCUACUUCACCAAUCAAUUUUCUAAUAGUGGUAUUAGAGCCGGGUUGUAUUUUUUGGGGUCGAGAUACUAUUUACAUAUAUUGUAUUGUUCAUGUAUAUGAUAUUGUUUCUGUAUACGACACUUUAUUCAUAUAUACAGUUACUGCUCAUGUGAAAUGGUAGGAAUCGAUCUUAGCAAAGGUAGCUCGUGGUGAAAAGUGAUGGCGGAAAAAUACAAAAUUGAGAAGUUCAACAGAAAUAAUUUUUCGUCAUGAAAAAUGAAGAUGAAGGUUGUAUUGAGGAAAAGUAAUUGCUUGGCAGCAAUUGAAGAGAGGCUCACAAAGAUAACUAAUGAUGGCAAGUGGAAUGAGAUAGACAAUAAUGCCAUUGCAUAUCUACACUUACCACUUUCAGAUAGGGUAUUUUUCAAUAUGGUAGAGUAAAAGAGAGUAAAGGAAAUAUGGUUUACUCUCACAAGACUAUACGAGGUCAAAUCACUACAAAAUAAAAUCUUCUUAAAGAUGAGGCUUUAUACUCUUCAAAUGGAGGAAUCUACAUCAGUGAUCGACCAUAUCAACACUUUAAAGACUUUAUUUUCAUAACUUACAACGUUGGGUCAUAAAAUAGAGGAAAAUAAACAUAUAGAGCUUUUACUUCAAGGUUUACCAGAUUCGUAUGAUCAAUUCGUCAUUAAUAUAACUAAUAACAAUCGAGCAAACAAGUUAGUCUUUGACAAUAUGGCAGCCUCCGUAUUAAAUGAGGAGAGUAGCAAAAAAUAAAAAAGAUAGACAGAAGAGUUCGCAACAAGUAGAAGCGCUAUUGGUGAUGAAAGGAAGAUCCAUGGAACGUGGCCCUAGUGAGAGCCACAGUCACGGUAGAUCAAAAUCUAGAAGUAAAAAGAAUGUCAAAUGCAACAACUGUUGCAAGAAAGGGCAUGUCAAGGAAGAGUUUUGGAACAACUAGAAGAGAAGAGAUGGUAAAGAUUCUGAGUCAUCAAAUGCUCAAGGGUAUGUAGUAAGUACCUCGUAUGAUGGCAAAAUUCUCUACAGUAAGGCAACAACUGCUUCAGAAGAUAGAAAACCACUAUAUGACAUCUGGCUUAUAGACUUAAUAGUUGCCUGGCACAUGAUCUCUCCAAGAGAAUGAUUUCACAAAUAUGAACCUAUUUCAAGAGAAUUUGUAUACAUAGGUGAUGAUUAUGCCUUUGAGAUUACUGAUAUUGGUACUGUCAAAAUAAAUAUGUUUAAUGGUAUGGUUCGCACAAUUGAGAAGGUAAGACAUGUCAAAGACUUGAAAAAUAUCUCUUGUCUUUAGGACAAAUAGAUAGUCUUACGCGCAAAACUCAUGUAGAAAAUGGGAUCAUAAAGAUAGUCAAAGGCGCACUUGCAUUAAUGAAGGUGGAAAAGAUCGGUGAUAAUUUAUUCAUGCUUAAAGGGAAACACUACAGAAAGCUUUUGUGUCAGUCACAUCAAAUAGAGAAAAUUCAGUGAUGAUGUGGCAUCUUAAACUUGGCCACAUGUCAAAACAAGGAAGCAACAUAGAUGAAAGUUUAGCAGAUCCACUUUCAAAAGUAAAUGUAUUUUAGACUUGAUUCAUUCUAAUGUUUGGGAAUCAAUUGAUAUAUCUAUGGGAGGUGCAAAGUACUUGGUGACUUUUAUUAAUGAUUAUUCUAGGAGAUAUUUGGUGUAUCCAAUCAAGAAAAGGUCAAAUGUAUUUCCAUUGUUCAAAGAAUUCAAAGCGUAGAUUGAACUUAAAUCAGGGCAAGGGAUCAAGUGCCUGAGGACAGACAAUGGUGGAGAGUAUACAAAUAGCAUGUUUCUUGCAUAUGUAAGCAAGAAAGUAUCUAGAGAUAGUUCACGGUGGCAUACACUCCUCAAUAAAAUAGAGUAGUAGAGUGAAAGGGCAUGACUCUUAUAAAAAAAAAAAGAGUUAUGUUGAGAAAUGCUGGUCUACCAACUCAUUCUAGGUGGAAGUAGCAAAAACUACUUAUUAUGUGGUAAGUGGGUCAUCAUUCAAUGCAACCGGGUUGAAAAUUCCAAUGGAAAAAAUAGACAGGAAAGCCAGUUGAUUACUCUCAUCUCAGGCAUUUUGAUGUCCUUUUACGUGAUAUACAAUACCCAAGUGAGAUUAAAGAUGGAUCCAAAAUCCAAGAGAUGUAUCUUCUUAGGAUAUAUUGAUGGAGUGAAAGGGUAUUAUCUGUGGGACCUCAAUGCCCAUAAGAUCGUUAUCAGUAGAGAUAUUAUCUUUGUAGAAGAUCAAAUGCAAAAGAGAGAUAUGGAUGAUAGCACUAUAAAAAUUCAGAGAUUGUGCUAAUAUAUGUUGAAAAUAAUCUGGAAAAUGAAGAUUUAGAUUUUUUUGAAGCAGCACCAAAGUAUGAGAACAAGAACCAAUCGAGUCUGAGGCCCCAAAAGUUUGUUGGUCAACUCGUGAUAGAUAAUUGUCAGUGUGGCAUUUGGAUUAUGUCACAGAUAUCAAUUUUGCAUACUGUCUUUUAAUAGAGAAUGGAAAGCCAUCAACUUUUCAUGAAACCUUAAACAGCUCAGAUGUUACUUUGUGAAUGAUAGCAAUGCAGGAAGAAAUUAAGGCUCUACACAAGAAUAUGACAUAGGAACUCGUACUACUACUAUAUGAAAAAAAAAAGACCCAUUGGUUGGAAAUGGGUCCAUAAGAUCAAACGUGAUGGUAAUAACCUAGUGGAGCGGUAUCAUGAAAGAUUGGUGAUGGAAGAAUAUCCUUAGAAAGAAUGUAUUAACUUCAAUGAGAUAUUUUCUCCAGUGAUUUGACUCAGGACAGUCAGAGUGGUCUUGUCGAUGUGUGCUACAUUUGACCUAUAUUUGGAGCAGUUAGAUGUGAAAAUUUCAUUUCUUUAUGGAGAACUUGAAGAAAAGAUUUCUAUGCUCUAACUAGAAGGUUUUACUAAAAAGGGACACUUGGUUUGCAAGUUAAACAAAUCUCUAUACGAUCUCAAACAUGCACCGAGAUGUUGAUAUAAGAGAUUUGAUCCAUUCAUCAUAAACCUUGGAUACAAUAGAAUCAGUUCAGACUGUUGUACAUAUUACAACAAGUUUGAUAAUAAUAAUUUCAUCAUUCUACUGUGGUAUGUUGAUGACAUAUUAGUAGCAGGCCCCAACAAAGAUCGAGUCCAAGAACUAAAGCACAGUUAACUAGGGAGUUUGAAAUAAAAGACUUAGAACCAGCAAACAAGAUUUUAGGGAUGCAAAUUCACCGAGAUAGUAAUAGCAAAAAGAUUUGGCUUUCUACCCCGCCUCCCAUUAAUUUCAAGUUAUUCUUAAGUAUUCAUCUAGUAAUGAAGUAGAGAAGAAGAGAUGUCUUGAGUACUGUAUGCAUCAGCAGUGGAAAAUUUAAGGUUCGCUAUGAUUUGUACAAGUAGUGGGAGAGGUUAGUCGAUACAUAGCGAAUCCUUGCAAAGAACAUUGGAAGACUAUUAAGAGGAUUCUGAGAUAUAUCAUAGGAACAUCAGAUGUUGCAUUAUGUUACGAAGGAUACUGUCAAGGGCCAUGUGCAUUCAGAUUUUGCAGAAAAUCUUAAUAAAAAAAAAUCCACUACUGGCUAAGUAUUUGCACCAGAAUGAGAAAUUGUUAGUUGGAUUUCAAAAUUGCAGACCAUUGUGGCUUUAUCAACAACAGAAGCAGAUUACAUAGCAGCUACACAAGCUUGGAUGAGCUAUUUAGAUACAAAGGUUACUGAAGGAGCUUGGGCAUAAAAUUUUUUAUGGCUUGUGAUAGUUAGAAUGCAAGGAAUCCAACCUUUUAUUUUAGGACAAAGAAUAUAGGAGUACAAUAUCACUUCUUCGUGAAGUAGUGAAAGAUAUAAGAGUGGAUACCAAGGAGAACUUAACAAAUGUUUUGCCCAAGCCUAUCAAUGCUGAUAAAUUUGUUUGGAGUAGAUCAUUUUACGGCCUAGUAGAGACAUAAACAACAUGACAGCGGCGAAGUAGAAAGGAUGGUGUGGAGAUUGAUUGAUUCUCAAUCAAAUUUCUAAGUGGGAGAAUAUCAAAGUCAAUGUCGCUUUUCUAGAAGAGCGACCAAUACCUUUUGAUAUUCAAAGUUUGAAUGUCAAGUUCAAACUUUGAAUUUAAUAUAUAUAUAUAUAUAUAUAUAUAUAUAUAUAUAUAUAUAUAUAUAUAUAUAUAUAUAAAUAGUGCCCAAAAUUUUAACUAUAAAUGAGGGGUUCACCCCUGCAUUUCAUUCUUUUCUUCUUCAAUUCUAGUGUGAGAGACUAAGAGUUUUAAUGCUCUUGAGUGAUUAGUGUUUUAAGAGAUUGAGUGGAUUGGGGUUCUGGGAAGUGAAACAAAAUAUUAUAAUACUAGUAAUCCUCAUUUCACCACUAAAGUUUUAUCUUUUGUCUUUACCCAUAGACGUAGGUUAAAAGUCGAACCACGUAAUUUUUAGUGUCCUCUGUGUGCUUGCUCUUCAUUUUCUUCCAAUUUUAUUUUAGCUAUGGACCUACUUCACCAGUAAAUUGAAGACGUUGGAACUGCGUGAUUUAGAUAGCCUCACAAGUUUCUGCUCUACCAAUUACACCUUCAAAUUCCCAUCUUUGCAAGAGUUAUGUGUGAUUGGUUGUCCCAAGAUGAAGAUUUUCACUACAGGAGAAUCAAUCACGCCGAGUAAACGUCUGCUAUGGAGAGACAGCGGAUCAACGGCGCUGGGCUAAUAAUGAUCUAAACACAACCAUACAACAAUUACAUGCUGAGAAGGUACGUAUAUACAUAUUACUCUCUAUCUCCCAUGAUAAAUUUUUACAAAAUUUGCUUUCUUAAAUACAAUAUAGAUAAGAUAUUUGAUGAAUAAGAAUUUUAUUUUAAGCUGUUGGCGGUGUCGUCGUCAUACUCUACGCAGUAGUACGACUAAUGUCAUAGGCUUCUUAUGACCUGGAGUUGCGAAUUUUUAGAAGAAAGUCUCAACUGGUAAUUAAUUUUUAUUUCAUUUAUUUAAUCCCAUGGCUUGUUUCGCAAUUUCAUCUGAAUUAUUUAGAAUGGGUCCCUCGGUUUACUGUUAAAUUUGCAAUGCAAUUUUAAUGAUCCUUUCAGACUUUUAUGGACAGAUUUUGCAAAAUUGAAUGUCUUUUAGUCUAGUUUAAUUUGAGUUUUUCUUUUUUUUUUUAGAGCUCCCCAUGUUUUCUAAAAUUUUAUAAUUCCUUGCAUACUUUUUAGGAUAAAAUUUCAUUAAAAGCCUUCAUAUUUUAUAAUUCCUUGAAAACUUGCAUACUUUUUCCUUUUUUUUUCUUGCCAAUUAUUUAUUGUCAUCAUUGCUGUUCUUUUAUUUUAGUUUGUGCUCUGUUUGUUCAUUGGGUUUGCUUUUCGGAAAGUUAGAAGGCAAGGAAAGUACUUAGAAAAUGUUCUUCCCUAUGAACACAUAAUUAACAGCUGAAUAUCAUUCAUUGGAUUAAAAAAAAUUAAAAUAAAAAAAAGUAAUAAGCCCAUUAUUCCUAGAACAAAUCCUUAAACCAUCAAACGUUAGCUAUGAACAAGUAUAUUGGUCUAUAGCAUAUUCAUAAUAUUUUCUCUGCUGUUCCUGUUAAAAUUUCUCUACUCAAUGAUCGCAGAAUAUCUGGAUACUGAUGAAGAUUUAAGUCACUCUUCUUCUAUGAAUAAGGUCGUUUUUCUUUUUUCUUCUAUUCAAAGUUUCCAUUCUGAGCAGUUCCCAUUUCCAUCUUCGUGAUCUUCUUGUGAUAGUGUGAGUUACAACCUGUCUGUUUCCUUUGUUUGAUCAUUGCAAGUUCAAAGACAUUUUAUUCUAGCUAAGCUCUUUGUAUGUAUUAUAACAUUUUUAUUCUCAAUAUAUAUAUGACUCAAUGAGAGGUCUUUUAUUAUAUUUAUGUCGUGAAUUUCUAUUGUAUUGUGACAUUUGAUGGUGUAUCAUUGUCUCAUUGCAAGGUCUUGUAAUCACUCUGAUUCUCAUUUGAGGAGGUUGGUCUCGUCUAUGUGUAUGUAUUUAUAUCCACAAGAAAUUUGAUAAAUGGUCUUGUCAUUUUCUCAUCAAAACAUCUAGUGCUUCAUAUGUUGGAGGGCUACCAGGCAUCAGGGCCAGUUUUUUAAACUCAAAGUUCUUCCUGUCAUUUUUUAACAAUAAUAAGGAAAGCCCAAGAGAAAAUCUAGAAGUCCUAAUAAGGACCGCUUCUGCAUAUAUUGUUCAUUUUCUUAAUUACCUUCAUUAUUAUUUUCGUUUUCAAUCGAUCAAACUUCAGUUUCUUAGCAUUAAUCUAAUUAUGUACUUCAUCUUGAAAUCCUUAAAUUACCCAUCAAAAUGUGAACGAUUAGUGUAUCAUUUUUGCACUAUAAGAAAUAGUUGUAUUACCGACCAGACAUUUCCACAAUAUACUAUUGAAAAUAAGUACUUUUUACAAAGGUAUUGUCAUUGAUGAGCCGUUGGAUAAAUAUGAAAAGUAUCAUACCUCGGUGAUAAAGAAAAUUCGUUUGUCGGAAAUGGAAUGUCGAGCCCAAAAUUACUCUAAACUUGGUAAAGUUAGAUUUUGGCCCAAUUUGUUUGAAAGUUUUAUACAUAAAGCACUUUUUUUUUUAUGUAAUUUGUGCAAUCUGAAGGGAGGUAUUGUAAAAUUAACAUAAAUAAAUGUAAUAUGCCAAUACCGUUUAAAACAAAAAAGAUAUCAUGAAAUUGAAAAAAAAUAAAUAAUAAUAAUAAUAACAACAUUAAAAGAAAAAGGAAAUUACGGAGAAGAAUAAUCGCUUCUUGAUCUCAACUCUCAAUUUGAAUACAAUCUCUGAAUCUCACUUCUCGAUCUGUCUCCAUUCUUCAUUCGCAUUUACUCGGUGGUAAUUAAUUCUUCACUCUCACUCGCCUUAUUUCCUGCAGAUUUCUUCAUUUUCCUUCACUGUUCGUUUUUAAGGUUCCAUUGUAUUUCCAUUGAGUUUGCAACUGUUCAAUUGCUCGAUCCACAUUAGUUUUAAGGUACGAUUGUUGGUUAUUUUCCUAAUCAAUAGACAACCCUAGAUACGAUCAUAGGAUUUAAUCAAUUGACAGUCUGAAAAAUCAGAGAGACCCAAAUCCUAAUCAACAAACGCAUACGAUGAUUCAUUUAAAUUAGAUUGUUUAUUCUCAUAACACAAUGCACUGCUAUGCUAUUUGUCACAAACAUUAAAAUCUUCAUACGAUAAAUCUUUUAAUUGACAAUAGAUUAAGUUGAUAAUUAAAUAGUAGCCAAUUAUCUAAUUAACAAACAUAAUCAUGACAAUAAUUCAGAGAAUAAACAAAUACCCAAAAAGUAAUAAAAUAAUUAAAGUAUAAGAAAGAUCUCACAGCAGUGAUGAAUCAAAGUUUCAUUAACCUUCAACCAGAAUAAUAGAUUUAGUUUUUCAUAGACAGGAGAGAAAAAUUUAGAUCUAGGGUUUCUUUCUCUUCAAAAAUCUCCGUCUUUGACAAUAGAUUCCUCCCUUAAAUUCUCUUCUCUCUCUUCUCCUCUAGAGUUCUUUUUAAAAUAAAAUACUAAUUUCUAAAAUAUUAUCUAAAUAUUAAAUGCGUAAUUACAAAAAUAACUAAAAAUACAAAACACGUUAAACUAAAAACUGCAGGUCCGUAGUAGACAGCAUGCGCCCACACCUUAUCAACAAAGUUCUUCUGAAGCUCAUAAUUUCUUCAAGAAAACAAUCAUCCUCAAACAUCAUCUUGUAGCUCAAUUUUAGCACCAAUCAAUAAAAUUGCACCUACCAAAAUAAAACACAAGUAAAUCACUAUUAUUAAGUGCAAAACAUCGAUAUUAAAAGAAGUAAAUAAUGCAAAACUAGUGCAUAAAUUGUACUCUAACACUUCAUUCCGAUCCCUUGAUCAUUACUCAUUUAUUUAUUUAUUCUUUGCUUCACUUCUAAGCUUAGCAAAGGAACUUGAACUUUGGCUUUUCAAAUAGGUCACUUUUGCUUUUAAUCUCGCCCAUGAUCUUCAUCAUGAAGAUGACAAACCAUUAUUCUUUAUUCUUCACUUUUGCUUUUAAUCUCGCCCAUGAUCUUCAUCGUGAAGAUGACAAACCAUUAUUCUUUAUUCUUCACUUGUUGAAUUUACAGAAUAUAUAGCAUUCUUAAAAUUUUAGCAAAUCGUUAUUCUUCAGCUUCAGCACCUCAUUAAAAAGUCAUUCUUUGAACUUAUUCUCAAUCAAGAAAAACAUAUGCGUUCGUUCGUUGUAGUCACUGUUGUUUUGUUAUUAAUGUUUGCUCCCUAUUGCCGUUAACUCUCUUGAGCUUCACAGGAUCAGGAAACCCUUUUCUCUUGGCAUCUGUUUUGUUGUAAUCUCUCAGUCCUUGUUGAUUAGUUUCUCUCCGCUCCCAAUUUAGUUGUGUCCUGCUGUUGUCUCUGUUUUGUUCCAUAUCUACUCUCUGCACUUCUGCUGUGUCAAGACAUCUUCUUUUGUUCAUUCGGUUGUGGUCUAUAAUAUAUUUUUCAUCUUUCUUUUGGUCUAUACUUAAGUUAUUUUGAUUGGUUCCUUUCUCCUUUAUUAUCUAAAUCCCUCCUUAUAUUUAUUCAAUCAGUUGUUACGCUUUCUUUCAUUUCUCCGCUUCCACAACCAGAUAAACUGUCCAUCUUUGUUGUUUCUUCUUUUUUCUCUUCUGUGGUUGGCUCUUGUUUAUUUGCUUUUCAGAACUCAAAAAAAAAAAAAAAAUAGAAGGAUCAAAGAUGGUGGAAACCAUUAUUACUGUUGUUUUGGAAGUUGUGAAAUGCUUGGCUCCUCUAGCAGAACGCCAACUUGGUUAUUUACGUAACUAUAAAACCAACUUUGAGAAUCUCAGGGCAAAAUUUGAUGAACUCAAGGAUGAAAGUAGGAGCAUUCAGCACAGAGUUUCUGAGGCUGAAAGAAAAGGAGAAAAGAUUGAAGAGAAGGUUGAAAAGUGGCUGGUUAGUGCAAACGACAUCAUUGACAGCGCAGCCAAAUUCAUUGAAAAUGAGGAGUCAACGAAUAAGCGUUGUCUCAAGGGCUUGUGUCCUAAUUUGAAGACCCGCUAUCAGCUUAGCAAGAAAGCAGAGACAGAAAUGAAGGCCCUUGUUGAACUUGGAGAAGAAGUAAAGAAGUUUGAUAUUGUUUCCCACCGUACCAUUCCGGAGGAGAUUUGGCUCAAGUCUCACAUAGGCUACGAGGCCUUCGAAUCAAGACGUUCUACUUUGGAGGCUAUAAAAAAAGCAUUGAUCGAUGUUAGCAUCAUUGGGGUGUACGGCAUGGGCGGCAUUGGAAAGACGACACUGGUGAAGGAGGUCUCCAGGCAAGCUAUGGAAGCCAAGCUCUUUGAUAUGGUGGUCUUUUCAGAGGUUUCGCAAACUCCAGACAUAAAAAAGAUUCAACAGGAAAUUGCCGAGAAGUUGGGCCUGGAGUUGCGCGAGGAAGUUGAAUCUGGAAGAGCAAGUAGACUAUUUGAGCGAUUGAGAAAUGAGAAGAAGAUCCUUGUGGUUUUAGAUAACAUCUGGAAACACCUUAAUUUGGAGACUGUUGGAAUUCCUUUUGCAGAAGAUCAUAAAGGAUGCAAACUACUGCUGACAGCAAGAGAUCGUAGUGUCCUCUUACAAAUGGGAUCCAAAGACAACUUUUUGAUAAACAACUUAAAAGAAGAAGAAGCCGGGAGAUUGUUUAAGAUGAUGGCCGGUGAUGAUGUUGAAAAUCGUGAGUUGAAAUCUACAGCAAUAGACGUCGCCAGGGCAUGUGGAGGUUUGCCCAUUGCCUUGAGUACGGUAGCAAAGGCAUUGAGAGGCAAGAGUCUGCAUGAAUGGAAGAAUUCCUUGCGAGAACUCCGAACGCCUUCAAUGGUAAACUUCGAAGGAGUAUCUGCAGAGACUUAUGCAAGUAUUGAGCUGAGUUUCAACCAAUUAAAAGGUGAACGCAAGGAAAUUUUUCAGCUCUGCAGUCUAAUGGGUAACCGUAUUUUUACUUUCGACUUGUUUAAGUACUCCAUGGGUUUGGGUAUAUUUAAAGGAGUCAAUAAGAUGGAAGAUGCACGAGACAAAUUAUAUGCAUUGGUCCAUGAACUUAGAGACUCUUGUUUGUUGCUUGAGGGUGAGAGCAAUGAACAAUUGUCAAUGCAUGAUGUUGUUCGCGAUGUCGCGAUAUCAAUUGCAUGCCGCCAGCAACAUGUGUUUUCGGUGAGGAAUGAGGAUGUGUGGGACUGGCCAGAUAAGGAUGCACUUCGAAAUUGCAAAGCUAUCUCUUUAAUAAAAAAUAGUAAUCGUGAAUUUCCUGAAGGAUUAGAAUGCCCAAACCUUGAAUUUUUAUAUAUCUCUCUCAAAGAUUUUUCUCUUGAAAUCAAUAUUCCUGAGAACUUUUUUGUAGGGAUGAAAAAGCUUAGAGUUCUAGAUUUUACUCGAAUGCAGUUUUCUUCUUUUCCAUCUUCAAUUGAUCUUCUAGUAAAUCUUCACACACUAUGUCUGGAUAAAAGUGCGUUGGGCGACAUAGCAAUCAUUGGGAAGUUGAAGAAUCUAGAAGUCCUUAGCUUUUUGAAGUCUGAUAUAACGCAGUUGCCAGAAGAACUAGGUCAAUUGAAUAAGUUGAGAUUGUUAGAUUUAACCAAUUGUUUCCGUCUGAAAGUUAUUGCCCCAAAUGUCAUAUCAAGCUUAAUCCGAUUAGAAGAGCUGUAUAUGGGUAAUUGCUCCAUUGAAUGGGAGGUUGAAAGAGCCAACAGCAAAAGAAGUAAUGCUAGCCUUGAUGAAUUGAUGCAUUUACCUCGGCUAACCACUCUAGAAAUUGAUGUUAAAAAUGACAGUAUGUUACCAGAAGGUUUUUUGGCCAGAAAGCUCGAAAGGUUCAAAAUAUCUAUUGGAAAUGGGUUAUUCACACAUCCCAUGAUUGCUGAACAAAAUUGGUUCCAAAGUCUGCGGCGCUUUUCUCGCAAAAGUGAUCGCAAGAGUUUAAGAGCAUUGAAGCUCAAGCUUGCUUUUAUGGACAUUUGCUCCAUGAAAUUGCAGGGCAUCAAUAACGUAGAAUGCUUAUGGUUGGACAAGCUGCAAGGCAUCGAGAAUGUUCUUUUCAAUUUGGACACAGAGGGCUUUUCACAAUUGAAGCUUCUCUGGGUUCAAAAUAAUCCUGACAUCUUUUGUAUCGUCGAUUCAAGGGCGAUGGUCGCUUGUGAUGCCUUUCCUCUUUUGGAGUCACUUGGCCUUCACAAUUUGAUCAACAUGGAGAGGAUAUGUAUUGAUCGGCUCAAAGUAGAGUCCUUCAACGAACUCAAAAUCAUACAAGCAUAUAAUUGUGAUAAAUUGAGUAAUAUCUUUUGGCUCUCUACAACAAAAUGCCUUCCAAGACUUGAGAGAAUUGCAGUUAUUAAUUGCAGCAAGAUGAAAGAGAUUUUUGCAAUUGGGGAAGAAGUUGAUAAUGCAAUUGAGAAGAUAGAGUUUGCUCAAUUAAGAUCUUUGAGUCUGGGGAAUCUUCCAGAGUUUACAAGUUUUUGCCGUGAGGUGAAGACUCCUUCAGCAUCACCAAACAGACCAGCGUCGCAGGAGGAAUCGACGACUACGUAUAGCUCCAGCGAAAUCACUUUGGAUACUUCAACUCUGCUUUUCAACGAGAAGGUGCGUAGGCUAACAUUUUCUUUAUUCUAUCAUGCGUUCUGUUUUGAUGUCAUACGUGGAAAAUAAUUAAAUCAUUUAAAGAAUUGAAAGAAAAUGGAAAAAAGGAUAAAAAGAAUCUCACGCGCUCACUAAUUGAGCUCUUAACAAGUAGUAUGAAUUAGAAUGCAUACUCAGCUGUCAGUUGGAAAUUGAUUCAGACUUGCAUUAAUUUGUAAUCAAAGAAGAAAAUUUCAACAAGUGCUUCCCAUAUGGAUAUUGGAUCUAACGAGAAAUUCUUCUUUUUUUAGGUUGCGUUGCCUAACUUGGAGGCUUUGGAGAUAUCUGCAAUUAAUGUCGACAAGAUUUGGCACUACAAUCAAAUUCCAGCGGCCGUGCUUCCUCACUUUCAAAGUUUAACACGAUUGAUUGUGUGGGGUUGUCACAAAUUAAAAUACAUAUUUUCAGCGUCUAUGAUCGGAAGCCUUAAGCAGCUCCGACACCUAGAUAUACGCUUCUGUGAGGAUUUAGAGGAGAUCAUUUCUGAAAACAGAGCAGAUGAAGUUAUCCCUUAUUUUGUCUUUCCACAGCUCACCACUCUAAGACUCGAAUGUCUACCAAAACUUAGAUGUUUGUACCCUGGAAUGCAUACUUCGGAAUGGCCCGCACUAGAAAUUCUUUUAGUGGGUCGUUGUGACAAAUUAAAGAUAUUCGAUGCAGAUUUAUCGCAGAAUAAUGAGAAUGAUCAACUUGGUAUUCCUGCACAACAGCCCCUAUUGCCGUUGGAAAAGGUACGAAGCCAUUUUCUAGAUUUUUUAUCAAUAGCGUAUUUUUAACUUCGAAAAAAAUGACAAAGCAUCGAUAAAUUAACACUCAAUAAAUUGAAAACUUUUAUUAUACAAUAAUCUUUGCUAGUCUAGAUUAAGAGAUCAAUGUGGUAGAUUAAUAAUUAUAUGAACUUUUUAAGGUAUAGCAUUUAUAAAAGAAUCCUUAGUCUUUCCAUAUAGAAGAACUUACAAAAUAAAUUAGUAAUUUAUUAUUGUGCAAUAAAAUAAUUUCAAACCAGUAUAAAUCAACCUUUUUUCCCUAAUUUCUUUUUUACCUCUAAAAUUAACAUAUAAAAUAAAUUUUAUCAAUAAUUCAUUUUUUUUUUAAAAUAUAAUAUAAAACAAAUACUAUAAAGUCACUGCGUGUGACCGUAGAUCAUCAAUUGACCUCAUUAGUUAUUAUGAUUGAUGAUGAUCAGAUCGUACCCAACUUGAAGGAACUAUCACUAAGUGGAAAAGAUGUGAAGAUGAUUUUGCAGGCCGAUUUCCCACAACACCUUUUUGGCAGUCUUAGAGAACUAGAGAUUGCUGCAGAUGACUCAGCUGGUUUUACAAUCUGGAACGUACUGGAGAGAUUUCACAAUCUCGAAAUACUCACACUGUUGUUUUUUUCAUCCCACGAAGAGCUAUUUUCGAUGGAAGGAUGCUUACAGAAACAUGUGGGGAAGUUGGCAAUGAUAAAAGAAUUACAGCUGCGCUGGCACUAUCAUCUGGAGCAGCUGUGCAAGCAAGACUCCAAACUUGGCCCCAUUUUUCAGUAUCUUGAAAUUCUAAAAGUAUAUCAUUGUCAAAGUCUGUUAAUUCUAUUGCCAUCAUCAUCGGUAUCUUUUGGGAACCUAACAAAACUUGUAGCUUUCGGUUGCAAGGAAUUGAUACACUUGGUAACAUCCUCCACAGCAAAAACUCUGGUGCGACUCAUAGCAAUAGAAAUAUAUGGAUGCAGAGCAAUGACAGAGGUGGUAAUAAAUGACAAAGAUGGAGUUGAAAAAGAAGAGAUUGUUUUUAGCAAAUUGAAGACGUUGGGACUGUUUGAUUUAGAUAGCCUCACAAGUUUCUGUUCUGCCAAUUACACCUUCAAAUUCCCAUCUUUGGAAUAUCUGGAUGUGAUUGGUUGUCCCAAGAUGAAGAUUUUCACUACAGGAGAAUCAAUCACGCCUCUAAGAGUAAACGUCUGCUAUGGAGAGACAGCGGAUCAACGGCGCUGGGCUAAUAAUGAUCUAAACACAAACAUACAACAAUUACAUGCUGAGAAGGUACGUAUAUACAUAUUACUCUCUAUCUCCCAUGAUAAAUUUUUACAAAAUUUGCUUUCUUAAAUACAAUAUAGAUAAGAUAUUUGUUAUAAAGUAAGUUUAAAUUGAUGAAUAAGAAUUUUACUUUCAGCUGUUGGCGGUGUCGUCGUCAUACUCUACGCAGUACGACUAAUUUCAUAGGCUUCUUAUGACUUGGAGUUGCGAAUUUUUAGAAGAAAGUCUCAACUGGUAAUUAAUUUUUAUUUCAUUUAUUUAAUCCCAUGUCUUGUUUCACAAUUUCAUCUGAAUUAUUUAGAAUGGGUCCCUCGGUUUACUGUUAAAUUUGCAAUGCAAUUUUAAUGAUCCUUUCAGACAUUUAUGGACAGAUUUUGCAAAAUUGAAUGUCUUUUAGUCUAGUUUAAUUUGAGUUUUUCAUUUUUUUUUUAGAGCUCCCCUUGUUUUCUAAAAUUUUAUAAUUCCUUGCAUACUUUUUAUGAUAAAGUUUCAUUAAAAGCCUUCAUAUUUUAUAAUUCCUUGAAAACGUGCAUACUUUUUCCUUUUUUUCUUUGCCAAUUAUUUAUUGUCAUCAUUGCUGUUCUUUUAUUUUAGUUUGUGCUCUAUUUGUUCAUUGGGUUUGCUUUUCGGAAAGUUAGAAGGCAAGGAAAGUACUUAGAAAAUAUUCUUCCCUAUGAACACAUAAUUAACAGCUGAAUAUCAUUCAUUGGAUUAAAAAAAAUUUAAAAUAAAAAGAAAGUAAUCAGCCCAUUAUUCCUAGAACAAAUCCUUAAACCAUCAAACGUUAGCUAUGAACAAGUAUAUUGGUCUAUAGCAUAUUCAUAAUAUUUUCUCUGCUGUUCCUGUUAAAAUUUCUCUACUCUAUGAUUGCAAAAUGUCUGGAUACUGAUGAAGAUUUAAGUCACUCUUCUUCUGUGAAUAAGGUCGUUUUUCUUUUUUCCUCUAUUCAAAGUUUCCAUUCUGAUGGGUUCCCAUUUCCAUCUUCGUGAUCUUCUUGUGAUAGUGUGAGUUACAACCUGUCUGUUUCCUUUGUUUGAUCAUCACAAGUUCAAAGACAUUUUAUUCUAGCUAAGCUCUGUGUAUGUAUUAUAACAUUUUUAUUCUCAAUAUAUAUGACUCAAUGAGAGGUCUUUUAUUAUAUAUAUGUCGUGAAUUUCUAUUGUAUUUUGACAUUUGAUGGUGUAUCAUUGUCUCAUUGCAAGGUCUUUUAAUCACUCUGAUUCUCAUUUGAGGAGGUUGGUCUCGUCUAUGUGUAUGUAUUUAUAUCCACAAGAAAUUUGAUAAAUGGUCUUGUCAUUUUCUCAUCAAAACAUCUGGUGCUUCAUAUGUUGGAGGGUUACCAGGCAUCAGGGCCAGAUUUUUAAACUCAAAGUUCUUCGUGUCAUUUUUUAACAAUAAUAAGGAAAGCCCAAGAGAAAAUCUAGAAGUCCUAAUAAGGACCGCUUCUACAUAUAUUGUUCAUUUUCUUAAUUACCUUCAUUAUUAUUUUCGUUUUCAAUCGAUCAAACUUCAGUUUCUUCAUCUUGAAAUCCUUAAUUUACUCAUCAAAAUGUGAACGCUUAGUGUAUCAUUUUUACACUAUAAGAAAUAGUCGUAUUACCGACCAGACAUUUCCACAAUAUACUAUUCAAAAUAAGUACUUUUUACGAAGGUAUUGUCAUUGACGAGCCGUUGGAUAAAUAUGAAAAGUAUCAUUCCUUGGUGAUAAAGAAAAUUCGUUUGUCGGAAAUGGAAUGUCGAGCCCAAAAUUACUCUAAACUUGGUAAAGUUAGAUUUUGGCCCAAUUUGUUUGAAAGUUUUAUACAUAAAGCACUUUUUUUUUUUUAUGUAAUUUGUGCAAUCUGAAGGGAGGUAUUGUAAAAUUAACAUAAAUAAAUGUAAUAUGCCAAUACCGUUUAAAACAAAAAAGAAAUCAUGAAAUUGAAAAUAUAUAUAUAAUAAUAAUAAUAACAACAUUAAAAGAAAAAAGGGGAUUACGGAGAAGAAGAAUCUCUUCUGGAUCACAACUCUCAAUUUCACUCAGUGGUAAUUAAUUCUUCACUCUCACUCGCCUUAUUUCCUGCGGAUUUCUUCAUUUUCCUUCACUGUUCAUUUUUAAGGUUCCAUUGUAUUUCCAUUGAGUUUGCAACUGUUCAAUUGAUCGAUCCUUAUUAGUUUUGGGACUUCAAUGACCAUAGAAGAAGAUUCUCACAGACAACUCUUCCUUCUUUUGUCUUUGUUUUUUUUUUUAUUUGUUUAUGCAUGUUUCCUUUGCUGAUUUAUUUACUUAUUUCUUUCUCUGAUGUCCCAAUUUAUCCUAUGAUAUUUCAAUUGAUGUAUUACGUUCAUGUUAUGUUUAUGGAUGCUUGCUCUACUGUCCUAAUUUACAAUUAAAUUUUACUCCGUCCUUAGCUAUCGAUUCACAGUGGUGUGUCAUUAAUAUGUACUUGUCUUAUUUUAUAUUUCAUUAACUAUUAUUUCAACAAUUGCUGCAGGUGUCAAAUAAUGAAUUUGUAUGAGCUUCAGUCCAAGGUAAUUAUCUUUUUCAUUUCAUGUUAUUUGAUCUCUAGGUUUAUUUUAUCGUUUCAUCUAAAUUAUUUGGAAUGCAUCAGCUGGUUUAUUCUUAAUUUUGGAACGAAUUUGAUGCAGCAGAUGGUUGCGAAGGAUGAGUGGAGUAUCUCUCUAGGGUAACAACUUGAGCUAUAAGUAUCUAUUUAGGGUGCAUAAUAUACAUUUCGAAGUUCGCGACGAGGGGAAUCUAAUCUAAUACUGUAGCGCCGCAUUAGUCUCGUGGUUCGAUUGAAAAUUAUAUUUAUUUCAUAUUAUUUUACAAGUUUAAGAUCUAUUUUCCUAUUGUUUUCGGGAUUUUUAUCUUUUUUUUUUUUCUAGAUAUAGAAUUUGAGUAACAUUUAUCUUAUUUCAGUUAGGAGAAUGUUAUUAUGUAGUAAUAUGUAGGUUUACUUAUUUUGGUAAAUUUGUGAUAUUUAAGUUUAGUUUAAAAGAAGUCCAAAACCUUAAUUUUGUUAUUCAGACUUUCAUUAAUAAAAUAUAAAACUUUCUAAAAAAGAAAAUGCUCGUCUGGUACCUAUAUUUUAACUUCAAUGCUCGUUUAGUUUUUAUAUUUUAAAAAAUACCUCAAUAUACCUUGAUAUUAAAUACGUUACAUUUUUCCUUAAAUUUUAUUUACUUUUACAAUAAUAUCUUGGCAAUAAUAUUCUUAAAUUAAUUAAUUUAUUUAUAAAAAAGUUAAUUGGAAAAUUAAUCAAGAAAUAUCAAUAUGAAAUAACCAGUAUUUUUUGUACUUUUACAACAAUCUUGCCAAUAAUUCUUUAUAAAUAAAUUAAUAGCAGCCAUCUUAAAGUAAUGUUUAAUAUUCUUAAAGCAAUCUUACUAAUAAAUGCAUAAAAAAUUUAAUUUACGAAAUUAGUCCUAAAACUAAAAUAAUAACAUAAAAGUUUUUAUUAAUAUUUAUUUUGUUUAAGGCUGGCUAGAUGAAUUACCAUUUUUUUCUUUUCAUUGAUAUUCCCAAAAAUAUUAUUCCAACACAGUAGGGGUGUCUUGAGGUUAGGGAUGGCAAUGGGGAGGGGAGGGGAGGGGACUAAUCUCCCCGUACCCAUCCCCGAUAUUUUGCGUAUGUCCUCGUCCCCUCCCCGUCCCCGUCCCCGUCAGAAUUACUUGAGAGAAUCUUCAUCCCCUCCCCGAAUAAUAACAGAGGAUCCCCGAUCCCCGAAUAACUAAUACAUUUUUUUUUUUCAAUUUUGAGUUAAUUAUAUUAAAAUAAAAAAAUUCAAAUAAAAGUAAAUUUCGAAAUAUAUCUUACAUGAAUAUCUAUUUCAAAAGUCACAUACAUUAAAUUAGUAAGUAACGCAGCAUGCAAGGGAUACAAACUAUCAUGAACAAAUUAAUAGUCUAAUACAAAAUUGUUACAAAUAAAAUCGAAUUUAGAUUCAAAAUUAACUUUUUCAAUGGUGGCGUGGGCACUUUAUAAAUGUGGACUAUUCCCUUUACAGCACAAUAGUUAAGUCCGAGCAAAUCAAGAGCAAAUAUUAGAUUAGAUUAGAUAUUAAAAUUGUGAUUCGCUGUGGGCAAUUAUAACAUCUAAAAAUAAAUAAAUAAAUAGAUUUAAGUUUAAAAUAUUUAAUGAAUAUUAAAAUUAAAACAAAAUUUUUGGGCUAAUAGAAUCUACUGGUCUUUUUAAUGUCCUAAAUAAAAAUUUAAGACUUUAAUUUGUUAAUUAGGCCUAAAAGUUUAAUAAUAUAAAUAUUUUGAUAUUUGUUAUUUUUACCAAUAUUUAUAAUUUUAUAAUUUAUUUACUAGUAAUUUUAAAAAAUAAAAAUAAAAUUAAAAAUUAAAAUGGGGAAAUGGGUAGGGUAUGGGGAUUCCACCUCAUCGCCGUCCCCUCCCUAAAUAAGAAAUUGGGUAAAAAAAUUUGCCCGUCCCUUCCCCGAAUAAGAAAUUGGGUAUGAAAUUAUCCUCAUACCCUCCCCGAAUAGGGAAAAUCCCCGAUGGUACCCGUCCCCGUGGGGAUUUUUGCCAUCCCUACUUGAGGUUGAGGCACUUUUUAAAAUAUAAGAACUAAAUGCGCUCUCAAGUCAAAAUAUAGAGACUAAAUGAACAUUUAUUCCUUUUAAAAAGCUUGUGUUUCUCUAUCUUUUCAAUCUCAAUGUUUUUGUUUCCGUUUCAUCAUAAGUUCUAAUGUUUGGUUCUCAUCUUAAUGUGCAAAUUUUACAUCAUUGAAGGUCUUUUGAUCUGAGUUAAGAUCAUAAAAUUAUACUUGCAUUGGUCAGGUUAUACGAAAAUUGUACAAAAUAAUAUUCUUAUAUAACUGUUGUCCUCUGUUAUUACGGAAUCCCCAAGUUCUGAAGAAGGUCGAAAUCAGGUCUCUCUACUGUGAAGCCCCUGGAAUAAGAGCUACAAAUGUGUUACCGUUGAAAGCAUGGCAGAAAACUUAGUACUUAAUUCAGACUCUUUGUGGCUUCAAUAUUUUACUUAACAUGAAAAAUUCUUUCUAGCUUGCAUCAUUGUAAAGAUAAAUUGUCGCAGUUCUGACAAUGAACAAGUAUAAAUGUCCACAGAGAAAAGUACUGAACAAUUAAUGUUAACAGCAAUCGAUUGGUGUGAGCGCCAACCACCAUUUUCAUAUUUAAGCCUUUAGAACAGCAAAACAAAAUACGGCAAGUGGCAACCACAUCAAAUAAUCAAAUUGUUGAUAGAUUUUGAAAGCUUUAAUUUGCUUGAUAUAUAUUUAAAUAUUUCAACAGAUGAUCUUUUCGCUACUCACGGGGCACGCUGAGUUAGAAACGGUUUGGAUGUCAAUAUUACUCCAAGUGCCUCAACCAAAUUCAGAAUGAAAAAAAACCAUCUGGUUACCUGCACUUUUGUUUAAGCAGCUAAUGAAGCUAAUUAGCACGAAAUAGUACACAAACUCGCGAGAAAUUUCAUUAGUAGAUCAUCAUCCUGGGAGGAAACCAGCAUCUUGACGCUUUUGUGAUCAAGAAAAUCUGCCAGAACCCCAAUUAAUGAAAAAGAAAUUAUAACAUCAUUUACGUAUAGUUUUACAAAAUCAACAGGACACUCACAGAGCACCUCCUACAGCUGGACCGGCAGUUUUGGUAAGCGACACUACAGUCAUAGCAAGUCCAUUAGCAGCUCCUCUUUGAUGCUGUUCCUUUUGUUGUGGCAUAAACCAACAAAUUAAAUUUAAACUUUGACACAUACAAAAUUUGAAAAAGCUGAAAGCAUGUAAAUGUACUAAACAAACAAAAGAAAAAAAAUAUUUACCACUGCUCUGUUUUGCAGAAGGAAUAAUCUAGUUAUUAUAGACACCUGAUAUUAUAAUUCAGGAAUAGUAAAAUAGAAUUACAACAUUUCUAAUAAAAAAAGACACAAAAUAAUUUUAUACAUACUUGAUGGAUAAUAUAACCUAAGUAUAUGGAUCAAUGAUUAGGAUAUCCACUUACAGCUAAAACAUUCUUCAUCACAGAAGCACAGUUUAUCAAAAAGGCAAGGCUGAACCCAGAUAGCAUUGCUAUGUAAGUGUAACUUGUCAAAAGCGGUAUCGAUAAAACCUGUACAUACAUAGAAAAUUAUGGGACCAAAACCAUGAAGAAAAGUAUUUUAUAAACAAAUAUGUUUGAAACAAACUAUCAAAUGGUCUAAAUGCCACAUGGUGUGUUCAAAAUUAUUGUUCUGUUUUAGUGACAAAACACUCAUCCCAUGACAUUGAGCUAUCAAUUCUCAUGGAUUCGUCACGCUUGAAAGGUUUGGUAGUUGUUCUGUUUUAUCUUCAGUUUCAUUUGUGAUCACAGAAACGUUAGGACUUGCGUGCAUGAAAGCACAUUAAAAUUUGAAAGUUCUGAAGAAGAUUCAGGUCACUCGCGUGCAGCCUCUGGAAUAAGAGCUGUGUUACUGUUUAAAAGUUUUCAUGCUGUGGGGCUUCCAUCUUCAUUAUUCUACGAAUGCUUAACUUCACUAUUCUACGAAUGCUUCACUUCACUACAUUGACAGCGUUGAAAGUGUAACUAAAACCCUUGCUUUCACAAGCAAGCAUCGGUGAAUGAAAAAGAAAGUCUCUCUCGAAGGUAAUUGACAGAGGAGCAAUCUUCUUACUCUUUAACUAAAUAUCAGAAAUACAAGGUUAAGGCAGCUAGGGUUGCGAAGGAGAAGGAUCGUUCCCGGAUUUUGCCUGCUUCAAGUUGUUGGGCUUGGUGAACCAAGUUGUGUACACGAAUUGCUUAUGAGGGCCCACAUGGUUGCAGACAAGCCUGAGCUUUUGUCUCUCCCUCAUGUCUCACAUUUUAUGAUGAAUCAAAUUGAACUCCCAACACGGUAGUUCAUAAAAUAUGCUUUUCUUCUUCCAAGUAAUCUUAUCAUUUCUCUCAUUUUAUUCAUUCUCCACUUUUCAAGUCUUCAAUCUUAAACUCAGUAAGGAUAUUAUUCAACUGCUUUUUCACUUCAGCUCCAGACAUCCGAGAAGGUGCUUGUCCCCACUCUCUAGAUUUAUCAAAAGGCACUAUAUUUUCGAAACCUAUGAUUCGUCAGUAAAAAUCGACGUUACCGACGUGACAAAAUUUUCUACUAUGUAUCAACCAAUUAGAUCUAGUGUUUUGUUGGCAAACAAGAAAUGCUUAUUUACCUUUAAUACUCCACUCAGACAAGUUGGCAUGUGCUAGAAAGUCACUGAUAGUCCAUAACAAUGCUGUGUGUGAAUUGAAUAUUUGAUUACGUGAUGUAUCAUGUAUCAUUCCAACCAUAUCAUCAUCAGCACCCGAGUCAUGACUAACCUGUUUCUUGGUUAGAUUCCAAAGAUGAAGAUGGCUCACCAUGCAAUAUCCAGUUUUAAUACUUUAACCAAAAACCAUUUAUAAUGAUAUGGUCUCUUGCUACUUCCCUUAAAACGAAAUAUUCGACACUUCUUACAAGGAUAAUAAAUUCUUGCAUCACCAACAACAUUCUCAAAUGCAAAAUCUAUAACUUAGAUAUCUAUUUGCCAAACCAACCCAACUCUUCUCCAUUACCAUCUCCUUUUAAUGCACUACAAAAAUUAGUUAGAUAAAUCAUUUUAGUUUUUCAUUUCUACUACUGACCAAGAUAUUUUCGUGUGUGCACAGUUUUGCAAUAUAAUUAAAAAAUCAUUAUACAAUUUUAUGGUUAAUUUCAUUAGAAUUUAUAUAUAUGAAAGCAAGUAAAGCGACAAGAAUCAGAGAAAAAGACGUGAAAAUUAAAGUAUAUAUACAACAAUAAUUAAUGUAAAAAACAGUUUCCAAUACCUUCUGUAAAGAAAUAUCCUCACCCACAGCUGAGAACUUCAGUUGGUUAUCAAUUACAGAUACAAAGCAUGUUACCUAGAAACAAAAAAAAAGGUCAGCCAGCUGAAACAUAUUUAUAAACCAACAUUGGAGAUAGUACUCCAUUUAUAAACAAAAUUACAAGCUCAAAACCAAGUUAACUCAGCAAAACUAUAACCGAUUACGUCCAUCCAACUCAGCUCCUCCACUCCCAUCAAUAUGUCCAACACUCCCUUCAUAUUUACAAAAGGUAAGUGGUCCCGUAUAUCCCUCUCAAGAAUGCAUAAGUUUCUUCAAUCUCAAGUACUUUAAAGUUUUCUUCUACGUUUAUAGAAAUUUCGGCAGCAUCUCCCUUUAGUUCUCCAAGCAACGACAUAGAUAUAUGAGUGUUUAUGUGUUAUCUAGUAUGCACCCAAAGAAGAUGAGAAGCAGCUUGCGAAAAACUCAUUUUUACGUGGGAAAAAAACUUCAGCUACUAGCUACCAUAGAAAACUAUGCAUUCCCAAACAGUUCAAGCCUAGACAAUUCAAGAAUUAUUAAUAGGCAUAUGAUCCUCACUAUCAUCCAAAGAUGACACUAAUAAAACAUGUGUCUAUUAAUAAUUUCUUAAACGAUCUAAGCUUUCAAUGCAUGUAUUGAAAGUUUAAAAUUCAAUCUGAAAUUUGAAUAACACAUAAAUAUCAUAAAUCUCUUCAAUUUGUUCCUAAUACAAUGUAGCAUUAUUACGCGCAUCAUUUCUUAAGCAAAUCCAUAAAAAAUACAAACAAUAAAUACAUUUUCUAGCACUGAUGCAGAUUAUGUUUACUAAGCAAUAAGUUUUAAGUCAUUCAUGUUAAAAUACUUUUUCCUAUUCUUUCAACAUAUAACUAGUACGUGCACACAAUUAAUAAAUUAAAUAUAACCUGGUUGUGAAUCUCGCAAAAAUCUUCCUAUUUUUUUUUUUUUGGUUGGGGGGGGGGGGGGGGGGUGUGAGCUGCUUGUGAAUCUUGCAAAUCCUCGGGAAGGCAUGUUAAGUCAAGGCCAACUUACUAUUAGGGUAUGAAAGAUAUAACCUUUUUUUUCCCUUUUCAGAGUAAAAAGAACAUUGACAGUGUUAAAAAAAUCUAGAGGAUUUCAGGCCCAUAUCCUAACAAAUCAAGGAUAUUAGAAAAAUUUACUGAGGAUAUAGUUUAUGCUCAAUUGUAUCUUGCAGGAAGAAAUUGAUAAGCCUCAGUUUCAAUUAGCUUCAUUAUAGCCAAUGAUUAGGUGUUUAAAAACCAAUGAAUAUUUUUAUAAGAAAUCAACCGUAUUGUCGGAAGAAAAACCAAAUAAAAAUAACAAAGCCAAUGAACAGACUAAUGCUCUUUAUGGUCUAAUAACUAAAAACCAAUGAGUAUUUUUAUAAGAAAUCAACAGUAUUGUUGGAAGAAAAACCAAAUAAAAAUAACAAAGCCAAUGAACAGAUUAACGCUCUUUAUGGUCUAAUAACUAAUCAAACUAAGUUGUGGGUAAAGGCGAAUAUGUUUGUUUGGUCAAUAAUAAGCUCAACGAAUCACUAAUAAGCACCUAAUCACUAUUCCUUAUGCUAUGCAAUGUAAUGGCCUGGGUAAUGGCAGCAAGGCAGGCAAGAACUAGCUAGCCAGUUAUGAUAGUUGAUUAAGAAACUUGAUUAUAUGUAUAUUUUUGUUUGCCACAUUUAAAGAGAAUUUUCCAAAGAUGCUAAGAUACACCAAAUCCCACUAUUUCCAUACUCAUAAAAACAAAAAGCCAUGGCAAAAAUGAAUGACUAUAUAAAAUAAAAUAGGUCAUAGGACAUUGAGAUUAAGGCAACAUGAUUUGUAUACCAUAAAAUAACUAUAUCUGCAUAGUCAAUUAUAUUUCUGUUAGAACUCUAAAGUUUUCAUUUAAAUUUUUUUCCCUGUUAUGUAAACCAUUUAACUGAAAUGCUUAAGCCAAUAUUAACAAUCAUAGACAUACAAGUAUUAAUAGGCUCGUUCAAGUGAAAUGAGCAUUAUUUCUCAUAUCCUUUAGGUUUUUAAGUCAUUUAGAAGUCAUUCAUGUUAAAAAAUUUCUUCAUAUACUUUCAUUAUAAUUAGUACAUAGACAAUUAUUUAAAUAAAUAAAUCUGUUUCUGCUAGUACAGGAAAUUAAUUAAUCAAAGCUAGUAGUUAUAGCUAGGACUUGAAUGAGGCACCUUUCAGAGUUCAAGAGGAGCAUCUGAACAGAACCUUUAUAGAAAUGGCAAUGACGCUUUACAUCUACAUGCUCUUACACAAUAUGGACUUUCAUUUAUUCAAGAACAUAACACUACUCCAAGCUCUUAUUCUACAAGUUAAUUCAGUUUAUAUUAUAAUUUCUGAAAAUAGAACGUAACAUUAUUAAUAUAGAAUCAGCAAUAUAUAUAACUUAUCAGACAAUAUAACAUGCACUUGGUGAGCAUACAAGAUAAACAAGUUAUCUAGAAAAUGAAACUAAAACCCAAGCUCCGCUAUUCAUUGUAGAAGCUUUAAACAUAAAAUUAAAGUAAAUCUAAUAGCAAAACAUUAGAAUGGAUGUUGGAAUUAAAGCUAAAUUCAAUAGUAAUUCAAAUGAAUCCAUUUGAACUUUGUAGAACAAAAUUAAUUUGAGUGAGCAAACACACCAAUGGAACAAGAACACAGGGCUUCAACUUGUAGGAAUAAAAACAAUUGCUGGCGAGACAAAAAUUGACAAUAACGACUACAAUACGAAUUAAAAAGAAUCAAAAUCUAUAAUUACAAGCUAAGUAAGAGAAGAAACUCAUAAUCACAAGCUUAACUCAAAAGAUGAAGGGAGAAUACGAUGAAGAAGAAGAUGCCCGGUGUUUUACGCCGUUCGCCGGCAACCAGUUAGGUUUACGAUGGAGUCCAGCGAAUAGUUUUCUAACUGGAAAUAAAUUUAAAAUUCUAAAAUAGUAGUAUACCGAACGGCUCUUUACCGUCACGUGGUUAGUAACAUAUGUGACAGCAGUGUGGCUGUCACAUAAAGGGUAACAAAAGCAACUCGGGGUUACAAAGAAGUUAGUGAUAUACGUAAUGGCUGCUUUUGCAUUCGCAUUAGGGGUCACAUAUACCAUAUUUUCUUGUAGUACAUGGUAAAUUCUAUUUGAAAAUUGCUAAGUAUUUUAGAUUUGUAUGAAUUCAUUUUUGUGUGCUCGUUGGAUAAUAAUAUAUAAUAAAUCAAAUUUUUGGUGUAAUUUUCACAAUAUUGUAUUAUAAAUAUGUCUCGUUGAAAGGUUUUGAAAUCGUUUUGAUUGAUCAUAAUUGAUAUUUCCACAUUUGCAAAAGAUGCCAGAGAAAAUCUGAUUAUCUUAAGAAAUGAGUGCAUGAGAUAUGAAAUCAACCAUAUAAUAAAAUCAAAUUUUAUUGUGUCAUCCUUCUUGGUUCAAAUUUAUGGAAACAAUAAUCAAAUGCAUCCAUGAACUAGCUAGUAUAUUCCGACACAUGUACCAUCAAAUUUUUGCUAUGUCAUACUUAUAUUUUGAAAUUUUAAUAACAACAAUUGGGCCAAGCAUAUGUUGGUACUUGAAGAUUUAUAAGCUCCAUCCUUGAAAAAAUAAGGCUUGACUGUCCUCAAUCUAAUUCUUUUUGUUUUAAGUUCCUAAUUAAGCUUUCUUGCUUGUUUUCAAGAGCCAGUUUUGUAAUGAUCGACAAACAUGAUUUGCAUAUAUUGCACUUGGUAUUUAUGUGUCACUUAUUAAUUAGAUUUAAAUUUUAUAAAUUAAUUAAGCUGAUUAAUACUUUAUGUUGAUGCAGAAAUCUAGUUGAGUUGGUUGUUGACUCAAAACCACAUCCCCGCAUCAGUAAUAAAUUUGUUUGGUGAAGAAGCGGCUUAUUAAUCUUCAAGAAAAUCCUCUAACCAUGAGCAGAUAAUUCAUGAGCCGAUAAUCUAUGAGCUGUUGAUUAGUGAGCACCAUGAGCAGAUAAUCCACGAGCUGCUGAUCAGUGAGCACCGUGAGCAGAUGUUCUAUGAGCAGAUGAUCCAUGAGCAGAUAACCCGCGAGCAUGCAAGCACAAAGAACAGUCAGGGGGCGCUAGAAGUUUUUCUGGUGAAAACCCUCCGACGCUCAAGUCACAAUAUUGUAUCCAACCAAUAAAAACUAAAAGAUCCAAAAGUUACAAGUUCUAACACCACCCAAAUAAAGGCAUGUUAGGAUUGUUUUUGGGAAGCUCAAAAGUGAUUUUAAAAACUAAAAGCUAAUUUUUAAUGUUUUAUAAAUUUAAAAACUAAAAGUUCUAACACCACCCAAAUAAAGGCAUGUUAGGAUUGUUUUUGGGAAUCUCAAAAGUGAUUUUAAAUAUUAAUGGUGCGUUUACUUCUUGGAAUAGGAAUGAGGUGGAAUGGGAAUGGACUGGAAAGGAAAUGAGGAAUGGGAAUGAGAUUUCAAUGUUUACUUGGCAAAAAUAAAUGGGAAUGGGAAUGUGCUGGAAUGCAAUUGAUGUGUUUACUUGGAAAAAUAAAUGAGAAUGAGAAUCAAUUUACCAUAAUACCCAUAGUAUUAAUAAUUAAUAAAAAUAAUUAAUUUAUCAUUAUUGUUGUUAUUAUUACUAUUAUUACUAUUAAAAAUAAUAUUAACAAUAAUUAAUAAUAACUAAAAUAAUAAAGUUAAUAAAAUAUUAUUAAAUUUUAUUAACUCUAUUAUUUUAGUUAUUAUUAAUUAUUGUUAAUAUUAUUUUUAUUAAUAUUAUCAUUAUUAACAUUUAUUAUUAUUAUUAAUAUUAUUAUUAUAUUUUAUUAACUUUAUUAUUUUAGUUAUUAUUAAUUACUGUUAAUAUUAUUUUCAUUAAUAUUAUCAUUAUUAACAUUUAUUAUUAUUAUUAUUAUUAUUAAAUUUUAUUAAAUUUAUUACUUUAGUUACUAUUAAUUAUUGCUAUUUUUAUUUUUAUUAAUAUUAUCAUUAUUAAAUUUUAUUAUUAUUAUUUUAAUUAAUAUCAUUUUAAUAAUAAUAUUUAUACAUGUAUCUAGAUAAUGAAAAUUACAUUAUUAUUAUUAUUAUUAUUAUUAUUAUUAAAUUUUAUUAACUUUAUUAUUUUAGUUAUUAUUACUUAUUGUUAUUAUUAUUAUUAAUAAUAAUAAUAAUAAUAACAAAAAUAAUGAUAAUAUUGUUAAUAAUGAUAAAUUAAUUAUUUUUUAUUAAUUAUUAUUUUUAUCAUUAUUUUUAUUGUUAAUAAUAAUAAUAUUAAUAAAAAUAAUUAAUAAUAACUAAAAUAAUAAAGUUAAUAAAAUUUAAUAAUAAUAAUAUUAUUAUUAUUAUUAAUGAAAUUUUAAAUAAUAAAAUUAAUUGUGAUUUGAAUGAGGGUAAUUUGGGAAAUAUGAAAAAAUUAGAGGGAUACAAAAGUAAAUAUAUAUUUCAUUCUCAUUCCCUCAUUUUUAUUCCCAACCCCUCAUGGGCUUGGGAUUCCCAUUCUUUAUUCCCAAAUUGUGUGAGACCCACACAUUUUAUUCUCAUUCCCAAAUUAUAUUUUGCCAAGUAAACAUGGGUUUCAUUCUCAUUCUUUCAUUCACAUUCCUCAUUCCAUGAAGUAAACAUACCAUAAAAGCUAAGUUUUAGUGUUUUAUAAAUUUUUUUAGUAAUUACUUUUGGUAAAAUCAUCUCAUCAUACAGUAGAUUUUGAAAAGUAGUGAAUGAAUAGUUUUUCAAAAUUUGAUUUUGAGAAUUACUUUUAUACUUAAUCCAAUUCUAUAUAUAUCCUCAUUAUAUAAUAAAAAUCCAAAAUUAUCUUUAUGAAUUAAGAAAUAAAAUCAUUAACUUAAAAUAGAUUAUUAUUAUUAUUACCAAUUAUAUUGAGAUAACAAAAUAGAGAAUACAAUUUAAUAAUAUAAAAUAUUUAUUUUAGUUAUCAAUAAUUAUAUGUACAUAAUAAAAAUAUUUUAUAUACAUGUUUGUAAAUGUGUAAAUAAAUUUUAUUUAGCAUUAUGUUCAAUUCAGUCAUUUAUAUUUUUUCACCAGUUUAAUAAUAAAAUUUACGAAACACAUACGUCUGCUUUUAAAACUAAAAGUACUUUUAAAAAUAAAUUUUACUAAAUGUUCAGCUGAUUCUCUUCACAAUUGAUCAAUUUCUACAGCAUAACUAACUGAAAUUAUUUUAAAAAUAAAAUUACCAAACUGACCCUAAAUCAAACCAAUAAAAAUGUUUAAAAGUAAUAAAAAUAAACCAAAGUAAAUGUACAAAAAUUCAUGCAUAAAUUGAUAAUCAACAAAAACAACCAAAAGUUUAACUCCAAGUUUUCUGUUCAAUUGACAUAACCCUUAAAUUUCAAAAGGCAUAAUCAAUUUUGUGUCUAAUCCUAUAAAAUUAGAAAAUUAAUGAAUUCAAGGGCAAAGCUACAUUGCAACAUGCCUUUGGUACCCCUCUCUUUUGUCUUUUUAAAGGUCAAUUAUAAUAGUGUCCUGGUAUUUGUUAUAAAAAUGAAAAUGUUGAAAAUUUUUAAAAUUUUACGCAUUAGUCCUACACCUACACAGUAUCAUUUUUCUCAUCCAUUUUGCACCAUCAAUGACAUCAUUUUUCUCACCCAUUUUAAUUAAAAGGUAAUUAAAAUUAUUUUCCAUAUAGAAACAGAAUAAUAAAAUAAAUUUUUUAUUCUUAUUUUUUAAUUAAUUAUAAAAAGAUAUUUUGUAUUAAAACAAUCACUAGUGACUACUGUUUCUUCGCGUGCAAUGAUAUUUUUAAUCGAAAGGGGACAUGAAGGGUUCCAUUAUAUUUGAAAUUGGAUGAUUUACAUAAAGAUAGUCUCAAUGCUAGCAAAUGGUGAUAUGUAAAGUUGCAUGCUCCUUCUAAAAUAACUGCAACAAUAACUAUACCACAAAAACACAAGGAGUUACAUUACACUACCACCUUUUCUUUUCUUUUCUUUUCUUUUUUUUUUUAAAUUUAGAGACCCUCAAUUUGGUUGUUAAAGGCAAUGAACCUUAAAACGUGAUGUAGGAAGCAUAUUAGAUAAAAUGAAUUAGAAUUUACUAGAAAUUAUAAUAUUUGGGUCAAUUUAAAAUUUAAUAUUUUAUUAAAAUUUAUCUUAUUUAUUAAGCUUACUUGAGUCAUAUUUGUAAUUCUAACCUAAUUAGGAUUUCAGAUUAUUUCUCUUAUUUGAGAAAGAUUAGCUACUAUUAUAUAUAUAAACUUGUUAUUCUUAAUUUAUGAUAACAGACACAAACUUCUUAUUAAUAAUUUUUAAUUUUUUCAUAAUUGAGAUAUCUUCUCCUUGGUGAGAGCAUCUUUUUAAAGUUUUCAAGACAUAAAUCAUAUUAGAGUUUUUUUCUGUACCAGGCAGAGCAUUCUCGACCACCAACUCCAUACAUUAGUUCCAUCAAGUUAAAAAAAAAAAACCCAACAAAACCCGAAGCCACCAUCACAUCCGUGCCACACGGCUGCCGCCGCCACUGGUUUCUCUUCUUUUUGGUCGAUCCUCUCUCCCAUCCAAAAGCCCUCACGUCGCCAAUCAUAACCCAACCCAUAACACCACCAUCCCGUCACCGUAGCCACGGGAAACUAGCCAAAACAGCCGCUGAACCACCACGAAAAUCCACCUCUCUAUUCGCUGCAAUCCGUUGCGAUUCACAUCCUCCACCACCACCCAUUCGUCCACGAUCAUCAGCUCUUUCUUUUCAACCCACUCACGCUGCCAACCCUCGGCCGGAUCGCCAGAAACUGAAACCAACCUCCACCCACUACUUUAACUCAACUUUUCAAUCAAAUCACAACUAUUUGAGACAAAUCACCACCAGCAUCACACUCAACACCAUCAAAUCUUCUAGAUCCACCUAUCCUAGGCCAAAUUUUCGACCAUCGUCGCUGGCAACACCAACUUUUGCCUAUUUAUAAUUUUGCCCCUUUACUUUUCUAUACUUAUACUAUUACCUAUAAUUUUAUGUUCUUUAAAAAACACCCAAAAACCAAACAAACUUAUAAAAAAAUAAAUAAAUUAGAAUUUACUAGGAAUUAUAAUAUUUGGGUCAAUUUAAAAUUUUGUAUUUUAUUAGGAUUUAUCUUAUUUUAUUAAGCUUACUUGAGUCAUAUUUGUAAUUCUAAUCUAAUUAGGAUUUUAGAUUAUUUCUCUUAUUUGAGAAAGAUAAGGAUUAAUUUAGCUACUAUUAUAUAUAUAGGCUUUUUAUUCUUAAUUUAUGAUAACAGACACAAGCUUCUCAUUAAUAAUAUUCAGUUUUUUCUCAAUUAAAAUAUCUCCUCUUUGAUGAGAGUCUCUUUCUUGAGUUUUCAAGACGUAUAAUAGAACGAAAUCUAGUAUCGCUUCCGCCCUGCGUUAAAAUGUCAUCUAAUCAUAGGGUCUUGUUAUAGUUGUUUGCAUUGGAAGGCUCAUCUAUCGCCGACAUAUCUAUUUAUCCGGCAACAUUGCCACCAUUACAUUGAUCAGAGAAUUUUGAAUACGUUGAUAGUUUUUUGUUUUUCUGUUCACUCACGUCUAUUUCUUAGUGAUGAUACCGUCAUUGUUGUCAUUGGUGGUGCAAUAAUUUUUAGCAAUAUUAUUUUGAUUUUUCAUUUGAUUUACAAAACUUAAAUAUUAAAUAUAAUACUUAAUUUUAGUCUCAUACACUUAAAUAUUACUAAUAUUCAAGUUCAUGGAUGGAUAUUGAAUAAAUCAAAUUCAGAGUAUUUUAUAUGGAUACUAUCCAAUCUAUUCAGAUCAGAUACUUAGACAUCCAACUUGAAUGGAUUUGUUUGCUCUUUCUAGCUGUUAACUUGAUUAAUAAUUCUAUUGGGUUUGGUUUUAAAACUCCUAAUAUGAUAAUUCAUUCAUGACACAAUUAAUUAUUCACUUAAUUAUAUUAAUUGACUUCUAUUUUAAUUGAUAGAUAUGUGUUGAAUUGUCAUCUCUAUUGUUAUCCAUGUGUGAUGUUAGCAAGAAAGAAGAAAGAAUAGAAAAUACUUAUUUUUAGUUUUUUUUAAAGAAAUAUUUAAAUUAUUUUCAAAUAGAGUAAUUGUUUAGAAUUUUUUUACCCUUCUCUCCGAUAAGUUAAUGACUAUUUAAAUAGUUGGGGUGGAGUAACAAAUACCAAUUUAUUUAAGCGUGCAAUUAAAUUAUUAUUAUUUAUUUAAGGACAAAAACUCAUUGUUAAAAAAAAGAUUUUACAAGUUAAUAAACUAACAUUUUAUUAUUAUUAGUAAAUUAACAUAUUUUUACUAUAUAAUUAAAUAGUUGAUAGUAUGUUUAAUAAAUAUUAUGUUACAAAAAAAAUUAACUACAUAGAAUAUGAAAUUAAGUUUAUUUUUGUAUUUUGUAUAUUUCAUCUACUUGAGAUAAUAAAAUCUCUUGUGUUGAAAAACAAAAUUAUGGGUUUUGAACCUUGUUCACAUAGGUGAGAGAUAAUUGGUUGCCAUUAUGUUAAAUUAAAAAAAAAAGAUCAUAUUUAUACUUAUCACUAAUUAUGGUUAGUAAAUAAUAUACAUGCAUUGUUUAACUAUAUAACAAAGUAGUUAAUUAAUUAAUUAAUUAAUUAAUUAAUUAAUUUAAAUAGAUAUUAAUAUAUGUAAGAAUAAGUCAUUUAAUUGGAAACCUAUUUCAAUGGAGUUAAAAAAAAAAGAGAGAAUAUUAUGGACUUAUAUGUCAAAUUUCAAAACUUUUGAUUUUGUUUAUUUUGCAUGAACAAUAAGGGUCUUUGAUGUUAAUAACCCAAUAAUCACAUCUCAGCCAUUACGCAAUUCUUACAUUAAAUCCAACGGUAGGUUUGAAAAAGACAAAAAAUAGGGUACCAAACCCCACGGGUAUUGUAGUUGGACCCUGAAAUUCAAACUCCUUUCACUUUUCUGUUGUUUGGUUUUCACUAAUAUAUGGGAAUUUAAUUUCUAUUUAAAUUUAAUUUUCAUCAAAUUGUGCAUUUUGGAUUCCCCACCGAAGGCUGUAAAAUUCAAAUUCUCCUCCUAUUAGAAAUCGAAUCUUCCAAAAUUGCUCCUCUCAAAUAUUUAUCAAUUAUUUUAAUUCUUAUCAAAUAAUUCUUAUUUAUGAUUUUAUUUUUUCAAUUUAAAUUGUCACUAAGGAGCCUGACUUACUACCACAGAAAAGCAAAAAUACAAUUUAUAGAUUAUGAUAAUUCCAUGUAUUGUAUGAGAAUUGCAAUCUAAAAAUUUUCCCUACAAAACUUUAAAGAAAUUAUUAUUAUUACCAAUUAUAUGGACAUAACAAAAUAGAGAAUAAAAUUUAAUAAUAUAAAAUAUUUAUUUUAGUUAUCAAUAAUUAUAUGUACGUAAUAAAAAUAUUUUAUAUACGUGUUUGUAAAUGUCUAAAUAAAUUUUAUUUAGCAUUAUGUCCGAUUCAGUCAUUUACAUUCUUGCACUGAUUUAACAAUAAGAUUUAUGAAACACAUACGACUGCUUUUAAAACUAAAUGUACUUUUUAAAAUAAAAUUUACUAAAUGUUCGGUUGAUUCUUUUCACAAUUUAUCAAUUUCUACAGCAUAGCUAACUGUAAUUAAUUUUAAAGAUAUAGGAUUACCAAACUAACCCUAAAUCAAACCAAUAAAAAUGUUUAAAAGUAAUAAUAAGAAACCAAAAUAAACGUACAAAAAUUCAUGCAUAAAUUGAUAAUCAACAAAAGCAUCCAAAAGUUUUACUCCAAGUUUUCUAUUCAAUUGACAUAACACUUAAAUUUCAAAAGGCAUAAUCAAUUUUGUGUCUAAUCCUAUAAAAUUAGAAAAUUAAAUAAUAUUAUAUACUAAUAAUUAAAUAAUAUGCAAUUAAUAAUGUUUAAAAAAUAAUGUUAAACAUAUUGUCAACUAAAAUAAUUGGGAGAAUUGGAGUUCCAAGAUAAAUUCUUAUCGAGUCCCAAAUCAACAAUUGGGAUUAAUUUCAAUCUUAAACUCCGAAACUCCGACUGCUUUUAAAAUUGGUCCUAAUAAUAUGAACAAAUCCCAUUCUGAUCAGUAUGGGAUCCCAAUCCCAUACCUUUGGAUUUCGAUGGUAUUUAGUUGGAGGGAGAAGAGAGGAAGGAAAUGAAUUCAAAUUCCUUUCACUUUUCUGUUGUUUGGUUUUCACUAAUAAAUGGGAAUUCAAUUUCUAUUGAAAUUUAAUUUUCAUCAAAUUGUGCAUUUUGGAUUCGUCACCGAAGGCUGUAAAAUUCAAAUUCCCCUCCGAUUAGAAAUCGAAUCUUCCAAAAUUGCUCCUCUCAAAUAUUUAUCAAUUAUUUUAAUUCUUGUCAAAUAAUUCUUAUUUAUGAUUUUAUUUUUUCAAUUUAAAUCGUCACUAAGGAGUCUAACUUACUACCACAGAAAAUCAAAAAUACAAUUUAUAGAUUAUGAUAAUUUUACGUAUUGUAUGAGAAUUGCAAUCCAAAAAUUUUCCCUACAAAACGCUUUUUAAUCGACAGCAAAUACAUGCUUUCAAAUUUAGUCAGCUGAACUAAUUUUUGUUUUUUUGGAUUAAUUUUGAAAUGUUGCAUCCAUAACGAGCUGGUAUUGAAAUUAAUGUUAACAACAAAAAUAGAUGCAAAAGGAGAAAUAAGCAUCAUGGCCAUUAAUAUUUUGACAUUCAAUGUUGAUUUUGAUCCCACUAAAUUAAGCCAUCAAAAAUUGCUGGGAAGGGAGUAAUAUCUAUUUAUAACUGGAAAUUACUCACCGUACAAUGAUGAUUGGAGCUGCAUGUAUCAUUUAUUAUUAACAAUUAACUUAUGAAAUGCUUUGAAUGUACCUCCUAGGUCGUAUUUACUACACUAGUUAGGAGAAAUUACGAUGUUAAAUUAUUUGAUAAAUACUUAUUAUAAUUUGAAAAAUAUGUCACAUUUGUCCUCCACUUUAUGAUAAAAAAUUUAAAAUAUAUAUAAAUCAUUCAUUUUAUAAUCUUGAACUUUAUUAAAGUUCGAAAAACUAGUAUUACUCUAUAUGAUAUAAUAGUGUGAUGUUGUUACACUAUUUUACCAUAUAAAAUAUAUUUGCUUUCUUAUAUAUAAUGGUUCUGACAUCCUUAUUUUAACAAAGUGAUGAUAUCACUAACAAACUAAAUAACACAUAUUUCAAUACACCAAUAGAUUAAAAAGAUACAGUUCUUAAUGUGUUAAAAUAUAUGUUUCUUGUAUAUUAUUGAUAUUUUCACUUUAACAAAGCGAGGGUCUCCUCACUAUAGAAGUACUUUAUAAAUAUUCUUUGUAUUUUUGUGAAAAUUAUUAUUUAAAAGUCAUAUCUUACCAAAGACUAAUAGUUUUUAUUUUAUCACUAUACCGUACUUUUGAAGAUAGAACACCUCAAUACCAUGACCUUAAUUUUUGAACUCUGCUGUACAAAGUUGUUGGCUGGUCUAUUUAGUUUAGUCUUUCAAUUAUUUGUCGUUUGAACUGAGAUGAUCCGAAUAAAGCUAUAUAUCAAUAAUUUCCUAGUGAAACUUCGGGAAAAAAAAUAAAAAUCCUCUCAUAUAGUGGCAUUAUUUUAAUUCUCAGCUUGAUUAUGUUUUGAGUUAACUUAUAGAUUAUUUGAAAUAAAAAGAAUAUAAUUUAUUUUUCUAACUAAAUAUUUUUAAAUAAUUUUGUUAAUUUAAUGAGUAAUUAUACACUUACAAAGUUAUGAUAUAAAAUUUAAUCUAAUUUAGCUAAGAUGUCCAAUUUAAUACUAAGAGCAAUGUUAAGGAUCCCAAUAAUUGAGUCUCAGCUGAUAUGAUAGUCAUUUAUUAGAUAAUCGAAAUAUUAAUUUUAUUAGUUAUGAAAUUUAUUAUCUAAUAAAAAAAUAACACAUAACAAUUGGGUCUCAAGUUAGAAUUCUACUAUCGAAAUUCCUAACAUUAUUCUCAAAUUAAAAAUUCAUCAAAAUAAUAUCUAUUAUCUAAAAAUAUAAAUAUAAAUAUAAAACCAUAGAUUUACUCUUCAAUCUUCGUGAUUUGGCCGAUUUCUCUUAAAGCUUUGGUUUCUUUAUAAGUGCAACGAGAAAUAGUAAGAAGAUUAAAAAAGCAAUAAAGUAAAACUUUAAAAUUUUUAUUUCUUUAUAUUUUUAUCGGUCAUUUGACCGGUACUGGCGUUUGAUUUUCUGACCGAGCUACUGUUUAGUUCUAAGUUUUGGCAAUUAGAACUGGUGGAUGUCGACUGUUCAAUAAUGAUGGCAGCAUUGACGCAGUGGAAUAAGGAUCACAUAUCUCAAACUUUAGGUGAUGAUAUUGUUAGAUAUUUCAUUGAUUGAGGAUCACAUGUUUUAUGACCACUAUUGUUAGAUAUUUUAUUGACUUACUAUGUAAGUCAAGCAAUUAUUUUUAAAUAAUGAUAUUAUAAUUAAAAAUCAAGAAAUAUUUAUAAUACUUAAAGACUAAUUCAGAUUAUUAUUAUUUUAUAUGACUUAAUUAUUAGCUGACAAAUAAUUAAAAGGUCAUAGAACAAUAUUUUUAGGUCAAAUUUGUAUUCUAAUAUGACACAACUUGUACUUUCAUUCCUAUGCUAAAAUAUAUCUAACCUACUAAUAGUCAAGAAAUAUAUCUAUUCAUCACAUACUUGUUAGAAAGAUUAUCUACUAAUUAAUCAUUGAGACGAGAUUACGAGUCUCAACAUAAAUUAGGAUAAAAAUUAAUACAUUGAAAUUCAGAACAUUUCUUUUUCCUCCUUCUGCAGUUUAAAAAGGAGUCGCCCACGAGUACUGAAAUAAUUUUAUCAGAUUCGCUUGAAAGUAGUUUUACGAGCAAGCAGUUUUUCCCUCUUGAUCCCCGUAUUCGUCAGCUCCUACUCUUUGCCUUCAAUUCUCAGUCAAGUAGUAUCAGUUUUUGUUGUCAGCUCUCUUGAAUUUCACUGGAUCAAGUUUUCUCUUGGCAUCUGUUUUGUUGUAAUCUCCAGUCUUUGUUAAUUAGUUUCUCUCCAUUCCCAAUCUUGUUGUGGCCUGCUGUUGUCUCUGUUUGGUUCCAUAUCUACCCUUUGUACUUCUACCGUGUCAAGAUACCUUCAUUUUUUCCAUCUCUAUUACCAGUCAAUAUUUUUUCCGUCUUUCUUCUGGUCAAUUCUUCAGUUAUUCUGAUUGGUUCCCUUCGCCUCUAUUAUCUAAAUCAUUCCUUAUAUUAAUUCAAUCAGUUCUCGAACUAGAAAUUUUUUCCUUGUUUCCAUCUUCUCACCAGAUCCAUAACAGCUUUUACUCUUUCUUUCAUUUCUCCGCUUCCAAAACCGGAUAAACUGUCCAUCUUCGUUGUUUCGUUUUUUUUUUUUUUCACUCCCUCUUUGUUUCGCUCGUUUUCUAUUUUCUUGUCAGAACUUUGAAAAAAAAAAAAAAAGGGAUCCAGGAUGGUGGAAAGCAUUGUUACUGUUGUUUUAGAAUUUUUGAAAUGCUUGGCUCCUCCAACAGAACGCCGAUUUGGUUAUUUGCGUAACUAUAAAGCCAACGUUGAGAAUCUCAAGGCAGAAAUAGACAAGCUCAAGGAUGAAAGGAGAAGCAUUCAGCACAGGAUUUCUGAGGCUGAAAGAAAAGGGGAAAAGAUUGAAGAGAAGGUUGAGAAGUGGCUGGUUCGUGCGAACAACACCAUUGAGCAGUCAGCCAAAUUCAUUGACGAUGAGGAGACAACAAAUAAACGAUGUCUCAUGGGCUUGUGUCCUAAUUUGAAGACCCGCUAUCAGCUUAGCAAGGAAGGAGAAACAAAGGUGAAGGCCAUUGUUGAACUCAAAGAAGAAGCUGGGAAAUUUGAUGAUAGAAUUUCCUACCGUACCAUUCCGGAGGAUAUAUGGCUCAAGUCUCACAAAGGCUACGAGGCCUUCGAAUCAAGACUUUCUACUUUGAAGGCCAUACAAAAUGCAUUGAUCGAUGUUGAUGUCAGCAUCAUUGGGGUCUACGGCAUGGGCGGCAUUGGAAAGACGACACUGGUGAAGGAGUUUGCAAGGCGAGCCAUUGAAGACAAGCUUUACGAUAUGGUGGCUUUUUCGGAGGUUACCCAAAGUCCAGACAUAAAAAAGAUCCAAGAGGAAAUUGCGGAAACGUUAGGCCUACAGUUGUCCGAGGAAGCUGAGUCUAGAAGAGCUGGUAGACUAUAUGAAAGAUUGAAGAAUGAGAAGAAGAUCCUUGUGAUUCUGGAUAACAUCUGGAACCCUCUUGAUUUGGGGACUAUUGGAAUUCCUUUUGGAGUUGAGCACAGAGGAUGCAAAUUAUUAUUCACAACAAGAGAUCUUGAUGUGCUGUUAAGGAUGGGAUCUGAAAAAAACUUCUCGAUUGGCAUUUUAAAUGAACAAGAAGCCUGGAGAUUGUUCAAGAUAAUGGCUGGUGAUUAUGUUGAAAAUCGUGAGUUAAAAUCUACAGCAACAAGUGUAGCCAAGGCAUGCGGAGGUUUGCCUAUUGCCCUAACCACAGUAGCAAAGGCACUGAGAAAAAAAGAGCUGCCUGUGUGGAAGAAUGCCUUGCAAGAACUCCAAACGCCUUCAGAGGCGAGCUUCGACGAAGGAGUACCAGCAGAGGCAUACUCAACAAUUGAGCUGAGUUACAAGUACUUAAGAGGUGAGCAACUCAAGAAAACUUUUUUACUGUGUAGUCUUAUUACGCCAGCACCAAUUAUGGACUUGUUCAAAUAUAGCAUGGGCUGGGGUGUAUUUAAAAGUGUCCACAAGCUAGAAGAUGCACAUAACAAAUUACAUGCAUGGGUCCAUCAACUAAGAGACUCUUGUUUGUUGCUUGAGGAUGGUGGCAGUAAAUACUUUUCUAUGCACGACGUUGUUCGCGAUGUUGCCAUUUCAAUUGCAUGUCGUGACAAAAUUGGAUUUGUGGUGACAAAUGAGGAUGAUUGGAAAUGGCCAAAUGCAGAUGAAUUAAAAAAAUAUCUUGCAAUUUCUUUAAAAGAUAGUAUUAUUAAUGACAUUCCUGAAGGGUCCGAAUCUCUACAACUUGAACUUCUAGUCAUGUCUCCCAAGAACUCUUUUGCUGUGCCUAAUAUUCCUGAGAACUUCUUCAAAAGGACGAAAAAGCUUCGGGUUUUGGAUUUUACUGGAAUGCGGUUAUUGUCAUUGCCAUCUUCAAUUGGUCUUCUAGUAAAUCUUCAGGCACUCUGUCUUAAUCAAAGCAUUUUGGGAGGCAUAGACAUAGCCAUUAUUGGAAAGUUGGAAAAUCUAGAAAUCCUCAGCUUUUUGCAAUCUGAUAUUGUAGAGUUGCCUAAAGCACUGGGUCAACUGACUAAGCUAAGGCUGUUAGAUUUAACAGACUGUUUCCGUCUGAAAGUUAUUGCCCCAAAUGUCAUAUCAAGCUUAAUCCGAUUAGAAGAAUUGUAUAUGGGUAAUUGCUCCAUUGAAUGGGAGGUUGAAAGAGCCAACAGCAAAAGAAGUAAUGCUAGCCUUGAUGAAUUGAUGCAUUUACCUCGGCUAACCACUCUAGAAAUUGAUGUUAAAAAUGAUAGUAUUUUACCAGGAGGCUUUUUGGCCAGAAAGCUCGAAAGGUUCCAAAUACAUAUUGGAAAUGGGUUAUUCACACAUCCCAUGCUUUUUAGACACAGAUGGUUUAAAAGUUGGCAGCACUUUGUGAUCGACAGAGAUCGCAAGAGUUUAAGAGCAUUGAAGCUCAAGCUUGAUUUUAUGGACAUUUGCUCCAUGAAAUUGCAGGGCAUCAAUAACGUUGAAUGCUUAUGGUUGGACAAGCUGCAAGGCAUCGAGAGUGUUCUUUUCAAUUUGGACACGGAGGGCUUUUCACAAUUGAAGCUUCUCUGGGUUCAAAAUAAUCCUGACAUCUUUUGUAUCGUCGAUUCCAGGGAGAUGGUCGCUUGUGAUGCCUUUCCUCUUUUGGAGUCACUUAUCCUUCACAACUUGAUCAACAUGGAGAGGAUAUGUAUUGAUCGGCUCAAAGUAGAGUCUUUCAACAAACUCAAAACCAUAGAAGCAUAUAGUUGUGAUAAAUUGAGUAAUAUCUUUUGGCUCUCUACUACAAAAUGCCUUCCAAGACUUGAGAGAAUUGCAGUUAUUAAUUGCAGCAAGAUGAAAGAGAUUUUUGCAAUUGGGGAAGAAGUUGAUAAUGCAAUUGAGAAGAUAGAGUUUGCUCAAUUAAGAUAUUUGAGUCUGGGGAAUCUUCCAGAGGUUACAAAUUUCUGCCGUGAAGUAAAGACUCCUUCAGCAUCACCAAACAGACCAGCGUCGCAGGAGGAAUCGACGACUACGUAUAGCUCCAGCGAAAUCACUUUGGAUACUUCAACUCUGCUUUUCAACGAGAAGGUGCGUAGGCUAACAUUUUCUUCAUAUAUAACAGAUUUUAUUCAUAUAAUUAAGAAAAUUGGUCAACUCAAAUGGACUUAAUCAUUUAAUUUUUCGUAAUUAAAUCAUUUAAAGAAUGGAAAGAAAAUGGAAAAAAAAGGAUAAAAAGAAUCUCACGCGCUCACUAAUUGAGCUCUUAACAAGUAGUAUGAAUUAGAAUGCAUACUCAGCUGUCAGUUGGAAAUUGAUUCAGACUUGCAUUAAUUUGUAAUCAAAGAAGAAAAUUUCAACAAGUGCUUCCCAUAUGGAUAUUGGAUCUAACGAGAAAUUCUUAUUUUUUUAGGUUGUGUUGCCUAACUUGGAGGCUUUGGAGAUAUAUGAAAUUAAUGUCGACAAGAUUUGGCACUACAAUAAUCUUCCGGUCAUGUUUCCUCGCUUUCAAAAUUUAACACGAUUGACUGUGCAUCGUUGUCAUAAAUUAAAAUACAUAUUUUCAGCGUCUAUGAUCGGAAGCCUUAAGCAGCUCCAACACCUAGAUAUACGACUCUGUAAGGAAUUACAGGAGAUCAUUUCUGAAAACAGAGCAGAUCAAGUGACCCCUCAUUUUGUCUUUCCACCGCUCACCACUCUGAGACUCGAUGGUCUACCAAAACUUAGAUGUUUGUACCCUGGAAUGCAUACUUCGGAAUGGCCCGCGCUAGAAAUUCUUUAUGUGUAUGGUUGUGACAAAUUAAAGAUAUUCGCUGCAGAUUUAUCGCAGAAUAAUGAGAAUGAUCAACUUGGUAUUCCUGCACAACUGCCCCCCUUGCCGUUGGAAAAGGUAUGAAGCCAUUUUCUAGAUUUUUUAUCAAUAGCUUAUUUUUAACUUUGAAAAAUAUGACAAAGUAUCGAUAAAUUAAUACUCAAUAAAUUAAAAACUUUUAUUAUACAAUAAUCUUUGUUAGUCUAGACUAAGGGAUCAAUGUGGUAGAUUAAUAAUUAUAUGAAUUGUUUUAGGUAUAGCAUUUGUAAAAGAAUCCUCAGUCUUUCCAUAUAGAAGAACUUACAAAAUAAAUUAGUAAUUUAUUAUUGUGCAAUAAAAUAAUUUCGAGCCUGUAUAAAUCAACAUUUUUUCCCUAAUUUCUUUUUUACCUCUAAAAUUAACAUAUAAAAAAUCAUUUAAUAAAUUUUAUCAAUAAUUCAAUCUUUUUUUUUUUUUUUGAGAAUGAUGAACUUGAUACUCCUGCACAACAGGCCCUAUUGCCGUUGGAAAAUGUAUGAAGCCAUUUUCUAGAUUUCUAUCAAUAGCUUAGUUUGAACUUUAAAAAAUAUGACAAAGCAUCAAUAAAUUAAUACUCAAUAAAUUGAAAACUUUUAUUAUACAAUAAUCUUUGCUAGUCUAGACUAAGGGAUUUAUUGAUAGAUUAAUAAUUAUAUGAACUUUUUUAGGUAUAGCAUUUAUAAAAGAAUCCUUAGAGCAUCACCAAAAGACUCUUUAAAUAAGAUUUUAUUACUUAUUUGAAGAGCCACAUCAGCAUUUAAAGUUCCAAAAGAUACUCCAAUUAAGAUUCUUCAAAUAAGAAAUGAUCAUCUCUCUUCAAAUUUGGAGAGUUGCAUUCCCCCUCUUCAAUUUAUAUUUUAUUACUUUUUGUUGGAGAAAGAGAGAGAGGUGUUUUAAUUACUAUUGACUUUUUAUUUUUUAAAAAUAGUUAUUUAAUUAAAAUAAUAUUAAUUCAUUUCUAUUUGAAGAGUCUUUUGGAGAAUAACAUAUUUUUUCACUUUUCUAUUUGCCACAUAGGUAAGCAAAUAGAAAUUUGAAAGAGUAAAAUUUAUAGAGCCUUUUGGAGAUACUUAGUCUUUCCAUAUAUAAGAACUUACAAAAUAAAUUAGUAAUUUAUUAUUGUGCAAUAAAAUAAUUUCCAGCCAGUAUAAAUCAAAAUUUUUUCCUUAAUUUCUUUUUUACCUCUAAAAUUAACAUAUAAAAAAUCUAAAAUAUAAUAUAAAACAAAUACUAUAAAGUCACUGCGUGUGAUUGGAUUACUUAAAAUCAUUUGAGAGAACAUCAAUUGACCUUAAUAAUUAUUAUGAUUGAUGAUGAUCAGAUCUUACCCAACUUGAAGGACCUAACAUUAAAUGGAAAAGACGUGAAGAUGAUUUUGCAGGCCGAUUUCCCCCAACCCCUUUUUGGCAGUCUUAAACAACUAAAUAUUGUUGGCGAUGACUCAGCUUGUUUUCCAAUCUGGAAUGUACUUGAGAGAUUUCACAGUCUCGAAAUACUCAUACUGUGUUAUUUUUCAUUCCACGAAGAGGUAUUUUCGAUGGAAGGAUGCUUAGAGAAACAUGUGGGGAAGUUGGCAAUGAUAAAAGAAUUACAGCUGCACCAGCACUAUCAUCUUGAGCAGCUGUGCAAACAAGACUCCAAACUUGGCCCCAUUUUUCAGUAUCUUGAAAUUCUAAAAGUAUAUGAUUGUCAAAGUCUGUUAAUUCUAUUGCCAUCAUCAUCGGUAUCUUUUCGGAACCUAACGGAAAUUGUAGCUUUCGGUUGCAAGGAAUUGAUACACUUGGUAACAUCCUCCACAGCAAAAACUCUAGUGCAACUCGUCACAGUGCGUAUGCGUGAAUGCAGAGCGAUGACAGAGGUGGUAAUAAAUGACAAAGAAGGAGUUGAAAAAGAAGAGAUUGUUUUCCGCAAAUUGAAGACGUUGGAACUGCGUGAUUUAGAUAGCCUCACAAGUUUCUGCUCUGCCAAUUACACCUUCAAAUUCCCAUCUUUGCAAGAUUUGUGGGUGAUUGGUUGUCCCAAGAUGAAGAUUUUCACUACAGGAGAAUCAAUCAUGCCUCUAAGAGUAAACGUCUGCUAUGGAGAGACAGCGGAUCAACGGCGCUGGGCUAAUAAUGAUCUAAACACAACCAUACAACAAUUACAUGCUGAGAAGGUACGUAUAUACAUAUUACUCUCUAUCUCCCAUGAUAAAUUUUUACAAAAUUUGCUUUCUUAAAUACAAUAUAGAUAAGAUAUUUUUUAUAAAGUAAAAGUUUAAAUUGAUGAAUAAGAAUUUUACUUUCAGCUGUUGGCGGUGUCGUCGUCAUACUCUACGCAGUACGACUAAUUUCAUAGGCUUCUUAUGACUUGGAGUUGCGAAUUUUUAGAAGAAAGUCUCAACUGGUAAUUAAUUUUUAUUUCAUUUAUUUAAUCCCAUGGCUUGUUUCGCAAUUUCAUCUGAAUUAUUUAGAAUGGAUCCCUCGGUUUACUGUUAAAUUUGCAAUGCAAUUUUAAUGAUCCUUUCAGACUUUUAUGGACAGAUUUUGCAUAAUUGAAUGUCUUUUUAGUCUAGUUUAAUUUGAGUCUUUUUUUUUUUUUUGGCGAGCUCCCCUCGUCUUCUAAAAUUUUGUAACUCCUUGCAUACGUUUUGAUGAUAAAAUUUCAUUAAAAGCCUUCGUAUUUUUUAAAUCCUUGAAAACGUGCAUACUUUUUCCUUUCUUUCUUUGCCAAUUAUUUAUCGUCAUCAUUGCUGUUCUUUUAUUUUACUUUGUGCUCUGUUUGUUCAUUGGGUUUGCUUUUCUUCACACCUAUAUUUCCUUGGAAAGUUAGAAGGCAAGGAAAGUACUUAGAAAAUGUUCUUCCCUAUGAACACAUAAUUAAAGAACAGCUGAAUAUCAUUAAUCGGAUUAAAAAAAUUAAAAAAAAAAAGUAAUCAGUGCAUAUUCAUAAUAUUUUCUCUGUUGUUCCUGUUAAAAUUUCUCUACUCUAUGAUUGCAGAAUGUUUGGAUACUGAUGAAGAUUUAAGUCACUCGUCCUCUGUGAAUAAGGUCGUUUUCCUUUUUUCCUCUAUUCAAAGUUUACAUUCUGAGGGGUUCCCGUUUCCAUCUUCGUGAUCUUCUUGUGAUUCACUGCAUUGUGUCGCUACAUCUGUGAUAGUGUGAGUUGCAACAUGUCUGUUUCCUUUGUUUGAUCAUCGCAAGUCCAAAGACAUUUCAUUCUAGCUAAGCUCUUUGUAUGUAUUAAAAAAAAUUUAUUCUCAAUAUAUAUGACUCAAUGAGUGGUCUUUUAUUAUAUAUAUGUCAUGAAUUUCUAUUGUAUUUUGAGAUUUGAUGGUGUAUUAUUGUCUCAUUGAAAGGUCUUGUAAUCACUCUGAUUCUCAUUUGAGGAGGUUGGUCUCGUCUAUGUGUAUGUAUUUAUAUCCACAAGAAAUUUGAUAAAUGGUCUUGUCGUUUUAUCAUUAAAACAUCUAGUGCUUCAUAGGUUGGAGGGCUACCAGGCAUCAGGGCCAGAUUUUUAAACUCAAAGUUAUUCGUGUCAUUUACCCAUUUGAUUAUCAAAUAGUCAUAAAAGCAUAUAAAUUCAAGUCAGUGUAUCAUUUGUACACAAUAUACUAAAACUAACACAAGAACUUGGCCGACAUUUUCAGUUGAAUAACUCAGACCCCCCUACUUCCUCGGGCUGACAGCCCAAAGUGAAAAUAUCUAAAAAAAAUAGUUUGCUCCACAUCUAUCUUUCCUAACUUAGGAAGGCAAGGAUUUUGAAAGCUUUGCUUGAUAAAAUCUGAAAGUUCUGAAGAAGAUUCAGGUCACUCGCGUGCAGCCUCUGGAAUAAGAGCUGUGUUACUGUUUAAAAGUUUUCAUGCUCUGGAAUAAAAUUUGCUUUACUGUGUUACUGGUCAACUUCAUUAUUCUACUAAUGCUUUACUUCAUCUUCAUUGUAUCACUACAUUGACAGCGUUGACAGUGUAACUAAAACCCUUGCGUUCACAAGCAAUUUUGAUCACAUUAAACUUUUAAGAAAUUAUCUUUUAUAGCCAUCUUCCAUAUUAUUAGGAGGAGUCGUUUUCACUAUUUUUAAGAAAUUUUGAUCACAUUAAACUUUUGAUCUGAGUUCAUAACAAAAAUCAAAACGGUGCAUGACAUCAAGAUUAUGAUGAAUCAAAUUGAACUCCCAAUAUGUUAGUUCAUAAAAAAUGCUUUUCUUCUUCCAAGUAAUCUUAUCAUUUCUUUCAUUUUAUUCAUUCUCCUCUUUUCUCCUCUUUUCAAGUCUUCAAUCUUAAGUACAUUACUGAACUGGUUUUUCACCUCGGCUCCAGACAACCGAGAAGGUGCUUGUCCCCACUCUCUAGUUUUAUCAGAUGGCACUAUAUUUUCGGAACCUAUGAUUUGUUGGUAAAAAUCGACGGUGACCCACGUGACAAUUUUCUACUAUGUAUCAACCAAUUAGAUCUAGUGUUUUGUUGGCAAACAAGAAAUGCUUAUUUACCUUUAAUACUCCACCCAAACAAGUUGGCAUAUGCUAGAAAGUCGGAGAUAGUCCAUAACAAUGCUGCGUGUGACUUGAACAUUUGAUUACGUGAUGCAUUAUGCACCAUUCCAACCAUACUAGCAUCACUACCCGAGUCAUGACUAACCUGUUUCUUAGUUAGAUUUCAAAGAUGAAGAUGGCUCACCCUCCAAUAUCCAGUUUUAAUACUUUAACCAAUAGCCAUUUAUAAUGAUAUGGUCUCUUGCCACUUUCCUUAUAAUGAAAUAUCGAUAUUACAACACCUCUUAGAAGGACAAUAAAUUCUUUUAUCACCAACAACAUUCUCAAAUGCAAAAUCUAUAAAUUUUUUGACCCCCAUCAGUAUAUGAAUUGGAUAUCUAUUUGGCAAACCAACCCAACUCUGGUCCAUGACUAUCUCCUUUUAUUGCACUAGAAAAAUUAGUUAAAUAAAUCACUUUAAUUCUUCAUUUCUACUACUAAACAAGAUAUUUUCAUGCGUGCGCAGUUUCGCAAUAUAAUAAAAAAAAUUAUUAUACAAUUUUAUGGUUUUAUAUAUAUGGAAGCAAGCAAAGCCACAAGAAUCAGAGAAAAAGAUGUGAAAAUUAAAGUAUAUAUACAAUAAUAAUUAAUCUAAAAAACAGUUUGCAAUACCUUCUGUAAAGAAAUAUCCUCACCCACAGCUGAGAACUUCACUUGGCUAUCAAUUACAGAUAUAUAAAGCCUGUUACCUAGAAACAAAAAAUUAGGUCAGCCAGCUGAAACAUAUUUAUAAACCAACAUUGGAGAUAGUACUCCAUUUAUAAAAAAAAUUACAAGACUCAAAACCAAGUCGACUCAGCAAAAUCAUAACCGAUUACAUUCAUCCCACUCAGCUCCUCCAAUAUAUCCAACAUUCCCUUCAUAUUUACAAAAGGUAAGUGGUCCUAUAUAUCCCACUCAAGAAUGCAUAAGUUUCUUCAAUCUUAAGUAUCUAAAGUUUUCCUCUACGUUUAUAGAAACUUCGGAAGCAUCUCCCUAUAGUUCUUCAAGUACACGACAUAGAUAUAUGAGUGUUUAUGUGUUAUGCCAAAACAAUACAUGACACCCAUUUGUCUAGUAUGCACCCAGAGAACAUGAGGAGCAGCUGCUGAAAAACCCAUUUUUACGUGGGAAAAAAAUUUCAGGCACUAGCUACCAUAGAAAUCUAUGCAUUACCAAACUGUCCAAGCCUAGAUAAUUCAAGAAUUAUUAAUAGACAUAAGAUCCUCACUAUCAUCCAAAAGAUGACACUAAUAAAACAUGUGUCUAUUAAUAAUUUCUUAAAGGAGUUUAAGCUUUCAAUGCAUGUAUCAAAAGUUUAAAAUUGAAUCUGAAACUUGAAUAACACAUAAAAAUCAUAAAUCUCUUCAAUUUAUUCCUAAUAAAAUGUAGCAUUUUUUCACAUUUCAUUUCUUAAGCAAAACCAUAAAAAAUUACAAACAACAAAUACAUUUUCUAGCACUGAUGCACAUUAUGUUUACUGAGCAAUAAGUUUUAAGUCAUUCAUAUUAAAAUACUUCUUCCUAUUCUAUCAACAAAUAACUAGUAUGUACACACAAUUAAUAAAUUAAAUGUAACCUGGUUGUGAAUCUUGCAAAGUCUUCCUAUUUGGUUUUUUUUUUUUUGGUGGUGGUUGGGGGGGGGGGGGGUGGUUAUGCUCAUUUGUAUGUUGUUAACAGAAAUUGAUCCAAAGCCUCCGUUUUAAUUAGCUUCAUUAUAGCCAAUGAUUAGGUGUUUAAAAACCAAUGAAUAUUUUUUAUAAGAAAUCAACAAUAUUGUUGAAAGAAAAACCAAAUAAAAAUAAUAAAGCAAUGCAUAGAUUAAGGCUCUUUAUUAUCUAAUAACUAAUCAAACUAAGUUGUGGGUAAAGGCGAAUAUGUUUGUUUGGCCAAUAAUAAACUCAAGGAAUCACCAAUAAUCACCUAGUUACUAUUCCUUAUGCCAUGCAAUGUAAUGGCGUCGGUAAUGGCGACAAGGCAGGCAAUAACUAGCUAGCUAGUUAUGAUAGUUGCUUAACUUAACCUACUGGAAAUCUGAAGACCAAAAUGAAGAAACUUUGUCUAGAACUAGAAUAGGAAAACAUUCAUACCCAAAACCAAUAUACAUGAUUAAGAAACUUGAUUAUAUGUAUAUUUUUGUUUGCCACACCAAAUCCCACUAUUUCCAUACUCAUAAGCACAAAAAACCAUCGCAAAAAUGAAUGACCAUAUAAAAUAAAAUAGGUCGUAGGACAUUGAGUAUAGGACAAUAUGAUUUAUGUACCGUAAAAUAACUAUAUCUGCAGUCAACUAUAUUUCUGUUCGAACUCUAAAGUUUUCCAUUAAAUUUUUUCCCCUGUUAGGUAAACCACUUAACUGAAACACUUAAGCAAGAUUGACAAUCAUAGACAUAAAAGUAUUAGGCUCGUUCAAGUGAAAUGAGCAUUAUUUGACAUAUCCUUUAGGCUUUUAAGUCAUUUAGAAGUCAUUCAUGUUAAACAAUUUCUUCAUAUACUUUCAAUAUAAUUAGUACAUACACAAUUAAUUAAUUAAAUAAAUCUGUUUCAGCUAGCACAGGAACUUAAGCAAUCAGAGCUAUUAGUUAUAGCUAGGACUUGAAUGAGGCACCUUUCAAAGUUCAAGAGGAGCAUCUGAACAGAAUGAAAGCAUUUUGUAGAAAUGGUAGUGAUGCUUUACAUCUACAUGCUCUUACACAAUAUGAACUUUCAUUUAUUCAAGAACAUAACACUAAUCCAAGCUCUUACUCUACAAGUCAAUUCAGUUUGUAGAUGCAAGCCAUUGUAAAAACUUUUGUGUUAUAAUUUCCGUAAAUGGAACAUGACAUUACUAAUAUAGAAUCAGCAAUGUUAUAUAACUUAUCAGACAAUAUAACAAGCACUUGGCGAGCAUAUAAGAUAAACUAAAACAAGUUAAUUAGAAAAUGAAACUAAAACCCAAGCUCCGCUAUUCAUUGUAGAAGCUUUAAACAUAAAAUAAAAGUAAAUCUAAAUACAUGAUUGUAAAACAUUAGAAUGAAUGUUGAAAUGAAAGCUAAAUUCAAUAGUAAUCCAAAUGAAUCCAUUUGAACUUUGUAAAUUCCGCAGAACAAAAUUAAUUUGAGUGAGCAAAGUCACCAAUGGAACAAGAACAGAAGGGCUUCAACUUCUAGGAACAAGAAAUAUUGCCGGCGGGACAAAAAUUGACAUUAAUGGUUACAAUACGAAUUAAAGAAAUCAAAACCUAUAAUUACAAGCUAAGAAAGAGAAGAAACUCAUAAUCACAAGCUUACCUGAAACGAUGAGAGAGAUAAUAAGAUGAAGAAGAAGAUCGCCGCCGUUUUACGCCAUUCUCCGGCUACCAGUAAGGUUUAGGAUGGCCAGGCACGCACGAGAGAGAAUUUGGGACUUUGGUUUUGAAAAUAUUGACUUCAGCAAAUAGUUUUCUAUUUAGAAACAAAUUUAUAACUCUACCGUCAAAAUAAUAGUAUGCCAAUUGGCUCUCUACCGUCACGUGGUUAGUAACAUAAGUGAGAGCAGUCUAGCAGAUAUUCCCGCGGGGACAUGACCCUCGAGAUUUUCCCAAUUCAGGAGGGUAUAUGAAUUGCUAGAGAUAUUUUGGCAAUUCUAAUUACAAAUGUUGCUUCUGAAUUAGUUUUUAGCACCAGUGUUAGAGUACUGUAACACGUUUUAUUCAAGCACAUUGGAGGCUUUAAUAUGUUGUCAAAGUUGACUACAAGCUUACAAUGGCAAUAUGAGUUUAUUUUACAUUGUAAUUAUAUUAUAUAAUUAUUAAUAUUUUCACUUAGAAUUUACAUUACUUAUAUUAUUUUUGUUGUUUUAAAUUUGAAAUCUGAGGCUAUCUCUCAAUUUGUCACAUUUCUCGAGGAAGAACAAGAAGAGUAGGAGACACAAGAGGUAAAUACUUUUAUUAGAAAUAUUGAUUAAGUAUCUAUAUUCAUUUCAUUUAUCUCAUUGUUGAUAUAAAAGUAAUUUCUUUUUUUUUUAUUAUAUGAUUUUGAAGAUUGCCGAAGAUAAUUAUUAUGGUGAUUUAUACUUUGUAAUGUGACUUUUGUAAUAGAUUAAUGUUAAUGUAAGAUAUAUCGUCAAACUUUAUUUUUAUUUUUUAUUUUAAUAUGAUUAAAUUAAAAUUUAAAACUAAAAACGUAUCAGUUAUUCGACAAUCGAGGACCUUUAAGGAUCCCCUAUUAUUAUUUGGGGAGGGGAGGGGGAUUCCCUAAAGUAAUUUUGUCGGGAAUGGGAAGAGGACAUGGAUAUAUGCAGAAUAUCGGGAAUGGGUACGGGGAGAUCAGUCUCUUCCCCUCCCCUUUCCAUUGCCAUUCCUAACAAAGUUGGCAAUACAUGUACGGGCCGCUUUUGUAAAAUUGCUUUAAGGGUCGUUUGGGAUUGCUUUUGGGAAUAGCAUGCAAGAUAUAUAUAAAAAAUAAAAUCGUAGAAUAACUUUUACCUCUAAUUCGAUUUUUUCUUCUUUUUUGUAAAUUAUUAUGCAUUUAUAUUAAAGUCACUGUGUAUGAUUGGAUUAUUAAAAGUUAUUUGAGAGAAUAUGAAUUGACUUAAUAAGUUAUUACGUGAUUGAUGAUGAUCAGAGCUUACCCAACUUAGGAGGAACGGGCAUUAAGUGGAAAAGACUCGAGGAUGACUUUGCAGAGCGAUUUCCCACAACACCUUUUUGGCAGUCUUAAACUACUACAAACAGUGAAUAUGAGAUUGUUUUCACCAAAUUGAAGAUUUUGUAUCUGUAUGAUUUGGGUAGUCUCACAAGUUUCUGCUGAUAGUCUCAGAAGUUUCUGCUCUGCCAAUUACACCUUCAAGGAAUCUUUGGAAGAUUUAUCUAUAAUUGGUUGUCCCAAGAUGAAGAUUUUCACUAAAGGAGAAUUAAACGCGCCUCUGAGAGUAAACUUCUACUAUGGAGAGAGAGAUGAUCAACAGCUUUGGGACCAAACUAAAUUCGUUAAUCAUUAGUUUUUAACUUCAUUACUGUAUGGAAGUCCUGUCAAAUUAAAUUGCUGCUGUUAAAUUUAUUAAAUCUCUUGCUUCCCUGCAAAUCUCUGUGUGCUUUAAUUUUAAUUGAAACUAAUGAAUGAAAAUUUUACUUUCAGCUGUUGGAGGGGUCCUCAUCUUAUUCAACGAUGUAUGUGUCCUAAUGGCAUUGGCAUUUUACUUUAAUUACAAGCGAGUUGUGAAUUUGAAAAACAAAGUCCCGGUUAAUUCAAUUUCAUUUCAUUUUAUUUGAUUUCUUGGCUUGUUUUAUUGCUUCAUCUAAAUUGUUUGGAAUACACCACUAGUUUAUUUUUACUUUUAGAAUGAGUUUUAAUGUUUUGUUAUGAGAUUUAUAUGCUUAUUUUAUAUCAUUAAAGGUCUUAGUGACUUAUCUAUUUAUUUAUUUUUAUAUCAUUAAAGGUCUUCACUUAUUUAUUUAUUUAUUUUUUUGACGGUGUGGCUUUAUAAUGUGCUAUUUUUUUUUUAAUUUUGAAUUUUAUAAUUCCUUGAAAAUGUCAUUGAAAGGCCCAGCACUUUUAUGUGGAAACCAUCUCAUCCUCUUUAUUUCGAACUAUUAAACAACCAAAUGUAUCCUAACAUAUAUGUUGAGAAUCAAUCUACUGAUUAAGAUAUAUGGCAAUGGUAUUGUCUGUUUGCUAUAGUUUGAUUACAAGAGAACUUUUCCAUUUGUUAGUUGCCAUCUUUGUUGAUCUGUUAAUUCAGUCUUCUUCUGUUUGUCCUGUUUCUCUGUUUAUUUCAACCUUUCUUUCAAAACUUAGAAGGUAUGGAAAGAGCAAGUACUUAGAAAUUGCAAGAAUUAUAUCAAAUCAUGCAUAUAUGCCCCUGCCUAUGAACUCUUAGGAACAAUCGAAUAUCUUUCCUUGAAUAACAUAAAACAAAAUCUACAGAUCAUUAAACCAUCAAAAGUUAGCUAUGAACAACAAUAUUGACCCCACAAAAGAGUUUUCUAUUUAGAAACAAAUUUAUAACUUUAAAAUAAUGGCAUGCCAAUUGGCUCUCUACCGUCACGUGGUUAGUAACAUAAGUGAGAGCAGUCUAGCCGUCACAUAAACAGUCACAAAAGCAACUGGCUGUUGCAAAGUAAGGGGUGGCAGAAAUUCCUGCAGUGAUAGGGAUUCUCGGAAAUUUUCUCCAUUUGGAUAGGAUAAAGAGAUAAUUUUUUAUUUAAUUUCUUAUGCAGAGAAGGGAUGAAAAUAAUUUUUUUAUCUAAUUUUUUAUUCGAAAAAAGGAUGAGGAUACAGCGGAAUCCUCAUCCCCUCCUAAUUUCUUGAUUUUAAUUUUAUUUUUAUUUUUAUUUUUUAAAUUAUUUAUAAAUAAAUAAUAAAAUGUAAAUUAUAAAAUAUUAAAUAUUAGUAUAAAUAAAAAAUAUCAAAAUAAUUAUAUUAUUAAACUUUAAGGCCUAACUUACUGCAUUAAUAUUUGGAUGAGAAAGUUAUCCUACGGAUGAAAGAUUUUAAUAUUUUAAGUUGGUGAAAAACAAAUGCUCAUAGGUAUCCUAUAUUGGCACGAAUUGCUGGAGAUAUUUUAACAAUUCUAAUUACAAUUGUUGCUCCUGAAUAAGCUUUUAACACAGUGGUAGAGUAUUGUAACACGCUUCAUUCAAGCACAUUGGAGGCUUUAAUGUGUUGUCAAAAUUAGUUACAAGCUUAAAAUGGCAGUAUGAAUUUAUUUUACAUUGUAAUUAUAUUAUAUAAUAAUUAAUAUUUUCACUUAUAAGUUACAUUACUUAUAUUAUUUUUAUUGUUUUAAAUUUAAAAUCUGAGGCUAUCUUUCAAUUUGCCACAUUCAUCGAGGAAGAACAAGAGGAGCAAGAGACGCAAGAGGUAAAUACUUUUAUUAGAAAUAUUGAUUAAGUAUCUAUAUUCAUUUCAUUUAUCUCAUUGUUGAUAUAAAAGUAAUUUCUUUUUUUUUAUUGUAGGAUUUUGAAAAUUGACGAAGAUAAUUAUUGUGGUGAUUUGUACUUUGUAGUGAGAUUUUUGUAAUGGAUUAAUAUUAAUGUGAGAUAUAUCGUCAAACUUUAUUUUAUUUAAAAUUUUAUUUUAAUACGAUUAAAUUAAAAUUAAAAACUAAAAACAUAUCAUUUAUUCAGGGAUCGAGGACCCACAGAGAUCCCCUAUUAUUAUUCAGGGAGAGGAGGGGAUUCUCUAAAGCAAUUUUGUCGAAGAUGGGAAGAGAGUAAGGAUAUAUGCAAAAUAUCGAGGAUAGGUACGGUGAGAUUGGUCUCCUCCCCAUUAUUAUCCCUAACAAAGUUGGUGAUACAAGUAACGGCCGCUUUUUGUAAAAUUGUUUUAAGGGCCGUUUAUGAUUGCUUUUGGUAAUAGCAUGCAAGAUAUAUAUAAAAAAUAAAAUGGUAGAAUAACUUUUACCUCUAAUUCGAUUUUUUCCCCUUUUUUUUUGUAAAAUAUUAUGCAUUUAUAUUAAAGUUACUGUAUAUGAUUGGAUUAUUAAAAGUUAUUUGAGAGAAUAUGAAUUGACUUAAUAAGUUAUUGCGUGAUUGAUAAUGAUCAGAGCUUACCCAACUUGGAGGAACGGGCAUUAAGUGGAAAAGACUCGAGGAUGACUUUGCAAAGCGAUUUCCCACGACACCUUUUUGGCAGUCUUAAACUGCCACAAACAAUGGAUGAUGCCUCAACUUGUUUUCCACAUGGUUUACUUGAGAGAUUUCAUAAUCUGGAAACUCUCAUACCGGGUCGUUGUUCAUGCGAAGAGGUAUUUUCAAACGGAGGAUACUUGAGAAAACAUGUGAGGAAGUUUGCAAUGAUAAAACAUUUAGAUCUGCACAAAUUUAAUCAUCUGAAGCAAUUGUGGAAACAAGACUCCAAAUUGCACUUCUUUUUUCAAUGUCUUGAAAUUCUAAAUGUACAUUUUUGUCAAAAUCUGUUAGGUCUAUGGCCAUCAUAUCAUCGGUAUCUUUUGGGAAUGUAAAAGAACUUCUAGUUCUUUUUGCAAGGAAUUGAUGAGCUUAGCAACAUCCCCCACAGCAAAAAGUCUAGAGCGACUCUUAUCAAUGGUGGUAUGUGGAUGCAGAGAAAUGAGAGAGGUGGUGAUAAAUGACGAAGAUGGAGCAGCAAAUUUAAAAGAAGAGUUGUUUUCACCAAAUUGAAGAUUUUGUAUCUGUAUGAUUUGGAUAGUCUCAGAAGUUUCUGCUGAUAGUCUCAGAAGUUUCUGCUCUGCCAAUAACACCUUCAAAUUCCCAUCUUUGGAAGAUUUAUUUUUACUUUUGGAAUGAGUUUUAAUGUUUUGUUCUGAGAUUUAUAUGCUUAUUUUAUAUCAUUAAAGGUCUUAGUGACUUAUCUAUUUAUUUAUUUUUAUAUCAUUAAAGGUCUUAAUUUAUCUAUUUGUUUAUUUUUUUUGACGGUGUGGCUUUAUAAUUUGCUAAUUUUUUUUAAUUUUGAAUUUUAUAAUUCUUUGAAAAUGUCAUUGAAAGGCCCAGCACUUUUAUGUGAAACCAUCUCAUCCUCUUUAUUUCGAACUAUUAAACAACCAAAUGUAUCCUAACAUAUAUGUUGAGAAUCAAUCUGCUGAUUAAGAUAUAUGGCAAUGGUAUUGUCUGUUUGCUAUAGUUUGAUUACAAGAGAACUUUUCCAUUUGUUAGUUGCCAUCUUUGUUGAUCUGUUAAUUCAGUCUUCUUCUGUUUGUCCUGUUUCUCUGUUUAUUUCAACCUUUCUUUCAAAACUUAGAAGGUAUGGAAAGAGCAAGUACUUAGAAAUUGCAAGAAUUAUAUCAAAUCAUGCAUAUAUGCCCCUGCCUAUGAACUCUUAGGAACAAUCGAAUAUCUUUCCUUGAAUAACAUAAAACAAAAUGUACAAAUCAUUAAACCACCAAAAGUUAGCUAUGAACAACUAUAUAAAAAUCAUUUGUUUCUCACCUUUUCGUGAGUCUGAGAAGUUGUAAAUUCUACUGAGUUUCUCACCUUUUUUUUGACAAUUGGAGUUUUUAGUUUAUGAAAUUUAAUGCCUAUAUUUCUCACAUUGUAGAAGUGUUUUGAAAAGAUGGUUUAUAUUGCACCAUAAAAAUGUGGUCUGAUAAACCAACAGGGGAGUAGUUUGAUCCAGUUACGUGAAAUGCAUGCAAAAUAAUAUUUUCUCUAUAGUUACUGAAGAGAAUUUUGGUCACUCUGGUGUGCAUUAUCUGGAAUAAAGUCGUUUUCCAGUUUCUUCAAAGUUUAUGUGCGGAGGACUUCCGGUUUCCAUCUUUAUGAUAUUCUUGACAUGCACUUCAUCCUGUCUCUCAAGUUCAAAUACUAAUAAAGAUGAGUAAAUUCAUCAUCCGUGUGUCUGCUCUUUCUAUGCAUUUUGACAUUUUUUAUUAAUGCGUCUCAAUGAGAUAUCUUGAUUAUAUGUAGCGAAUUAAUAUUCUGGCGUUUUUUGAGAUUUGAAGACGUAAUAAUUUCUCAUUGGAAAGCCUUUAAUUAUUGAUUUUCAUCAAAGGGGAUUGGUCUUGAAUGCAAAUGAAAUUUGAUAAAGGACCUUGACAUUUUUUAAAAUCAUCUAGCCUAGUAGUACUUUAUGUGUUGGAAGUGUCCCAGACCGAGAAAGAUUUCAACUUGGAGGAAUUGACAUAAAGCAAAAUGGUCUUCAUCAUCAUUUGUAUGGCAGCAGGGCCAGCUUCGUAAACUGUCAUUUUCCACGAACCAGCUGUUUUUCAAGUUGGAUUGCUCCGGAAUACUCACAAUCUGGAAAAGCUUGUAACCGUACAUAGAAAUAUUUUCACGUGCGGAGGUUGGGGAACGUGCUGAGAGGCUCACACAUAAAAACCUUAAAAGCUAAAAAUGGACUUUGGUGCAUUAAAAUUUUUAAAAUAUAUCAGAAGUAUCAUAUCAAUCAUACGAUAAGUAGAUAAUGUUAUAACAUGUGUUUAUUUAUUCUGAAAAAUUACUAAUCUGUAAUGUAUUUUAGAAUUCCUCCUGGUGGAUAGUGGAGCACUUAUGGAAAACAGAUUCCAUUUAUUUCUUCAAAAUCUUGAAAUUCUAAAGGUAUAAAAAUGUCGCCACAAUUUGAUAAAUCUUGUACCAUCCUCAGCAUCUCUCCGAAAUCUAACAGCAUUUACGCGGCUGUGCGGGACGAAUAAGCUAAUUAGUAUUUACUAACCCCAAACAAUUGAGAAGGAUACUAAAAUUUGGACCCUAUCACUUCAUUCGGUGUAAAUAACUAACUAAAAGUAGAUAAAUAAAUAGCUGAAAAUAUCACAAACUAUUUUAAAUUGAUUAUUAAAGUAAUGGAAUAUAUUAAAAUGAUAUAUAUAUAUGCGAGCGCGCGCACGUAUGUAUAUAUAAAAUAAAUAAUAUAUAUAGUCCUUUUUUGGUACAGACGCGUUCAUUUUUUCAUGCUAACAUGCUUUUAAGCCGUACAAUUUAAGAGAGCUAGUUGAAAGUUAGUUUUUAAUGUUAUUAAACCCUACGGCUUAAAAGGGUGUUUGCAUUAAAAAAAAAAAGAGAACACUAGCACCUAAUAAUGAUUAUAUAUAUAUAUAUCAAUUCAAGAUUUUAAAGUGCAAGAAAGUCCAAAAAAACUUUAAACAGUGGGGUUUUAAAAAUUUUCCGGACCUUUCUUGCACUUUAAGAUCCCGGAGGCUCUUGAUUAAAUCUUCAUCAUACUUGGAGAAAAUUAAAAAUGUAUGGAAGGAUAUUUUCAAGCUUGGUAAGGUCAAAUAAUUGUGGAGUUAAAAAAUUGAAUGAUGGGCAAGUUCAAACUACAAUACAAUUUAGAAACUUUUAGCGAAAAAUAAUAAGUGGAAAAACUUUAAAUUUCAUACAAAUAUGAAAUAUGUAUUAUGGGCUUGGCUAAGUUACGGUUUGUGUUAAUUUAAGGUUCAUGUAACUAACAACUUUAAUGAUAAAAUUGAAUAUAACAGUAGUUUUUUUCACAGAAAAAAUUAAAAAAAUAUAUGUAUUUUGGGCGAAACUUUUUGCGAAAAAUAAUGAGUGCCACGCUUUAUAACUUAAUAUGUAUUUUGGGCUUGGCGAAGUUACGGUUCAUGUAAUAAUCAAUUUAAUCAUUACCGGAUAAAAUUGAAUACACCAGUAGUGUUUUUCCGCGGAGAUAUCGCCAAAUUUUGUGUCAAAUAAAGAAUAAAAACCAUAAAUACCAGUAGUGUCCGAUUUUGAAAGCAAAGCAGCAUACAUAUUAACUACUAGGCUUUGAUGGUGGUUGCAGUAAAAAGGAUUAAAAGAGAGAGAGAGAGAGAACUUGAAAACUAUGGAAUGGAAGAUAAAUCAAAGUUAUAAAUUUGGACUCAAUAGUUUUGAUGUUCAAUCAAAUAUGGAGGGGCGAUUAGAAAUUAUCAAAAAUUUAGAGGGAUUUCAACCGUUCAAUUCAUUAUUAGGCGUUGUAGACUGCGGGGAUGCAGAAAUUUCCACAGGGACGAUGGCCCCGAGGGAUCUUCCUCAUUCGGGAGUUUGAUAAUUUUAGAUCUAAUUUUUCUAUGUGGAGACAAGAAUCUGAUAAAUUAAUAUGUGUGGGUGUAUAAUUUAGUGUUUGCCCUAAUAUUUUAUUUGGCUCCACAUUUUUCUAUUUCCAUCUUUAGUUUCUAUUUUUAAUUCUUUUUUUUUUCAAAUUUAUAGUAAAUACAUUUAAAAUUUCAAUUGUAAUAGUGUGAUGUAAAUAAAAAAUAUCAUAAUACAUUUAUAAAAAUAAUAUAAAUAACAGCCAAUAUAAAGUAAAUAUAAACACUUUAAAAUUGACAAAGAUAAUUUAAUUGAUGGUUUAUACUAUAUGACAUUUAUGGAUGAGUUCAACUUUGAAGAUUUACUUUUGCUUAAUUAGUUCAAAGAUUAUCUUCUCAUUUGAUGACAUUGACUUAAUUUGAUGGAAAUGAUUUUAAUCACUUUAGUUAAUUUGAUAUUUUUUGUGUUAAUAUGAUUUUAUAUUUUUACUUUAAGAUGAUUAAAUUAAGAAAAAAAAGAAAUUAAAUAAUCAGAGAUCGGAUGCCAUAAGAGAUCCCUUUGUAUUAUUUAGAAACAUCCAUCCCCUCGUUUCAAGUAAUUUUGAAGGAAAUGUCUAGAGUACAAAGAGAUAGACAGAGUAUUAAAGAUGAGUAUGGGGAAAUCAAUCCCCUCUCCUUCGCAUCUUAUUGACAUCCUUACAUAUGAGCCCAAGGGGAAAUGCACCGUGCCUGAUAAAAGUAAAAUUAAAAAUAAAAAAUUUCUUUUAUCAAAUCAUUCUAUGUGGUGGAGAUUAUUGUAUAAUCAAGUACACAUGGCAUUUUUAAAAGCUUUUUCUUUAUUUAAAGCUCUAAAGGUCUGCCUAAGAGUCAAGGUUGGUGCCGUUCUUCUAGAAGAACAACCCGUAUCUUUUGAUAUUCAAAGUUUGAAUAUCAAGUUCAAACUUUAAAUUUUGAAAUAAUAAUAAUAAUAAAUAUAAAAAGUGCCCAAAUUUUUAGCUAUAAAUAGAGGGGUUCACCCCCUCAUUUCAUUCAUUCUAUUCUUUUCUUCUUUAGUUCUAUAAUGAGAGAUUAAGAGUUUUAUACUCUUGAGUGACUAGUGUUUGGAGAGAUUGGGUGUAUUAAGGUUUUGAGAAGUGAAACAAAAUACUAAAAUACUUAUAAUCCUCAUUUCACUAGUAAAGUUUUAUCCUUUUGUCCUUACCUAUGGGCAUAAGUUAAAAGUCGAACCAAAUAAUUUAUGGUGUCCUCAGUGUGCUUGCUCUUCAUUUUCUUCCAAUUUCAUUUUACUCGCGGCCCUACUUCACAAAUUAAUUUUCUAAUAGUGGUAUCAGAGUCGGGUUGUAUUUUUUGGGGUCAAGAUACUGUUUACAUAUAUUGUACUGUUCAUGUAUAUGAUAUUGUUUCUGUAUACAACACUUUAUUCAUAUAUACAGUUACUGCUCAUAUGAAAUGGUAGGAAUCGAUCUUAGCAAAGGUAGCUCGUGGUGAACAAUGAUGGCGGAAAAAUACAAAAUUGAGAAGUUCAACAAAAAUAAUUUUUCGUCAUGAAAAAUGAAGAUGAAAGUUGUAUUGAGGAAGAGUAAUUGCUUGGCAACAAUUGAAGAGAGGCUCACAAAGAUAACUGAUGAUGACAAGUGGAAUGAGAUAGACAAUAAUGCCAUUGCAAAUCUGCACAUACCACUUUCAAAUAAGGUAUUAUUCAAUGUGGUAGAGUAAAAGAGAGCAAAGGAAAUAUGGUUUACUCUCACAAGACUAUACGAGGUCAAAUCACUACAAAAUAAAAUCUUUUUAAAGAGGAGGCUUUAUACUCUUCGAAUGACGGAAUCUACAUCAGUGAUCGACCAUAUCAACACUUUAAAGACUUUAUUUUCAUAACUUACAACGUUGGGUCAUAAAAUAGAGGAAAAUGAUCAUGUAGAGCUUUUACUUCAAGGUUUACCAGAUUCGUAUGAUUAAUUCGUCAUUAAUCUAACUAAUAACAAUCGAGCAAACAAGUUAGUCUUUGACAAUAUGGCAGCCUCCGUAUUAAAUGAGGAGAGUAGCAAAAAAUAAAAAAGAUAGACAGACAAGUUCGCAGCAAGUAGAAGCGCUAUUGAUGAUGAAAGGAAGAUCCAUGGAACGUGGCCCUAGUGAGAGCCACAAUCACAGUAGAUCGAAAUCAAGAAGUAAGAAGAAUGUUAAAUGCAACAACUGUGGCAAGAAAGAGCAUGUCAAGGAAGAGUAUUGGAACAACUAGAAGAGAAGAGAGGGUAAAGAUCCUGAGUCAUCAAAUGCUCAAGGGUAUGUAGUAAGUACCUCGUAUAAUGGAAAAAUUCUCUACAGUAAGGCAACAACUGCUUCAAAAGGCAGAAAACCACUAUAUGACGUCUGGCUUAUAGACUUAAUAGUUGUUUGGCACAUGAUCUCUCCAAGAGAAUGAUUUCACAAAUAUGAACCUAUUUCAAGAGAAUCUGUAUACAUAGGUGAUAAUCAUGCCUUUGAGAUCAUUGAUAUUGGUACUGUCAAAAUAAAUAUGUUUAAUGGUAUGGUUCGCACAAUUGAGAAGGUAAGACAUGUCAAAGACUUGAAAAAUAUCUCUUGUCUUUAGGACAAAUAGAUAGCCUUGUGCACAAAACUCAUGUAGAAAAUGGGAUCAUAAAGAUAGUCAAAGGCACACUUGCAUUAAUGAAGGUGGAAAAGAUCGGUGCUAAUCUAUUCAUGCUUAAAUGGAAACACUACAGAAAGCUUUUGUGUGUGUCACAUCAAAUAGAGAAAAUUCAGCGAUGAUGUGGCAUCUUAAACUUGGCCACAUGUCGAAACAAGGAAGCAACAUAGAUGAAAGUUUAGCAGAUCCACUUUCAAAAGUAAAUGUAUUUUAGACUUGAUUCAUUCUAAUGUUUGGGAAUCAAUUGAUAUAUCUAUGGGAGGUGCAAAGUAUUUGGUGACUUUUAUUGAUGAUUAUUCUAGGAGAUAUUUAGUGUAUCCAAUCAAGAAAAGGUCAAAUGUAUUUCCAUUGUUCAAAGAAUUCAAAGAAUAGAUUGAACUUAAAUCAGGGCAAGGGAUCAAGUGCCUGAGGACAGACAAUGGUGGAGAGUAUACAGAUAGCAUGUUUCUUGCAUAUGUAAGUAAGAAAGUAUCUAGAGAUAAUUUACAGUGGCAUACACUCCUCAAUAAAAUAGAGUAGUAGAGUGAAAGAACAUGACUCUUAUAGAAAAAAUAAGAGUUAUGUUGAGAACUGCUGGUCUACCAACUCAUUCUAGGCGGAAGUAGCAAAAACUACUUAUUAUGUGGUAAGUGGGUCAUCAUUCAAGGCAAUCGGGUUGAAGAUUCCAAUGGAAAAAUGGACAGGAAAGCCAACUGAUUACUCUCAUCUCAGGCAUUUUGAUGUCCUUUUACGUGAUAUACGAUACCCAAGUGAGAUUAAAAAUGGAUCCAAAAUCCAAGAGAUGUAUCUUCUUAGAAUCUAUUGAUGGAGUGAAAGGGUAUUAUCUGUGGGACCUCAAUGCCCACAAGAUCGUUAUUAGCAGAGAUAUUGUCUUUGUAGAAGAUCAAAUGCAAAAGAGAGAUAUGGAUGAUAGCACUAUUAAAAUUUAGAGAUUGUGCUAAUAUAUGUUGAAAAUAAUCUGGAAAAUGAAGAUUCAGAUUUUUUUGAAGCAGCACCAAAGUAUGAGAACAAGAACCAAUCAAGUCUGAGGCCCCAAAAGUUUGUUGGUCAACUCGUGAUAGAUAAAUGUAUGUGUGGCAUUUGGAUUAUGUCACAGAUAUCAAUUUUGCAUACUGUCUUUUAAUAGAGAAUGGAAAGCCAUCAACUUUCUAUGAAAUUUUAAACAGCUCAGAUGUUACUUUGUGAAUGAUAGCAAUGCAGGAAGAAAUUAAGGCUCUACACAAGAUUAUGACAUAGGAACUCGUACUACUACCAUAUAAAAAAAAACCAUUGGUUGCAAAUGGGUUCACAAGAUCAAACGUGAUGGUAAUAACCUAGUGGAGCGAUAUCGUGAAAGAUUGGUGGUGAAAGAAUGUAUUAACGUCAAUGAGAUAUUUUCUCCAGUGAUUUGACCCAGGACAGUCAGAGUGGUCUUGUCGAUGUGUGCUACAUUUGACCUAUAUUUGGAGCAGUUAGAUGUGAAAUUUUCAUUUCUUCAUGGAGAACUUGAAGGAAAGAUUUAUAUGCUCUAACUAGAAGGUUUUACUAAAAAGGGACACUUGGUUUGCAAGUUGAACAAAUCUCUAUACGAUCUCAAACAUGCACCGAGAUGUUGAUAUAAGAGAAUUGGUCAUUUCAUCAUAAACCUUGGAUACAAUAGAAUCAUUUCAUACUGUUGUACAUAUUACAACAAGUUUUAUAAUAAUGAUUUCAUCAUUCUACUGUGGUAUGUGGAUGACAUAUUGGUAGCAAGCCCCAACAAAGAUCGAGUCCAAGAACUGAAGGCACAGUUAACUAGGGAGUUUGAAAUAAAAGACUUAGAACCAGCAAACAAGAUUUUAGGGAUGCAAAUUCACCGAGAUAGUAAUAGCAAGAAGAUUUGGCUUUCUACCCCGCUUCUUAUUAAUUUCAAGUUAUUCUUAAGUAUUCAUCUAGUAAUGAAGUAGAGAAGAAGAGAUGUCUUGAGUACUGUAUGCAUCAGCAGUGGAAAAUUUAAGGUUUGCUAUGAUUUGUACAAGUAGUGGGAGCAGUUAGUCGAUACAUAGCGAAUCCUUGCAAAGAACAUUGGAAGACUAUUAAGAGGAUUCUGAGAAAUAUCAGAGGAACAUCAGAUGUUGCAUUAUGCUGCGAAGGAUUAGAAUUUACUGUCAAGGGCUUUGUGCAUUCAGAUUUUGCAGAAAAUCUUAAUAAAAGGAAACCCACUACUGGCUAAGUAUUUACACCAGAAGGCGAAAUUGUUAGUUGGAUUUCAAAAUUGCAGACCAUUGUGGCUUUAUCAACAACAGAAGCAGAUUACAUAGCAGCUACACAAGCUUGGAAGGGCUAUUUGGAUACAAAGGUUACUGAAAGAGCUUGGGCAUAAAAAUUUUUAUGGUUUGUGAUAGUUAGAAUGCAAGGAAUCCAACCUUUUAUUUCAGGACAAAGAAUAUAGGAGUACAAUAUCACUUCUUCGUGAAGUAGUGAAAGAUACAAGAGUGGAUACCAAGGAGAACUUAACAAAUGUUUUGCCCAAGCCUAUCAAUGCUGAUAAAUUUGUUUGGAGUAGAUCAUUUUAUGGCCUAGUAGAGACAUAAGCAACAUGAUAGCGACGAAGCAGAAAGGAUGGUGUGGAGAUUGAUUGAUUCUCAAUCAAAUUUCUAAGUGGGAGAAUGUCAAAGUCAAUGUCACUUUUCUAGAAGAGUGACCAAUACCUUUUGAUAUUCAAAGUUUGAAUGUCAAGUUCAAACUUUUAAUUUAAAAAAAAUAUAUAAAAAUAUAAAUAGUGCCCAAAUUUUUAACUAUAAAUGAGGGGUUCACCCCUGCAUUUCAUUCUUUUCUUCUUCAAUUCUAGAGUGAGAGACUAAGAGUUUUAAUGCUCUUGAGUGAUUAGUGUUUUAAGAGAUUGAGUGGAUUGGGGUUCUAGGAAGUGAAACAAAAUAUUAUAAUACUAGUAAUCCUCAUUUCACCAGUAAAGUUUUAUCCUUUUGUCUUUACCCGUAGACGUAGGCUAAAAGUCGAACCAUGUAAUUUUUGGUGUCCUCUAUGUGCUUGUUCUUCAUUUUCUUCCAAUUUCAUUUUAGCUGUGAACCUACUUCACCAGUCAAUUUCCUAACACUGAUAGGGGCGGAUCUGCAUUGGGAGUUAAAUAUAUGAAAUUUUAUUAAUUUAUGACUUUUUCUAAAAUUUAUUUUUUUUGUGACUUAUAUAUGAUUUUUAAGCAUUUACAUUUGAAUAGAAAAAGUAACUUUUGUGACUUUUAUUGAAUAGGAAAAAGUCUAAAUAAGAAUUAAAUAUAUAUUCUAAAAAUAUUUUUAUAAAAUAUAUUUAUUUCUUAAACUAUAAAAUCUAACUACUUUUUUUUGUUUUUAUUUGUAAAAAUAUAAAUAUCAAAUAACCAUAUUUAAGAUAAAUAAGAUGUCACUUAUAUUUGGGUAUUAAGAAAAAGAAAAAUAAAUAUAUCAUUCAUAUAUUUGUACUCAGCUCAUUCAUGCUUACGAAAAAUUUAUACCUAUUCAGAUUAUAAAAACAAACAAACAAAUAAACAAACGCCUUAGCCUAGCGUGGGCAAUUGACUUUACUGAAAAAUAGUUUUCAUUUAAUUUUAUUUUAAUUUAUGGAAAAUUUUUCUUUUAAUGUGGCAAUUUCGUAGACGACUUUCUUAGUGGGAUUAAUUUUAUAACGCAAGUUUAUUUUUCUCACAUUUGAAAUCUGUAAUUGUUUUUAUUUUUAUUCAAAAGAUUAUCUUAUAAAUCAAUCUCCAGGCUCCGCCCUUAUUUCUAAGUAUGAGACGUUCGCAUCAUUAAAAAUGGGGAAGCAGCAACAACCUACUGGCCAAUAGUAUAGGAUAGGAGUUAUUAAUGCAUAUCAGCUAUUUGGUGAAAUGCUCACAAGAAAUGGAAAUUUGACAUGUAUGCAUUUCUCGAACUUUACCAACAAAACUUUUAUAAAAGCAUAUUUGUGAAUGAUUUUCCUGAAAUUUAAUGUUUAUCAUCUCCAAUCUUUUUACUCCUCCAGUCUUGAGUAAUUAUGGUGUUGCCACCCAUGCAUGCUUAUAGAUGCUUUGGUUCCUGAGAUAAUUAGUUCAUCAAAUUAGCAGCCUUAGCCUUAUAUUUGCAUUUUAUUUUUGUCAACGUUAACUGGUUAAAUUGAAUCAGUAGUGAAACUGAAAUGAAAGUAACUGAAUGACCCGAAUUUAAAAAUAAUAAUAAUUUUGUCAACUAAAUGAUCCUUCUGUUUGCUUUAGUAUUAUUUUUUUCCCCCUUAUCAAUUCAAGUUUGAAAGACAAGCAAUGUAUAUACCUAAACUGAAGUUUAUGGUUUCUCCGUGCUCCUUGUAUUACAAGUAUCAAAGCUGUGACUUCACAUGAACCUUAGCAGAAGCUUCUGUGAUAUUAUUUAUGUAGCUUUUAACUUUAACAAAAGCAUAUGGAUUUUUAUUUUUUGACUUGAUUUGCCAAGAUGACGAUGAGUGGAAUUCAAUUCAUUUUCUAUUUUUGUAUUUUUUUUUUUUCAUUCUUUAAAACCAAUAAUUGUGUUUUGUUGUUGCAAUUUAAUACAUCAAUAACAUUUAUUGAAAAAUUGGCUAAAUUAAAAUGUGUUAACAUAAUGUACAAAGUAAAAUGCAACUUAUAAUUCAUAAAAUUUUAGAUGCUGAUCAGUCUAAAUAGAAAGGAUGUGUUUCACCUACUCUGUUUUGUACUAAUAAUCAACUACGCUUACCAAAUAAUAAUCUUUCUGCAACUGUCUGGGGGUGACUUUAUUCCCAUCCCUUGAUCUUUAUUUAUUUAUUCUUUGCUUCACUUCUGAACUUAGCCAAGGAACUUGAACUUUGGCUUUUCAAAUGGACUAGUUUUAGCUUUUAAUCUCGGCCAUGAUCUUCAUUGUGAAGAUGACGAACUAUUAUUCUUUUAUUCUUCACUUGUUGAAGUUACGAAAUAUAUAACUUUCUCAAAAUUUUAGCAAAUCGUUAUCCGUCAGCUUCAGAACCUCAUUAAAAAGUCAUCCUUUGCACUCGUUCUCAAUCAAGAAACACAUAUGCUCCCUUUUGCUGUCAACUCACUUGAAUUUCACUGGAUGAAGAAACCCUUUUCUCUUGGCAUCUGUUCUGUUGUAAUCUCCAGUCUUUGUUAAUUUGUUUCUCUCCAUUCCCAAUCUAGUUGUGGCAUGUUGUUGUCUCUGUUUGGUUCCAUAUCUACCCUUUGUACUUCCGCCGUGUGAAGAUAUAUCUUUUUCUCCAUCUCUUUUACCAGUCAAUAGCGCGUGUUUGGUAACGGAAAAAGGAGGAAAAAAAGGAGAGUGGGGGCAUUACUUUUAUCUCAUCCUUAACUUCCGAAAGUGGGAGAGAACAAGGGGGGAAAGAGGGGAGUGGGGAGUUAGCUAGGGGGGCUUUUUGGGCUCUCUUCCUCUCAUGGAAAAUUCUUUCUUUGACACUCUGCUUUACUUUCUGUAAAUUACUCGAAAAGCCUUGGGUUUUAAGGCAAUGUUUAUUAAGCCACAUGAGUGGUGGCACAAGUUUUUCCGAAAGGCCUAGAAACUAACUUGAGUGUCGGAGGGUUCACGCCGGAAAAACUUCCGGCGCCUCUAACCUUCUUCUAUGAUUUCAGGUAUUCCUAGGUUAAUCGCUAGUGGUUGCAGGACAUCUUGACGAUUGACCAAUCGAUUCUCUACCAAAUAAAUCUAAUACUGGUGUAGAAAUCUGACAUUAAGUCGCUGAUAGACUAGAUCAGAUUUGGGCAUCAACAGCGCGGUUGUUGUCUCUAAUAUUGUUUGCAUCUUUCUUCUGGUCAAUACAUAAGUUAUUUUGACUGAUUCACUUUUCCUCUAUUAUCUAAAUCAUUCCUUAUAUCAAUUCAAUCACUUUUGAACUAGAAACCUUUUCCUUGUUUCCAUCUUCUCACCAGAUUCACAACAGUUUUUAAGCUUUCUUUGAUUUCUCCGCUUCCACAACCAGAUACACUUGUCAUCUUUGUUGUUUCAUUUUCUUUUUUUCGUUUUUCUUUUUUUUUUUUUUUGCCUCUCUUUCUCUUUGUGUUUCGCUCGUCGUUUAUUUUCAUUUCGGAACUUUGAAAAAAAGAGGAUCGAAGAUGGUGGAAAGCAUUGUUACUGUUCUGUUAGAAGUUGUGAAAUGCUUCGCUCCUCCAACAGAACGCCAACUUUGUUAUUUGCGUAACUAUAAAGCCAACUUUGAGAAUCUCAAGGCAGAAAUAGACAAGCUCAAGGAUGAAAGUAAGAGCAUUCAGCACAGAGUUUCUGAGGCUGAAAGAAAAGGAGAAAAGAUUGAAGAGAAGGUUGAGAACUGGCUGGUUAGUGCGAACAACACCAUUGAGCAGGCAGCCAAAUUCAUUGAAGAUGGGGAGACAACAAGUAAGCGAUGUUUCAAGGGCUUGUGUCCUAAUUUCAAGACCCGCUAUCAGCUUAGCAAGAAAGCAGAAACAGAGGUGAAGGCCCUUGUUGAACUCAAAGAAGAAGCUAGGAGAUUUGAUGAUAGAAUUUUCUACCGUACCAUUGCGGAGGAGGUAUGGCUAAAGUCUAACAAAGGUUACGAGGCCUUUAAAUCAAGACUUUCUACUCUGAAGUCUAGACAAGAUGCAUUGACUGAUGUCAAUGUCAGCAUCGUUGGGGUAUACGGCAUGGGCGGCAUUGGAAAGACAACACUGGUGAAGGAGUUUGCAACGCAAGCCAGUGAAGAGAAACUCUUUGAUCAGGUGGUUUUUUCAGAGGUUUCCCAAACUCCAGACAUAAAAAAGAUUCAAGGGGAAAUUGCAGAGAAACUAGGUCUGGAGUUGUCCGAGGAGGCUGAAUCUAGAAGAGCUAGUAGACUUUAUGAACGAUUGAAGAAAGAGAAGAUGAUCCUUGUGAUUCUGGAUAACAUCUGGAAAUAUCUUGAUUUAGAGACUGUUGGAAUUCCUUUUGACGAUGAUCAUAGAGGAUGCAAAUUAUUAUUAACAGCAAGGGAUCGUAAUGUCUUGUUAAGUAUGGGAUCUGAAAAUAACUUCUUGAUUGGCAUUCUAAAUGAGCAUGAAGCUUGGAGGUUGUUCAAGAUAAUGGCUGGUAAUUUUGUUGAAAAUCGUGAGUUAAAAUCUACAGCAACAAAUGUAGCCAAGGCAUGUGGAGGUUUGCCUAUUGCUCUAACCACAGUAGCAAAGGCACUGAGAAACAAAGAGCUGCCUGUGUGGAAGAACGCCUUGCAAGAACUCCAAACGCCUUCAGAGGCAAGCUUCGAUGAAGGAGUACCAGUAGAGGCAUACUCAACAAUUGAGCUAAGUUACAAGUAUUUAAGAGGUGAGCAACUAAAGAAAACUUUUUUACUGUGUAGUCUAAUUACACCAACUUCAAUUAUGGACUUGUUCAAAUAUAGCAUAGGCUUGGGUGCAUUUGAAAGUGUCCAUAAGAUAGAAGAUGCACAUAACAAAUUACAUGCAUGGGUCCAUCAACUAAGAGACUCUUGUUUGUUGCUUGAGGAUGGUGGCAGUAAAUUCUUUUCCAUGCAUGAUGUUGUUCGCGAUGUUGCCAUUUCAAUAGCACGUCGUGACAAAAUUGCAUUUGCGGUGAGAAAUGAGGAUGUGUGGAACUGGCCAGAUGCAGAUGCACUAAAAAAAUAUUUUGCAAUUUGUUUAAAAGAUAGUAUUAUUAAUGACAUUCCUGAAGUGUUGGAAUCUACACAACUUGAAUUUUUAUUCAUGUCACCCAAGAACUCUUUUGUUGGGCCCAAUGUUCCUGAGAACUUCUUCAAAAGGACGAAAAAGCUUCGGGUUUUGGAUUUGACUAGAAUGCGGUUAUUGUCAUUGCCAUCUUCAAUUGAUCUUCUAGUAAAUCUUCGGACACUUUGUCUUAAUCAAAGCAUUUGGGAGACAUGGACACAGCCAUUAUUGGAAAGUUGGAAAAUCUAGAAAUCCUUGGCUUUGUGCGGUCUGAUAUUGUACAGUUACCUAAAGCACUAGGGCAACUGACUAAGCUAAGGCUGUUAGAUUUAAGAGACUGUUUCCAUCUAAAAGUUAUUGCCCCAAAUGUCUUAUCGAGCUUAAUCCGAUUAGAAGAAUUGUAUAUGGGUAAUUGCUCCGUUGAAUGGGAGGUUGAAAGAGCCAACAGUGAAAGAAGUAAUGCUAGCCUUGAUGAAUUGAUGCUUUUACCUUGGCCAACCAAUCUAGAAAUUGAUGUUAAAAAUGACAGUAUUUUACCGGAAGGCUUUUUGGCCAGAAAGCUCGAAAGGUUCAAAAUAUCCAUUGGAAAUGAGUCAUUCAUGCCUCCCAAGAGUAUUACAAGAGAAUGGUUUCAAAGCCGGCCGCACUUUUUGAUCAACAGUAAUCGUGAGAGUUUAAGAGAAUUGAAGCUCAAGCUUGAUUUUAUGGACAUUUUCUCCAUGAAAUUGCAGGGCAUCAAUAACGUUGAAUACCUAUGGUUGGACAAGCUGCAAGGUGUCAAGAAUGUUCUUUUUGAUUUGGACACAGAAGGUUUUUCACAAUUGAAGCAUCUCCAUGUUCAAAAUAAUCCUAACUUCCUGUGUAUCGUGGACUCAAUGGAGAUGGUAGCUUGUGAAGCCUUUCCUCUUUUGGAGUCACUUAUCCUUCACAAUUUGAUCAACAUGGAGAGGAUAUGUAUUGAUCAGCUCAAAGUAGAGUCUUUCAACGAACUCAAAAUCAUACAAGCAUAUAAUUGUGAUAAAUUGAGUAAUAUCUUUUGGCUCUCUACUACAAAAUGCCUUCCAAGACUUGAGAGAAUUGCAGUUGUUGAUUGCAGCAAGAUGAAAGAGAUUUUUGCAAUUGGGGAAGAAGUUGAUAAUGCAAUUGAGAAGAUAGAGUUUGCUCAAUUAAGAUCUUUGAGUCUGGGGAAUCUUCCAGAGGUUACAAAUUUCUGCCGUGAAGUAAAGACUCCUUCAGCAUCACCAAACAGACCAUCGUCACACACAAGCUCGCCCGCGAAUGGCAUGAGGAAGCGGACAUCACGCGAGCCUACCUCGACAAUGCCGCGAGGAAAAUGAAGAAAUGGGCAGAUACAAGGAGACGGCAUGUUGAAUACAAGGAAGGAGAUCAAGUCAUGAUCAAGCUCCUACCCCAACAAUUCAAGACGUUGCGGAAAGUCCACAAGGGGUUAGUGAGGCGCUACGAGGGACCCUUCCGAGUUGUUCGACGUGUGGGCAACGUCUCAUAUCAACUCCAACUUCCGCCAAGACUCAAGAUCCAUCCGGUCUUCCAUGUGAGCCUUCUCAAGCCAUAUCACGAAGACAUGGGAGAACCAAGUCGCGGAGAAUCGAGGCGCGUGCCAACUGCCGUUGUCACCGCAUUCGACAAAGAUGUGGACUACAUCAUUGCGGACCGCACGGUUUCGAGGAGGGGCGUGCCAGCACAUAGCAAGUACUUGGUGAAGUGGAAAAACCUCCCCGAGAGCGAAGCCACUUGGGAACGUGAAGAUGACUUAUGGCAAUUCGCUGAGCACAUCCAGAAUUUCAAGCACGAGAGCGCGACGAGGACGCCGCGAGCUUAGGUGGGGGAGGAUGUUGCGGACCGCCCAAUUCGCUAGCCCAAUUGCCCACAAUUUCGGGCUAGAGAGCCAACACAAGGCCAAGAGUGCUAGCUUGGCCCAAUUCCGGAAAGUUCUAGGCAAUUCUAGCACAUGUGAGCUUGCAAAUACUCUAGAAUUCUCCUUACAAUUCCAGCACAUGUAAAUAGCUAGGAAAUGGUAGAAUUCUCUAGAAUCUCUAGAGCUUGGCAAGCCUCCCCUAUAAAUAUGGGAUGGCAUUAGGCAUUUGUAUCCAACAAACACAACAACAAGCAUUGUAAUCUCUCUUUGUGCAAUACAAUUUCUCUUAUUCGGCUCAAUUGCUCUCUUCUCUAGUUCGAGAAGCUCUAGGCUUACUUAGCAACAUUCGGCAAAGUUGUCUAAGUGCCGCACGGGUUAGCUGCGCAAAAUACUCAUCCCGUGACAAGUGGUAUCGGAGCUAAGGUUUGCACGCACGCAAGUUAGCUCACGAAGCACAAUGAAGGCAGUAAACUCACCCGCCAAGCCAAUUGCGGGAAUUGCACAAGGCGUGCACUUAACACUCGGUACGUGGAGCGGAAAGCUUGAUUUCUCCAUCAUCCCCAUGGAUGACUUCAAGAUAGUCCUCGGCAUGGAAUUUUUCGACCAAGUCCAUGCCUUCCCACUGCCCGCUACAAACUCCCUAAGCAUCCUCGACGGGAGCAAAGCAUGCAUGGUACCCACGGAGCGAGGCAAGUCCGAGGAGAAGACACUCUCCGCCAUGCAAUUCAAAAGGGCUUUCAAGAAGGACCCAAGCUUCUUGGUCUCCAUCCGGGAACUAAACAAGGAAGGAAAGAGCAGAACGUCGCCAAGCCAAGUCCCUUCGCGAAUUCAAGCCGUUCUCAAUGAAUACAAGGACGUGAUGCCUCUGGAACUUCCGAAGAAGCUCCCACCUCGGCGAGAGGUAGAUCAUGCGAUCGAGCUGGAACAAGGCGCGAAGCCACCAGCCUUGGCGCCCUACCGCAUGGCGCCACCCGAAUUAGAGGAGUUGCGGAGACAACUCAAAGACUUGCUGGACGCAGGCUACAUUCACCCCUCAAAGGCCCUAUUCGGUGCACCGGUCCUCUUCCAAAAGAAAAAGGAUGGAUCGCUGCGGAUGUGCAUCGACUAUAGAUCGCUCAACAAGAUCACCAUCAAGAACAAGUAUCUGAUUCCCUUGAUCGCGGACUUGUUCGACCAACUUGGCAAAGUGCGGUACUUCACCAAACUUGACUUGCGCUCCGGGUACUAUCAAGUGCGCAUCGCCAAGGGAGACGAACCGAAGACAGCGUGCACUACAAGGUAUGGGUCUUUCGAAUUCCUUGUGAUGCCUUUUGGCCUUACUAAUGCACCUGUUACAUUUUGCACGCUCAUGAACAAGAUACUCCAACCAUUCCUCGACCGCUUCGUGGUCGUGUACUUGGACGACAUAGUGGUGUAUAGCACCACACUCGAGGAUCAUGCCCAACACUUACGACAAGUCCUCCAAGUACUCCGAGACAACGAGCUCUUCCUCAAGUUGGAGAAGUGCUCGUUUGCCCAACAAGAAGUGGAGUUCCUUAGCCACAAGGUUGCGGGCGGAAAGAUCAUGAUGGAGAAUGCCAAAGUAAAGGCCAUCCUCGAAUGGGAACCUCCCUCGAAAGUACCCGAGCUUCGCUCAUUCCUUGGGUUGGUGAACUGCUACCGCCGCUUCAUCGAGGGCUACUCAGCCAAGGCAGCACCCUUGACGGAUAUGCUCAAGAAAAACAGAACGUGGCAUUGGUCCGAAGAGUGCCAACGCGCAUUCGAGCAGUUGAAGAAGGCAAUUUCGGAGGAACCCGUCCACGCUCUUCUGGACCACACUAAACCCUUCGAAGUUCAAACGGAUGCCUCGGAUUUCGCCAUAGGUGGAGUCCUUAUGCAAGAAGGCCAUCCCAUAGCGUUCGAGAGUCGAAAGCUAAACGAUACGAAACGCCGCUACACGGUGCAAGAGAAGGAGAUGACCGCAAUCAUACAUUGCUUGCGGGUGUGGCGACAUUACUUGCUAGGCUCUCACUUCAUGACUAUGACGGACAACGUAGCGACGAGCUACUUUCAAACACAAAAAAAGUUGAGCCCGAAGCAAGCACGGUGGCAAGAUUUCCUUACGGAAUUCGACUAUUGGCUCGAGUACAAACCGAGGAAAGCCAAUGUCGUUGCAGACGCUCUAAGCCGUAAGGCCGAAUUGGCAACAAUUAGCAUGAGCCAACCAAAGUCCGACCUUGUCUCACGCAUCAAGGAAGGCCUCCAACAAGAUCCGCUAGCAAAGGAUUUGCUGGAGAAGGUGCUCGAAGGCAAGACAAGGCGAUUUUGGCAAGAGGAAGGCAUCCUCCACACCAAGGGAGAUCGGCUGUUCGUGCCAAGGUGGGGAAACUUACGGAAGGAGGUAAUCAAGGAGUGCCACGACUCUAAGUGGGCUGGUCACCCAGGAAUCGAGCGCACCACCGCACUAGUUCAAGCCUCGUAUUUUUGGCCGUACAUGAGGGACGACAUCGAAGCAGAUGUGCGAACUUGUCUUGUGUGCCAACAAGACAAGGUGGAUCAUCAACUUCCAGCGGGAUUAUUGGAGCCGCUACCACUAGCAACAAGGCCAUGGGAAAAUGUCUCCAUGGACUUCAUUACUUCGCUGCCCAAAUCCGAAGGUUGCGGAAGCAUCAUGGUCGUUGUCGACCGAUACAGCAAGUACGCCACAUUCAUUGCCGCACCAAUCGAUUGUAAAGCGGAUGAGGCAGCCUGCCUAUUCAUCAAGCACAUUGUGAAGCUUUGGGGAGUUCCAAGGAGCAUUGUGAGACCCUCGGUUCACUGGGCGUUUUUGGACGGAGCUCUUCAAGAUGUUGGGGACCGAUCUCAAGUUCUCGACAAGCUUCCACCCACAAACGGAUGGGCAGACCGAGUGCAUCAAUGGCCUCCUCGAAAUGUACUUGAGGCAUUAUGUGAGCGCUCAUCAGUGGGAUUGGGCGAAGCUACUCGACAUCGUCCAAUUUUCUUAUAACUUGCAGCGAAGUGAGGCUACGGGCAAGAGUCCGUUCGAGAUCAUCGUGGGAUUCCAGCCCAUGACCCCCAACGCCAUAGCCUCGACUUACGGCGGGAAAAGCCCCGCGGCACACAAGUUCGCCCGCGAAUGGCAUGAGGAAGCGGACAUCACGCGAGCCUACCUCGACAAAGCCGCGAGGAAAAUGAAGAAAUGGGCGGAUACAAGGAGACGGCAUGUUGAGUACAAUGAAUGAGAUCAAGUCAUGAUCAAGCUCCUACCCCAACAAUUCAAGACAUUGCGGAAAGUCCACAAGGGGUUAGUGAGGCGCUAUGAGGGACCCUUCCGAGUUGUUCGACGUGUGGGCAACGUCUCAUAUCAACUCCAACUUCCGCCAAGACUCAAGAUCCAUCCGGUCUUCCAUGUGAGCCUUCUCAAGCCAUAUCACGAAGACAUGGGAGAACCAAGUCGCGGAGAAUCGAGGCGCGUGCCAACUGCUUGUCACCGCAUUCGACAAAGAUGUGGACUACAUCAUUGCGGACCGCACGGUUUCGAGGAGGGGCGUGCCAGCACAUAGCAAGUACUUGGUGAAGUGGAAAAACCUCCCCGAGAGCGAAGCCACUUGGGAACGUGAAGAUGACUUAUGGCAAUUCGCUGAGCACAUCUAGAAUUUCAAGCACGAGAGCGCGACGAGGACGCCGCGAGCUUAGGUGGGGGAGGAUGUUGCGGACCGCCCAAUUCGCUAGCCCAAUUGCCAACAAUUUCGGGCUAGAGAGCCAACACAAGGCCAAGAGUGCUAGCUUGGCCCAAUUCCGGAAAGUUCUUGGCAAUUCUAGCACAUGUGAGCUUGCAAAUACUCUAGAAUUCUCCUUACAAUUCCAGCACAUGUAAAUAGCUAGGAAAUGGUAGAAUUCUCUAGAAUCUCUAGAGCCUCUAGCUUGGCAAGCCUCCCCUAUAAAUAUGGGAUGGCAUUAGGCAUUUGUAUCCAACAAACACAACAACAAGCAUUGUAAUCUCUCUUUGUGCAAUACAAUGUCUCUUAUUCGGCUCAAUUGCUCUCUUCUCUAGUUCGAGAAGCUCUAGGCUUACUUAGCAACAUUCGGCAAAGUUGUCUAAGUACCGCACGGGUUAGCUGCGCAAAAUACUCAUCCCGUGAUAGUAGGCUAACAUUUUCUUCAUAUAUAUAUAUAUAUAUAUAACAGAUUUUAUUCUAUCAUGCGUUCUCUUUUGACGUCAUACGUGGAAAAUAAUUAAAUCAUUUAAGAAUUGAAAGAAAAUGGAAAAAAGGAUAAAAAGAAUCUCACACGCUCACUAAUUGAGCUCUUAACAAGUAGUAUGAAUUAGAAUGCAUCAAACUCAGCUGUCAGUUGGAAAUUGAUUCUGACUUGCAUUAAUUUGUAAUCAAAGAAGAAAAUUUCAACAAUUUGUAAUCAAAGAAGAAAAUUUCAACAAGUGCUUCCUAUAUGGAUAUUGGAUCUAACGAGAAAUUCUUAUUUUUUUAGGUUGCGUUGCCUAACUUGGUGGCUUUGGAGAUAUCUGCAAUUAAUGUCGACAAGAUUUGGCAUUACAAUCAAAUUCUGGCGGCCGUGUUUCCUCACUUUCAAAGUUUAACACGAUUAGUUGUGUGGUACUGUGACAAACUGAAAUACAUAUUUUCAGCGUCUAUGAUCGGAAACCUCAAGCAGCUCCAGCACUUAGAUAUACGCUUCUGUGAGGAUUUACAGGAGAUCGUUUCUGAAAACAGAGCAGAUGAAGUGAUCCCUUAUUUUGUCUUUCCACAGCUCACCGUUCUGAUACUCCAAGGUCUACCAAAACUUAGAUGUUUAUACCCAGGAAUGCAUACUUCGGAAUGGCCAGCACUAGAAAAUUUUGCAGUGUGUCGUUGUGACAAAUUAAAAAUAUUUGCUGAAGAUUUAUCGCAGAAUAAAGAGAAUAAUCAACUUGAUAUUCCUGCACAACAGCCCUUAUUGCCGUUCGAAAAGGUAUGAAGUCAUUUUCUAGAUAUUUUUUUUUCAAUAGCUCAUUGACGACUUUUGACUUUGAAAAAUGUAACAAAACAUUGAUAAAUUAAUACUUAAUAAAUUAAAAAUUUUUAUUACAUAAUAAUCUUUGCUAGUCUUGACUAAGGGAUCAAUGUGGGAGAUUAAUAAUUAUAUGAACUUUUUUAGGUAUAGCAUUAUAAAAGAAUCCUUAGUUUUUCUUUAUACAACGACUUACAAAAUAAAUUAAUAAUUUAUUGUUGUGAAAUAAAAUAUUUUCAUGCAAAUAUAAAUCAACCAUUUUUCCCUAAUUUCUUUUUUACCUCUAAAAUUAACAUAUAAAAAAUCAUAUAAUGAAUUUUAUCACUAAUUCAAUUUUUUUUGGGGGUAAAAUUAAUAUAAAACAGAUACUAUAAAGUCACUGCUUGUGAUUGGAUUACUCAAAAUCAUUUGAGAGAACAUCAAUUGACCUCAUUAGUUAUUAUGAUUUAUGAUGAUCAGAUCUUACCCAACUUGAAGGACCUAUCAUUGAAUGGAAAAGAGGUGAAGAUGAUUUUGCAGGCCGAUUUCCCACAACACCUUUUUGGCAGUCUUAAACAACUAGAGAUUGCCGAAGAUAACUCAGCUUGUUUUCCAAUCUGGAAUGUACUUGAGAGAUUUCACAAUCUUGAAAUACUCUCACUGUUUCAAUUUUCAUUCCACGAAGAGGUAUUUUCGGAGGAAGGAAGCUUAGAGAAACAUGCGGGGAAGUUGGCAAUGAUAAAAACAUUAGAGCUGCGCUGGCACUAUCAUCUGAAGCAGCUGUGCAAACAAGACUCCAAACUUGGCCCCACUUUUCAGUAUCUUGAAAUUCUAAAAGCAUAUCGUUGUCAAAGUCUGUUAAUUCUAUUGCCAUCAUCAUCGGUAUCUUUUCAGAACCUAACAGCUCUGGUGGCUUUCGGUUGCAAGAAAUUGUUACACAUGGUAACAUCCUCCACAGCAAAAACUCUGGUGCGACUCGUAGCAAUAGAAAUAUAUGGAUGCAGAGCAAUGACAGAGGUGGUAAUAAAUGACAAAGAUGGAGUUGAAAAAGAAGAGAUUGUUUUCCGCAAAUUGAAGACGUUGGAACUGCGUGAUUUAGAUAGCCUCACAAGUUUCUGCUCUGCCAAUUACACCUUCCAAUUCCCAUCUUUGCAAGAGUUGUGGGUGAUUGGUUGUCCCAAGAUGAAGAUUUUCACUACAGGAGAAGCAAUCACGCCUCCAAGAGUAAAUGUCUGGUAUGGAGAGACAGCGGAUCAACGGCGCUGGGCUAAUAAUUAUCUAAACACAACCAUACAACAUUACAUGCUGAGAAGGUACGUAUAUACAUAUUACUCUUAUCUCCCAUGAUAAAUUUUUACAAAAUUUGCUUUCUUAAAUACAAUAUUGAUAAGAUAUUUGAUGAAUAAGAAUUUUACUUUCAGCUGUUGGCGGUGUCGUCGUCAUACUCUACGCAGUACGACUAAUUUCAUAGGCUUCUUAUGACUUGGAGUUGCAAAUUUUUAGAAGAAAGUCUCAACUGGUAAUUAAUUUUUAUUUCAUUUAUUUAAUCCCAUGGCUUGUUUCGCAAUUUCAUCUGAAUUAUUUAGAAUGGGUCCCUCGGUUUACUGUUAAAUUUGCAAUGCAAUUUUAAUGAUCCUUUCAGACUUUUAUGGACAGAUUUUGCAUAGUUGAAUGUCUUUUUAGUCUACUUUAAUUUGAGUUUUUCAUUUUUUUUUUAGAGAUCCCUUGUUUUCUAAAAUUUUAUAAUUCCUUGCAUACUUUUUAUGAUAAAAUUUCAUUAAAAGCCUUCAUAUUUUAUAAUUCCUUGAAAACGUGCAUACUUUUUCCUUUUUUUCUUUGCCAAUUAUUUAUUGUUAUCAUUGCUGUUCUUUUAUUUUAGUUUGUGCUCUGUUUGUUCAUUGGGUUUGCUUUUCGGAAAGUUAGAAGGCAAGGAAAGUACUUAGAAAAUGUUCUUCCCUAUGAACACAUAAUUAACAGCUGAAUAUCAUUCAUUGGAUUAAAAAAAAAUUAAAAUAAAAAGAAAGUAAUCAGCCCAUUAUUCCUAGAACAAAUCCUUAAACCAUCAAACGUUAGCUAUGAACAAGUAUAUUGGUCUAUAGCAUAUUCAUAAUAUUUUCUCUGCUGUUCCUGUUAAAAUUUCUCUACUCUAUGAUUGCAAAAUGUCUGGAUACUGAUGAAGAUUUAAGUCACUCUUCUUCUGUGAAUAAGGUCGUUUUUCUUUUUUCAUCUAUUCAAAGUUUCCAUUCUGAUGGGUUCCCAUUUCCAUCUUCGUGAUCUUCUUGUGAUAGUGUGAGUUACAACCUGUCUGUUUCCUUUGUUUGAUCAUCGCAAGUUCAAAGACAUUUUAUUCUAGCUAAGCUCUGUGUAUGUAUUAUAACAUUUUUAUUCUCAAUAUAUAUGACUCAAUGAGAGGUCUUUUAUUAUAUAUAUGUCGUGAAUUUCUAUUGUAUUUUGACAUUUGAUGGUGUAUCAUUGUCUCAUUGCAAGGUCUUUUAAUCACUCUGAUUCUCAUUUGAGGAGGUUGGUCUCGUCUAUGUGUAUGUAUUUAUAUCCACAAGAAAUUUGAUAAAUGGUCUUGUCAUUUUCUCAUCAAAACAUCUGGUGCUUCAUGGAGGGCUACCAGGCAUCAGGGCCAGAUUUUUAAACUCAAAGUUCUUCGUGUCAUUUUUUAACAAUAAUAAGGAAAGCCCAAGAGAAAAUCUAGAAGUCCUAAUAGGACCGCUUCUGCAUAUAUUGUUCAUUUUCUUAAUUACCUUCAUUAUUAUUUUCAUUUUCAAUCGAUCAAACUUCAGUUUCUUAGCAUUAAUCUAAUUAUGUACUUCAUCUUGAAAUCCUUAAUUUACUCAUCAAAAUGUGAACGCUAGUGUAUCAGUUUUACACUAUAAGAAAUAGUUGUAUUACCGACCAGACAUUUCCACAAUAUAAUAUUCAAAAUAAGUACUUUUUACAAAGGUAUUGUCAUUGACGAGCCGUUGGAUAAAUAUGAAAAGUAUAAAGAAAAAUCAAACGCCAAGAAAAAUCGUUUGUCGGAAAUGGAAUGUCGAGCCCAAAAUUACUCUAAACUUGGUAAAGUUAGAUUUUGGCCCAAUUUGUUUGAAAGUUUUAUACAUAAAGCACUUUUUUUUUUUAAUGUAAUUUGUGCAAUCUGAAGUGAGGUAUUGUAAAAUUAACAUAAAUAAAUGUAAUAUGCCAAUACUGUUUAAAACAAAAAAGAUAUCAUGAAAUUGAAAAAAAAAAAAAAUAAUAAUAAUAACAACAUUAAAAGAAAAAGGAAAUUACGGAGAAGAAGAAUCGCUUCUUGAUCUCAACUCUCAAUUUCAAUGCAAUCUAUGAAUCUCACUUCUCAAUGGGGCGAAGAAGGAUCUGUCUCCAUUCUUCAUUCGCAUUUACUCAGUGGUAAUUAAUUCUUCACUCUCACUCGUCUUAUUUCCUGCAGAUUUCUUCAUUUUCCUUCACUGUUCAUUUUUAAGGUUCCAUUGUAUUUCCAUUGAGUUUGCAACCGUUCAAUUGCUCGAUCCUUAUUAGUUUUUGGACUUCAAUGACCAUAGAAGAAAAUUAUCACAAACUCUUCCUUAUUUUGUCUUUGUUUUUUUAUUUGUUUAUGCAUGUUUCCUUUGCUGAUUUAUUUACUUAUUUCUUUCUCUGAUGUCCCAAUUUAUCCUAUGAUAUUUCAAUUGAUGUAUUACGUUCAUGUUAUGUUUAUGGAUGCUUGCUCUACUGUCCUAAUUUACAAUUAAAUUUUACUCCGUCCUUAGCUAUCGAUUCACAGUGGUGUUUCAUUAAUAUGUACUUGUCUUAUUUUAUAUUUCAUUAACUAUUAUUUCAACAAUUGCCGCAGGUGUCAAAUAAUGAAUUUGUAUGAGCUUCAGUCCAAGGUAAUUAUCUUUUUCAUUUCAUGUUAUUUGAUCUCUAGGUUUAUUUUAUCGUUUCAUCUAAAUUAUUUGGAAUGCAUCAGCUGGUUUAUUCUUAAUUUUGGAACGAAUUUGAUGCAGCGGAUGGUUGCGUAGGAUGAGUGGAGUAUCUCUCUAGGUUGCGUAGGAUGAGUGGAGUAUCUCUCUAGGGUAACAACUUGAGCUAUAAGUAUCUAUUUAGGGUGUAUAAUAUACAUUUCGAAGUUCGCGACGAGGGGAAACUAAUCUAAUACUGUAGCGCCGCAUUAGUCUCGUGGUUCGAUUGAAAAUUAUAUUUAUUUCAUAUUAUUUUACAAGUUUAAGAUCUAUUUUCCUAUUGUUUUUAGGAUUUUUAUCUUUUUUUUUUCUAGAUAUAGAAUUUGAGUAACAUUUAUCUUAUUUCAGUUAGGAGAAUGUUAUUAUGUAGUAAUAUGUUAGGUUUAGUUAUUUUGGUAAAUUUGUUAUAUUUAAGUUUAGUUUAAAAGAAGUCCAAAACCUUAAUUUUGUUAUUCAGACUUUCAUUAAUAAAAUAUAAAACUUUCUAAAAGAGAAAAUGUUCGUCUGGUACCUAUAUUUUAACUUCAAUGCUCGUUUAGUUAUUAUAUUUUAAAAAAUACCUCAAUAUACCUUGAUAUUAAAUACGUUACAUUUUUCCUUAAAUUUUAUUUACUUUUACAAUAAUAUCUUGGCAAUAAUAUUCUUAAAUUAAUUUCAUUUAUUUAUAAAAAAUUUAAUUGGAAAAUUAAUCAAUAAAUAUCAAUAUGAAAUAACCAGUAUUUUUUUGUACUUUUACAACAAUCUUGCCAAUAAUUCUUUAUAAAUAAAUCAAUAGCAGCCAUCUUAAAGUAAUGUUUAAUAUUCUUAAAGCAAUCUUACUAAUAAAUGCAUAAAAAAAUUAAUUUACGAAAUUAGUCCUAAAACUAAAAUAAUAACAUAAAAGUUUUUAUUAAUAUUUAUUUUGUUUAAGGCUGGUUAGAUGAAUUACCAUUUUUUUCUUUUCAUUGAUAUUCCCAAAAAUAUUAUUCCAACACAGUAGGGGUGUCUUGAGGUUAGGGAUGGCAAUGGGGAGGGGAGGGGAGGGGACUAAUCUCCCCGUACCCAUCCCCGAUAUUUUGCGUAUGUCCUCGUCCCCUCCCCGUCCCCGUCCCCGUCAGAAUUACUUGAGAGAAUCUUCAUCCCCUCCCCGAAUAAUAACAGAGGAUCCUCGAGGGUCCCCGAUCCCCGAAUAACUAAUACAUUUUUUUUAUUUUCAAUUUUGAGUUAAUUAUAUUAAAAUAAAAAAAUUCAAAUAAAAGUAAAUUUCGAAAUAUAUCUUACAUGAAUAUCUAUUUCAAAAGUCACAUACAUUAAAUUAGUAAGUAACGCAGCAUGCAAGGGAUACAAACUAUCAUGAACAAAUUAAUAGUCUAAUACAAAAUUGUUACAAAUAAAAUCGAAUUUAGAUUCAAAAUUAACUUUUUCAAUGGUGGCGUGGGCACUUUAUAAAUGUGGACUAUUCCCUUUACAGCACAAUAGUUAAGUCCGAGCAAAUCAAGAGCAAAUAUUAGAUUAGAUUAGAUAUUAAAAUUGUGAUUCGCUGUGGGCAAUUAUAACAUCUAAAAAUAAAUAAAUAAAUAGAUUUAAGUUUAAAAUAUUUAAUGAAUAUUAAAAUUAAAACAAAAUUUUUGGGCUAAUAGAAUCUACUGGUCUUUUUAAUGUCCUAAAUAAAAAUUUAAGACUUUAAUUUGUUAAUUAGGCCUAAAAGUUUAAUAAUAUAAAUAUUUUGAUAUUUGUUAUUUUUACCAAUAUUUAUAAUUUUAUAAUUUAUUUACUAGUAAUUUUAAAAAAUUAAAAUAAAAUUAAAAAUUAAAAUGGGGAAAUGGGUAGGGUAUGGGGAUUCCACCUCAUCGCCGUCCCCUCCCCAAAUAAGAAAUUGGGUAUGAAAUUAUCCCCAUACCCUCCCCAAAUAGGGAAAAUCCCCGAUGGUACCCGUCCCCGUGGGGAUUUUUGCCAUCCCUACUUGAGGUUGAGGCACUUUUUAAAAUAUAAGAACUAAAUGCGCUCUCAAGUCAAAAUAUAGAGACUAAAUGAACAUUUAUUCCUUUUAAAAAGCUUGUGUUUCUCUAUCUUUUCAAUCUCAAUGUUUUUGUUUCCGUUUCAUCAUAAGUUCUAAUGUUUGGUUCUCAUCUUAAUGUGCAAAUUUUACAUCAUUGAAGGUCUUUUGAUCUGAGUUAAGAUCAUAAAAUUAUACUUGCAUUGGUCAGGUUAUACGAAAAUUGUACAAAAUAAUAUUCUUAUAUAACUGUUGUCCUCUGUUAUUACGGAAUCCCCAAGUUCUGAAGAAGGUCGAAAUCAGGUCUCUCUACUGUGAAGCCCCUGGAAUAAGAGCUACAAAUGUGUUACCGUUGAAAGCAUGGCAGAAAACUUAGUACUUAAUUCAGACUCUUUGUGGCUUCAAUAUUUUACUUAACAUGAAAAAUUCUUUCUAGCUUGCAUCAUUGUAAAGAUAAAUUGUCGCAGUUCUGACAAUGAACAAGUAUAAAUGUCCACAGAGAAAAGUACUGAACAAUUAAUGUUAACAGCAAUCGAUUGGUGUGAGCGCCAACCACCAUUUUCAUAUUUAAGCCUUUAGAACAGCAAAACAAAAUACGGCAAGUGGCAACCACAUCAAAUAAUCAAAUUGUUGAUAGAUUUUGAAAGCUUUAAUUUGCUUGAUAUAUAUUUAAAUAUUUCAACAGAUGAUCUUUUCGCUACUCACGGGGCACGCUGAGUUAGAAACGGUUUGGAUGUCAAUAUUACUCCAAGUGCCUCAACCAAAUUCAGAAUGAAAAAAAACCAUCUGGUUACCUGCACUUUUGUUUAAGCAGCUAAUGAAGCUAAUUAGCACGAAAUAGUACACAAACUCGCGAGAAAUUUCAUUAGUAGAUCAUCAUCCUGGGAGGAAACCAGCAUCUUGACGCUUUUGUGAUCAAGAAAAUCUGCCAGAACCCCAAUUAAUGAAAAAAAAAUUAUAACAUCAUUUACAUGUAGUUUUACAAAAUCAACAGGACACUCACAGAGCACCUCCUACAGCUGGACCGGCAGUUUUGGUAAGCGACACUACAGUCAUAGCAAGUCCAUUAGCAGCUCCUCUUUGAUGCUGUUCCUUUUGUUGUGGCAUAAACCAACAAAUUAAAUUUAAACUUUGACACAUACAAAAUUUGAAAAAGCUGAAAGCAUGUAAAUGUACUAAACAAACAAAAGAAAAAAAAUAUUUACCACUGCUCUGUUUUGCAGAAGGAAUAAUCUAGUUAUUAUCGACACCUGAUGUUAUAAUUCAGGAAGAGUAAAAUAGAAUUACAACAUUUCUAAUAAAAAAAGACAUAAAAUAAUUUUAUACAUACUUGCUGAUGGAUAAUAUAACCUAAGUAUAUGGAUCAAUGAUUAGGAUAUCCACUUACAGCUAAAACAUUCUUCAUCACAGAAGCACAGUUUAUCAAAAAGGCAAGGCUGAACCCAGAUAGCAUUGCUAUGUAAGUGUAACUUGUCAAAAGCGGUAUCGAUAAAACCUGUACAUACAUAGAAAAUUAUGGGACCAAAACCAUGAAGAAAAGUAUUUUAUAAACAAAUAUGUUUGAAACAAACUAUCAAAUGGUCUAAAUGCCACAUGGUGUGUUCAAAAUUAUUGUUCUGUUUUAGUGACAAAACACUCAUCCCAUGACAUUGAGCUAUCAAUUCUCAUGGCUUCGUCACGCUUGAAAGGUUUGGUAGUUGUUCUGUUUUAUCUUCAGUUUCAUUUGUGAUCACAGAAACGUUAGGACUUGCGUGCAUGAAAGCACAUUAAAUCACAGAAAUUUUGUGAGAAAUGCCUGCAAGUGAAAUUUUAUCAGCAGUCUUGUAAUUUUCUAUUUUUGUUGUUGUCGUCAUUUUUUUACUACUAUUACUGUUUGAAAUUCUAGUAUUUUAGAUGUGAAAUUUAUUAUAUUAGAUAUUCGAGAUAUCUAUGAUGCUGAAUACAGGGCAUGUGUUGUCUAAAUUUAUUUUAUUUUGUUUGCUUCACUUCCAAUUUUCAAAAACUUUGAAGAAUGCUAAGAGAAGGAGCAAAGGGCUAAAGAGUCAAAUGUAACAUUGCUAUUAAUUUGUUAAUUGCCAUCAUUUUUAAUUUUUGCACUGUUUGUUCUGUUUACCCAUUUAUUUCAUUUGGUUUGCUUCACAUCUAUAUUUCCUAACUUAGGAGGGCAAGGAUUUUGUACUUGAGAACAAAUAGCAGUUACUCAAAAUGUGGCAACCACACCAAAUAAUCAAUUUGUUGAGAAAUUUUGAAAGCUUUGCUUGAUAAAAUUUGAAAGUUCUGAAGAAGAUUCAGGUCACUCGCGUGCAGCCUCUGGAAUAAGAGCUGUGUUACUGUUUAAAAGUUUUCAUGCUGUGGGGCUUCCAUCUUCAUUAUUCUACGAAUGCUUUACUUCACUACAUUGACAGCGUUGAAAGUGUAACUAAAACCCUUGCUUUCACAAGCAAGCAUCGAUUAAUGAAAAAGAAAGUCUCUCUCGAAGGUAAUUGACAGAGGAGCAAUCUUCUUACUCUUUAACUAAAUAUCAGAAAUACAAGGUUAAGGCUGCCAGGGUUGCGAAGGAGAAGGAUCGUUCCCGGAUUUUGCCUGCUUCAAGUUGUUGGGCUUGGUGAACCAAGUUGUGUACACGAAUUGCUUAUGAGGGCCCACAUGGUUGCAGACAAGCCUGAGCUUUUGUCUCUCCCUCAUGUCUCACAUUUUAUGAUGAAUCAAAUUGAACUCCCAACACGGUAGUUCAUAAAAUAUGAUUUUCUUCUUCCAAGUAAUCUUGUCAUUUCUCUCAUUUUAUUCAUUCUCCACUUUUCAAGUCUUCAAUCUUAAACUCAGUAAGGAUAUUAUUCAACUGCUUUUUCACUUCAGCUCCAGACAUCCGAGAAGGUGCUUGUCCCCACUCUCUAGAUUUAUCAAAAGGCACUAUAUUUUCGAAACCUAUGAUUCGUCGGUAAAAAUCGACGUUACCGACGUGACAAACCGAAAACUGAACCAAUUGAUUUUACUAUUUUUUUUAUAUUACUAUUUCGGUUUUUUAGAGAUAAAAAAACCACACAAAAACCGAACCGAACCGAUCGAUUCGGUUCGGUUUUUAAUUAAUCAGCUUUUUUUGCCCACCCAUAUCAUUAUGGAGGAGAGUUGAAGAAGAAUGGGAAAAUAAAAUUAUCGUUAUAACUAAAUUGUAAAUAAGAAAGAAUGCAAGGGAUUCAAUCAAAAAAAGACAAAAGAGGGGUACGGUGUCAUAGGGGUACCAAAGCUUUGCCCUUCUUGUUGAGCUUAAUAUUUAUUUUUAGUUAUUUUUUUAUUUUUUGUCCUUUACAAAGAUAUGAUGACUCUAAGUAUUUUAGACAUUUUUAACCCUAGUGGCAAAUGUUAGUUUAGUACAUAUAUUUUGAUUUAAGUGUCCAUUUAAUUUUAUAUUUAUAAGUUACCUAAAACACCCCUGCUAUUAAAUAUGUCACAUGCUUACCCUUACUUUUUCAUUUCUUUUAUAAUAAUACCUUUACAAAACUUUUUUAUUAUUCUUUUACUUUUAAAAUUCAUUUGGUAAAAUAAUUAUUAGUAAAAUUAUUGUAAAAAUAUUAGACAUUACUUUAAGUAGGCUAAUAUUAAUUUAUUUAUAAAAAAUUAUUAGUAAGAUUGUUUAACAGAUACAAAAAAUAUUAGUUCUUUCACACUUAUAUUUAUUGGUUAAUUUGCUAAUUAAUUUUUUUAUAAAUAAAUUAAUUAAUGUCAAGAAUAUUGUUGCAAUAUUAUUAUUGUAAAAGAAAAGAAACAAACAAUGAUAAGAAUGUAACAUAUUGAACAAUAAGAGUGUUUUUACGCACUUUUUAAAAUUUGGAGAUUAAACGGACACUUAUAUCAAAAUUUAGGGAUUAAACGAGUAUUUACCCAAUCAAUUACACUCAUAAUUUAUAAUGUUGAUAUUUGAGAUUAAUUACACUCAUAAGAGGCCAACUAUAAUGAAAGGGCACUGCUAUACCAACAAAUUUUAGUAACAUUGUAAAAAUGGCAAUAAGAUAGCCUGGAACAGCUAAUAGGUACAAAGAAAAUUAGCAAUAAUCAAUUGGCGAGAGCAUCAUCAUCAUCAUCAUCAUCAUAAGUUUAUGGCUACCCCAAAAACUGAUGUGGAACCCCAAAGAAAUAACUUGGUUGAAGCAUUCCGAAAACUUAAUUGGCUUGAAAAUUAAAAGGAUCUUUCUCUAGUUGCGGCGUUGAACUAAAAACGGCUUGAAUGUUAUCAAUACUCCAAUUGCCUAACCACGUUUAAAAUGAAGAAAACCACUGGGAACCUGAACUCAAACUACUGGCAUAAAAUAAUAGCAUUGGUAGGACCUAGCUGGCAUUACAAUUGAAAAACUACUGGAAUAAAAUAAUUUUUGGCGAGUGGAAGAGUAUUUAUGCUUUCAGUAAAAACUAAUGAAUAAAUAAAUAUUGGAUCGACAACUAUAAAUAUCUUGAACAAAAAGAAUAGAACACAGAAGAAAAGCAAAAGCACCAUCUGCAUAAAGAACCAAGAAUAACAACUGAAUCUCUCUACUUUUAUUAAUUAAUAACAACCAAAUUUAGAUAGAAAAAAAAAACAAUAAGUUUUCUGCAUCAUAAAAAGUAGACCCGAAUGAGGCAAUUCAUCAAGCACUAAACCUGCAUUCGAAACACAAACGAAUAACACUUAAGAGAAAGCGGAUUUCAAAUCAAAAAGUAAAUACAUAAAAUCAACAUUUAAUUCGCCAGUACACCUAAAUUACUCUAGAAAUUCAAAUUUAUUGCUAAUUAAACACUAUAAAAUAUAAAAAAAAAAAAAUCUAAAAACAAAAAUAUGUCGACAAUCAAAUCAAAAUCAAUACCUCUAAUUCGAUUCCAAGAGUCUCAGGCACGGGUCGCACGAUAGAGUGAACGAGCUUGCUAAUUGUUCUGCCUCUAUUUACAAGCUUAACUAUUCUUUUGCUCAAGUCAAUGUGACCUUUUAGCUUGUCACACAGACCAUGACGGCUCGACGCGGCUGACUUUGAUGAUGCUAAGAAUACGACUCUAUAAGAUCUCCAAGAAAAUGAUAAAUCCUUUUGAAGUUGUUGUGCUUGAGAAGGCGAGCAUUUAGGGUUUAGACUUUGAUGAAGUCGAAAGAAAAAACUACAAAAAUUGAGAAAGAGAGAGUGUGUUUUGACCUAGAGCUUCGAUCUUCAACUCAACUGUUUUGCUUCUGGUUCGAUCUAUCAUUAUUCAUUAAGAGGCUAGAGAGGUUGAGCUGCUUGAUCUGUUUCUGCUUUUGGUUUUGGCCUUUGUUUUAUUUUGGUAUUUUGUUUUGUUGAGAUACUGUGUCAGGAAAGAGAGGGAAACGAUUUUGUGAAGAAAGAGAAGAUGAAGACUUAAUAAUUUAUCUAAAUUUUAUGUCCAAAACGACAUCGUUAAGAAUAAAUGAAAUAAUAAAUUUCAAAAUAAAAUAAAAUAUAAAAUCUUCGCAUGAGUGAAGGUUUAUGAUCCUAUAAUAUCAAUAACUGUUGAUGCUGGUACGUUAAAAAUGUUAAAAACUACGUAAGUCAUCAAAUACUGAUAUUUUUUUAUUUAACAUUAAACAUAAUAUCAGCGAAUUGAGAAAUUUUAUAAUUCAUUAGUAGUAAUAUAAUCGAUUGAUGUAUGCAUAACAUGUAUAAUUAAAUUUAAUGUAACCAUUAUUUUACAUAAUGAUCUUUCACAAUAAAUACAUAAAUAUCACAGUAUCAUUUACUUGUUAUAUAACUGUUAUAAUACUUCUAAUGCAUUAUAGAAUUUAUCCAAAAAAUGUGAUUUUUCUUCUACCAAUAAUGUAUACUUAAUAUUAAUAUUUUCGUUCAAUCAUACAAGGUUGGUAACUUUAAUUGCAGUAACUGAUUCAAAUUCAGUAGAUGUUUCCAUUAGAUAUGUUUUUUUACUGCAUUGCAUAAAUCGAUGAAGACCCGUGUUGGGCUUACAUAUUGCUUCCAUUGGGCUGGACUAUAUCUGAACAGCGGCCUACACAAGUAUACAACAUAAAUCAAACCCGGCUCCCGCCUGUUUUUAGACAUGUUUGCACUAUAUUUAUUUGAUGAUGAUGAUGAUAAUAAUAAGAUCUCCCUAAGUUACAUGCAUGUAACUUACAACCAUCUCACAUUAAUAGUGAGUGGACCAACAUUAUUCACUAUUUAUGUGAGAGGGUUAUAAGUCACAUGCAUGUAACUUAGCAUUAGCCUAAUAAUAAUAGUUUAAAAACAUAUGUUUAUAUUUUUCAAAUAUUGUAUUGGUCAGCAUAUCUUUGCUCGCUCCUCAACUAAACUUUUCUUAUAAUUGUUCGUUUGCAUGCGGUCGUUAAACUCAUUUCAUAGCAAAUUUAGUACCACUUCAGUCUUCCUCUUUCGAGCUACGUAGUGGUACAAGAAUCUCCCGUAACAAUUUUUAGUUUAGUAUAGAUCUACCAUCAAAGUUUUAAAAUCGACAUAAAAAAUUUAUUCUUCCCCAAGAAUGCCUGAGAAUAGGCUUGGUCUUUUAGAUUUUCUAUUAAAUGAAAGUGUUGACCAAUUUGACCAAAUAAAAUUAUAAUUUCAUCCUUUAAUUAUAACGAAUAAUUAAUGUAAAAUGAUAAAUGUCCAUAAACUUUAUUUUAAUUUUCUUUUCUUACCCUUUGCUUUCUCUCUCCCCUUUCUAAUAAAUGUUGUCCAGUUAAAAAAUUUCGAAAGACUUCAUUUUUAAUCGAUUAUAUAUUUUCACAGUCAAUCUUUUUUUUUUCCUGGUCUAGUGAAUCGGUUGGUUCGAAAGAGAGUGCUUUCGACACACGAACCAUUUAAAGAAGCUUUAGACUACUAGGAUUAGGCAUUACUUGAACAUUGGGUCGUUAUAACUUGAAGGUACGUGAUUCAGAAAUGUAUAAUGGAGGUUUUCUAAGGUUGAUAAUUCAGUACUGUAUUUAUUUAUUAACUCUUUAGCAACAACAAAGGCAUCUUUUUUUUUUUUUUUCUACCUGAGGUAAAAUUCUUUGAUUAACAAAACAAGGAUCUAACAAAAGGGUACAAUUUCCAGCCAAACCAAUCACGGGUUGAACUAUUAAUUUUUCGUGGCUUUUCAAUUACUCGAGGCACCAAAUCAAAAAGUGAAAAAAAAAAAAAAUACUUAAGGCACAAUCCUGUGACUUUUCAACCUAUUAAUCCAUGUGAUAAACGAAUUCUUAGAGUUCCUGAAACCCAAGAACCCGUGCUCCUUACUCUUGUUCAUGCUAACAAAAUAACCCGCACCAAUAUUCAACACCACAUCUGCAUAUGACCAAACAGCAACCUCAUUCAAUUUUGUUGGCUGCAGCUGAUUCUCUCUCACAAUCUCCUCCCACGCACUUUCUUUACCUUUCAUAACUUCCUCCAAUCUCACCCUCUCACUACCCAUUUCUUCUCCAAACCCAUAAUUCUCAAUCUCAAACUGCUCAGCCAACACUUUCCAUAAAUGCUUCCACUUAAAAACAUCUCCAUUGGUGCAAUUGAAAGCUUCGUUUCUUGCAUUAGGAGCCACUGCCGCCCAAAUUUCCUGCUCCGCAACCAACUCUGCGUCUGAAAAUUCUUGGAAACCUUCCCAAGCAUCUCUAGUCCCAUGAAAUACAAGAGGAGCACCUUCGUGUUUACAAAUAGCUGCGUACACGCAGAGAAUGCCUAUAAUAUUCAUCAAACUAUAAGGUGAAAACCCAAAUAUUCCGGAAGGUCGGUGUAUGGACCAAGUCAAACCCCGUCUUUUGUCAACUUCUUCAAACAAUAUAUCUUCCUGAUUAUAGUAAAAAAGUGGUACGUUUAGUCUUGGCAAAUCCUCAGUAAAAGGCGGAUCGUGAGACGGUAUCUUGCCAAUACACUCGAAUGGACCGACGUAAUGUUUGCCUCCCGUUUGGAGACAGAUGUGGCGGAGAUUAGGCGCAUUCGGGAUUACAGAACGGAGCACGUUACGAAACAUGGCGCCGUUGAUCUGACAAUUCUCGGCUUCAGUGGGACGGCUGGCCCACGUCACAUAGAAUAUGUGGGUGACGUCAGCGAGUUUUGAGAGCUUGGCUUGCGUAUCGUCUGGGUCGGAAACGUCGCAUUGGAUGUAAUCAAUAGGGUACUUGGCGUUCCAGUUAGGCCUGGGACGUCUCGCCACCCCGUAGAUCUUCCACGGGCCACCGGGGGUAUCUGAUCGGGGCAAAAUCUCAGCUAGGCUGUUGCCUACAAUUCCUGUCACGCCUACUACAAGUCCCACGUUCUGGUAGUCUUGAAUUCGCGCAUCUUCUUCCAAUUUGUUCUGUACAGCGAAAAUUAAACAAACAUUAUUUUAAAUAUCAGCAUGUUACGUGUAUCUAUAAGCUUUUCAAGUGAAGAGACUUAAUUAGAGGGUUGAUCUUUACCUUAGCAGCGCCAAUACUACCUGCCCAGCGCCAGCUCAUUUUUCGGUGAAUCUGGAAAAUUGAUGAGAAGUUUGGAGACUGCUUAUAUAUAAACAAUUAUACGAGCACUUUCUAGAAGGUAAUUUUCCGUUGAAGUUAGAUAAUGUGAAUAUGUGAUCAAUAAUGAAAGAUCUAAUAUCAUAAUGUGUGGUGAAAUGUGGUUCCGGCCAAAGGCCAAGCUUCGUAUUGUCAUUGUCAGUCAGUUUGCUUUCCCGCAGUUUUCAAGCUCGGUGCCAACUCAAAUAAAUAAGUAGGCCAGUGUAGGUGACCAUUGCAAUAAAAUCGCCCUAUGUUUAUUACGGAAGUUUCAGUACGUGGACCCUGAGUUUUAAACCUAAAAUCAAAUAUGUCUCUUCACUUUUAUAAUUUGCUUAAGACACACCAUUUCUGUAACUUUUCGGAUUUCAAUAUCAGUUUUGGGACAAAAAGAGUCCUUCAAUUUGUAUUUUCAAUAUCACAACAACUAUUAUAUACUAAAUAGCUGUAACUUUUAAGAUAUAACUGCCCAACUUUAGUAUCAAAUAAGACCUUGAAGCCCGUUUGAAAUUGCUUUUGGGAGUUCCCAAAAGUAAUUUUAAAAAACUAAAUGUCAAUUUUGGUGUUUGACAAUUUUUUUUUAAAAUUACUUUUAGCUAAAUCACCCCGUCCUAUAGCAGGUUUUGAAAAGCGUGGAAGGAGUAUCUUUUCAUAAUUGGAUUUUGAAAAUCAGUUUUACAGUUAGUACAAUUUCAUAUAUAUAUAUUCAAUUAUAUUAUAAAAAUCUACAAUUAUCCUUAUUAAUUAGGAAAUAAAAUCAUUAAUUUAAAGAGAUUAUUAUUACCAAUUAUAUUAAGAUAACCAAAUAAAAAAAUAAAAUCAAUAAUUUAAAAUAUUUAUUUUAGUUAUCAAUUAUCAUAUAUACACAAUAAAAAAAAUUUCAUACAUGUUUAUAAAUGCGUAAAUAAAUUUUAUUCAAUAUUGUGUUCAAUUGAUUUAUUUAUAUUUUUACAGCAGUUUAAUAGUAAAAUUUACUAAACACAAACGACUACUUUUAAAAUUUGCAGUAAUUUUAAAAAGAAAUUUUAUCAAAUAUUUAACUGAUUCUUUUUACAACUAAUUAUUUUUACAGUACUGCUAACAGUAAUUAUUUUAAAAACUACAGCACUAUUAAACUGAUUUUUAAUUUGUUUGGCUUCUUAAAAGGUCUGAUAUUGAGACAAUUGACCUAUUUAUAUGGCAAUAAUUGACAUGAUUCUAGAAGCCAAAACAUCAAUUUUUUUUUUUCGUAUCAGAUGGUGUGAAAUGAACGCAACAUGCAUUUGUAGUCUAUUGAAAUAUCAAAAUUGUCCUCAAAUCGUAAAUCUCAGUCAUUUACACCCAGGAACCUAGUACGAGUGAUUAUGAAACUCGAUAUAUGAAUAAAUGAAGAAUUCAUUUUUUUCCUCCUAAAUUUUAGGAAAUAGUUAAAGAUGUUCAUAUGAAUGAAUGGAAGAAUUUUUUUUCCCUUUCUCAUCACAUAAAUUCAUGUGAAUAUUCAUGAGGUUUAUUUGAAUGAACACUUUUUUUCUCAAUAAAUCUGCCAUCAUGAAAAACGUUUUGGCUCUUGUGUAUAAUUUGAAAAUCAUAGAAAAAAUAUAUCAAUAAAAUAAUUCUACAUAAUUUAUGGUUACCAAUGCUCAUUUAAUCCACUAGGCAAACUUAUGCAAAUAAUAAGAAGAGAGACGUCGCAUUUAAUUUAGAAGUUGUUUCUCAUUUAAGCCCUAUUUGAUAUUGAAAUGCUAUAGCAUAGUAAGAAAAAAGAAAAAGAAGUUGCAACUAUUAAAUAAAAGUUGAUAAUGUAUAAUAAAAUAAUUAUUAAAUAAUAAUUUGACAAAAAUAAUAAAGACACUAUAGGUUUUGUCAUACAAGUGUGAGAUCAAAUCAACUUAAUUUCUAAGCGGCAAUAGCUAGUGUUUACUAAACACUUUGGUACUGUAACUUUUAAGCUACACCUGCCCAACUUUAAUACUAAACAAGGGUUUAAAUUGUUUCAGUUAUUGAGGUGUCAAAUUAUUGAGACAUUUGACUUGUUUACAAGGUAAUAAUAAUAGACAUGACUCUAUAAGCUAAACCAUCAAUUUUUUGUAAUGUACUGAUGAAUGUGUGUUUGAUUUUCUUCUUUCACAUUGGAAUCAUGCUUUGCCUAUGAUUUUGUAAUUUACUAGGGUUAUAAUCUUGGGUUCGUAAUCCGGAAAAAAUUCGUUUCCAUAUAAUUUUAAAAAUAUUAUAAUAAAUUUGUACUUUUUGAUAUAAAUUUUAUAAGUUGUAACGGUAUUUUAGUACUUAUAUACCCAAUUCAUUUCGAAAUGGGGGUAGUAUAGUCUUUUAAAUUUAUAACAGUAAUAGUGAGAAUUAGUUGAUUUUUUUAAUGAAAAUAGGGGCGAGGUGCACAUGGUCGAAAGAUGUGGGUGCGUUGUGUGAAAUACUGAACAAUUGGGGGCUGACGCUUAAUUACCCUUAAAUAAAUUAUUAGUUUAAUGGAAGGAACAUAAUUCAGGAAAAGAGGAAUCAAACUGCGAAAGGAAUUAGGAUACUUGAAAAGAAAGAAUGAAAAUAACUUUUUUUUAAAAAAAAUUAUUUAUUUGGACAUUGUUGACGUCCAAUUAAUCAUGACUCUUAAUGAGAAUAAUUUUUGGUGACAAGAAUAGCGGCAUCCUUGGACGUGGCAAAAUAAUCACAAAAAUCCCUUAUUUUAAAAAAUGAUCAUGAAAAUUUAUUGAGGGACACACAAAUUGAGGAUUUGUGUAACUAUUUUUAAAUACAAAAAAAGGUCUACAUGUAUUAAAAAAAGUUUGUAUGUUCAUUUUUUAAAAAUAAGGUCUACAUGUAUUAAAAAAGAGUUUGUAUCAUGUCGUGCUGUUUUCUAAUUUUUCAUGAAAUCUUUGUUACACGAUUUAAGAGAUGGUACCAAACAUAGUGACAAAACUAUCAUAGUACCGUCUAAUGAUGAAACAAAUUGUUAAUUAAUUAAUAAAAAUACUAAGUGAUUGUAACGGUUCCGGUCACAGUCACAGUCACAGUCAAAUACAACUAGGAUAAUUUAAUUUAAAUAAUGUGUAAUUUAGCGUUAGCCCCAAUUGUUUCGACAUUUUGCAUUGUGCCUCCAAUCUUCUGACCAUGUCCACCACCCCCAUUUCUUUCAAAUCUAACGUUAACGGAAAGAAGGGUAGAAUGGUAAUUAAUACAAGAUUAAAAUAAUUUAUAUAAUAAAAAAAAACCCCUUUUUCCUUCGCCGCCUCUAUAAUUUAAUUUAGGGUUUGAUAUCUUUAGUCUUAGGAUUUUUGAUUAUUGAGUUUCUUUUUAUUGAAUUUUCUUAGUAUGAAUUUAUUUUGUAAUAGAAUUUUACAAUGAAAUUUGUUGUCAUGGAUUUUGGUAUCAUUAGUUUCGGGUUUCUUUCUUAUUGGGUUUUAUUUGUUUUGGUGGGAUUAUUGGACUUAUUUUGUAAUGUAUUGAUGAAUGUGUGUUUGAUUUUUUUCUUUCACAUUGGAAUCAUGCUUUGCCUCUGAUUUUGUAAUUUACUAGGUUUAUAAUCUUGGGUUCGUAAUCCGGAAAAAAAAUUGUUUCCAUGUAAUUUUAAAAAUAUUAUAAUAAAUUUUUACUUUUUGAUUUAAAUUUUAUUAGUUGUAAGGGUAUUUUAGUACUUAUAUACCCAAUUCAUUUCAAAAUAGGGGUGGUAUAGUCUUUUAAAUUUAUAACAGCCUAAACAGUUAGAAUUAGUUGAUAGUUGAUUUUUUAACGGAAAUAAGGAAGAGGUGCACAUGGUCGAAAGAUGUGGGUGUGCUGUGUGAAAUACUAAACAAUUGGGGCUGACGCUUAAUUACCUUUAAAUAAAUUAUUAGUUUAAUGGAAGGAACAAAUUUCAGGAAAAGAGGAAUCAAACUGCGAAAGGAAUUAGGAUACUUGAAAAGAAAGAAUGAAAAUAACUUUUUUUUUUAAAAAAAAUUAUUUAUUUGGACAUUGUGACAAACAAGUGAUGGGCAAUGUCAUGUCUUGAAAAACGACAACAUUACAUGAUUCAUGAGAAGCCUAUCACUUUGAGAUUAAUUUAAUUUAAAAAAAUUCCGUUUGCUUAAUACUAAAAUGUCACGUGCAAGUUGUCCUGGACUAGAGAGUCGUUCACCCGUACUUACACAGUUACACCCAAAAGUCACGAGGAUCAAAACCAGAUCUGUCACUGCAUUUGCUUGAAAAAAUAUAUAUUUUAAAAAAUUAAUAUUCGUGUUUCGAUAGCUUUCUAAGUGGUUUAUUUACAGGUAUUCAAAAUAUAUAUAUUUUGUAAUUUCGAUUAAAAUUUUGCGACAAUUGUUUGGCUGGAAUAUUUUUUUUAUAAGAAAAAUAGCGAUCUCACACUGAUCCAUAGUUGAGCCAAUUGCCUAGUUAAAAGCUACCUCCAUAUUUUUUAUUUUUACCCUAAUGCAUGUCUGAUUCUUUUAAAAUUUUACGUUAUAUAUAUUAAACAAAAAUUAUAAUUUUAAUCAUUGAAAAACUAAUGACAGACAUCUUUUGAAUAAUUUUUUUUUGAAAAAUACAGAGCUAGAGAUAAUGCUAUAAUUGAUUGAAUAAGAAGGCUACAACUUGAUGAUAACUUUAUUGCAAUGUUGCGUGAUCUCAAUAUAUUAUUGCCUUAUGUGUGAGUAAAAGUUGCUGGCUCUUGUUUUACUAAUUUGCCUUUGUAUUUGACUGGCUCGACAAAGAAUCGAUUUACCUCAUACUCAAAUUACAAACAUCGAAACCGGAUCUGUCAUUACGUUAAUUGGCCUCAUAAAAUAAUCAAUCACUUUCUCUUUAGUCUACCAUCCACUCUUUCCAGUCGCUUAGUUUCAUUCUAAUCAUCUAAACGAAUCUUGCAAAUCCUCAAGAAGCCAUGUUAAGACAAGGCCAGCUUACUAUUAGGGUAUGAAAGAUAAAACCUUUUAUUUCCUUUUCAGAAUAAAAAGGACAUUGACAGUGUUAAAAAAAAUCUAGAGGAUUUCACGCCUCCAGAUCCUUACAAAUCAAGGAUAUUAAAAAAAAUUACUUAGAGGAGAAAGGUUAUGCUCAUUUGUAUCUUGUUAGAAGAAAUUGAUCCAAAGCCUAAGUUUUAAUUUGCUUCAUAUAGCCAAUGACUAGGUGUUUAAAAACCAAUGAAUAUUUUUAUAAGAAAUCAACAAUUAUGUUGAAAGAAAAACCAAAUAAAAAUAAUAAAGCCAAUGAAUAGAUCAAGGCUCUUUGUGGUCUAAAACUAAUCAAACUAAGUUGUGGGCAAAGGUGAAUAUGUUUGUUUGGUCAAUAAUAAGCUCAACAAAUCACUAAUAAUCACCUAAUCACUAUUCCUUAUGCUAUGCAAUAUAAUGGCCUGGGUAAUGGCGCCAAGGCAGACAAUAACUAGCUAGCCAGUUAUGAUAGUUGAUUAACUUAACCUACUGGAAAUCUGAAGACCAAAACGAAGAAGCUUUGUCUAGAACUAGAAUAGGAACAUUCGUACCCAAAACUAAUAUACACAAUUAAGAAACUUGAUUAUAUGUAUAUUUCUGUUGGCCACACUUAAAGAGAAUUUCCAAAAGAUGCUAAGGUACACCAAAUCCCACUAUUUCAUACUCAUAAACACAAAAAACCAUGGUAAAAAUUAAUGACUAUAUCAAAUAAAAUCGGUGAUAGGACAUUGAGAUUAGGACAACUUGAUUUGUAUACCGUAAAAUAACUAUAUCUGCAUGGUGAACUAUAUUUCUGUUAGAACUCUGAAGUUUCCUAUUAAAUUUUUUUCUCUGUUAGGUAAACCACUUAACUGAAGUGCUUAAGCCAAUUUUGACAAUCAUAGACAUAAAAGUAUUAAUAGGCUCAUUCAAGUGAAAUGAGCAUUAUUUCACACAUCCUUUAGGUUUUUAAGUCAUUUACAAGUCAUUCAUGUUAAAAAAAAAUUCAUAUACUUUUAAUAUAAUUAGAACAUACACAAUUAAUUAAUUAAAUAAAUCUAUUUCAGCUAGUAUAGGAACUUAAUUAAUCAAAGCUAGUAGUUAUAGCUAGGACUUGAACGAGGCACCUUUCAAAGUUCAAGAAGAGCAUCUGAACAUAAUGAAAGCACUUUGUAGAUAUGGUAAUGAUGCUUUACAUCUACAUGCUCUUACACAAUAUGAACUUUCAUUUACUCCAAGCUCUUAUUCUACAAGUCAAUUCAGUUUGUAGAUGCACGCCAUUGUAAAAACUUUUGUAUUAUAAUUUCUGAAAAUAGAACGUAACAUUAUUAAUAUAGAAUCAGCAAUGUAUAUAACUUAUCAGACAAUAUAACAAGCACUUGGUGACCAUACAAGAUAAACUAAAACAAGUUAUCCAGAAAAUGAAACUAAAACCCAAGCUCCGCUAUUCAUUGUAGAUGCUUUAAACAUAAAAUUAAACUAAAUCUAAUAGAAAAACAUUAGAAUGGAUGUUGGAAUUAAAGCUAAAUUCAAUAGUAAUUCAAAUGAAUCCAUUUGAACUUUGUAAAUUCCGCAGAACAAAAUUAAUUUGAGUGAGCAAACUCACCAAUGGAACAAGAACACAGGGGCUUCAACUUGUACGAAUAAAAAAAUAUUGCUGGCGGGACAAAAAUUGACAAUAAUGGCUACAAUACGAAUUUUAAAAAAAAUCAAAAUCUAUAAUUACAAGCUAAGUAAGAGAAGAAACUCAUAAUCACAAGCUUACCUCAAAAGAUGAAGGGAGAAUACGAUGAAGAAGAAGAUGCCCGGUGUUUUAUGUCGUUCGCCGGCAACCAGUUAGGUUUACGAUGGUGGCUAGUCCAGCGAAUAGUUUUCUAACUGGAAAUAAAUUUAAAUUUCUAAAAUAGUGCUAUACCGAACGGCUCUGUACCGUCACGUUGUUACGGUCUGCCCAAUUUGCUAGCCCAAUUGCCCACAAUUUCGGACUAGAGAACCAACACAAGACCAAGAGUGCUAUCUUGGCCCAAUUUCGGAAAGGUCUAGGCAACUCUAGCACAUGUGAGCUUGUAAAUACUCUAGAAUUCUCUUUACAUUUCCAGCACAUGUAAAUAGCUAGGAAGUAGUAGAAUUCUCUAGAAUCUCUAGAGCUUGGCAAGCCUCCCCUAUAAAUAUGGGAUGACAUUAGGCAUUUGCAUCCAACAAACUCACAACAACAAGCUUUGUAAGCAACUCAAGCAUUGUAUUCUCUCUUUGUGCAAUACAAGUUUUCUCAUUCGGCUCAAUUGCUCUCUUCUCUAGUUCGAGAAGCUCUAGACUUACUUAGCAACAUUUGGCAAUGUUAUCUAAGUGCCGCACGGGUUAGCUGCGCAAAAUACUCAUCCCGUGACAAGUGGUAUCAGAGCUAAGGUUUGCACGCACGCAAGUUAGCUCACGAGCAAUGGCCAACCCUUCGAACGUAGCACAAGAGGGUGUUGUUGGUGUGGAUGUUCCAUUGGAACCAAGCUGCAGCCGAGAGGGAGAACGCGCCCAAAGCAAGACUCGCGGCAAGUCCAAAGCCGCAUCAGUGGAUGCGUUGGAGCCUCGUGUGACUACUCUCGAAAUCGCAUUGUCCGUCGCUCAAGAUAGCCUCGAGGGAUUGGAGGAACGAGUGGACAGUCUCGAGGGGGAAUACGCCGAGUUCACGGUGGCAACAAAAGCUCUCAUCCAAGAGCAAGCGAACACUCUUCGAGGUGAGUUUCGUUCUUUCCAUGAUGAGUUGCUCAAACUUCGUAGUUUUGUUCAGGACGAACUACACGCUGUCCGUGCGGAAGUGGAUGAAGUCCGCUCAGAUUGGGCAUGGCACAAGCGCACACUCUCCGCAAGUCCAGCUUCCACAAACUCGAGUGAUGCGCACCGUAUUGAUGUGCCAAAGCCCGACACAUACGAUGGCACACACAAUGCCACAAUCGUGGACAACUUCCUAUUCGGGCUGGAUCAAUACUUCGAUGCCAUGGGUGUCCGUGAUGAGGCAUCGAAAGUGUGCACUGCACCCACCUAUCUUAGAGGCCCUGCACAACUAUGGUGGCGUCGCAAGCAUGGCGAGAUGGGCAAAGGCAUUUGUACCAUCGACACUUGGGCCGACUUCAAGCAAGAACUCCGAAAGCAGUUCGCCCCAAGCAAUGCGGAGAAGGAAGCGCGAGCGCGCUUACGUCGCCUCAAGCAUUCGGGUAGCAUUCGGGACUAUAUCAAUGAGUUCACUACCCUUAUGUUGGAGAUAAGCAACAUGUCCGACAAGGAUUCGCUCUUCUACUUCCAAGAUGGCCUCAAGGAUUGGGCUAAGACCGAGCUUGACAGGCGUGGCAUACAAACACUUGACGACGCCAUUGCUAUUGCGGAGUCUCUCACCGAAUACUCCGCCCAUCUCAAGGACAAGAGGUCUAGCUACGAUCAAGGUGGGGGAGAGAGCCAUGAGGACAACGACCGCAAUUGCAAGGAGUGGAGCAAGAAAAAGCUUCCAAGCGGCAAGGGCGGGCAAAGUAAAUCCGAGAAGUCACCCAAGCCGCGAAGCCCAUGCUUCAUAUGCAACGGUCCUCAUUGAGUGCGCGACUGCCUGGAUAAAAAGUCGCUGAGUGCCCUCGUGGCACAACUCAAGGGCCGACACACACCGCCUACGGAGGAACCUCAACACAACUUGGGUUCGCUCCAACGUCUUAGCACACUCGUGAGCCAACCACCAGCACCUACAAGGAAAGGGCUCAUGUUCGUAAGUGUGCUCAUCAAUGGUCAAACCGUUCGUGCGCUCCUUGACACCGAAGCAGCACACAACUUCAUCUCCGAAGAAGAGGCUAAAUGUCUAGGCCUUAAGGUAACGCAAGACGGAGGCACCAUCAAGGCUGUAAACUCACCCGCCAAGCCAUUUAGGGGAACCACACGAGGCGUACACGUUACGCUUGGGACAUGGAAUGGGAAGCUCGACUUCUCGAUUGUGCCGAUGGAUGACUUCGCAAUGAUCCUUGGCAUGGAAUUCUUCGACAAGGUACAUGCCUUCCCACUUCCAGCAACGAACUCCCUUAGCAUCUUCGAUGGGAGUAAGGCAUGCGUGGCACCGGUCGAGCGUGCACAACCCGUAAAAAAGGCGGUCUCGGUCAUGCAAUGCAGAUGAGGAUUCAAGAAGAAUUCGGACCACUUGGUCUCCAUCCGGCAACACCACAAGGGAGAGGAUUCCAAAAGCCCUCCAAGCCAAGUCCCACAACAAGCACGAACCGUCCAUGAUAAAGGCAAGGACGCCAUGCCUCCGAAGCUCCCAUCGAGACAAGUGGUUGAGCAACGCACAAAGCCAUCCGAGCAUGAUGAGUUGUGGAAACACAAGAGGGGACGCCGCAACACCAACCGAAAGAAGGAAACGAUCAUAUGCGGAGCAAGUGGCGGAACCUCCCCAAGAGUGAAGCACAAGAAGACUAACGACAAAUCGCGGAACAAGUCCCUAAAGGAGCAAGGACGAGAUCGCGACGAGGACGCCGCGAGCUUAGGUGGGGGAGGAUGUUACGGUCCGCCCAAUUCGCUAGCCCAAUUACCCACAAUUUUGGGCUAGAGAGCCAACACAAGGCCAAGAGUUCUAGCUUGGCCCAAUUCCGGAAAGUUCUAGGCAACUCUAGCACAUGUGAGCUUGUAAAUACUCUAGAAUUCUCUUUACAUUUCCAGCACAUGUAAAUAGCUAGGAAAUGGUAGAAUUCUCUAGAAUCUCUAGAGCUUGGCAAGCCUCCCCUAUAAAUAUGGGAUGGCAUUAGGCAUUUGCAUCCAACAAACUCACAACAACAAGCUUUGUAAGCAACUCAAGCAUUGUAUUCUCUCUUUGUGCAAUACAAGUUUUCUCAUUCAGCUCAAUUGCUCUCUUCUCUAGUUCGAGAAGCUCUAGGCUUACUUAGCAACAUUUGGUAAAGUUGUCUAAGUGCCGCACGGGUUAGCUGCGCAAAAUACUCAUCCCGUGACGAGUGGUUAGUAACAUAUGUGACAGCGGCCGUCACAUAAAGGGUAACAAAAGCAACUCGAGGUUACAAAGUUAGAAGUUAGUGGCAUGCGUAAUGGCUGCUUUUGCAAAUUUGCAUUCACAUUAGGGGUCACAUAUACCCUAUUUUCUUGUAGUACAUGGUAAAUUCUAUUUGAAAAUUGCUAAGUAUUUUAGAUUUGUACGAAUUCAUUUUUGUGUGCUUGUUGGAUAGUAAUAUAUUAUUUAAUAAAUUAAUUUUUUGUUGUAAUUUUCACAAUAUUGUAUUAUAAAUAUGUCUCAUUGAAAGGUUUUGAAAUCGUUUUGAUUGAUCAUAAUUGAUAUUUCCACAGUUGCAAAAGAUGCCAGAGAAAAUUUGAUUAUCUUAAGAAAUGAGGGCAUGAGAUCUGAAAUCAACCAUACCAUAAAAUCAAAUUUUAUCAUGUCAUCCUUCUCGGUUCAAAUUUAUGGAAAUAAUAAUCAAAUGCAUCCAUGAACUAGUAUAUUCCGAGAUAUGUACCAUCAAAUUUUUGCUAUAUCAUACUUAUAUAUGUAUAUUGAAAUUUUAAUAACAACAAUUGGGCCAAGUGUUGAGUGUUAGAAAAUGCAUAUUUAUAAAGGAGAAAACCGUUAUUUUACAUUUCAAGUCUUACUAACAACCCUUACUUUUAUGUAUUUAACCUUCUUGUGAUUUAAUUACAUGUGUUUUAUUUUAAUUAAAUAUUUUAUGUAUUUUAGGGGCAUUAUAGUCAUUUCACAAUAAAAGAGAGAUCAGACGGCAAAACGGACAUCACUUUUGAACUCAGGACGGUCGAAAACCUUACGAGGAGCAUAAAAGGAAAAAUGGCACUAUUCACAUGUACGGUACUGUCUACGUUACUGUUCACGACACUGUUUACAUAUACGGAUCGAUGACGUGGCAUUGACCGAUGAUGUGGCAUUGACUGAUGAGGUGUCACGAUCCUGUUGGGUUAAAAUUCUUAUGAAUUGUUGAUGGUGACGUGGCAGCAUAUCAGUGGACGAAAAAUCUCGCGUACGGUACAUGCAUCACACAGGAUUAUUUUCAACCAAACUGUGUUACUGUUCAUCCGGGUCAAACCGUGUUACUGUUCAUCCGCGUGGUCAAACCACGUACUGUUGACUGAUGACGUGGCGCAAUCCUGAGCGUCCAAACUGUUUUUAAUCCGAUGGCCAUGAUUUACUCCAUGUAUCUAUAAAAAGAGGGCCUCUCCCCCCUAAUUUGAGAUCUUUGAAUCCAUUUUUGGGAUCCAUUUUCUGUAAUUCCUUCUCCAUCUUGUAUUUUCUUCGUAUUUUAAUAAAUUCUCAUUUUGCCCCUAGUUCAAUUAUGAGUGGCUAAUUUUCUUUCAAGCUUGGGUUGAAGGUGAAGUCUCAACAUGUGUCAUGGGCUUUAUUUGGUAAAUUUAUUUUCUCUUCCCCUCUAGUUUUUGUGGAUGUUUUGACUUCUCGUCGACAAAUAAUACUAAUUUUGUCUAGUACCGCCUUGGUUUCACCGGCCCCCUAGUACAAGGUUAUUAUUAUUUGGCACGAUAAGCCCUUAGCACCAUAUUGAUUAGACCGUGGUUCAUGUGGUGUGGAUUCCCCCCUCAUGAUUUAAUUGGCAUUAAUAAGGAUUAUUUAGCCCAUGAUGCAUGUUGAUACGGAUCCAGAUUCCCAAGUACGUCAUUUCAAUAGAAUUCUCUUCAAUUUAUUCUCGCCAUUUCAAUACCAAUUUUAGAAUUUAUUCUUGCCAUUUUAAUUUAAGUUUUAGCAUAUUCCAAAUCAUUUCCACCACAAAUCCAAUCACCCAUUUACAAAAUUAAUUCUACACAAUUAAAAUCCACCUCCUCGUGGGAUCGACACUCGUCACCAUUGAUCUAUACUACAAUAGAUUCGUGCGCUUGCGAGUACAUUAAAAUUUGCACAACAAGUUUUUGGCGCCGCUGCCGGGGAGGUAAGUAAUUUUAAUUCAUAGAAUUAAUUUUUGUGAAUAAUUUCUUUUAUUUGUUUUCUUGUAUUUUUUUAAUUAUUAAAAAAAAAGAAAAAAAAAGUGAAUCUACAUAUAAAGGUUAGUAUUUCUUUUCUUUUUCUCUUCUUUAAAAUUCUGUAAUUUAAUUUUCAAUUUAUUUUUCUUUGUAAUUUUUGUUUAUUUUAUUAAUUUAAUUUUUAGUUAAUUUAUUUCACGUAUUUGUUUUUGUGUAUUUUUAUAGAAAUGUUGUAAUAGCGCAAUAAGGUUAGUAUCGUAAUAUCUCCCUCUUCUUUAUUUGUUUUGUUCUCAUCUUUAUUUUUAUUUUAUUUGUUUUGCAUGCAUGGUCGUAGGUCAUUAUUACCUAAUCUUGAACCUAUAGACCUUGAACUUGAGAAAACACUUCGCACACACAAACACGUUAAACAUAAAAUGGAUUUACAAGCACCACAUGAGAGGCCAUUUAAGGAUUAUUUUAGUCCUUUAGCUAAUUUGAGCACAUCAUGCAUAAGAUACCCAAAUGUAGCUGCUAGGAGUUUUGAACUAAAACCUAGUGUGCUAAAUUGUCUCCCAACAUUUUAUAGCCUAGAAAAUGAGGACCCAUAUAAUCAUUUGAAUGAUUUUCAUGCCAUUUGUCAAACAUUUAAAUAUGAAAAUUUUUCAGACGAUGAUGUUAAACUUAGACUAUUCCCAUUUUCUUUAAAGGAUAGAUCUUGUUCAUGGCUUAAUACAUUGCCUGCUAAUAGCAUUGCAUCAUGGGGAAUAAAUGGUUACAAAAUUUUUGAAUAAAUAUUUCCCAGUGCAUAAAACCAAUGCUAUUCGCAAGGAAAUCUCGGAGUUUACCCAGAGAGAGGACGAGCAACUCACGAGAAUACGUUCCCAAAGCUCCAUUUCCUCAGAGGUUAGCUAAAAGCAAAAAGGGAAAAUCCACAGGUGAGAUUCUUGAAAUCUUCAAACAGGUAAGUGUUAACAUCCCUUUACUUGAUGCUAUAAAGCAAGUUCCAUCUUAUGCCAAGUUUCUUAAAGACCUUUGUACUAAAAAGAGAAAUAUGCAUGUUCAAAAGAAGGCAUUUUUAACAGAAAACGUUAGUUCUAUCCUCCAACAUAAAAUUCCUCUAAAAUGCAAAGACCCAGGCUCUCCCACUAUCUCAUGUAGCAUAGGGAACCACACAAUUGAGAAUGCUUUGUUGGAUUUAGGAGCUAGUGUAAAUUUUUUGCCUUACUCUGUAUUCGUGAAACUUGGACUUGGAGAAUUACACCUAACCCCAGUGGUGUUACAGCUUGCAGAUCGGUCCACGAAAAUACCUUGUGGCAUUGUGGAGGACGUGCUUAUCCAGGUAGACAAAUUUUAUUUUCUUGUUGAUUUCAUUGUAAUUGACACUCAACCAAUACAGGAUUCAAGGAAGCACAUCCCCAUUAUUCUAGGCCGACCUUUCUUGGCAACUGCGGAUGCUCACAUUCAAUGCAGGACAGGAAAUAUGCAGUUGUCCUUCGGCAACAUGACUAUGGAACUGAACAUCUUCAACAUUGCCAAACAACCUCACAGUGCAGAUGAUGGAAUUGUUGAUGUGGAUUUAAUAGAAACAAUAGUUGAUAAUACUUUUCUUUCAAACAUUAGUGAUGAUCCUUUACAAACAUGUUUAACUCACUUUGGUUUGGAUUUUGAUAUUGACAGAUCAGUUGAUGAGGUCAACGCCCUACUUGACUCAGCACCAUCCAUGGAUACUAAUAAAUGAAAGUCAAGAGUUGAACAACUAGCACCAUCAGAGAAGAAACUCAUCCCAUCAUCAGAAUCACCACCGAAACUUGAGCUCAAACCAUUACCCAACACUCCGGAAUAUGCAUUUUUGGGAGAAGAAAGUACUCUGCCGGUAAUCAUAUCAUCAUCCCUAAAUGACGAACAAAAAGGUAAGUUGUUGGAUAUUUUAAAAGAGCAUAAAGGAGCAUUAGGAUGGACCAUAGCAGACAUAAAAGUUAUAAACCCAAUAGACUGCAUGCAUUACAUUCACCUUGAUGAAAAUGCUAAAUCUACUAGGGAAAUGCAACGUCGGUUAAAUCCUAACAUGAAAGAAGUUGUUAGAACUGAAGUCCUUAAGCUAUUAGAUGCAGGUAUCAUUUACCCCAUUUCUGAUAGUUCAUGGGUCAGUCAUGUACAAGUUGUCCCCAAAAAGUCAGGAGUCACAGUAGUUACCAAUGCUGAUAAUGAAUUGAUACCAACUAGAGUAACUACAGGAUGGCGUGUAUGCAUUGAUUAUAGAAAAUUGAAUUCUAUCACACGUAAAGACCAUUUUCCUUUACCAUUUAUCGAUCAAAUGCUUGAUAGAUUGGUAGGCCAUGAAUUUUAUUGCUUUCUAGAUGGCUACUCAGGAUAUAAUCAGAUUCCCAUAACACCAAAAUAUCAAGAGAAAACUACUUUCACUUGCCCUUUUGGCACAUUUGCAUAUAAGAGAAUGCCAUUUGGAUUAUGUAAUGCACCUGCUACAUUUCAACGAUGCAUGUUGAACAUUUUUUCUGAUAUGUUUGAACGAUUCCUUGAAGUCUUUAUGGAUGAUUUUUCUGUCUUUGGUGACUCGUUUGAUCAAUGUUUACAUCAUCUAACAUUAGUUCUGCAGAGAUGUAUCGAGAAGAACUUGGUCUUAAAUGGGGAGAAGUGUCAUUUUAUGGUAAAACAAAGUAUUGUUCUCGGUCACAUCAUUUCGAGCAAAGGUAUUGAGGUUGACAAAGCCAAGGUGGAUCUCAUUUCUAAUCUUCCUCCACCCAAAACAGUCAGAGAGGUAAGAUCUUUCCUUGGGCAUGCUGGUUUCUAUAGACGUUUCAUUAAAGAUUUUAGCAAAGUUUCUAGACCCUUAUGCAAUUUACUUGCUAAGGAUGUACCUUUUAUCUUUGAUGAUUUAUGUCUUGUGGCAUUUGAAAAACUAAAGCAGUUGUUGACAUCAUCACCCAUUAUUCAGCCCCCAAACUGGAGCUUACCAUUUGAGCUCAUGUGUGAUGCAUCUGAUUAUGCAGUAGGAGCAGUAUUAGGACAAAGAGUUGAUCGAAUUCCCCACAUUAUUUACUAUGCUAGUAUGACAUUGAAUGAUGCACAGUUGAACUAUUCAACUACUGAAAAAAAAAUGCUAGCAGUAGUGUUUGCAUUAGAGAAAUUUCGAUCUUAUCUCAUUGGUUGUAAAAUAAUUGUAUUCACAGAUCAUGCUGCUCUUAAAUAUCUUCUCACAAAGAAAGAUGCAAAAACUAGACUAAUUCGUUGGGUGUUACUUUUGCAGGAAUUUGACUUGGAAUUCAAAGAUAAGAAAGGGACAGAAAAUGUUGUGGCGGACCACCUCUCUCGUCUCCAUUUUGACACAAUUACAGAGCCAUUAAUAUUGAAUGAGUCAUUUCCAGAUGAACAAUUAAUGAAUGUGGAAGUAUUACCAUGGUAUGCUGAUAUAGUUAAUUAUCUUGUUACAGGUAAACUUGCAGAGCAUUGGACCAAGCAAGAUAAGGCUAAAUUCUUUGCAGAGAUAAAGAAUUUCUUUUGGGAUGACCCGUAUUUGUUCAAGUAUUGUGCAGACCAAAUUGUUAGACGAUGUGUCCCAGAAAGUGAAAUUCAGAAUAUCCUUUCAUUCUGCCAUGAACAAGCUUGUGGAGGCCAUUUUAGUGCUAAGAAAACAGCAACUAAAGUUUUACAAUGUGGUUUCUAUUGGCCAACUAUAUUUCGAGAUGCUUACACUUUCUGUUCUUCAUGUGAUAGGUGUCAACGAAUGGGGAGCAUUACACGAAGGAACAUGAUGCCACUAAAUCCAAUUUUAGUGGUUGAGAUUUUUGACAUAUGGGGUAUCGACUUUAUGGGACCCUUUCCCCCUUCUUUUGGCCAUCAAUACAUAUUGGUUGGUGUUGACUACGUAUCGAAAUGGGUAGAAACAAUUCCAUGUAGAACCAAUGAUCACAAGGUGGUGAUAGGAUUUUUGAAAAGCAACAUUGUUUCGCGCUUUGGAUUCCCUCGAGCAAUAAUCAGUGAUGGUGGUGCCCACUUUUGUAACAAAGCAUUCAAAACUCUUUUGACAAAGUAUUCAAUCACACACAAAGUGGCGACCCCGUAUCAUCCGCAAACCAGUGGCCAAGUUGAGAUCUCCAAUCGAGAAAUAAAGCACAUAUUAGAAAAGACGGUGAAGCCGGACAGAAAAGAUUGGUCAUUAAGACUUGAUGAUGCAUUAUGGGCAUAUAGAACGGCUUUCAAGACCCCGAUUGGGAUGUCACCCUACAGGCUAGUGUAUGGAAAAGCUUGCCACCCACCUGUGGAACUCGAGCAUCGUGCGUAUUGGGCCAUCAAGAAAUUCAACUUUGACAUGCAGCAAGCCAGCUCAGAAAGAAGAUUACAACUGGCAGAACUUGAAGAAAUUCGCAAUGACGCAUACGAAAAUACCAAGAUUUACAAGCAACGGAUGAAAGUCUUCCAUGACAAGCAAAUUAUGAGAAAAUCAUUCACUCCAGGUUAGAAAGUGCUUUUAUUCAAUUCUCGCUUGCACCUAUUCCCAGGUAAGUUACGCUCUCGAUGGUCUGGUCCCUUUAUUGGUCAUACUGUUUUUCCACAUGGGGCAAUUGAAAUUAAGGACCCAAACAACGGUGUCACGUUUAAAGUUAAUGGUCAAAGAUUAAAGCCAUAUCUAGAGUACCAACCACAUGGAGAAGACACCGAAAUAAAUUUGAGUGACCCACCAGAUUUGAAUUGAUUUUUUUUCUUUUCGUUGAUUUGAUUUUUUUUUCUUUAUAUUAUUCUUCUGCUAAUUGAAAUUAUUUUUGCAUAAAUGUGUUUGUUUAACUAUUAAGUUUUCUUUUAUCGUUUUUAAUCAUGAGUACCUUACUUAGACCGUUCCUCCUGAACAUUCUUAAACCACUUCAACGUGUCAAAACUCAUCUCAAAAGGCAGAUUCAAUUUUGUAAAACACAUCGCAUUUGGGCUCUACAACCACCAGAGUUAGUAGCCUAUGUUGAGGGUUUAGAAAGACAACUCAGAGACAUUGAGAGAAGUGUUUACGACAUCCAGUUGGAGCUUGAGGUAAAUUCAAUAAGAGGACAAUUUUAAUUUUCUUUGUGUGUUUUAAUUUAUUUUUCUGUUUGUGUGCUUUAGUUUGUUACCCCGGUGAAGUGGCGGAUAACGGUACUCCGUGACAAUCAAGUCGGUUACUUCAGUUUCUCAUAAUAACUGAUAUUCUGAGGUGAAAGUAUGGACAGAAACGAGAUUCUAGCGAAGCUUCACAAGCGAUUCCCUUCACUUCCUCAGAAUGCCCUCCUUACGAUCUAUAAAGCUCGGUCCGAACGCAUGCGAUUACUCAUGAGGAAUAACAUACCUGCUGACAUCCGUUGGUUAAUCGAGGCUAAAGUACGAUCGGCAGGUGAGUUACCUCCAAAAUUUAUUGCAUACAUGCCUGGUUGUGGUAAAGGAAAUUAUGCAAGAAAACGACGAGCUCGAAGAAUUUCUGUUGCUUGUCAUAAGUGUGCCAGAAUGAGCAGGAAUAAAAACCCAUGUUCUUUAGGAAUGGUGUCUGAUAACAGGGAAUAUAAGAUUCAAUUAAUUAGGGAUGGCUUGAAUAAGGAGUCAUUGGAUGAUAUCCUUUUAUCUCUUGAAACGCAUCCCAAUGGAUAUGUGCAAGGAGCGAUUCUCCAGUUAUGGCCAUUAUUCCAGAAAGAGCAUGCACGAUAUAGUCUCGGGAAUCUGACUAUAAACGACCCUGUUUGCCAGUUUAUAAGAAAACUAGAUAGGAAGCCUAUCCUCGACCCAUAGAGGGCGUUUAAGCCGUUUCUGGACGUAAAACCAGAGGAAGAUGUGAGCUACAGUCGCAACUACCUGUAAAUAUCCUUUCACUUUACUGUUAUUUUAUUUCACUAUUGUUUUAUUGUGUGCAUUAUUGUCUUUAAUAAUUUUAUUACUGUUUACUUUUUCCUUAUUACUGUUUGCUUUUUCCUUUUUACUGUUUCCUUUUUGACUCGCGAGCCACGUGCUUUACGCGUUAUUUGACACUGACGUGUUACCUCAUACACAACUGUGACCCACUGUCACCAAGACUCUUAAAUGUGAUUUUUUUUUGUCAAGCACUCACAAAUUAUUUUUUGAGAAGUAUCACAAUGGUAGCUCCUCCAAAUAGACAAUUCAAGAACAUUUGUGUGAUUUCUGGAUUUACCUAUGGCAAACAUAAAGAGUUCGUUGAGGCAGCCAUCGAUCUUGGUCGAAGUAUAGCAGAGAGAAAAUUACACUUGGUGUAUGGAGGAGGUAAUCGAGGGUUAUCAAAAAUGGUCUCAGAAGCAGCUUUUAUCAGAGGCAGCCAAGUGUUAGGCAUCAUCCCAAGAGCCCUAAAACCUUUGGACAGUUCGUCUGACUCAUCAACUGGAGAAGAGUUAGUCGUCUCAAGUAUGCAUGAAAGAAUAACUGAAAUGCUUAAUCAUUUUAUUUUCCUUCCAGGAGAUCUUGCAACACUAGAGGCACUUAUCACACUAGCAUCUUGGGCCCAUCUGCACAUCCACCAGAAACCCAUUGGUUUGUUAAAUGUCAAUAACUUUUAUGAUGGCUUUAUCGCAUUUCUUAACCAUGCAAUAAAAAACUAUUUCAUUCCCUCUAAUGCGAAAAAACUCUUUAUUUGUGCUCACACUGCUAAUGAGCUACUUGAUAUGUUACAAGCUUAUAGACCGGAGCCAGACCCCUGGACCUUUGUGUUGGAGCAUCCAAAUAAUGAUGGUAACAGUAGCCGCAGUAAGAAGUACAAAUUAGAUUUAACUCUCCACUUGUAAAUAUUGUUUUCUGUGUUGCACCACCCAGUUGAUGUCUUCUAAACUCUACUUCUUUCCUUUCAAACAUUGAGGACAAUGUUUCGUUCUGGUUGGGGGGAGGGAAUAGUCGACAAUUGUGAAAUUUUGGUUAAGUUUUUACUAAUUUUUUGUUGUAGAAACUAACUGUUGCUAACUUUUUGUGUUGAAGAUGGCUGAAUAUGGAGUGUAGUGACUCUAGAAACGCAUCUUCAUCGUUUAAAAAAAAAUUAAAAAACUAAAAAAAAAAUUCAGACAUUUUCUUUUUCUUUAUUCUGUUUUUAUGUUUAUUUUUCUUCUUUUUAAUUUCUCCUCUAUAAAUAUACAUUUUCCAACUUAUGAGUCGAAGAUGGCUGAAUAUGGAGUGUAGUGCCUCUAGAAACACAUCUUCUUAAAAAAAAAAAACCAUUUUCGUUUUCUAUCAUUUUACGUGUAACUUUUUUUAAUUAGUUUUUAUGCAUCAUUUUCACAUUUCUGCAUGCAUAUUUUCCUUUCACGUUUAGAAUAGGUUGGGGGGUAGAAUGUUGUUUAAAAAAAAAAUUGUGUGAUUUGUUUUAACAUUGGAUGACAUGAUUAAUUUCAAAUUUUAGUAUUUGUAUUAUCUUUGGUCUUAAGUGAUGUUACAUUAUGUUUGCUACUCUACAUGUUGAUGUCGGAGACAAAUAUGAGUUGCUUGAAGGAAUGAACAUGUCAUAAUAAGUACCAAGUGAGUUUUUGAGAUUAUCAUUUUUCUUGGAGAGUAACCCUUUUGCCCAUUCUUUAUACAGCUUAACAGUUUAUUAUUGUAUACACGAUCUCUAGAUUUCUUUUGAGUUAACCCUUAAAAAAAAAAUUAUAAAAUUAAAAAAAAAAGAAAAAAAAUGUGUGUAGCUACAUUUGGAGGCCCAUCUAACUAGUAGAUAUAGAUGAUUAUUUAGAGCCCUAAAAGACGAUGGAAAGGCCAUCUUUGAUCCGUUUGAGCCUUUCUAACCAUCCCUUUUAUUAAAUAUCCAUAGUUAACCCUUUUGAGCCUUUAAAAAAAUAUAUAUAUAUUUUCUUUGUCAACUUAUCAUCUUGACCCACUCCGAUUUGGAGUAUUACCCGAUGUCUUAUAAGUUCCAUCACCUAUUUAUGUUUGAGAAAAUGUAAAUAAUUAUUUUAUUUAGUGACGUUGUGCCAAGCAAAAGCAAAAAAAAAAUAAUAAUAAUAAUAAUAACAAUAAUAGGUGAAAUCCACCUUGUAACUUCCAAAAAAAAAAAAAUUUCCUCUGCAUUUUUCUCAAACAUACACUUUGUUUUCCUUAUUUCCCUUCUUUGUUAACCAUGUCCCUAGCCUACGUUACAUCCUAAUAAAAGUCCUUCCCGAUUUUAGGGAACUAUAAUCUGAAGUAGAAACUAGUUAUAUGGGCUAAAAAGAUGUAGUGGUGCAUAAUAAAAAUAAAUAAAUAAAUAAAAGAAAAAAAAAAGAUAAAUAAAUUGGGUUGACUAGCAUUUUUAUUUGACUUGAGAUCGUAUUAUUUCUAAGCUGGGGGCAUAUUUAUUUCAUCUUGGUGAGAGCAUGUGAUAUCACUUUUUUAUUAUUUUCUCUCUCAAUUACAUUCAUUGGAGUGACUAUUUUUAUUGGUUUUAAUUUCUUUGUGAGAGUGUCACUACUUCCAGUGAGAUUUUGGGGUUUGACAUGUCAUUCUUGAAAGUAGCUAUAACGAAGUCUACUGGGCUGAUUCAUGUGGAUGGUUGAUGUGGGUGUGAUGUUGCUUUAGACUGGAGAUAAUGCUUAUACUUUUAUUUGAUUGCUAUCAUUAAUCUGAUUGAAUAAACACGAGUGUUUCUAAAAAAAAAAAAAUCAUUUUGAAUUUGAAUUUUAUUUUCGCUUUAUUUGCUAGGGACUAGCAAUAAGCUGGUUGGGGGGUGUGUUGAGUGUUAGAAAAUGCAUAUUUAUAAAGGAGAAAACCAUCAUUUUACAUUUCAAGUCUUACUAACAACCCUUACUUUUAUGUAUUUAAUCUUCUUGUGAUUUAAUUACAUGUGUUUUAUUUUAAUUAAGUAUUUUAUGUAUUUUAGGGGCAUUAUAGUCAUUUCACAAUAAAGGAGAGAUCAGACGGCAAAACGGACAUCACUUUUGAACUCAGGACGGUCGAAAACCUUAGGAGGAGCAUAAAAGGAAAAAUGGCACUAUUCACAUGUACGGUACUAUUCAUGUGUACAGUACUGUCUACGUUACUGUUCACGACACUGUUUACAUAUACGGAUCGAUGACGUGGCAUUGACCGAUGAUGUGGCAUUGACUGAUGAGGUGUCACGAUCCUAUUGGGCUAAAAUUCUUAUGAAUUGUUGAUGGUGACGUGGCAGCAUAUCAGUGGACGAAAAAUCUCGCGUACGGUACAUGCAUCACACAGGAUUAUUUUCAACCAAACCGCAUUACUGUUCAUCCGCGUGGUCAAACCGCGUACUGUUGACUGAUGACGUGGCGUAAUCCUGAGCGUCCAAACUGUUUUUAAUCCGAUGGUCAUGAUUUACUCCAUGUAUCUAUAAAAAGCGGGCCUCUCCCCCCUAAUUUGAGAUCUCUGAAUCCAUUUUUGGGAUCCAUUUUCUGUAAUUCCUUCUCCAUCUUGUAUUUUCUUCAUAUUUUAAUAAAUUUCCAUUUUGCCCCUAGUUCAAUUAUGAGUGGCUAAUUUUCUUUCAAGCUUGGGUUGAAGGUGAAGUCUCAACAUGUGUCAUGGCUUAUUUGGUAAAUUUAUUUUCUCUUCCCCUCUAGUUUUUGUGGAUGUUUUGACUUCUCGUCGAAAAAUAAUACUAAUCUUGUCUAGUACCGCCUUGGUUUCACCGGCCCCCUAGUACAAGGUUAUUAUUAUUUGGCACGAUAAGCCCUUAGCACAAUAUUGAUUAGAGCGUGGUUCAUGAGGUGUGGAUUCCCCCCUCAUGAUUUAAUUGGCAUUAAUAAGGAUUAUUUAGCCCAUGAUGCAUGUUGAUACGGAUCCAGAUACCCAAGUACGUCAUUUCAAUAGAAUUCUCUUCAAUUUAUUCUCGCCAUUUCAAUACCAAUUUUAAAAUUUAUUCUUGCCAUUUUAAUUUAAGUUUUAGCAUAUUCCAAAUCAUUUCCACCACAAAUCCAAUCACCCAUUUACAAAAUUAAUUCUACACAAUUAAAAUCCACCUUCUCGUGGGAUCGACACUCGUCACCAUUGAUCGAUACUACAAUAGAUUCGUGCGCUUGCGAGUACAUUAAAAUUUGCACAACACCAAGCACAUGUUGGUACUUGAAGAUUUAUAAGCUCCAUCCUUGAAAAAAUAAAGCUUGACUGUUUUCAAUCUAAUUCUUUUUGUUUUAAGUUCUUAAUUAAGCUUUCUUGCUUGUUUUCAAGAGCCAGUUUUGUAAUGAUCCACAAACAUGAUUUGCAUAUACAGUAUUGCACUUGGCAUUUAUGUAUCACUUAUUAAUUAGAUUUAAAUUUUAUAAACUAAUUAAGUUGAUUAAUAUUUUAUAUGUGCAAAUAUUUUAUAUGUGCACUAAAUGAUAGAUACUACAUAAAUUGGGACACUAUAACUACGUAUCCUAACUAUGUAAUAUUUGUUUGUCUCAAACCCAAUCAUGGCUUGAUAUUCUGAAUACUAUUUAGGAUAACAUUUCAAGCCCCAUGAGGGCUCUUUCCAUUUAAAAAAAAAGAGUAUGAAAUAGAUGUAGAUUUUUCUUUAGAUAUUAUUAGUGAGAGUACCUUUGAUGGCAAUGGUUCGGGAUGAUUUGAGAUUUGACAAUUCCGUUCUCAUCUUAAUUAUCAAAUGGAAUGUAAGUAGAGAUAAACUCGUCCUGUUUAUAUAUUUGUGAUCAAAAUUAGGACCAAUAUCAAACCGCUCACAAUCAUGUCCCAUCCUAACUAUCCUGAAUGUCUCGAUUGCCUCCCUUAAUUAUCUUUUUAAUUCUCAUUAACAUAUUAGCAAAAUUUCCAUAUAUUAAAAAAUUAGGGUCCGACUAUCUAUACUUUAAAAAUCAUUAUGAACACUCAAUUAUUUAUGCACUCAGCAAAUAAAUUUAAAAAAUUAAGUUUUACUUUCUACGCUUUUUUUUAGGAGUACUUUCUACACUUUUUAAAAUAACAAAAACAUCUUUACAUGAACCUAAUAAGUUUAUUUAAAAAAAUUAAAUCAACUAUUUUUAUUUAUUCAAAAUACUAAUAAAAAUAUUUAGCAAACCGUGAAAGAAAUUUUUUAAGAAAUUUAACAUGAUUUUAGUUAUUACUUAUUGUUUAUUAAAGAAUGUGUUCACUAUUGUUUUUAAUUUUGUUAGUCAAAAAAAAAAAAGAAGAAGAAGUUUGGGUUUAAGAUACAUUUAAUUUUUAGUGUAACAGUUGUAAUAUAUAGCUUUAUUUACCCAAGUGGGCAAUACAUUUAAUUUUUAGUGUAACAGUUUCAUUCAUACGACGCUUUCAAAACUAAAAGUACUUUUAAAAAUAAAUUUUACUAAAUGUUCAGCUGAUUUUCUUGACGAUUGAUCAAUUUCUACAGUAUAGCUAAUUGCAAUUAUUUUAAAAGCUACAGGAUUACCAAAUUGACCAUAAAUCAAACCAAUAAAAAUGUUUAAAAGUAAUAAUUAUAAACCAAAGUAAACGUACAAAAAUUCAUGCAUAAACUGAUAAUCAACAAAAACAUCCACAAGUUUAACUCCAAGUUUUCUAUUCAAUUGACAUAACCCUUAAAUUUCAAAAGGCAUAAUCAAUUUUGUGUCUAAUCCUAUAAAAUUAGAAAAUUAAAGAAUAUUAUAUACUGAUAAUUAAAUAAUAUGCAAUUAAUAAUGUUAAAUAUAUUGUCAACUAAAAUAAUUGGAGAAUUGGAGUUCCAAGAUAAAUUCUUAUCUAGUCCCAAAUCAACAAAUGGGAUUAACGAGCUGCUAUUGAAAUUAAUGUUAACAACAAAAAUAGAUGCAAAAGGAGAAACAGGCAUCAUGUGCAGUACCCACUGUGAACUGCUCACAAGUUGUUGGCAGCUGGUCAAAAAUUCAAUGUUGAUUUUGAUCCCACUAAAUUAAGUCAUCAAAAAUUACUCACCGUACAAUGAUGAUUGGGCUGCAUAUAUCAUUUAUUAUUAUCAGCUAACUUAUGAAAUGCUUUUGAAUGUACCUCCUAGGUCGUAUUAUUUACUAUACUAGUUAGGAGAAAUUGCAAUGUUAAAUUAUUUGAUAAAUACUUAUUAUAAUUUAAUAAAUAUGUUAAUUUUGUCCUCCACUUUAUGAUAAAAAAAUUUAUAAUAUAUAUAAAUUAUUUAUUCUAUAAUCUUGAACUUUAUUAAAGUUCGAAAAAUUAUUACUCUAUAUGAUAUAAUAGUGUGAUGUAAUUACACUAUUAUACCAUAUAAAAUAUAUUUGCUUUCUUAAAUUUUAAUAAAGUGUAGGUCUUGGACAGAAGCACUUUAUAUAUAUAUAUGUAUAUAUAAUGAUUCUCUAGCAACGACAUCCUCAUUUUAACAAAGUGAUUAUAUUAUUAACAAACUAAAUAACACACAUUUCAAUACACCAAUAGACAAAAAAAAAAUAUAAUUUUUAAUGUGUUAAAAUAUAUGUCUUUUUUAUAUUAUUGAUAUUUUCACUUUAACAAAGUGAGGGUCUCCUCAUUAUAGAAGUACUUUAUAAAUAUUCUUUGUAUUUUUGUGAAAAUUAUUAUUUAAAUGUCAUAUCUUACCAAAGACUAUUAGUUUUUAUUUUAUUACUACACUGUACUUUUCAAUAUAGAACACUUUAAUACCAUGACUUUAAUUUUUGAACUCUCUUGUACAAAGUUGUUGGCUGGUCUAUUUAGCUUAGUCUUUCAAUUAUUUGUCGUUUGAACUGAGAUGAUCCGAAUAAAGCUAUGUAUCAAUAAUUUCCUAGUGAAACUUCGGGAAAAAAUAAAAAUCCUCUCAUACAGUAGCAUUAUUUUAAUUCUCAGCUUGAUUAUGUUUUGAGUUAACUUAUAGAUUAUUUGAAAUGAAAAUAAUAUAAUUUAUGUUUUCCAACUGAAAUUUUUAAAUAAUUUUAUUAGUUUGAUGAGUAAGUAUACACCUACAAAGUUAUGAUAUAAAAUUAUAUCCCAGAAUCCCAAUAAUAUAACACCAAUUAACUACUGUUAUGUGUUUCUUAGUAAUUAAUUUUUUAUACUAUUAUUAAUGAGAUAAUUAACUUCAACACCAAUAAACAAAUUUUAUAUUAAUACAUCCUCUAACUUUAUUAUCAAAUAAUCAUACGCCAUAAUCAAACCAAGCUACCAGAGCCUACCACUAAAAGAUUGAUAGAAGGGUUUUCCAAGUUUUAAAAUGUUAGUAGCAUUAUGGCAACUUCCAGGAAUCUUCCUGCUACAAUCAAUCAUUUAGUGAAAUGCCCAAAUGACACAAAGGACCCCGCCAACCGUGAAGUCACAUAAUUUAUUUAUUUGUAAAUGAAAAAUAAGGUUCCGAUAGGAAGAAAUCAGCGCCUUAUAAUGUAUGAUUACCCGUAUGUCAAGUUUGGCGAUUAUAAGUCAUCAUCACAAUAACUUUGGACUUUAAUAUUUAAGUCUCUGUUUGGGACCAAUGUAUGGCAGUUGGACAACACAUCACUCAAUUAUAGAGUGUGAAAUAUUGAUAUUGUUCUUAUUAUUUUACGUAAUGUAUAAAUUUUUUCUUUUAUUUUUGUUUGUUUAUUUAUUUUUUAUACUUAAUAAAUAUAAAUUUAUUUUUUUAAUAUUUAACAAAUAUUGCCAGAAAUAACAAUCAAUGACCCAAAUCCUUUUAUUUUACAGAAAUAAUUUCAAUUCACAACAACCGUGACGUUACAUUACCAAACAAACACUAAAGUUUUGAUGAUUGUAGUUUAUGUUUCAUUCAUUGCAUGAAGAGUUUGAAAUAUGAUCUCAAAACAAAGAGUACGGCAUGUCAUGUUGGAUUUACAGAAUAAGUGUAUGCCAUGUCAUCCGGAAACUAGAAGGCGCGUAUGACAACCAGACGCUGUCAUGUCUGACUUGCUUACAAUUUUAAGUAUGAAUUCUGGGUUUUGAGUGACAAUUAAAAGCCCGAGUGAGAAUUAGAGAGAAAGUUAUAUAUCUUAUUUAUUCCUAGCCACUUGCUAUAUUGUGUAGGUCUUUUGUGACUCCAAUAAUAAAAAUCCUCAAUAUAUAUAUAUAUAUAUAUAUUGAUAGAGCAAUAUUUGUUAAAGCAUAAAGAAAGGCAAAAAUAUUGUAAAUCCAUCUCAAAUUUUCUGUUUAUUUUGGUCGCUGCUAGUGCUAGUUGUUUUCUUGUUGAACUUUGUUCCCUUUUGCCAUAAGCUCUUAGCAUUUUCAUUGGAUCAAGCGACCCUUUUCUUGUUUCAAUUUCUGAUCUCAAAAGCACUUUGAUUCUCUUCUGUUACACUGAUUUUCUCUUUGUUUUGUACAAAUAUUAUUUCUCUUUCCCAUUUAGCCUUGAUUUGCUUCUACUUGACUAUCAAUUGCCCAGUCGCUGACCCUGUUGUAUUUUUAUUUCGUUCACUUCAAAUAGAACCAAAAAAAAAAAAAAAAAGAGAUGUUGUAUAAAACCUAAAAUUUUUGUUCACUUCAAUCUUCGUGAUUUGGCUGAUUUCUUUUAAAGCUUUGAUUUCUUUAGAAGUACAAGAAGAAAUAGUAAUAAGAUUAAAAAAGCAAUGAAGUAAAACUUAAAAAUUUUUAUUUCUUCAUAUUUUUAUCGGUCAUUUUACCGGCACUGGCGUUUGAUUUUCUGACCAAGCUACUGUUUAGUUCUAAGCUCUGUUUCGUGUAUCACCGACACAAUGAGGCUUAGCAUCUAAAAGUCGGCAGCCAUGCAACUUCUUGGAAUCUUCAUGCAAGUGUUGGAUAUCGACUGUUCGAUAAUGAUGGCAGCAUUGGACUGGACUGUAAUUGACGCAGAUAUUGUCAGAUAUUUCAUUGAUUAAGGAUCACAAAUAAUGGCUAUUGGAUGAGGAUCACAUGUUUUAUGACAGUGGUAAUGGCAUGCCACUAAUGUAAGUGAAGCAUUACUUUUAAAUAAUGAUAUUAUAAUUAAAAAUCUACAAAUAUUUAUAAUACCUAAAGACUAAUUCAGAUUAUUAAUUUGUUUAUAUGACUUAAUUAUUAGCUGACAAAUAAUUAAAAAUUCAUGGAACAAUAUUUAAUUGACGCAGAGGAAUAAGGAUCACAAAUAAUGGAUAUUGGAUGAGGAUCACAUUGGAGUGUUGUAAUGCAACACAUAUUCACAAAAGCGUUGUUGAUGAAGUCUAUUCUCCGCUUAGCUUAGACGUGCAGAGCAGUAAAUUUCAGAGCGAAAUUAUAGAUGUGUUUUAUAAUGGGAUUCAUAAGAUUUUAUAUUUAAAAAAUUAGUAAGGUUUAUUGUGAGUCUCACUAUAGCACAUGAGAAAAUAUCAUUAGAGAAGUUCAUCAUGACCUAUCUCGUGUAAAUUUCUCUUCUAGCAAUUGUGGCUUUGAGUUUAGUUUUAGGGCUCAUUUAAUGGGAUACCAUAGUUGGACCAUAUUAUAGUUGGGUCUAACCAUUGACAACUCUGAUGACUGCCGUAGACUGAUUCAAUGGUACCACUUUAUCAGGUAUUAUUAAUUUUUAUUUCAAAAAUUAAAACUUUCAUUUUAUUACAACUGACAGCUGACCCCACACAUUUCGAUGAUUAUAAUUUAUCUUUCAUUCAUAAUAUGCCAGCAAAUGUUACAUCGCAAUUACGAAUAAUUUAUGUCCUUCACCCCCGACAUUGAUAUUAGCAAUUUUCAGUUAGAAGUUAAAUCAUCCCAGCAUUAGCAUUUUUUGUAUAACAUCAUUUUAAUUAAUAGAUUAGAAACGUGAUUCACGUUUGACAAUAAUUUUCUCUUUUGCUGUUUUGUCGUUAUAGUUUACUGAGACGAGAAAGAAAUAAUUGCUCGUUUGGAUACUCUCUGUAUUCACAUUUGACAAAAUAAAUAAAUAAUUUCUUUUUACUGUUUUGUUCCUUUUACUGUAUGAUAUUGAACAAAAUAAUUUUUUUCAGAUCGCUCAAUAGAAUUGCUUCAAAUCAGUUUUACCAGUUAUAAUUCAUCAGCUCCUACUCUUUGCGUUCAAUUCUCAAUCAAGAAACCCUCUCCUGACCUAGCUUUGCUCCCUUCUGCCAUCACCUCUCUGUAUACUCAUUGGAUCAAGAAACCCUUUUCUUGUUUCAAUUUUCUGAUCGCAACAACACUUUGAUUCUCAUCUAUUACACUGAUUUUUUCCUUGUUUUGCUCAAAUACAAUUUCUCUUCCUAAUUUAGUCCCGUUCCCUUUCACCGUCAUCUGUUUUUUCUUCGGCUUCUUCAUUGAUUAAAAAUUGUCCAGUCGUUUCCCCUGUUCUUUUUCUGUUUCUUUCACUUCAGAUCAAUCCAUCCUCCCACAACACCCCCCCCCCCAAAAAAAAAAAAAAGAAAAGAAAAAGUAUUGAAGGUGAUGGAAUCCAUUGUUACUGUCGUUUUAGAGGUUGUAAAAUGCUUGGCUCCUCCAGCACAACACCAACUUCGUUACUUGCGUUGCUCCAAUGACAACUUUGAGAAUCUCAAGGCUGAAAUCGAGAAGCUCAAGGAUAAAAGUAGGAGCAUUCAACGCAGAGUUUCAGAGGAUGAAAGAAAAGGAGAAAAGAUUGAAGAGGAGGUUGAGAAAUGGCUGGUUAAUGCGAACAAGAUCAUUGACCAUGCAGACAAAUUCAUUGACGACGAGGAGGCAACAAAUAAGCUAUGUCUCAAGGGUCUGUGCCCUAAUCUGAAGACCCGCUAUCAGCUUAGCAAGAAAGCAGAGGCAGAGGUGAAGGCACUUGUCAAAAUCCGAGAAGAAGCUGCAAGAUUUGAUGAUAGAAUUUCCUACCGUACCAUUCCGGAGGAGAUAUGGCUCAAGUCUCACAAAGGCUACGAGGCCUUCGAGUCAAGACUUUCUUCUUUGAAGGCCAUACAAAAUGCAUUGAUCGAUGUUAAUGUUAGUGUCGUUGGGGUGUACGGCAUGGGCGGCAUUGGAAAGACGACACUGGUGAAGAAGGUCGCCAGGCAAGCUAUGGAAGACAAGCUCUUUGAUAUGGUGGUCUUUUCAGAGGUUUCGCAAACUCCAGACAUAAAAAAGAUUCAACAGGAAAUUGCCGAGAAGUUGGGCCUGGAGUUGCACGAGGAAGUUGAAUCUAGAAGAGCAAGUAGACUAUUUGAGCGAUUGAGAAAUCACAAGAAGAUCCUUGUGGUUUUAGAUAACAUUUGGAAACACCUUGAUUUGGAGACAGUUGGAAUUCCUUUUGGAGAAGACCAUAAAGGCUGCAAACUACUGCUGACGGCAAGAGAUCGUAGUGUCCUUUUAAAAAUGAGUUCUAAAGACAACUUUUUGAUAAACAAUUUAAAUGAAGAAGAAGCCUGGAGAUUGUUUAAGAUGAUGGCCGGUGAUGAUGUUGAAAAUCGUGAGUUGAAAUCUACAGCAAUAGACGUCGCCAGGGCAUGUGGAGGUUUGCCCAUUGCCUUGACCACAGUAGCAAAGGCACUGAGAAGCAAGAGUCUGCAUGAAUGGAAGAAUUCCUUGCGAGAACUCCGAACGCCUUCAAUGGUGAACUUCGAAGGAGUAUCUGCAGAGACUUAUUCAAGUAUUGAGCUGAGUUUCAACCAUUUAAAAGGUGAGCAACUCAAGAAAAUUUUUCUCCUCUGUAGUCUAAUGGGUAACCGUAUUCAUACUUUGGACCUGUUUAAGUACUCCAUGGGUUUGGGUAUAUUUAAAGGAGUCAAUAAGAUGGAAGAUGCACGAGACAAAUUAUAUGCAUUGGUCCAUGAACUUAGAGACUCUUGUUUGUUGCUUGAGGGUGAUAGCAAUGAAGAAUUUUCAAUGCAUGAUGUUGUUCGCGAUGUCGCAAUAUCAAUUGCAUGCCGCCACCAACAUGUGUUUUCGGUGAGAAAUGAGGAUGUGUGGGACUGGCCAGAUGAGGAUGCACUUCGAAAAUGCAAUGCUGUCUCUUUAAGAAAUAAUAGUAAUCGUGAAUUUCCUGAAGGAUUAGAAUGCCCAAACCUUGAAUUUUUAUAUAUCUCUCUCAAAGAUUUUUCUCUUGAAAUCAAUAUUCCUGAGAACUUUUUUGUAGGGAUGAAAAAGCUUAGAGUUCUAGAUUUUACUCGAAUGCAGUUUUCUUCAUUUCCAUCUUCAAUUGAUCUUCUAGUAAAUCUUCACACACUAUGUCUGGAUCAAAGUGCGUUGGGGGACAUAGAAAUCAUUGGGAAGUUGAAGAAUCUAGAAGUCCUUAGCUUUCUGAUGUCUGAUAUUAUGCAGUUGCCAGAAGAACUAGGUCAAUUGAAUAAGUUGAGAUUGUUAGAUUUAACCAAUUGUUUCCAUCUAAAAGUUAUUGCGCCCAAUCUCAUAUCAAGCUUAACUCGAUUAGAAGAGCUGUAUAUAGGUAAUUGCUUCAUUGAAUGGGAGGUUGAAAGAGCCAAUAGCAAAAGAAGUAAUGCUAGCCUUGACGAAUUGAUGCAUUUACCUCGGCUAACCACUCUAGAAAUUGACGUUAAAAAUGACAUUAUUUUACCAGAGGGUUUUUUGGCCAGAAAGCUGGAAAGGUUCAAAAUAUCUAUUGGAAAUGAGUCAUUCAGGCAUCCCAUGAGUGUUGGACAAGAUUGGUUCCAAAGUCGGCUGCAGUUUUCGAUCAACAGUGAUCGCAAGAGUUUAAGAGCAUUGAAGCUCAAGCUUGAUUUUAUGGACAUUUGCUCCACGAAAUUGCAGGGCAUCAAUAACGUUGAAUGCUUAUGGUUGGACAAGCUGCAAGGCAUCGAGAAUGUUCUUUUCAAUUUGGACACGGAGGGCUUUUCACAAUUGAAGCUUCUCUGGGUUCAAAAUAAUCCUGACAUCUUUUGUAUCGUCGAUUCAAGGGAGAUGGUCGGUUGUGAUGCCUUUCCUCUUUUGCAGUCACUUAUCCUUCACAAUUUGAUCAACAUGGAGAGGUUAUGUAUUGAUCGGCUCAAAGUAGAGUCUUUCAACCAACUCAAAAACAUAGAAGCAUAUAAUUGUGAUAAGUUGAGCAAUAUCUUUUGGUUCUCUACUACAAAAUGCCUUCCAAGACUUGAGAGAAUUGCAGUUAUUAAUUGCAGCAAGAUGAAAGAAAUUUUUUCAAUUGGGGAAGAAGUUGAUAAUGCAAUUGAGAAGAUAGAGUUUGCUCAAUUAAGAUCUUUGAGUCUGGGGAAUCUUCCAGAGGUUACAAGUUUUUGCUGUGAGGUGGAGACUCCUUCAGCAUCACCGAACAGACAAGUGUCGCAAGAGGAAUCGACGGCUAUGUAUUGCUCCAGCGAAAUCACUUUGGAUAUUUCAACUCUACUUUUCAACGAGAAGGUGCGUAGGCUAACAUUUUCUUUAUUCUAUAAUGCGUUCUCUUUUGAUGUCAUACGUGGAAAAUAAUUAAAUCAUUUAAAGAAUGGAAAGAAAAUGGAAAAAAGGAUAAAAAGAAUCUCACGCGCUCACUAAUUGAGCUCUUAACAAGUAGUAUCAAUUAGAAUGCAUACUCAGCUGUCAGUUGGAAAUUGAUUCUGACUUGCAUUAAUUUGUAAUCAAAGAAGAAAAUUUCAACAAGUGCUUCCCAUAUGGAUAUUGGAUCUAACGAGAAAUUCUUAUUUUUUUAGGUUGCGUUGCCUAACUUGGAGGUUUUGGAGAUAUCUGAAAUUAAUGUCGACCAGAUUUGGCACUACAAUCAUCUUCCGGUCACGUUUCCUCGCUUUCAAAAUUUAACACGAUUGAUUGUGUGGCAUUGUCACAAAUUAAAAUACAUAUUUUCAGCGUCUAUGAUCAGAAGCCUUAAGCAGCUCCAACGCCUGGAAAUAUGCUCCUGUGAGGAUUUACAGGAGAUCAUUUCUGAAAACAGAACAGAUCAAGUGAUCCCUUAUUUUGUCUUUCCACAGCUCACCACUCUGAAACUCCAAGAUCUACCAAAACUUAGAUGUUUGUACCCUGGAAUGCAUUCUUCGGAAUGGCCUGCACUAGAAAUUCUUUUAGUGUAUGGUUGUGACAAAUUAAAGAUAUUCGCUGCAGAUUUAUCGCAGAAUAAUGAGAAUGAUCAACUUGGUAUUCCUGCACAACAGCUCCCAUUGCCGUUGGGAAAGGUAUGAAGCCAUUUUCUAGAUUUUUUAUCAAUAGCUUAUUUUUAACUUUGAAAAAUAUGACAAAGCAUCGAUAAAUUAAUGCUCAAUAAAUUGAAAACUUUUAUUAUACAAUAAUCUUUGCUAGUCUAGACUAAGGGAUCAAUAUGGUAGAUUCAUAAUUAUAUGAACUUUUUUAGGCAUAGCAUUUAUAAAAGAAUCCUCAGUCUUUCCAUUUAGAAGAACUUACAAAAUAAAUUAGUAAUUUACUAUUGUGCAAUAAAAUAAUUUUGAGCCAAUAUAAAUCAACUAUUUUUCCCUAAUUUCUUGCUUUACCUCUAAAAUUAACAUACAAAAUAAAUUUUAUCAAUAAUUCAAUUUUUUUUAAAAUAUAAUAUAAAACAAAUGCUAUAAAGUCACUGCGUGUGACCGUAGAUCAUCAAUUGACCUCAUUAGUUAUUAUGAUUAAUGAUGAUCAGAUCGUACCCAACUUGAAGGAACUAUCACUAAGUGGAAAAGAUGUGAAGACGAUUUUGCAGGCCGAUUUCCCACAACACCUUUUUGGCAGUCUUAGACAUCUACAGAUUGCUGGAGAUGACUCAGCUUGUUUUCCAAUCUGGAACGUACUUGAGAGAUUUCACAAUCUCGAAAUGCUCUCACUGCUUUUUUUUCCAUUCCACGAAGAGGUAUUUUCGAUGGAAGGAUGCUUAGAGAAACAUGUGGGGAAGUUGGCAAUGAUAAAAGAAUUAGAGCUGUACUGGCACUAUCAUCUGAAGCAGCUGUGCAAACAAGACUCCAAACUUGGCCCCAUUUUUCAGUAUCUUGAAAGUCUAGAAGUAUAUCAUUGUCAAAGUCUGUUAAUUCUAUUGCCAUCAUCAUCGGUAUCUUUUCAGAACCUAACAGCUCUGGUGGCUUUCGGUUGCAAGAAAUUGUUACACAUGGUAACAUCCUCCACAGCAAAAACUCUGGUGCGACUCGUAGCAAUAGAAAUAUAUGGAUGCAGAGCAAUGACAGAGGUGGUAAUAAAUGACAAAGACGGGGUUGAAAAAGAAGAGAUUGUUUUCCGCAAAUUGAAGAGGUUGGAACUGCGUGAUUUAGACAGCCUCACAAGUUUCUGCUCUGCCAAUUACACCUUUGAAUUCCCAUCUUUGAAAGAGUUGUGUGUGAUUGGUUGUCCCAAGAUGAAGAUUUUCACUACAGGAGAAUCAAUCACGCCUCCGGGAGUAAACGUCUCUUAUGGAGAGACAUCGAAUCAACAGCGUUGGGCUAAUAAUGAUCUAAACACAACCAUACAACAAUUACAUGCUGAAAAGGUACGGAUAUACAUGUUACUCUCUAUCUCCCAUGGAAAAAUUUUACAAAAUUUGCUUUUUUUAAAUAAAAUAUAGAUAAGAUGUUUGUUAUAAAGUAAAAGUUUAAAUUGAUGAAUAAGAAUCUUAUUUUCAGCUGUUGGCGGUGCCGUCGUCGUUCUCUACGCAUUACAACUAAUUUCAUAGGCUUCUUAUGACUUGGAGUUGCGAAUUUUUAGAAGAAAGUCUCAGCUGGUAAUUAAUUUUUAUUUCAUUUAUUUGAUCUCAUGGCUUGUUUCACAAUUUCAUCUGAAUUAUUUAGAAUGGGUCCCUCGGUUUACUGUUAAAUUUGCAAUGCAAUUUUAAUGAUUCUUUCAGACUUUUAUGGACAGAUUUUGCAUAAUUGAAUGUCUUUUUAGUCUAGUUUAAUUUGAGUCUUUUUUUUUUUUUUUUUUUUUGGGAGCUCCCCUCGUCUUCUAAAAUUUUAUAACUCCUUGCAUACGUUUUUAUGAUAAAAUUUCAUUAAAAGCCUUCGUAUUUUAUAAUUCCUUGAAAACGUGCAUACUUUUUCCAUUCUUUCUUUGCCAAUUAUUUAUUCUCAUCAUUGCUGUUCUUUUAUUUUAGUUUGUGUUCUGUUUGUUCAUUGGGUUUGCUUUUCUUCGCACCUAUAUUUCCUUGGAAAGUUAGAAGGCAAGGAAAGUACUUAGAAAAUGUUCUUCCCUAUGAACACAUAAUUAAAGAACAGCUGAAUAUCAUUCAUCGGAUUAAAAAAAUUAAAAAAAAAAACGUAAUCAGUGCAUUGUUCCUAUAACAAAUCCUUAAACCAUCAAAUGUUAGCUAUCAACAAGUAUAUUGUGGAAAUAUUGUUUGAAAAUAUUUCAUAAAAAAUCAAGUUUUCACAAACCCAAAAAGGGACUAAUUUGGUCUAGCAUAUACAUAAUAUUUUCUCCACUGUUCCUGUUAAAAUUUCUCUACUCUAUGAUCGCAGAAUGUCUGGAUACUGAUGACGAUUUAAGUCACUCUUCUUCUGUGCGCAAUUUGAAAUAAGGUCGUUUUUCUUUUUUCCUCUAUUCAAAGUUUACAUUCUGAUGGGUUCCCGUUUCCAUCUUCGUGAUCUUCUUGUGAUUCACUGCAUCGGGUCGCUACAUCUGUGAUAGUGUGAGUUGCAACCUCUUUGUAUGUAUUAAAAAAAUUUUAUUCUCAAUAUAUAUGACUCAAUGAGAGGUCUUUUAUUAUAUAUAUGUCAUGAAUUUCUAUUUUAUUUUGAGAUUUGAUGGUGUAUUAUUGUCUCAUUGCAAGGUCUUGUAAUCACUCUGAUUCUCAUUUGAGGAGGUUGGUCUCGUCUAUGUGUAUGUAUUUAUAUCCACAAGAAAUAUGAUAAAUGGUCUUGUCGUUUUCUCAUUAAAACAUCUAGUGCUUCAUAGGUUGGAGGGCUGCGAGGCAUCAGGGCCAGAUUUUUAAACUCAAAGUUCUUCGUGUCAUUUACCCAUUUGAUUAUCAAAUAGUCAUAAAAGCAUAUAAAUUCAAGUUAGUGUAUCAUUUUUACACAAUAUACUAAAACUAACACAAGAACCUCGCCGACAUUUUCAGUUGAAUAACUCAGACCCCCGUACUUCCUCGGGCUGACAGCCCAAAGUGAAAAUAUCUAAAAAAAAUAGUUGCAACAUUUACCCAUUUGAUUAUGAUUCAAAAAAAUACACAAAUGGAAAAAUUAUUGGGAUUGUUAAGAUAGUUAAAAUGGUUAGUUAUUGUUUCAGUUUAUUAAGCAAGAUAGUUAGAGUUACUGACGUGUUAGCUGAGCUGGCAUAAGUUAGUUAUUUUGUUAGCAGUUUGUUAGUGCACACUGCUCAACUCUCAGGUGCUUAGCUCGAGUAUUUUAGAUGUGAAAUUUAUUAUAUUAGAUAUUCGAGAUAUCUAUGAUGCUGAAUACAGGGCAUGUGUUGUCUAAAUUUAUUUUAUUUUGUUUGCUUCACAUCCUAUUUUCAAAACCUUUGAAGAAUGCUAAGAGAAGGAACAAAGGGCUAAAGAGUCAAAUGUAACAUUGCUAUUAAUUUGUUAAUUGCCAUCAUUUUUAAUUUUUGCCCUGCUUGUUCUGUUUACCCAUUUAUUUCAUUUGGUUUGCUCCACAUCUAUCUUUCCUAACUUAGGAAGGCAAGGAUUUUGAAAGCUUUGCUUGAUAAAAUUUGAAAGUUCUGAAGAAGAUUCAGGUCACUCGUGUGCAGCCUCUGGAAUAAGAGCUGUGUUACUGUUUAAAAGUUUUCAUGCUCUGGAAUAAAAUUUGCUUUACUGUGUUACUGGUCAACUUCAUUAUUCUACUAAUGCUUUACUUCAUCUUCAUUGUAUCACUACAUUGACAGCGUUGACAGUGUAACUAAAACCCUUGCGUUCACAAGCAAUUUUGAUCACAUUAAACUUUUAAGGAAUUAUCUUUUAUAGCCAUCUUCCAUAUUAUUAGGAGGAGUCGUUUUCACUAUUUUUAAGAAAUUUUGAUCACAUUAAACUUUUGAUCUGAGUUCAUAACAAAAAUCAAAACGGUGCAUGACAUCAAGAUUAUGAUGAAUCAAAUUGAACUCCCAAUACGUUAGUUCAUAAAAAAUGCUUUUCUUCUUCCAAGUAAUCUUAUCAUUUCUUUCAUUUUAUUCAUUCUCCUCUUUUCUCCUCUUUUCAAGUCUUCAAUCUUAUACUCAGUAAGUACAUUACUGAACUGCUUUUUCACCUCAGCUCCAGACAACCGAGAAGGUGCUUGUCCCCACUCUCUAGUUUUAUCAGAUGGCACUAUAUUUUCGGAACCUAUGAUUUGUUGGUAAAAAUCGACGGUGACCCACGUGACAAUUUUCUACUAUGUAUCAACCAAUUAGAUCUAGUGUUUUGUUGGCAAACAAGAAAUGCUUAUUUACCUUUAAUACUCCACCCAAACAAGUUGGCAUAUGCUAGAAAGUCGGAGAUAGUCCAUAACAAUGCUGCGUGUGACUUGAACAUUUGAUUACGUGAUGCAUUAUGCACCAUUCCAACCAUACUAGCAUCACUACCCGAGUCAUGACUAACCUGUUUCUUAGUUAGAUUUCAAAGAUGAAGAUGGCUCACCCUCCAAUAUCCAGUUUUAAUACUUUAACCAAUAGCCAUUUAUAAUGAUAUGGUCUCUUGCCACUUUCCUUAUAAUGAAAUAUCGAUAUUACAACACCUCUUAGAAGGACAAUAAAUUCUUUUAUCACCAACAACAUUCUCAAAUGCAAAAUCUAUAAAUUUUUUGACCCCCAUCAGUAUAUGAAUUGGAUAUCUAUUUGGCAAACCAACCCAACUCUGGUCCAUGACUAUCUCCUUUUAUUGCACUAGAAAAAUUAGUUAAAUAAAUCACUUUAAUUCUUCAUUUCUACUACUAAACAAGAUAUUUUCAUGUGUGCGCAGUUUCGCAAUAUAAUAAAAAAAAUUAUUAUACAAUUUUAUGGUUUUAUAUAUAUGGAAGCAAGCAAAGCCACAAGAAUCAGAGAAAAAGAUGUGAAAAUUAAAGUAUAUAUACAAUAAUAAUUAAUCUAAAAAACAGUUUGCAAUACCUUCUGUAAAGAAAUAUCCUCACCACAGCUGAGAACUUCACUUGGCUAUCAAUUACAGAUAUAUAAAGCCUGUUACCUAGAAACAAAAAAUUAGGUCAGCCAGCUGAAACAUAUUUAUAAACCAACAUUGGAGAUAGUACUCCAUUUAUAAAAAAAAUUACAAGACUCAAAACCAAGUCGACUCAGCAAAAUCAUAACCGAUUACAUUCAUCCCACUCAGCUCCUCCAAUAUAUCCAACAUUCCCUUCAUAUUUACAAAAGGUAAGUGGUCCUAUAUAUCCCACUCAAGAAUGCAUAAGUUUCUUCAAUCUUAAGUAUCUAAAGUUUUCCUCUACGUUUAUAGAAACUUCGGAAGCAUCUCCCUAUAGUUCUUCAAGUACACGACAUAGAUAUAUGAGUGUUUAUGUGUUAUGCCAAAACAACACAUGACACCCAUUUGUCUAGUAUGCACCCAGAGAACAUGAGGAGCAGCUGCUGAAAAACCCAUUUUUACGUGGGAAAAAAAUUUCAGGCACUAGCUACCAUAGAAAUCUAUGCAUUACCAAACUGUCCAAGCCUAGAUAAUUCAAGAAUUAUUAAUAGACAUAAGAUCCUCACUAUCAUCCAAAAGAUGACACUAAUAAAACAUGUGUCUAUUAAUAAUUUCUUAAAGGAGUUUAAGCUUUCAAUGCAUGUAUCAAAAGUUUAAAAUUGAAUCUGAAACUUGAAUAACACAUAAAAAUCAUAAAUCUCUUCAAUUUAUUCCUAAUAAAAUGUAGCAUUUUUUCACAUUUCAUUUCUUAAGCAAAACCAUAAAAAAUUACAGACAAUAAAUACAUUUUCUAGCACUGAUGCACAUUAUGUUUACUGAGCAAUAAGUUUUAAGUCAUUCAUAUUAAAAUACUUCUUCCUAUUCUAUAAACAAAUAACUAGUACGUACACACAAUUAAUAAAUUAAAUGUAACCUGGUUGUGAAUCUUGCAAAGUCUUACUAUUUGUUUUUUUUUUUUGGUGGUGGUGGUGGUGGGGGGGGGGGGGGGGGGGGGGGGGGGGGGGGGGGGGGGGGGGGGGGGGGGGGGAGGGGAGGGGGGGCGGUUAUGCUCAUUUGUAUGUUGUUAACAGAAAUUGAUCCAAAGCCUCAGUUUUAAUUAGCUUCAUUAUAGCCAAUGAUUAGGUGUUUAAAAACCAAUGAAUAUUUUUUAUAAGAAAUCAACAAUAUUGUUGAAAGAAAAACCAAAUAAAAAUAAUAAAGCAAUGCAUAGAUUAAGGCUCUUUAUUAUCUAAUAACUAAUCAAACUAAGUUGUGGGUAAAGGCGAAUAUGUUUGUUUGGCCAAUAAUAAACUCAAGGAAUCACCAAUAAUCACCUAGUUACUAUUCCUUAUGCCAUGCAAUGUAAUGGUGUCAGUAAUGGCGACAAGGCAGGCAAUAACUAGCUAGCUAGUUAUGAUAGUUGCUUAACUUAACCUACUGGAAAUCUGAAGACCAAAAUGAAGAAACUUUGCCUAGAACUAGAAUAGGAAAACGUUCAUACCCAAAACCAAUAUACAUGAUUAACAAACUUGAUUAUAUGUAUAUUUUUGUUUGCCACACCAAAUCCCACUAUUUCCAUACUCAUAAGCACAAAAAACCAUCGCAAAAAUGAAUGACCAUAUAAAAUAAAAUAGGUCGUAGGACAUUGAGAAUAGGACAAUAUGAUUUAUGUACCGUAAAAUAACUAUAUCUGCAGUCAACUAUAUUUCUGUUAGAACUCUAAAGUUUUCCAUUAAAUUUUUUUCCCUGUUUGGUAAACCACUUAACUGAAACACUUAAGCAAGAUUGACAAUCAUAGACAUACAAGUAUUAAUAGGCUCGUUCAAGUGAAAUGAGCAUUAUUUCACAUAUCCUUUAGGCUUUUAAGUCAUUUAGAAGUCAUUCAUGUUAAACAAUUUCUUCAUAUACUUUCAAUAUAAUUAGUACAUACACAAUUAAUUAAUUAAAUAAAUCUGUUUCAGCUAGCACAGGAACUUAAGCAAUCAGAGCUAUUAGUUAUAGCUAGGACUUGAAUGAGGCACCUUUCAAAGUUCAAGAGGAGCAUCUGAACAGAAUGAAAGCAUUUUGUAGAAAUGGUAGUGAUGCUUUACAUCUACAUGCUCUUACACAAUAUGAACUUUCAUUUAUUCAAGAACAUAACACUAAUCCAAGCUCUUACUCUACAAGUCAAUUCAGUUUGUAGAUGCAAGCCAUUGUAAAAACUUUUGUGUUAUAAUUUCCGUAAAUGGAACAUGACAUUACUAAUAUAGAAUCAGCAAUGUUAUAUAACUUAUCAGACAAUAUAACAAGCACUUGGCGAGCAUAUAAGAUAAACUAAAACAAGUUAAUUAGAAAAUGAAACUAAAACCCAAGCUCCGCUAUUCAUUGUAGAAGCUUUAAACAUAAAAUAAAAGUAAAUCUAAAUACAUGAUUGUAAAACAUUAGAAUGGAUGUUGGAAUUAAAGCUAAAUUCAAUAGUAAUCCAAAUGAAUCCAUUUGAACUUUGUAAAUUCCGCAGAACAAAAUUAAUUUGAGUGAGCAAAGUCACCAAUGGAACAAGAACAGAAGGGCUUCAACUUCUAGGAACAAGAAAUAUUGCCGGCGGGACAAAAAUUGACAUUAAUGGUUACAAUACGAAUUAAAGAAAUCAAAACCUAUAAUUACAAGCUAAGAAAGAGAAGAAACUCAUAAUCACAAGCUUACCUGAAACGAUGAGAGAGAUAAUAAGAUGAAGAAGAAGAUCGCCGCCGUUUUACGCCAUUCUCCGGCUACCAGUAAGGUUUAGGAUGGCCAGGCACGCACGAGAGAGAAUUUGGGACUUUGGUUUUGAAAAUAUUGACUUCAGCAAAUAGUUUUCUAUUUAGAAACAAAUUUAUAACUCUACCGUCAAAAUAAUAGUAUGCCAAUUGGCUCUCUACCGUCACGUGGUUAGUAACAUAAGUGAGAGCAGUCUAGCAGAUAUUCCCGCGGGGACAUGACCCUCGAGAUUUUCCCAAUUCAGGAGGGUAUAUGAAUUGCUAGAGAUAUUUUGGCAAUUCUAAUUACAAAUGUUGCUUUUGAAUUAGUUUUUAGCACCAGUGUUAGAGUACUGUAACACGCUUUAUUCAAGCACAUUGGAGGCUUUAAUAUGUUGUCAAAGUUGACUACAAGCUUACAAUGGCAGUAUGAGUUUAUUUUACAUUGUAAUUAUAUUAUAUAAUUAUUAAUAUUUUCACUUAGAAUUUACAUUACUUAUAUUAUUUUUGUUGUUUUAAAUUUGAAAUCUGAGGCUAUCUCUCAAUUUGUCACAUUUCUCGAGGAAGAACAAGAAGAGUAGGAGACACAAGAGGUAAAUACUGUUAUUAGAAAUAUUGAUUAAGUAUCUAUAUUCAUUUCAUUUAUCUCAUUGUUGAUAUAAAAGUAAUUUCUUUUUUUUUUAUUAUAUGAUUUUGAAGAUUGCCGAAGAUAAUUAUUAUGGUGAUUUAUACUUUGUAAUGUGACUUUUGUAAUAGAUUAAUGUUAAUGUAAGAUAUAUCGUCAAACUUUAUUUUUAUUUUUUAUUUUAAUAUGAUUAAAUUAAAAUUUAAAACUAAAAACGUAUCAGUUAUUCGACAAUCGAGGACCUUUAAGGAUCCCCUAUUAUUAUUUGGGGAGGGGAGGGGGAUUCCCUAAAGUAAUUUUGUCGGGAAUGGGAAGAGGACAUGGAUAUAUGCAGAAUAUCGGGAAUGGGUACGGGGAGAUCAGUCUCUUCCCCUCCCCUUUCCAUUGCCAUUCCUAACAAAGUUGGCAAUACAUGUACGGGCCGCUUUUGUAAAAUUGCUUUAAGGGUCGUUUGGGAUUGCUUUUGGGAAUAGCAUGCAAGAUAUAUAUAAAAAAUAAAAUCGUAGAAUAACUUUUACCUCUAAUUCGAUUUUUUCUUCUUUUUUGUAAAUUAUUAUGCAUUUAUAUUAAAGUCACUGUGUAUGAUUGGAUGAUUAAAAGUUAUUUGAGAGAAUAUGAAUUGACUUAAUAAGUUAUUACGUGAUUGAUGAUGAUCAGAGCUUACCCAACUUAGGAGGAACGGGCAUUAAGUGGAAAAGACUCGAGGAUGACUUUGCAGAGCGAUUUCCCACAACACCUUUUUGGCAGUCUUAAACUACUACAAACAGUGAAUAUGAGAUUGUUUUCACCAAAUUGAAGAUUUUGUAUCUGUAUGAUUUGGGUAGUCUCACAAGUUUCUGCUGAUAGUCUCAGAAGUUUCUGCUCUGCCAAUUACACCUUCAAGGAAUCUUUGGAAGAUUUAUCUAUAAUUGGUUGUCCCAAGAUGAAGAUUUUCACUAAAGGAGAAUUAAACGCGCCUCUGAGAGUAAACUUCUACUAUGGAGAGAGAGAUGAUCAACAGCUUUGGGACCAAACUAAAUUCGUUAAUCAUUAGUUUUUAACUUCAUUACUGUAUGGAAGUCCUGUCAAAUUAAAUUGCUGCUGUUAAAUUUAUUAAAUCUCUUGCUUCCCUGCAAAUCUCUGUGUGCUUUAAUUUUAAUUGAAACUAAUGAAUGAAAAUUUUACUUUCAGCUGUUGGAGGGGUCCUCAUCUUAUUCAACGAUGUAUGUGUCCUAAUGGCAUUGGCAUUUUACUUUAAUUACAAGCGAGUUGUGAAUUUGAAAAACAAAGUCCCGGUUAAUUCAAUUUCAUUUCAUUUUAUUUGAUUUCUUGGCUUGUUUUAUUGCUUCAUCUAAAUUGUUUGGAAUACACCACUAGUUUAUUUUUACUUUUAGAAUGAGUUUUAAUGUUUUGUUAUGAGAUUUAUAUGCUUAUUUUAUAUCAUUAAAGGUCUUAGUGACUUAUCUAUUUAUUUAUUUUUAUAUCAUUAAAGGUCUUCACUUAUUUAUUUAUUUAUUUUUUUGACGGUGUGGCUUUAUAAUGUGCUAUUUUUUUUUUUAAUUUUGAAUUUUAUAAUUCCUUGAAAAUGUCAUUGAAAGGCCCAGCACUUUUAUGUGGAAACCAUCUCAUCCUCUUUAUUUCGAACUAUUAAACAACCAAAUGUAUCCUAACAUAUAUGUUGAGAAUCAAUCUACUGAUUAAGAUAUAUGGCAAUGGUAUUGUCUGUUUGCUAUAGUUUGAUUACAAGAGAACUUUUCCAUUUGUUAGUUGCCAUCUUUGUUGAUCUGUUAAUUCAGUCUUCUUCUGUUUGUCCUGUUUCUCUGUUUAUUUCAACCUUUCUUUCAAAACUUAGAAGGUAUGGAAAGAGCAAGUACUUAGAAAUUGCAAGAAUUAUAUCAAAUCAUGCAUAUAUGCCCCUGCCUAUGAACUCUUAGGAACAAUCGAAUAUCUUUCCUUGAAUAACAUAAAACAAAAUCUACAGAUCAUUAAACCAUCAAAAGUUAGCUAUGAACAACAAUAUUGACCCCACAAAAGAGUUUUCUAUUUAGAAACAAAUUUAUAACUUUAAAAUAAUGGCAUGCCAAUUGGCUCUCUACCGUCACGUGGUUAGUAACAUAAGUGAGAGCAGUCUAGCCGUCACAUAAACAGUCACAAAAGCAACUGGCUGUUGCAAAGUAAGGGGUGGCAGAAAUUCCUGCAGUGAUAGGGAUUCUCGGAAAUUUUCUCCAUUUGGAUAGGAUAAAGAGAUAAUUUUUUAUUUAAUUUCUUAUGCAGAGAAGGGAUGAAAAUAAUUUUUUUAUCUAAUUUUUUAUUCGAAAAAAGGAUGAGGAUACAGCGGAAUCCUCAUCCCCUCCUAAUUUCUUGAUUUUAAUUUUAUUUUUAUUUUUAUUUUUUAAAUUAUUUAUAAAUAAAUAAUAAAAUGUAAAUUAUAAAAUAUUAAAUAUUAGUAUAAAUAAAAAAUAUCAAAAUAAUUAUAUUAUUAAACUUUAAGGCCUAACUUACUGCAUUAAUAUUUGGAUGAGAAAGUUAUCCUACGGAUGAAAGAUUUUAAUAUUUUAAGUUGGUGAAAAACAAAUGCUCAUAGGUAUCCUAUAUUGGCACGAAUUGCUGGAGAUAUUUUAACAAUUCUAAUUACAAUUGUUGCUCCUGAAUAAGCUUUUAACACAGUGGUAGAGUAUUGUAACACGCUUCAUUCAAGCACAUUGGAGGCUUUAAUGUGUUGUCAAAAUUAGUUACAAGCUUAAAAUGGCAGUAUGAAUUUAUUUUACAUUGUAAUUAUAUUAUAUAAUAAUUAAUAUUUUCACUUAUAAGUUACAUUACUUAUAUUAUUUUUAUUGUUUUAAAUUUAAAAUCUGAGGCUAUCUUUCAAUUUGCCACAUUCAUCGAGGAAGAACAAGAGGAGCAAGAGACGCAAGAGGUAAAUACUUUUAUUAGAAAUAUUGAUUAAGUAUCUAUAUUCAUUUCAUUUAUCUCAUUGUUGAUAUAAAAGUAAUUUCUUUUUUUUUAUUGUAGGAUUUUGAAAAUUGACGAAGAUAAUUAUUGUGGUGAUUUGUACUUUGUAGUGAGAUUUUUGUAAUGGAUUAAUAUUAAUGUGAGAUAUAUCGUCAAACUUUAUUUUAUUUAAAAUUUUAUUUUAAUACGAUUAAAUUAAAAUUAAAAACUAAAAACAUAUCAUUUAUUCAGGGAUCGAGGACCCACAGAGAUCCCCUAUUAUUAUUCAGGGAGAGGAGGGGAUUCUCUAAAGUAAUUUUGUCGAAGAUGGGAAGAGAGUAAGGAUAUAUGCAAAAUAUCGAGGAUAGGUACGGUGAAAUUGGUCUCCUCCCCAUUAUUAUCCCUAACAAAGUUGGUGAUACAAGUAACGGCCGCUUUUUGUAAAAUUGUUUUAAGGGCCGUUUAUGAUUGCUUUUGGUAAUAGCAUGCAAGAUAUAUAUAAAAAAUAAAAUGGUAGAAUAACUUUUACCUCUAAUUCGAUUUUUUCCCCUUUUUUUUUGUAAAAUAUUAUGCAUUUAUAUUAAAGUUACUGUAUAUGAUUGGAUUAUUAAAAGUUAUUUGAGAGAAUAUGAAUUGACUUAAUAAGUUAUUGCGUGAUUGAUAAUGAUCAGAGCUUACCCAACUUGGAGGAACGGGCAUUAAGUGGAAAAGACUCGAGGAUGACUUUGCAAAGCGAUUUCCCACGACACCUUUUUGGCAGUCUUAAACUGCCACAAACAAUGGAUGAUGCCUCAACUUGUUUUCCACAUGGUUUACUUGAGAGAUUUCAUAAUCUGGAAACUCUCAUACCGGGUCGUUGUUCAUGCGAAGAGGUAUUUUCAAACGGAGGAUACUUGAGAAAACAUGUGAGGAAGUUUGCAAUGAUAAAACAUUUAGAUCUGCACAAAUUUAAUCAUCUGAAGCAAUUGUGGAAACAAGACUCCAAAUUGCACUUCUUUUUUCAAUGUCUUGAAAUUCUAAAUGUACAUUUUUGUCAAAAUCUGUUAGGUCUAUGGCCAUCAUAUCAUCGGUAUCUUUUGGGAAUGUAAAAGAACUUCUAGUUCUUUUUGCAAGGAAUUGAUGAGCUUAGCAACAUCCCCCACAGCAAAAAGUCUAGAGCGACUCUUAUCAAUGGUGGUAUGUGGAUGCAGAGAAAUGAGAGAGGUGGUGAUAAAUGACGAAGAUGGAGCAGCAAAUUUAAAAGAAGAGUUGUUUUCACCAAAUUGAAGAUUUUGUAUCUGUAUGAUUUGGAUAGUCUCAGAAGUUUCUGCUGAUAGUCUCAGAAGUUUCUGCUCUGCCAAUAACACCUUCAAAUUCCCAUCUUUGGAAGAUUUAUUUUUACUUUUGGAAUGAGUUUUAAUGUUUUGUUCUGAGAUUUAUAUGCUUAUUUUAUAUCAUUAAAGGUCUUAGUGACUUAUCUAUUUAUUUAUUUUUAUAUCAUUAAAGGUCUUAAUUUAUCUAUUUGUUUAUUUUUUUGACGGUGUGGCUUUAUAAUGUGCUAUUUUUUUUUUUUAAUUUUGAAUUUUAUAAUUCCUUGAAAAUGUCAUUGAAAGGCCCAGCACUUUUAUGUGGAAACCAUCUCAUCCUCUUUAUUUCGAACUAUCAAACAACCAAAUGUAUCCUAACAUAUAUGUUGAGAAUCAAUCUACUGAUUAAGAUAUAUGGCAAUGGUAUUGUCUGUUUGCUAUAGUUUGAUUACAAGAGAACUUUUCCAUUUGUUAGUUGCCAUCUUUGUUGAUCUGUUAAUUCAGUCUUCUUCUGUUUGUCCUGUUUCUCUGUUUAUUUCAACCUUUCUUUCAAAACUUAGAAGGUAUGGAAAGAGCAAGUACUUAGAAAUUGCAAGAAUUAUAUCAAAUCAUGCAUAUAUGCCCCUGCCUAUGAACUCUUAGGAACAAUUGGAUAUCAUUCCUUGAACAGCAUAAAACAAAAUCUACAGAUCAUUAAACCAUCAAAAGUUAGCUAUGAACAACUAUAUAAAAAUCAUUUGUUUCUCACAUUGUCGAAGUGUUUUGAAAAGAUGGUUUAUAUUGCACCAUAAAAAUGUGGUCUGAUAAACCAACAGGGGAGUAGUUUGGUCCAGUUACGUGAAAUGCAUGCAAAAUAAUAUUUUCUCUAUAGUUACUGAAGAGAAUUUUGGUCACUCUGGUGUGCAUUAUCUGGAAUAAAGUCGUUUUCCAGUUUCUUCAAAGUUUAUGUGCGGAGGACUUCCGGUUUCAUUCUGUCUCUCAAGUUCAAAUACUAAUAAAGAUGAGUAAAUUCAUCAUCCGUGUGUCUGCUCUUUCUAUGCAUUUUGACAUUUUUUACUAAUGCGUCUCAAUGAGAUAUCUUGAUUAUAUGUAGCGAAUUAAUAUUCUGGCGUUUUUUGAGAUUUGAAGACGUAAUAAUUUCUCAUUGGAAAGCCUUUAAUUAUUGAUUUUCAUCAAAGGGGAUUGGUCUUGAAUGCAAAUGAAAUUUGAUAAAGGACCUUGACAUUUUUUUUAAAAUCAUCUAGCCUAGUAGUACUUUAUGUGUUGGAAGUGUCCCAGACCGAGAAAGAUUUCAACUUGGAGGAAUUGACAUAAAGCAAAAUGGUCUUCAUCAUCAUAUGCAUGGCAGCAGGGCCAGCUUCGUAAACUGUCAUUUUCUACGAACCAGCUGCUUUUCAAGUUGGAUUGCUUCGGAAUACUCACAAUCUGGAAAAGCUUGUAACCGUACAUAGAAAUAUUUUCACGUGAGGAGGUUGGGGAACAUGCUGAGAGUCUCACACAUAAAAACCUUUAAAGCUAAAAAUGAACUUUGGAGUAUUAAAAAUUCUAAAAUAUAUCAGAAAUAUCAUAGCAGUUAUACGAUAAGUAAAUAAUGUUAUAAUAUGUGUUUAUUUAUUCUGAGAAAUCACUAAUCUGUAAUAUAUUUUAGAAUUCCUCCUGGUGGAUAGUGGAGCACUUAUGGAAAACAGAUUCCAUUUAUUUCUUCAAAAUCUUGAAAUUCUAAAGGUAUAAAAAUGUCGCCACAACUUGAUAAAUCUUGUACCAUCCUCAGCAUCUCUCCGAAAUCUAACAGCAUUUACGCGGCUGUUCGGGAAGAAUAUGGUAAUUAGUAUUUACUAACCCCAAACAGCUGAGAAGGAUACUAAAAUUUGGACCCUAGCACUUCAUUCGGUGUAAAUAACUAACUAAAAGUAGAUAAAUAAAUAGAUGAAAAUAUCACAAACUAUUUUAUAUUGAUUAUUAAAGUAAUGGAAUAUAUUAAAAAAAAAUGAGGGCACUAGCACCUAAUAAUGAUUAUAUAUAUAUAUAUAUCAAUUCAAGAUUUUAAAGUGCAAGAAAGUCCAAAAAAACUUUAAACAGUGGGGUUUUAAAAAUUUUCCGGACCUUUCUUGCACUUUAAGAUCCCAGAGGCUCUUGAUUAAAUCUUCAUCAUACUUGGAGAAAAUUAAAUAUGUAUGGAAGGAUAUUUUCAAGCUUGGUAAGGUCAAAUAAUUGUGGAGUUAAAAAUUGAAUGAUGUGCAAGUUCAAACUACAAUACAAUUUAGAAACUUUUAGCGAAAAAUAAUAAGUGGAAAAACUUUAAAGUUCAUACAAAUAUGAAAUAUGUAUUAUGGGCUUGGCUAAGGUGGCGUUUGUUUUUUAACUUAAUGACUUAAAGUGACUUAACUUAAUUAAUUAAGUUAAUUAGAGGUGUUUGUUUUUAUAACUUAAUGAGACUUUUUAAAUAAUUUUGACUUAAUAAAAUAAGCCAAUUUUUUUGGCUUUUUACUUAAUGGAGAAAUCUGAAUUAAGGCAAUUACUUGCUAAUGUCAAAAAUAUCCCUGUUUUAUAAUUUAUUUUUCAUGUCUAUCCCAAAACUCACCCAUAGACAUUUACCCCACAUAAAAAUAUCCAUAUUUUUUCUUUCUUAUAUUAUAUACGAUAAAAUUUAAAAUUUAUGGUAUUUUAUAUUUUAAAAUUCUAAAAUAAUUAUGUAUUCACUUGAAUAUAGUUUUACUUAUAAAUGUUAAAAUAUUGUGGUAUUUAAUUUAUUAUUUAUUUGACAUUCAAAUUUAAUAAGGAUACAAAUGUAAAAGUACAUAUUUUCAGCAUUUUAAGUUGAAAAAAACAAACAACUUAAUACUUAUUUUCUGAUAUUCAGACAAAAAAACAAACAUAUUAUUCAGAUUCAGACAUUCAGAUCUAUUCAGAAUUCAGAUUAAUUCAGGUCUAUUUAGAUUUCAGAUAAAAAAACAAACGCCACCUAAGUUACGGUUCGUGUUAAUUUAAGGUUCAUGUAACUAACAACUUUAAUGAUAAAAUUGAAUAUAAAAGUAGUUUUUUUUCACAGAAAAAAUUGUCAAUAUUUUGUGUCAAAUAAAAAAAAAAUAUAUGUAUUUUGGGCGAAACUUUUUGCAAAAAAUAAUGAGUGCCAACACUUUAAAACUUAAUAUGUAUUUUGGGCUUGGCGAAGUUACGGUUCAUGUAACUAAUCAAUUUAAUCAUUACCGGAUAAAAUUGAAUACACCAGUAGUGUUUUUCCACGGAGAUAUCGCCAAAUUUUGUGUCAAAUAAAGAAUAAAACCAUAAAUACCAGUAGUGUCCGAUUUUGAAAGCAAAGCAGCAUACAUAUUAACUACUAGGCUUUGAUGGUGGUUGCAGUAAAAAGGAUUAAGAGAGAGAGAGAGAGAGAACUUGAAAACUAUGGAAUGGAAGAUAAAUCAAAGUUAUAAAUUUGGACUCAAUAGUUUUGAUGUUCAAUCAAAUAUGGAGGGGCGAUUAGAAAUUAUCAAAAAUUUAGAGGGAUUUCAACCGUUCAAUUCAUUAUUAGGCGUUGUAGACUGCAGGGAUGCAGAAAUUUCCACAGGGACGAUGGCCCCGAGGGAUCUUCCUCAUUCGGGAGUUUGAUAAUUUUAGAUCUAAUUUUUCUAUGUGGAGACAAGAAUCUGAUAAAUUAAUAUGUGUGGGUGUAAGUUACAUGAAAUAUAACUUGGUGUUUGCCCUAAUAUUUUAUUUGGCUCCACAUUUUUCUAUUUCUAUCUUUAGUUUCAAUUUUUAAUUCAUUUUUUUUCAAAUUUAUAGUAAAUACAUUUAAAAUUUCAAUUGUAAUAGUGUGAUGUAAAUAAAAAAUAUCAUAAUACAUUUAUAAAAAUAAUAUAAAUAACAGCCAAUAUAAAGUAAAUAUAAACACUUUAAAAUUGACAAAGAUAAUUUAAUUGAUGGUUUAUACUAUAUGACAUUUAUGGAUGAGUUCAACUUUGAAGAUUUACUUUUGCUUAAUUAGUUCAAAGAUUAUCUUCUAAUUUGAUGACAUUGACUUAAUUUGAUGGAAAUGAUUUUAAUCACUUUAGUUAAUUUGAUAUUUUUUGUGUUAAUAUGAUUUUAUAUUUUUACUUUAAGAUGAUUAAAUUAAGAAAAAAAAAAUUAAAUAAUCAGAGAUCGGAUACCAUCGGAGAUCCCUUUGUAUUAUUUAGAAACAUCCAUCCCCUCCUUUCAAGUAAUUUUGAAGGAAAUGUCUAGAGUACAAAGAGAUAGACAGAGUAUUAAAGAUGAGUAUGGGGAAAUCAACCCCCUCUCCUUCCCUUCUUAUUGACAUCCUUACAUAUGAGCCCAACGGGAAAUGCACCGUGCCUGAUAAAAGUAAAAUUAAAAAUAAAAAUUUUCUUUUAUCAAAUCAUUCUAUGUGGUGGAGAUUAUUGUAUAAUCAAGUACACUUGGCAUUUUUAAAAGCUUUUUCUUUAUUUAAAGCUCUAAAGGUCUGCUUAAGAGUCAAGGUUGGUGCCGUUCUUCUAGAAGAACAACCCGUAUCUUUUGAUAUUCAAAGUUUGAAUAUCAAGUUCAAACUUUAAAUUUUGAAAUAAUAAUAAUAAUAAUAAAUAUAAAAAGUGCCCAAAUUUUUAGCUAUAAAUAGAGGGGUUCACCCCCUCAUUUCAUUCAUUCCAUUCUUUUCUUCUUUAGUUCUAUAAUGAGAGAUUAAGAGUUUUAUACUCUUUGAGUGACUAGUGUUUGGAGAUAUUGACUAGUGUUUGAAAUGGCAUAAUACCACUAUUAGAAAAUUGAUUGGUGAAGUAGGGCCAUGACUAAAAUGAAAUUAGAAGAAAAUGAAGAACAAGCACAAAGAGGACACCAUAAAUUAUUUGGUUUGGCUUUUAACUUAUACCCAUAGGCAAGGACAAAAGGAUAAAACUUUAUUAGUGAAAUGAGGAUUAUAAGUAUUUUAGUAUUUUGUUUCACUUCUCAAAACAAAAUCUACACUUACCACUUUCAGAUAGACAAUAAUGCCAUUGCAGAUCUACAAUUACCACUUUUAGAUAGGGUAUUAUUCAAUAUCGUAGAGUAAAAGAGAGCAAAGGAAAUAUGGUUUACUCUCACUAGAUUAUACGAGGUCAAAUCACUACAAAAUAAAAUCUUCUUAAAGAGGAGGCUUUAUACUCUUCGAAUGGCGGAAUCUACAUCAGUGAUCGACCAUAUCAACACUUUAAAGACUUUAUUUUCAUAACUUACAACGUUGGGUCAUAAAAUAGAGGAAAAUGAACAUGUGGAGCUUUUACUUCAAGGUUUACCAGAUUCGUAUGAUCAAUUUGUCAUUAAUCUAACUAAUAACAAUCGAGUAGACAAGUUAGUCUUUGACAAUAUGGCAGCCUCCGUAUUAAAUGAGGAGAGUUGCAAAAAAUAAAAAAGAUAGACAGACGAGUUCGCAGCAAGUAGAAGCACUAUUGGUGAUGAAAGGAAGAUCCAUGGAACGUGGCCCUAGUGAGAGCCACAAUCACGGUAGAUCAAAAUCAAGAAGUAAGAAGAAUGUCAAAUGCAACAACUAUGGCAAGAAAGGGCAUGUCAAGGAAAAGUAUUGGAACAACUAGAAGAGAAGAGAUCCUGAGUCAUCAAAUGCUCAAGGGUAUGUAGUAAGUACCUCGUAUGAUGGCAAAAUUCUCUACAGUAAGGCAACAACUGCUUCAGAAAGCAAAAAACGACUAUAUGACGUCUGGCUUAUAGACUUAAUAGUUGCCUAGCACAUGAUCUCUCUAAGAGAAUGAUUUCACAAAUAUGAAUCUAUUUCAAGAGAAUCUGUAUACAUAGGUGAUGAUCAUGCCUUUGAGAUCACUGAUAUUGGUACUGUCAAAAUAAAUAUGUUUAAUGGUACGGUUCGCACAAUUGAGAAGGUAAGACAUGUCAAAGACUUGAAAAAUAUCUCUUGUCUUUAGGACAAAUAGAUAGUCUUGCGCGCAAAACUCAUGUAGAAAAUGGGAUCAUAAAGAUAGUCAAAGGCGCACUUGCAUUAAUGAAGGUGGAAAAGAUCGGUGCUAAUCUAUUCAUGCUUAAAGGGAAACACUACAGAAAGCUUUUGUGUGUGUCACAUCAAAUAGAGAAAAUUCAGCGAUGAUGUGGCAUCUUAAACUUGGCCAUAUGUCGAAACAAGAAAGCAACAUAGAUGCAAGUUUAGCAGAUCCACUUUCAAAAGUAAUGUAUUUUAAACUUGAUUCAUUCUAAUGUUUGGGAAUCACUUGAUAUAUCUAUGGGAGGUGCAAAGUACUUGGUGACUUUUAUUGAUGAUUAUUCUAGGAGAUAUUUGGUGUAUCCAGUCAAGAAAAGGUCAAAUGUAUUUCUAUUGUUCAAAGAAUUCAAAGCGUAGAUUGAACUUAAAUCAAGGUAAGGGAUCAAGUGUCUGAGGACAUACAAUGGUGGAGAGUAUACAGAUAGUAUGUUUCUUACAUAUGUAAGCAAGAAAGUAUCUAGAGAUAGUUCACGGUGGCAUACACUCCUCAAUAAAAUAGAGUAGUAGAGUGAAAUAACAUGACUUUUAUAGAAAAAAUAAGAGUUAUGUUGACAACUGCUGGUCUACCAACUCAUUCUAGGCGGGAGUAGCAAAAACUACUUAUUACGUGGUAAGUGGGUCAUCAUUCAAGGCAAUCGAGUUGAAGAUUCCAAUGGAAAAGUGGACAGGAAGCCAAUUGAUUACUCUCAUCUCAGGCAUUUUGAUGUCCUUUUACGUGAUAUACAAUACCCAAGUGAGAUUAAAGAUGGAUCCAAAAUCUAAGAGAUGUAUCUUCUUAGGAUAUAUUGAUGGAGUGAAAGGGUAUUAUCUGUGGGACCUCAAUGCCCACAAGAUCAUUAUCAGCAGAGAUAUUAUCUUUGUAGAAGAUCAAAUGCAAAAGAGAGAUAUGGAUGAUAGCACUAUAAAAAUUCAGAGAUUGUGCUAAUAUAUAUUGAAAAUAAUCUAGAAAAUGAAGAUUCAGAUUUUUUUUUAAGCAGCACCAAAGUAUGAGAACAAGAACCAAUCGAGUCUGAGGCCCCAAAAGUUUGUUGGUCAACUCGUGAUAGAUAACUGUCAGUGUGGCAUUUGGAUUAUGUCACAUAUAUCAAUUUUGCAUACUGUCUUUUAACAGAGAAUGGAAAGCCAUCAACUUUCCAUGAAACUUUAAACAGCUCAUAUGUUACUUUGUGAAUGAUAGCAAUGCAGGAAGGAAUUAAGGCUCUACACAAGAAUAUGACAUAGGAACUCGUACUACUACCAUAUGAAAAAAAAAAAAAAAACCAUUGGUUGCAAAUGGGUCCACAAGAUCAAACAUGAUGGUAAUAACCUAGUGGAGCGGUAUUGUAAAAGAUUGGUGGUGAAAGAAUAUGCUUAGAAAGAAUGUAUUAACUUCAAUCAGAUAUUUUCUCCAGUGAUUUGACCCAGGACAGUCAGAGUGGUCUUGUCGAUGUGUGCUACAUUUGACCUAUAUUUGGAGUAGUUAGAUGUGAAAAUUUCAUUUCUUCAUGGAGAACUUGAAGAAAAGAUUUAUAUGCUCUAACUAGAAGGCUUUACUAAAAAGGGAUACUUGGUUUGCAAAUUCAACAAAUCUCUAUACGAUCUCAAACAUACACCGAAAUGUUGAUAUAAGAGAUUUGAUCCCUUCAUCAUAAACCUUGGAUACAAUGGAAUCAGUUCAGACUGUUGUACAUAUUACAACAAGUUUGAUAAUAAUGAUUCCAUCAUUCUACUGUGGUAUGUGGAUGACAUAUUGGUAGCAGGCCCCAACAAAGAUCGAGUCCAAGAACUGAAGGCACAGUUAACUAGGGAGUUUGAAAUAAAAGACUUAGAACCAGCAAACAAGAUUUUAGGGAUGCAAAUUCACUGAGAUAGUAAUAGCAAGAAGAUUUGGCUUUCUACCCCGCCUCUUAUUAAUUUCAAGUUAUUCUUAAGUAUUCAUCUAGUAAUGAAGUAGAGAAGAAGAGAUGUCUUGAGUACUGUAUACAUCAGCAGUGGAAAAUUUAAGGUUCGCUAUGAUUUGUACAAGUAGUGUGAGCGGUUAGUCGAUACAUAGCGAAUCCUUGCAAAAAACAUUAGAAGACUAUUAAGAGGAUUCUGAGAUAUAUCAGAGGAACAUUAGAUGUUGCAUUAUGUUACGAAGGAUUAGAAUUUACUGUCAAGAGCUAUGUGCAUUCAGAUUUUGCAGAAAAUCUAAAUAAAAGGAAAUCCACUACUGGUUAAGUAUUUACACCAGAAGGAGAAAUUGUUAGUUGGAUUUCAAAAUUGCAUACCGUUGUGGCUUUAUCAACAACAUAAGUAGGUUACAUAGUAGCUACACAAGCUUGGAAGGGCUAUUUGGAUACAAAGGUUACUGAAGGAGCUUGGGCAUAAAAAUUUUUAUGGCUUGUGAUAGUUAGAAUGCAAGGAAUCCAACCUUUCUUUUCAGGACAAAGAAUAUAGGAGUACAAUAUCACUUCUUCGUGAAGUAGUGGAAGAUACAAGAGUGGAUACCAAGGAGAACUUAAAAAAUGUUUUGCCCAAGCCUAUCAAUGCUGAAAAAUUUGUUUGGAGUAUAUCAUUUUAUGGCCUAGUAGAGACAUAAGCAACAUGAUAGCGGCUAAGCAGAAAGGAUGGUGUGGAGAUUGAUUGAUUCUCAAUUAAAUUUCUAAGUGGGAGAAUGUCAAAGUCAAUGCCGCUUUUCUAGAAGAGCGACCAAUACCUUUUGAUAUUCAAAGUUUGAAUGUCAAGUUCAAACUUUGAAUUUAAAAAAAUAUAUAUAUAAAUGUAUAAAUAGUGCCCAAAUUUUUAACUAUAAAUGAGGGGUUCACCCCCGCAUUUCAUUCUUUUCUUCUUCAAUUCUAGAGUGAGAGACUAAGAGUUUUAAUGCUCUUGAGUGAUUAGUGUUUUAAGAGAUUGAGUGGAUUGGAGUUCUGGGAAGUGAAACAAAAUAUUAUAAUACUAGUAAUCCUCAUUUCACCAGUAAAGUUUUAUCAUUUUGUCUUUACCCGUAGACGUAGGCUAAAAGUCGAACCAAGUAAUUUUUGGUGUCCUUUGUGUGCUUGUUCUUCAUUUUCUUCCAAUUUCAUUUUAACUGUGGACCUAUUUCACCAGUCAAUUUCCUAACACUAAUCGAGGCAGAUCUGCAUUGGGAGUUAAAUAUAUAAAAUCUGAAAUUUUAUUAAUUUAUGACUUUUUCUAAAAUUUAUUUUUUUUGCAACUUAUAUCUGAUUUUUAAGCAUUUACAUUUGAAUAGAAAAAGUAACUUUUGUGACUUUUAUUGAAUAGAAAAAAGUCUGAAUAAGAAUUAAAUAUAUAUUCUAAAAAUAUUUUUAUAAAAUAUAUUUAUUUCUUAAACUAUAAAAUCUAACUACUUUUUUUUUUUGUUUUGAUUUGUAAAAAUAUAAAUAUCAAAUAACCAUAUUUAAGAUAAAUAAGAUGUCACUUAUAUUUGGGUAUUAGAAAAAAAAAGAAAAAUAAAUGUCAUUCAUAUAUUUGUAUUAAGUCCAUUCAUACUUACGGAAAAUUUAUACCUAUUCAGAUUUAAAAAAAAAAAACAAACAAACAAAUAAGCAAACACCUUAGCCUAGCGUAGGCAAUUUACUUUACUGAAAAAUAGUUUUCAUUUAAUUUAAUUUUAAUUUAUUGAAAAAAUUUCUUUUAAUGUGGCUAUUUCGUAGACCACUUUCUGCAGUGGGAUUAAUUUUAUAACGCAAUUUUAUUUUACUCACAUUUGAAAUCUGUAAUUGUUUUUAUUUUUAUUCAAAAGAUUAUCUUAUAAAUCAAUCUCCAGGCUCCGCCCUUAUCUCUAAGUAUGAGACGUUCGCAUCAUUAAAAAUCGGGAAGCAGCAACAACCUACUGGCCGAUAGUAUAGGAUAGGAGUUGUUAAUGCAUAUCAGCUAUUUGGUGAAAUGCUCACAAGAAAUGGAAAUUUGACAUGUAUGCAUUUCUCGAACUUUACCAACAAAACUUUUAUAAAAGCAUAUUUGUGAAUGAUUUUCCUGAAAUUUAAUGUUUAUCAUCUCCAAUCUUUUUACUCCUCCAGUCUUGAGUAAUUAUGGUGUUGCCACCCAUGCAUGCUUAUAGAUGCUUUGGUUCCUGAGAUAAUUAGUUCAUCAAAUUAGCAGCCUUAGCCUUAUAUUUGCAUUUUAUUUUUGUCAACGUUAACUGGUUAAAUUGAAUCAGAAGUGAAACUGAAAUGAAAGUAACUGAAUGACCCGAAUUUCAAAAUAAUAAUAAUUUUGUCAACUAUGGUGGCGUUUGUUUUUUAACUUAAUGACUUAAAGUGACUUAACUUAAUUAAUUAAGUUAAUUAGAGGUGUUUGUUUUUAUAACUUAAUGAGACUUUUUAGAUAAUUUUGACUUAAUAAAAUAAGCCAAUUUUUUUUGGCUUUUUACUUAAUGGAGAAAUUUGAAUUAAGUCAAUUACUUACUAAUGUCAAAAAUAUCCAUGUUUUAUAAUUUAUUUUUCAUGUCUAUCCCAAAACUCACCCAUAGAUAUUUACCCCGUAUAAAAAUAUCCCUAUUUUUUCUUUCUUAUAUUUAUAUGAUAAAAUUUGAAAUUUAUGGUAUUUUAUAUAUUAAAAUUCCAAAAUAAUUAUGUAUUCACUUGAAUAUAGUUUUACUUAUAAAUGUUAAAAUAUUGUGAUAUUUAAUAUAUUAUUUAUUUGACAUUCAAAAUUUAAUAAGGAUACAAAUGUAAAAGUACAUAUUUUCAGCUUUUUCAGUUGAAAAAAAAAACAACUUAAUACUUAUUUUUCGAGAUUCAGAUAAAAAAACAAACAUAUUAUUCAGAUUCAGACAAAAAAACAAACAUAUUAUUCAGAUUCAGACAUUCAGAUCUAUUCAGAAUUCAGACUAAUUUAGGUCUAUUCAGAUUUCAGACAAAAAAACAAACGCCACCUAAAUGAUCCUUCUGUUUGCUUUAGUAUUAUUUUUUUCCCCCUCAUCAAUUCAAGUUUGAAAGACAAGCAAUGUAUAUACCUAAACUGAAGUUUAUGGUUUCUCUGUGCUCCUUGUAUUACAAGUAUCAAAGCUGUGACUUCACAUGAACCUUAGCAGAAGCUUCUGUGAUAUUAUUUAUGUAGCUUUUAACUUUAACAAAAGCAUAUGGAUUUUUAUUUUUUGACUUGAUUUGCCAAGAUGACGAUGAGGGGAAUUCAAUUCAUUUUCUAUUUUUGUAUUUUUUUUUCAUUCUUUAAAACCAAUAAUUGUGUUUUGUUGUUGCAAUUUAAUACAUCAAUAACAUUUAUUACUGUUGACGCUGAAAUCUGCUCGCCCUUUGCCCGACCAGAUAGUUCCACCAACGCUUGUGUAUUCAAUGGGGAGAAUAUUACCCUUUUGCCCCCUUCAGCAACUGCAGAUGCUCCAGGGGUUGGAAACCCCUUUUUUCUUCUUUCUAAUCUUGCACUCACAGAGAUAGAUCAGAGACGCCAGUGGUUUUACCGGCGUAAACCCUCCGAUGCUUAAGUUAGCACAAGGUGUUUACAGGAAAACUAUGUAAUUUGGAUUGUUUGAUUUCUUGUAAUGCUUUCUAUAACUUUGAAAAGAAUAUACUUUGGUUUCAAUUUGGCAGAGUUUUCCCUUCUCUCUCCAUUUUUCCGUCCCCUUCUUCAUCGGUUUCCCCCCUUCUUAUAGCCGUUGUCCCACGUUUCUGUUUACUCUUCAUGCUCCCCCUUUAACGGGUAAUGGUAGCCCCUCAUGGGACUCCAACCUCGUAUUGUGGGUAAACAUGGGAUACCAUAUCUCCCUCAAUGGUUCAGGGCAUAGCGCAACUAUCGCGAUUUCGUGAGAUCGUGUGCCCUUUCUUCGAUUGAUGGGUAUCUGGUCGGUGCUCGUGUCUGGUUAGCUCAUGUUUGUAUAAGGCUUUUUACCAGAGCUUCGCUCGUACCAUUCAGCUGAGGUGACUCGCCUCGGGGUGGGAGAUGAUGGCAUGGCUGAGCUGAUGCUUUUUAUUACUUAACACCAGUCCCCCAGUUUCUGGUCUUGCGAGUGGAACGAGUUAAGAGUAGAAACCGAUAUGGGCGAACGUUGACUGGUUUGGAAUUGGGAAUAAGGUGUAUUUUGUGAUCAAAUAGCCGUUGAGGGGGAAGACCAGUGGGUGGAGCAAAUAAUGCCUUAAAUUUUUGAAGGAGAGUAGUAAUAGGUUCAGGCAAUGACCUCAGAAAUUCUAAGUCAUUAUCCGGCAAUGUGUUGGUAGAUGUGUGAUUUGCUGAUGGUUCAAUUGGUAAAGAAUGAAGUUCAAAUAAGCUGUCGAUUUUGGAGUUGAAUAGCAAGGCAUGAAACUGGUUAAAAGAGAUUAAAUUCGGAUUUGGAAUUGGGUCUCCUUGUAAAAUGACAGAUUUUCCCUCCCACUGAAACUCCAUCGUCAUCUCGGAAUAAUCCGUAGGAAUUCUUCCCAAGCUUUGUAACCAUUGAAUCCCAAGGACAACAUCAGGGCCUUCGAUUGGCAAAAGGAAGAAAUCCAAAAGAAAUUCAUGCCCCCGCAUAUUGAUAGGCACUUUAGGGCAGAGAAAUCGACAAGUAAGAAAAUCGCCAUUGCCAAUGUAAACUCGAAAAGGAGUUAUAGCUUGAACGGAAAGGCCAAGGCGUUCAGCCAAUGGCGGCUUAAGAAAAUUAUGGGUACUGCCACUGUCAAUUAACACCUGAAACUGAUAGUUGGCAACGGUGCCCAGCACCCUUAAAGAUCGUGGAUUAGUUUGCCCAGCCAAGGCAUUAAAACUAGAUAUGUCCGUUGUGACUACUUCGUCUGGUUGUGCAUGAAUAAAAGCAUCCUCACUUGGCUCAUCAUCCUCAUCAUCCAUACCCAUUAAUAACAAAAACUUGCUAUGACAGCAAUGUGUGGCGCUAUAUUUUUUGUCACAGUUGUAACAGAGCCCUUUUUCUCUUUUCUCUCUUAAUUCUGCUGGAGGUAAUCGACGAAUAGGCAAGGUGGGAGUAGGCAAUAAUGGGGGUUGAGGUGGCUGUUUAGUGGCUGACAAACUCGGAAGAGGAGUUGUUGUUGGGGUUUUAUAUGAUGCAGGAUGUUGGGAGGCAGUAAUGGUGGAUUGGUGGGUGUGAGUAGAUGAGGGUGUAAUGGUAGAGGUCUUGAUUUCUUCCGAUCGUGCCUCAUAAGCUUUGGCUAAAGCAAAAGCCUCCAUGAGAGAUGUGGGUCUUGCAAAUAAUAAUUCUCGCCUGAUAUCGGGUUUUAAGCCCGUGAUAAAGAAACUAACCAACAAUGGCUCGGAGAUGCCCGUGACCUUGUUCAUCAAAUCCUCAAAGGCAGACUGAAAAUCAGCAACAGUCGACGUUUGGGAGAGCUUGGAGAGGUUACCUUGAUGAUCUUCAUACAUGGAUGUACCAAAUCUUUGCUUAAGAUUGAGUAAAAAAUUUUGCCAAGUGCUCAGCAAGUUGUUGGCCUUCAUCCAUUGAUACCAUGCUGCUGCUUUUCCCUCCAUGUGAAAAGAUACAAUACGAAGGCGUAAAUGGUCAGGGGUGCCGUGAAAAUCAAAGAACUCAUUGAUUCGAAAAUCCCAACCAUUCGGAUCAGUGCCAUCAAAUUUUGGGACAUCCAUUUUCAUAGAACGCAACAGAGGAGAGAUAUCAGUAACACCUGACAGUACAGUCGAAGAGGCCGGUUCCGGCGCCAUUGGGCGGGAAGAACCCACUGACGCUCCGACGAAACCAUUGAUUUGGGAACGUAGCUCCUCAAAUCGAGAAUCCACCAUGGACAUAUAUUGCUGUAAGGUCUGAUGAACAGCAAGCAUUUGAUUUUCAAUGAGCGUCCUCAUGGUGGAGAGAACUGCUGAAUCAGUCGUUGGUUCUGUGAGAGACAUUUUUUUUUUUGUUUUGUGUGAAGAGAUGAAAUGCAAUGAAAGCACCAGUUGAUACUACACUCUUUGAGCGAGUGCAAGCUCCAAUCCGUGGAGAAAAGAAUUUGAAGAAAGAGAAAUGGGACAGGGGAGUUGCAGAGAAGAGAAAGAAGACGAAGCUGAAAAAAGACAAAAUGAUAUCCUUUCUUUUCAUGCCCUCACGGGUCCCUUGACAGUACAAUAUAUUCUCCCUUCCAAAAGCAGCCACGCACCCUUAACUAACUAAAUAGAAUAAAAUUGAUAACAACAAAACAAUAAUUGAAAACAGAACAAUAUUCGUUAUUAUGAUAUCUCAAGCAUUCUCAAACAUUCCUCAAAUGACAAAGUCUUUGAGCCAUCCUGGUUUCUUUCUCGCGCAAGCUGGACCUGUCUUGAGUUGCUCUCUAGCUUGUGUCUCAUUCAAGGGUUGGACUUCUUCUAUUUCUGCAGGCUGGGUCUCUUCCCUUGUUGUCUCAUUGUGCUCGAUCUGAUUCACAACAAUUGGCCAAGUUGUAUCACUCUUCUUCUGUGAAUAAGGUCGUUUUUCUUUUUUCCUCUAUUCAAAGUUUCCAUUCUGAGGGGUUCCCAUUUCCAUCUUCAUGAUCUUCUUGUGAUAGUGUGAGUUACAACCUGUCUGUUUCCUUUGUUUGAUCAUCGCAAGUUCAAAGACAUUUUAUUCUAACUAAGCUAUGUGUAUGUAUUAUAACAUUUUUAUUCUCAAUAUAUAUGACUCAAUGAGAGGUCUUUUAUUAUAUAUAUGUCGUGAAUUUCUAUUGUAUUUUGACAUUUGAUGGUGUAUCAUUGUCUCAUUGCAAGGUCUUGUAAUCACUCUGAUUCUCAUUUGAGGAGGUUGGUCUCGUCUAUGUGUAUGUAUUUAUAUCCACAAGAAAUUUGAUAAAUGGUCUUGUCAUUUUCUCAUCAAAACAUCUGGUGCUUCAUGUGUUGAAGGGCUACCAGGCAUCAGGGCCAGAUUUUUAAACUCAAAGUUCUUCGGGUCAUUUUUUAACAAUAAUAAGGAAAGCCCAAGAGAAAAUCUAGAAGUACUAAUAAGGACCGCUUCCGCAUAUAUUGUUCAUUUUCUUAAUUACCUUCAUUAUUAUUUUCGUUUUCAAUCGAUCAAACUUCAGUUUCUUAGCAUUAAUCUAAUUAUGUACUUCAUCUUGAAAUCCUUAAUUUACUCAUCAAAAUGUGAACGCUUAGUGUAUCAUUUUUACACUAUAAGAAAUAGUUGUAUUACCGACCAGACAUUUCCACAAUAUACUAUUCAAAAUAAGUACUUUUUACAAAGGUAUUGUCAUUGACGAGCCGUUGGAUAAAUAUGAAAAGUAUCAUACCUUGGUGAUAAAGAAAAUUCGUUUGUCGGAAACGGAAUGUCGAGCCCAAAAUUACUCUAAACUUGGUAAAGUUAGAUUUUGGCCCAAUUUGUUUGAAAGUUUUAUACAUAAAGCGCUUUUUUUUUAUGUAAUUUGUGCAAUCUGAAGGGAGGUAUUGUAAAAUUAACAUAAAUAAAUGUAAUAUGCCAAUACCGUUUAAAACAAAAAAGAAAUCAUGAAAUUGAAAAUAUAUAUAUAAUAAUAAUAAUAACAACAUUAAAAGAAAAAAGGGGAUUACGGAGAAGAAGAAUCUCUUCUAGAUCACAACUCUCAAUUUUACUCAGUGGUAAUUAAUUCUUCACUCUUACUCGCCUUAUUUCCUGCGGAUUUCUUCAUUUUCCUUCACUGUUCAUUUUUAAGGUUCCAUUGUAUUUCCAUUGAGUUUGCAACUGUUCAAUUAAUCGAUCCUUAUUAGUUUUGGGACUUCAAUGACCAUAGAAGAAGAUUCUCACAGACAACUCUUCCUUCUUUUGUCUUUGAUUUUUUUUUUAUUUGUUCAUGCAUGUUUCCUUUGCUGAUUUAUUUACUUAUUUCUUUCUCUGACUAAUUUAUCGUAUGAUAUUUCAAUUGAUGUAUUACGUUCAUGUUAUGUUUAUGGAUGCUUGCUCUACUGUCCUAAUUUACAAUUAAAUUUUACUCCGUCCUUAGCUAUCGAUUCACAGUGGUGUGUCAUUAAUAUGUACCUGUCUUAUUUUAUAUUGCAUCAACUAUUAUUUCAACAAUUGCUGGAGGUGUCAAAUAAUGAAUUUGUAUGAGCUUCAGUCCGAGGUAAUUAUCAUUUUCAUUUCAUGUUAUUUGAUCUCUAGGUUUAUUUUAUAGUUUCAUCUAAAUUAUUUGGAAUGCAUCAGCUGAUUUAUUCUUAAUUUUGGAACGAAUUUGAUGCAACGGAUGGUUGCGUAGGAUGAGUAGAGUAUCUCUCUAGGGUAACAACUUGAGCUAUAAGUAUGUAUUUAGGGUGUAUAAUAUACCUUUCAAAGUUUGCAACGAGGGGAAUCUAAUCUAAUACUGUAGCGCCACAUUAGUCUCGUGGUUCGAUUGAAAAUUAUAUUUUUUUCAUAUAAUUUUACAAGUUUAAGAUCUAUUUUCCUAUUGUUUUCAGGAUUUUUACCUUUUUUUUUCUAGAUAUAGAAUUUGAGUAGCAUUUAUCUUUAUUUCAGUUAGGAGAAUGCUAUUAUGUAUUAAUAUUUUAGGUUUACUUAUUUUGGUAAAUUUGUGAUAUUUAAGUUUAGUUUAAAAGAAGUCCAAAACCUUAAUUUUGUUAUUCAGACUUUCAUUAAUAAAAUAUAAAACUUUCUAAAAGAGAAAAUACUCGUUUGGUACCUGUAUUUUAAUUUCAAUGCUCGUUUAGUUUUUAUAUUUUGAAAAAUACCUCAAUAUACCUUGAUAUUAAAUACGUUACAUUUUUUCCUUAAAUUUUAUUUACCUUUACAAUAAUAUCUUGGCAAUAACAUUCUUAAAUUUAUUUAUAAAAAAAGUUAAUUGGCAAAUUAAUCAAUAAAUAUCAAUAUGAAAUAACCAGUAUAUUUUGUACUUUUACAACAAUCUUGCUAAUAAUUCUGUAUAAAUAAAUUAAUAUCAGCCAUCUUAAAGUAAUGUUUAAUAUUCUUAAAUCAAUCUUACUAAUAAAUGCAUAAAAAAUUUAAUUUACGAAAUUAGUCCUAAAACUAAAAUAAUAACAUAAAAGUUUUUUAUUAAUAUUUAUUUUGUUUAAGGCUGGCUAGAUGAUUACCAUUUUUUUCUUUUCAUUAAUAUUCCCAAAAAUAUUAUUCCAAGAGUAUUAUUGUAAAAAAAAAGGUAGAAACAAAAUAUAUUUCACAGUAGGGGUGUCUUGAGGUUGAGGCACUUUUUAAAAUAUAAGAACUAAAUGCGCUCUUGAGUCAAAAUAUAGAGACUAAAUGAGCAUUUAUUCCUAUUAAAAAGCUUGUGUUUCUCUAUCUUUUCAAUCUCACCGUUUUUGUUUGCGUUUCAUCAUAAGUUCUAAUGUUUGGAUCUCAGCUUUAUGUGCAAAUUUACAUCAUUGAAGGUCUUUUGAUCUGAGUUAAGAUCAUAAAAUUAUAGGGUAAUUUUUAAAAACCUCCCCUGAGGUUUGGGCUUGUUGCAAGUAGAUGGCGAGAAUUGGUUUAUUUGUAAAAAACCCCCUACCGUCAGUUAAUUUUAACAUUGACCGUUAGUUGACCGUGCAAAUACAAUAUUACCCUUAACAAUAGUUUGUAAACGAAAAUAACUAAAAAAAAAAACCAAAAUUAUUGGCGCGAAAAGCACAAACCCUAUUUUUUGACAAUUUUAUCCUUGUCAAUUUCAAAGAUUUACAAGAUCAUAGGUAAAGAUUAUGACUAUUUCAUUUUCAAGUUUUUAAUUUUAUCUUUCUUGUAGGAACUUUAAGGAAAUAUCAAUAAUUUAAAGAGGAUUUUUCAAGUUUUUAAUUUUAUCUUUUUUAUAGGAACUUUAAGAAAAUAUCAAUAAUUUAAAGAGGGUAAAAUAGCCAAUAAUUUUGGUUUUUUUUUUAGUUAUUUUCGUUUACAAACUAUUGUUAAGGGUAAUAUUGUCUUUGCACGGUCAACUAACGGUCAAUGUUAAAAUUAACUGACGGUAGGGGGUUUUUUACAAAUAAACCAAUUCUCGCCAUCUACUUGAAACAAGCCCAAACCUCAGGGGAGGUUUUUAAAAAUUACCCUAAAAUUAUACUUGCAUUGGUCAGCUUAUACGAAAAUUGUACAAAAUAAUAUUCUUAUAUAACUGUUGUCCUCUGUUAUUACGGAAUCCCCAAGUUCUGAAGAAGAUCGAAAUCAGGUCUCUCUACUGUGAAGCCCCUGGAAUAAGAGCUCCAAAUGUGUUACCGUUGAAAGCAUGGUAGAAAACUUAGUACUCAAUUAAGACUGUUUAUGGCUUCAAUAUUUUACUUAACAUGAAAAAUUCUUUCUAGCUUGCAUCAUUGUGAAGAUAAAUUGUCGUAGUUCUGAAAAUGAACAAGUAUAAGUAUUGAAGAGUUAAUGUUACCAGCAAUCGAUUGGUGUGAGCACCAACAACCAUUUUCAUAUUUAACCCUUUAGAACAGUAACACAAAAUAUGGCAAGUGGAAACCACAUCAAAUAAUCAUAUUGUUGAUAGAUUUUGAAAAGCUUUAAUUUGCUUGAUAUAUAUUUGAAUAUUUCAACAGAUGCAUCUUUUCUCAACUCACGGGGCGCGUUGAGUUAGAAACGGCCGGUUUGAAUGUCAAUAUUACUCCAAGUGCCUCAACCAAAUUCAGAAUGAAAAAAAAAAACCAUCUGGUUACCUGCACUUUAGUUUAAGCAGCUAAUUAAGCUAAGUAACACAAAGUAAUUCACCAACUCGUGAGAAAUUUCAUUAGUAAAUCAUCAUACCUGGGAGGAAACCAGCAUCUUGACGCUUUUGUGACCAAGAAAAUCUGCCAGGACCGGUUAAUCAAGUUGUUAAAACCUGUACAUACAUAGAUAAUUACGUCACCAAAUCCAUGAAGAAAAUUAUUUUAUAAACAAAUAUGUUUGAAACAAACUAUCAAAUGGUCUAAAUGCCACAUGGUGUGUUCAAAAUUUUACCCCUGCAAUAAGCAGUUUUGUGGGGUUGAUGCAUGAGAAAACAAGUUAAGAGGAACGAGUAACAUUUUCAGUUUCGUAAUAAGUAUAAAUGGGGAGCAAGAGUAUCAGUUUUACACCUGAGAUGGCAAGAACUUGGCCGACAUUUUCAGUUGAGUCACUCAGACCUCCCGCACUUCCCCGGCCUGACAGCCCAAAGUGAAAAUAUCUAAAAGAACAGUUGCAACAUUUACCCAUUUGAUUAUGAUUCAAGAAAUACACAAAUGGAGAAAUUAUUGGAAUGGUUAGUUAUUGUUUCAGUUUGUUAAGCAAGAUAGUUAGAGUUACUGAUGUGUUAGCUGGGCUGGCAUAAGUUAGUUAUUUUGUUAGCAGUUUGUUAGUGCACACUGCUCAACUCUCAGGUGCUUAGCUCAAGCAUAUGGAAUCUAAAAUGUUCAGGAACUUGUAUAAAUACAUUUUUAAUCAGCUAAAGAAUGUAUGAUUCAGAUUUAUUCAUCAAAUCCAGCUCUUAGAUGAUCUCUGUUCUUUCUUUCAUUUUCUCUCAUUUUCUUAAUUACCAAACAGAUUAGAAACUUUAACUUGAUAUCCGAGCCUGAGCUAUCAAUUCUCAUGGCUUCGUCAAGCUCAAAUCAGAAUACAAACUCCUAUGUUUCCUCGUUUACUUUCACUUCACCCAUCAAACUGGAUCGAUCGAAUUAUAGGAUCUCGAAAUCACAGGUCUUGUCUUCAGUCCGUGCCAAUGGACUAGAAGAUCUACUUGAUAGAUCAAAACUCUGUCCUAACCAAUUUCUUUUUACUGAAAUUGAAGAUUCAACAGCUGAAGCACAGACCAAUCCAGCAUUCACUUCGUGGAAGAGAAACGAUCAAUUGUUGUUGAGCUGGUUAAUGUCAUCCAUCAGUAUCGAGAUCCUUAGUCUUGUGGUAAACUCUCAAACCUUACUUGAGCUUUGGACUAAUCUGGAACAACAAUUUGGAUCUGAAACCUUUGCCAAGAAAAUUCAUUUGAAGAUGAUGCUUAAUAUCCUCAAAAAACGGCUCCUUGUCUGUGACUGAAUCUGGAGCGAACAAGGAACCUAUGAAAUGCUUUGAAUGUACCUCCUAGGUCGUAUUUACUAUACUAGUUAGGAGAAAUUAUGAUGUUAAAUUAUUUGAUAAAUACUUAAUAUAAUUUGAAAAAUAUGUUAAUUUUGUCCUUCAAUUUAUAAUAAAAAAUUUAUAAUAUAUAUAAAUCAUUCAUUCUGUAAGGUUCCGAUCGGAAGAAAUUAGCACCUUAUAAUGCAUGAUUACCCGUAUGUCAAGUUUGGCGAUUAUAAGUCAUCAUCACAAUAACUUUGGACUUUAAUAUUUAAGUCUCUGUUUGGGACCAAUGUAUGGCAGUUGGACAACACAUCACUCAAUUAUAGAGUGUGAAAUAUUGAUAUUGUUCUUAUUAUUUUACGUAAUGUAUAAACUUUUCCUUUUACUUUUGUUUGUUUAUUUAUUUUUUAUACUUAAUAAAUAUAAAUUUAUUUUUUUAAUAUUUAACAAAUAGUCACGGUCAGGCAAUAUUGUUAGAAAAUAACGAACGAUGACCCAAAUCCUUUUAUUUUACAUAAAUAAUUUCAAUUCACAACAACUAUAACGUUACAUUACCAAAUAAACACUAAAUAUUUUGAUGACUGUAGUUUAUCUUUCAUCCAUAGCAUGAAGAGUAUGAAAUAUGAUCCCAAAACAAAGAGUACGACAUGCCGUGUUGGGUUUACAGAAGAAGUGUACGCCAUGUCAUCCGAAAACUAAAAGGCACGUAUGACAACCAGAUUCUGUCAUCUCUGAUUUGCUUACACUUUAAGGAUGAAUUCUGUGUUUUGAGUGACAAUUAAAAGCUAGAGUGAGAAUUAGAGAGAGAGUUAUAUAUUCUUAUUUAUUCCUAGUCACUUGCUAUAUUGUGUAGGUCUUUUGUGACUCCAAUAAUAAAAACGCUCAAUAUUUUUUUUGAUAGAGCAAUAUUUGUUAAAGCAUGAAGAAAGGCAGAAAUAUUGUAAAUCCAUCUCAACUUUUCUGUUUAUUGUGGUCGCUGCAAGCACUGGCUGUUUUCUUGUUGAACUUUGUUCCCUUUUGCCAUCAGCUCUUUGCAUUUUCAUUGGAUCAAGCGACCCUUUUCUUGCUUCAAUUUCUGAUCUCAAAAGCACUUUGAUUCUCUUCUGUUACACUGAUUUUCUCCUUGUUUUGUACACAUAUUAUUUCUCUUUCCCAUUCAGCCUUGAUUUGCUUCUACUUGACUAUCAAUUGCCCAGUCGUUGAACCCGUUGUAUUUUUAUUUCGUUUACAUCAAAUAGACCAAAAAAAAAAAAAAAAGAGAUGGUGGAUAAAAGCCUAAAAUCUAAUUUGAUUUAGCUAAGAUGUCCAAUUUAAUACUAAGAAUAAUGUUAAGGAUCCCAAUAAUUGAGUCUCAACUGAUAUGAUAGUCAUUUAUUAGAUGAUCGAAAUAUUAAUUUUACUAGUUAUGGAAUUCAUUAUCUAAUAAAAAAUUGACACAUAACAAUUGGGUCUCAAGUUAGAAUUCUACUAUCGAAAUUCCUAACAUUAUUAUAAUAUUAAAAAUUCAUCAAAAUAAUAUCUGUUAUCUAAAAAUAAAAAUAAAAAUAUAAAACCAUAGAUUUACUCUUCAAUCUUCGUGAUUUGGCCGAUUUCUCUUAAAGCUUUGGUUUCUUUAGAAGUCCAAGGAGAAAUAGUAAUAAGAUUAAAAAAGCAAUGAAGUAAAACUUUAAAAUUUUUAUUUCUUUAUAUUUUUAUCGGUCAUUUGACCGGUACUGGCGUUUGAUUUUCUGACCGAGCUACUGUUUAGUUCUAAGUUUUGGCAAUUAGAACUGGUGGAUGUCGACUGUUCAAUAAUGAUGGCAGCAUUUGACUGGAGUGUAAUUGGCGCAGUGGAAUAAGGAUAACAUAUCUCAAACUUUAGGUGAUGAUAUUGUUAGAUAUUUCAUUGAUUGAGGAUCACAUGUUUUAUGACCACUAUUGUUAGAUAUUUUAUUGACUUACUAUGUAAGUCAAGCAAUUAUUUUUAAAUAAUGAUAUUAUAAUUAAAAAUCAAGAAAUAUUUAUAAUACUUAAAGACUAAUUCAGAUUAUUAUUUUUUUUAUAUGACUUAAUUAUUAGCUGACAAAUAAUUAAAGGGAGCCUCUAAGUUACAAUAAUUGUAACAUACAUUCUUCAUGUGAACCACACAAAAUUGUAGGACCCAUAAUUUGUGUGGUUCACAUGAGAGAUGUAUGUUACAAUUAUUGUAACUUAGCAUUUGCCAUAAUUAAAAGGUCAUACAGAACAACAUUUUUAGGUCAAUUGAUAAUUAUAAUAUGAUACAACUUGUACUUUCAUUCCUAUGCUAAAAUAUAUCUAGCCUGCUCAUGGUCAAGAAAUAUAUCUAUUCAUCACAUACUUGUUAGAAAGAUUAUCUACUAAUUAAUCAUUGAGACGAGAUUACGAGUCUCAACAUAAAUUAGGAUAAAAAUUAAUACAUUGAAAUUCAGAACAUUUCUUUUUUCUCCUUCUGCAGUUUCAAAAGGAGUCGCCCACUAGUACUGAAAUAAUUUUAUCAGAUUCGCUUGAAAGUAGUUUUACGAUCAAGCAGUUUUUCCCUCUUGAUCCCCGUAUUCAUCAGCUCCUACUCUUUGCCUUCAAUUCCCAAUCAAGUAGUAUCAGUUUUUGUUGUCAGCUCUCUUGAAUUUCACUGGAUCAAGUUUUCUCUUGGCAUCUGUUUUGUUGUAAUCUCCAGUCUUUGUUAAUUAGUUUCUGUCCAUUCCCAAUCUUGUUGUGGUCUGCUGUUGUCUCUGUUUGGUUCCAUAUCUACCCUUUGUACUUCUACCGUGUCAAGAUAUCUUCAUUUUUUCCAUCUCUAUUACCAGUCAAUAUUUUUUCCGUCUUUCUUCUGGUCAAUACUUCAGUUAUUCUGAUUGGUUCCCUUCGCCUCUAUUAUCUAAAUCAUUCCUUAUAUUAAUUCAAUCAGUUCUCGAACUAGAAACCUUUUCCUUGUUUCCAUCUUCUCACCAGAUCCAUAACAGCUUUUACUCUUUCUUUCAUUUCUCCGCUUCCACAACCGGAUAAACUGUCCAUCUUUGUUGUUUCGCUUUUUUUUUUUUUUCACUCUCUCUAUGUUUCGCUCCUUGUUUAUUUUCUUGUCAGAACUUUGAAAAAAAAAAAAAAAAAAGGGAUCCAGGAUGGUGGAAAGCAUUGUUACUGUUGUUUUAGAAUUUGUGAAAUGCUUGGCUCCUCCAACAGAACGCCGAUUUGGUUAUUUGCGUAACUAUAAAGCCAACGUUGAGAAUCUCAAGGCAGAAAUAGACAAGCUCGAGGAUGAAAGGAGAAGCAUUCAGCACAGGGUUUCUGAGGCUGAAAGAAAAGGGGAAAAGAUUGAAGAGAAGGUUGAGAAGUGGCUGGUUCGUGCGAACAACACCAUUGAGCAGUCAGCCAAAUUCAUUGACGAUGAGGAGACAACAAAUAAACGAUGUCUCAUGGGCUUGUGUCCUAAUUUGAAGACCCGCUAUCAGCUUAGCAAGGAAGCAGAAACAAAGGUGAAGGCCAUUGUUGAACUCAAAGAAGAAGCUGGGAAAUUUGAUGAUAGAAUUUCCUACCGUACCAUUCUGGAGGAUAUAUGGCUCAAGUCUCACAAAGGCUACGAGAC
rnacentral:lncRNA from 1 species